rnacentral:lncRNA from 1 species
UAAAAACAAGUAAUUAAUAUUAAGUUUCAAUAGAAGAAUCAAAAUAGUGAUGAAAUUUGAUAAGUAAUCAAAACUUCAAGUUAUUGGAUAUUAAAUAACACAUAUUUUAAUCAAUCAUAAGUUUAAUAAGAUUAAAACAUGUCAAAUGGAUGGCAUACUUGAACACAUAUCCAUAUCAAACAUGGUCUGAUGAUUGUUGCUUAUCAAAACUAUAGAAAUCACCCACAAGAGAAGCUUAGAAGCAUUAGGCAGAGGAAAACACUAGAGACAACUUGGCAUUAUUGGUAAAGUAAAACAAGACUAGUCAUCCAUUCAAGAUCAUUAACAUAUAAAUCAUAGGAUUCAAAAUUAAUAAAUAAAUCAAAAGAUUCAUGGCUAGAAAGAUCAAGAAAUUUCAAAUUAGAGAGGUUUCCCAAGCUAGGAGGAAUUGCACCACUAAACCCACAAUUUGAUAGGUUUAGAUAUUCUAAAUUUUUUAACUAUCCAAAGAAUUCAGGAAUUGAAAUAUGCUCAAAUAAGUUCCCACUCAAAUCUAAAUAUCUCAAGGAUUUGAGUUCUAUCAAUGAAGGCCUAAUCUCUCCACUCAAGUUCAUAGAAGUUUCAUUCUCAUAUGCUUCAUCGGGAGAAUGUGGGUUAUGAAGAUCAACUGAAAUAACAACUCCCAUUUUAUUUUCACAAUCAAUUCCCUCCCAUUGACAAUAAUCGAGCCCUCUCCAUGAUGAAAUCUGGUUGUUAGAACCUUUGAGACCAUUUUUGAAGUGAGUAAGAUCAUCUUUAUCAUUUUUUAAGCAAUUUCCCAAAAUGGUCUCACCUUAACAAGUAAGUUCUCUUUUUAUUAAACAUAGAAUGAUUGAGAAUUGAAAUUUUCUCUAUCUAGGAACACCUGUAGAAACAAGUAAAAUUAAGUUCCAACACAACAAGAAAAAUAGUGACAAAAUUCAAUUAGUAAUGGAAACAAGACAUUAGACAAUUAAUAACAUAUUUAAUUUAACUAGUCAUUUGUUUAAUAAGAUUAAAAAUUCCCAAGUAAACAACAUAUUUGAAUACAUGUCAAAGAAAAUAUAAUUGAAAUCAUCCCAACAAAUAUCAAAUAUGCUUUGAUGAUUGCUAUUGAUCAUACAUUCCAACUGUAGAAAUCACCUACAAAAAAAAAAAACUUGAAGCAUUAGAUAGCGAGAAACACUGUAAAUAACUUGGCAUUAUUAGUGGAGUAGGAUGUUACCAAUUUUUUAUUUUUUCUUUCUGGUGUAGUCAUUCCUUUAGAUGCAGAGACAUAUAUAGAAGAUAAUUCAACUAGAAACCAUGUGGAUGAUAGUGAUAGACUCCUUUCCUUUCUUUUUAGCAAUAUUUUUAAAAAUAGACUAGACCAACCAAUUGAACCGAUUCAAUUGUUGACCAAUUCACUUUCCAAUUCAGGUGACCUUUACCAACCAUUUUGGGCUUAAAACGGUGGGAAACCAAUUACUACUACUUGAUUAUGAUCAAAUUGUGUAUAUGAAGUAAAAAAGCUGAAUUUGUAACUAUUUUUCUAAAAAGUUUUUGCCAAGAAAAAAUAUUUAAGUGAUGUUUGUUUUUUUAACUUAAUAUAAAAUGCAAUUUAAUUUCGAACUUCAACUAUUUGUUUUAAUUUUUUUUUCCAACUUUUAACUUAUUUAUCAAUAUUUUUAAUUAAAUAGAAAAAACUAAAAUAUGUAACUUUUUACUUAAUUUAAAAAGUUAACUGAUUCAUACUUUUAACCCCUCCAACCUAACUCACAUUGUGAAAAAAUAAUUAAAUUAAUACUUAAUACUUUUAAGUUGUAUUUAAAAUUAAGCUAAAUUAAGUUCUAUUUAUAUGUAACUAAAAAAAACUCCAUCUUAAUCUAUUAGCUCUUAAUUUAAAAAAAAAAAAAAAAAUACUUAAUCUAUCAUGUUGAACCAAACUUUAACUUUGCAUGAUGUCAAUAAUAAUAAUAAUAAUAAUAUGCACAUAUAAAUGAUAAAGUCAUUACCUCUAUGAAUUGGGUCAUGGAAAAAUCUUCCUCAAAAUAUCACAAUCUUCAUGUUGUCUUAUCAAUAUGUAUACAAGUAAAACCAAUAAGUUUAUAAGUAAUGUUUCACAAUCUUAUAAAAAAUUAAGGGGAAAAAAAUAAAAUAAUCAAUAACACAUCAAAAAACAAUUUUAGCAUACCACCCCAAAAUAAAUAAAAUCUCUUAAAAAUUUGAAAAUUUCUAUUAUAAGGUUAUUAUUUCGGAUAGAAUGACCAUGCCCAUCAAAGUUGGGUUUGCACUAAUCCAAUCCAAUCAAUCAAAUCAACUAUUUAAAGUAAUCCAAAAAUUGUGGCCACUUUUUAAAGGCACUUUCGUCAUGUCAUGUCAAGGGAAAUUUAAGGACAUUAUUUUCCUCAUUCAUUUAUUCAAGGUUUAUGUCGUGUGUACCAAGGUGGCCAUUUUUUCUUCAAUCAUUUUUAAUAUAUUUUCUUUCAUAUCUUGCUACCUUAUCAAGAAAAUUUUGCAUUAGCUUGACUUUGACUCCAUGCUUGGGUCGUCUAGAUUAGGGCCCUAUAAUUGUCUAUGACUUGUCAAUUACAUUUUAAAUUUUAUAGGACUUCGAUGAAUAUUUGAAAAUAAUAGAUAUUUUAUAUAUUUUAAUUUUUGUUGAAAAUAAUUUUUUUUUGGUAAAAAGAAUUUUACACUACCAAUUCAUUUCCUCACAUGGAAGUGCUGGGAAAAAUUUUUAAAUUACCUAAUCCAUUUGGUGCUUUUACAAAGUAUAUGAACUAGUUGUGCUUCGAUGAAUCAAUUGCUUUAGAUUAAUUAAUUUUCAACCAACUGAAUUAUACAUUUAGAUAUAAGGUAAUUUGGGUAAGUAACAUUUAAUAACUUCAUAAUUUCUUUAUUUAAAUCUUAUAAAAUAUUUGAGAAGAAAAUAAAAAAGUUACAAAUUAAAACCGCAAUGAAAAAUAAUAAGAAAAAAAAUAAACAAUAAGAAAACAAACACAUAAAACACGAUUGAUGUAGUUUGCCCUAAAGCCUACAUUCACAAAUGAAGAUAAAAAAAAAAACUUCCAAUAUUGUUUAAGAAGAUUAUAAUCUAACUCUUAAAUCCUAAAGUCUAAACUAAUUAUACCAAGAAAAAUGAUUAUUUCUUAUUCGUUAAAAUGUCUUCUCAUAUUUUCUUGAUUGGAAUAUUUAAUAUAAGGAACUAAUUAUCUAAUUAUUAGAUCUACAUAAUAUUUGUAGAGAUAUUACUAUUAAUUUUCCUUAUUCUAUAAAAGGAAUCUAAUUAUAAUCACAUGAUAUGAAUUUAUGAAAUAUUUUAUAUAAAGUGGUGAGGAAUAUAUGUGGUAGACAGAGAUAUGAGAAAGAGUGAGAGAUACUUGGUGGAGUUAUAGAGGGCUCAUUAGGGUGUAGAUGUGAGAAAGAGUAAAGAAUAUUUGGUGGAGUAAAAUGACUCAUGGUUCAAGGUGGGGAAAUAAAGCGUAGGGAAACUUAAGAUGUUUUGACACCCAAUAGUUGUAUCUAUUUCUAUUCUCUGUACUCUUUUACAUGACAUAGUAGAAUGUUAUUUCUCAUCUAUUAAGGUAGGCAUGGUUGGUCGAACCUUUGUGUGUGGUUUGCUUUAUUUUUAAAUUUUUAUUUAACACAUCUAUAUUGAAGUUGUUGUUGGCCCAAUAAGUGAUAUCAAAGCUUCCGAUGACAUAACAAAUAUUUGUUGGGAAAAUUGAAACACCUAAAUACAAAAAGAAAAAAAAAAAGUGAAAAAAAAAAAAGACAAAAUAUUUACCUAGUUCAAGAUAAUCGCCUACAUCCAUGGGAAAGAAAGAUCAAAUUAAUUAAUAAACUUUACACACUUCAAACUCUCUCGACCUUUCUUUAUCAAAAACUCAUACAACUUUUGACUAUCUCUAUUCACUCCUUGCUCACUUUUUCCUUCUAUUUUAAAAUAAUAUAUAAAACCACAUAUCUAUAAAGUCCUAAUCUUGAUCAAGCUUAAAAGGGUAUUUUACCCAAAUACAAACUCUACAAAUAUUAAAUUUUCUCAAAAUAAAUAUAUAACUAAAUAAAUUGAGUCUAUAUAUAUUAAAAGACUUUUUUUUCUUCUAAACCCAAGAGACCAAGUCCCCCGAAAGGAGUAGAUAUCAUUUUAUUGAAUUUUCAUGGGCCAAACAUAACUUGCUUGUACAGGAAGGUAGAAAAUUUAUGACAAUGAAGAAUUUUCCACAUUUCUUUUCAUUGAAUUCCACAUCCAUAACAAAUGAAGACAUUUUUGUCAUGUCAUGUUAAGGUAAAUUUAAGGAUAUUAUUUUCUUCAUUCAUUUAUUCAAGGUUUAUGCUGUGUCUACCAAGGUGACCAUUUUUUCUUCAAUUUUCUGUCAUGUCCUGCUACCUUAUCAAGAAAAUUUUGCAUUAGCAUGACUUUGACUCUAUGUUUGGGUCAUCUGGAUUGGGGCCUUGUAAUCGCUUGUGACUCAAAAAAUACAAAAAUAAAGACUUAGAAACUCAUGUCAACAAAUUUUAACAAACCACUCCAUAAUAUAUGAAAUUUCUUAAAAAUUGUAUUUUUGUAAUAAUAGUUCUAAGCUUUUUUCCCCUUUAUUUUAAGAAACAUUUGAAAGUGUCAAUUGCAUUUUAAAUUUUGCAGGACUUUGAUGAGUAUUUGUAAAUAAUAGAUAUUUUAUAUAUUUGAAUUUUUAUUGAAAAUAAAUUUAUUUUGGUAAAAGGAAUUUUACACUAGUAAUUCAUUUCCUCACAUGGAAGUGCUAGAAAAAAUUUAAAAAUUACCUAAUCCAUAUGGUGCUUUUACAAAGUAUAUAUGAUUUAGUUGUACUUCAAUGAAUCAAUUGCUUUGGAUUAAUUAAUUUUCAACCAACUGAAUUAUACAUUUAGAUAUAAUGUAAUUUGGGUAACUAACAUUUAAUAGCUUCAUAAUUUCUUUAUUUAAAUCUUAUAAAUUAUAUAUAUAUAUAUAUAUAUAUAUAAACUUAUUAUAAACAAGUUGGAAGCAUAUGCUCAUUCAAGCCUUCAUUUUUCCUUUUCGAUUUGCUAUAAAGUUGAUUUUCUUUCCUAAAGAAUUAAAUAUUUUAGAAAAUUUUGAAAAGAAAUAAAAGAAGUUAUAAAUUAAAACCACAAUAAAAAAUAAUAAGAAAAAUAAAAUAAUAAAAAAACAAAAACAAAAAACACGUAAAACAUGUAAAACACGAGUUAUGUAGUUUGCCCUAAAGCCUACAUUCACAAACUUAACAAAGAUAAAAAUGAACUUUUACUAUUAUUUAAAAAGAUUAUAAUCCUAUAACUCUUAAAUCCUAAAGUCUAAAUUAAUUAUACCUAGAAAAAUAUUUUUUUCUUAUUAUCUAAAAUGUUUUCUCAUAUUUUCUUGAUUAUAUUGGAAUAUUUAAUAUAAGGAAUUAAUUGUCUAAUUAUGAGAGAUACCUAAGAUAUUUUCAUUAUAAUUUGCAUGAAAAAGCCCUAUAAUAUUAUACUAUAAAUGUAAAAAUCCACAAUAAUAAAUCAUAUUAAAAGCCUCACUACAUCCAUAACAUCAAUUUUUGAAAUUAUUUUAAAAUAUAUACAAAAUCGAACUUCCAAUCGCAUCAAACAAACUCGUAAAUAUUUCUCUCUCCUACCUUCUUAAAAUUUUUGGUCUACGCUUGUCACCAUGUCAAGUCAAAAUCAUGUUUAAUUUUUAGCCAAACAGAAAAAGACUUGACCCACUAUCUUCACUUAAACGUUAAGUUUUAAUGGAGACAGAUGAAUUAUGGGCUACAGAACAUAUUUCUUCAUCUUGAUGAGUUGUAGGUCAUGAACCAAGUUGCUUGAAAAGGAUGGUAGAGGACUGACAUAUUUCCUCACAAGAGCCCUAUAAUAUUAUAUCUUGAUGACUUCCAGCAAGUCAAUACCACUUUCCCCACAAGAAGUCUUCAAUGGGUCGAAAUUCAAAAUAAAUGAUUCAUCUAAUGUGAUGGAAAUAAGAAUAAUUUGCAUGCAUUUCUUUUACUUUAUUUAUUUGGCAUAUCAUAACUCAAACUGUUUUUUUUUUUUUUUUUUUUUAUCAACUUACUGUUGUACUAUUCAUUUAGUUUAUCUUAUACAAAUAUAUACACUAAAUAUAAUAAUUUCAUAAAUAAAAAAGUCACCACCCAAAAUAUAUAAAAAAAAUUAAUGUUUAUUUCUAAUUUAUUUUUAAUUUAUAUUAUCAAAAUUGCUAAGCUUUGGAAAAUUUGAUUAAAUUACAAAGUCAAAAAACUAUUGAAAAAAUCUAAUUACAAAAAAUAUUAAAAAUAAAUUCCAAGGGAUAUAAAGACAAAUAAAAAAAAGAAAAAAAAAUGAGGACUUUUCCUAAAUUGUCGAAAUCCAAAACUCAAAUCUCAAUUUUUUGCAUCAAACAUUAACAAAAGUUAGUUUUUAUUACUUAUUAAUGUAAAACUUGAUUAACAUAUUGUAAAAAUAAAAAGAAAAAUAGUUGUUAAAGUAAAUUUGUAAAAGUAUAUUGAAAAUAAAACAAACUCUCUCUACACUCCUACUUCAUCUAAAUUCUUGAAACCCCUGGUUUCUCUACGAUCUUUGCAAAUAUAAAGCUAAUCAUCUCUCCGAAUCCAUGACAGACAAAGACUUUAACUAAACAGUUCAACUCCCCAUUUGUGCUAUGCAAUUUUAUUUGCUUAUGUUCUAAAGGGUCGUAUUUGGUUAUUGAGUUUUUUUUGUUUGGUGGAUAAGAAAACAAAAAGAUGGUUAAAAAAUUGAAAUUUAAGGACCAUUAAAGAAUCAAAUUUAUGUAAAUUAGGUGUAACUGUUGGUUAAAAAAGAUGGCAUUGCCUACUAUAUAAUGACUCCUUUAAACAAGUCUCACAUCAAGCAUCUUCUCGGGGUAUGCUUUUAGAAUACAGUUAACGUAUUUUUAGUUGUUUUUGUACAAUGUUGUGAGCAUUGAUUAAAAAGAUGAAACGAAAAUUUUUACAUUGUACUUAAGUGUCCAAUACUUCGAUGAAAAAUAAGUUAAGAAAAAUAAUUUUCACAGCAGAAUUUUGUUUCUAAAAAUAAUUAUCAAUUAUUUUUAAGAACGUAGAAUUGUUUUCAAAUACAUUGUUAAAUAGACCCUAAUUUUUUUACCUUUUAAGCAAAGUCAUACUCAAUAACCAAUAAUGACUUGUUCAUUUUUUUAGCACCCUUUCUUCUUCCAUUAUUUCAACAUUUUCAGCCUCCUUGCCUUGCUUCAUUUAACAUCCCCUCCUCUUCAUAUCGAUAUAUUGCUCUUUCUACUGCUUCUUUUUAACCAUAUUCUUGUACUGAUUUAACUUACACUCCCCCCUCUUCAAUUAUUACUUCUUCUAGCACUACAUUAGUUUCAUUAUCUAUCAAUCUUUCAAUAAUUUCAAGUGUCGGUUCCUUAUAAACACAUUGGUAUUUGACUCUAAUUUUUUAUUUUUUAUUUUUAGGAGAGUCAAUAUUUGUAUAGUUUGUGUUUGGGCAAAUUAUGGUUUUGAAUUUGACUAGAAUUAGGAAACUAUUAGUUUAGGGUUUAGCCAAUAGAAAUUUAUAAAUAUGUGAUUCUACAUGAGAUUUCCACAAAAGAGCAAAAAAAAGUGAGCAAAGAAUGGAGAGAGAUGGUGUAUUAGAUUUUGUGUAAAGAGAGGUUAAGAGAGUUUGAGUUUGUAUUUUUGAAAUUUAUUAAUAAAUUUGAUCUCCCUUUCUAGUGGACCUAGGCGAUUAAGUCGAAUUGUAUAAGAGAGUGUUGUGAUUUUCCUAACAAUUGUAUCGAAGCUUUCAUUUUCUUAAAAAGUGAUAUCAAAGCUCCUAUUUUCCCAACAAGCUAACAUCAAAACUUUUGUUUUCUCAACAAGUAGUAUAUGAUAAACAUCAAAAGUCUUCACCAGAAUAGCAACUGAUUUGUUAGAUAGUUACCCUUAGUUAGAUAGGUUGUUGAACCAAUAGUUUGUUAAAUCAUUUUUUAAAUAGCUUGUAUAAAUAGCUUGAUAACAAAAGUUCUUGGAGCGUUCUUCUUGGUUGAUAAUCUUUUAUGGUAUUAAAGUCGAGUUUUUCCCUUUCAUCAUUUCUAGAUUUGCUUUCUUCCUUCUUGUUGGCCUGAUUAUAGUCGUUCUCUUCUCUCAAAGAACACACACCAUCAUAGGGCUACUUUAACCUAAUUUUCCAAUCCAUAAAACACUUUGGACAUAACUUCCUCACAAUCUCUUAGCUUGAUUCAACUGUUGCAUAUGUUGAAUCAUCCUCUUCCUAUCAAACUAAAUAGGAGUAGUUACAUUAUCUAGUGGAGAAUAUGAUCUUUGACAAUGGGUUUGAACUUGGCGACAUUUUUAUUGCAUCAUCCUGAGUUGGAUCUACACUUUCCUUACUCCCGAAAUUAUGGGACAAAUAAUUGGAUAUCAUACUUCUCAUGCAACAUGGACUGCUCUAGAGAAGAUCUCCACCUCAUCAAAAGCAUAAGCAAUGUAGCUUCAGUUAGAAUUUCAAACAACUUGGAAAGGCUCCCUCCAUGAUGGAAUACAUACUCAAGUUGAAGAUGCUCAUUGAUUAACCUUGCUACCAUUGGAGAGUAGGUAUAAAAAAGAAACCAAAUCUUGAAACUUCUUGGUGACCUUGAAACAGAUUACAACUCCAUAGUUGCAUCCCUUAUAGCUCGUGAAGAUGAUAUACCCCUGCAUUAGUUUACAACAUUUUACUCACCUCUGAACAAACACUCAACUUUUGGAGUUUAGUAAUAGAAAACGAAGUUAUCUCCACUCAUAUAGCCACACAAGGACAAUUUGCUCACCCAAGAAGAUACCAAAAUGGGGAAACUAACUCCAAUUUCAGCAACCAAAUUAGCUCCCACCAUCAUCAAGGAAGAGGAUGUUCAGGUGGCCAUGGGCAAGAUCAUUGAACAAAUCUUAGUGGCAAUGGUACUAAACCUCAAUGCCAACUUUGUGGAAAAAUCAUAGGUUUGAUAUAAAUUUUCAAGGACCUAAUCCCUUGCCUAUAAACCUUCAUCAAGCACUCCUAAUAGCAAUGAUAUACAAAUGAUGAUGGUCUUUCCUUUAAUCUACAAUAUCUUGGUUUCUUGACAAUAUUAGCCUAAACCCUAAAUCCCUAAACCCUAAACCCCAAACCCUAAAACCCUAAGCCUUAAACUCUAAAACCCUAAACCCUAAACCCUAAACCCUAAACCCUAAACCCUAAAUCUUAAACCUAAACCUUGAAACCCUAAACCCUAAACCCUAAAUCCUAAACCCUGAAAUCCUAAACCUUAAACCAUAAACCUUAAACCUUAAACCCUAAACCCUAAACCUUAAACUCUUAAACAGUAAACCGUAAAACCCUAAACCUUAAACCAUCAAUCCUAAACCCGAAAACCCUAAACCCUAAACCUUAUACUCUAAAACCCUAAACCCUAAAACCCUAAAUCCUAAACCCUAAACCCCAAGCCCUAAAACCUAAACCCUAAAAUCCUAAACCUAAAUACUUAAACCCUAAACCCUAAACUCUAAAACCCUAAACCCUAAAACCAUAUACCCUAAACCCCAAAACCUUAAACCUAAAAUCUUAAACCCUAAACCCUGAAACCCUAAACCCUAAACCAUAAACUCUAAACCCUGAAACCCUAAACCCUAAACCCUUAAACCCUAAAUUGUAAAACCCUAAACCCUAAACCAUCAAUCCUAAACCCGAAAACCCUAAACCCUAAACCCUAAAACCCUAAACCCUAGGGCGACACACCAUCUCUCCCUAAGUGAUAAUACUCUCAUAAACACUCAUCCAUACCACGACAAUUGCAAAGUCAUAGUUGGAAAUGGCAAGAAAUUAUCCGUCUCACAUGUUGGCUCCAAGUCAUUUCAAACUCCUCACAAGUCCUUUUAGUUACGAAGCAUUCUUCAUUUUGCUACAAAUCUUAUUAGUGUUUCUAAAUUUUGCACUAACAACAAUUUAUUUUUGGAAUUUCAUCCUACUUUAUUUCUUAUUAAAUACUGGAAUACAAAGAAGAUUCUUCUUCAAGGAAACAUUGAGCAUAGCUUGUACAAAUUCCCCAAUAACCACAUUGGUACGUCUUUAACAUCCUUUCAUUCUAGGCACUUAGCUCUCAUUAGAUAAUAAAAUAAGAAUGAGCUAAUCAACUGAUGAAUUCAACAACCAUCUUAUUAAAGAAUAUAUACAAUUACCCAAAUAGUGUGAUGGUCAGAUAGGACAGUCUAAUGGAAGAUGGUGACAACCUCUCUUUUCUUAACAUAAAGCAUAAUAAUUCCAAGUCCAGGAUACUUUUCUUCUAAUAAAGUGCUUGCUUUAAACUUUCCUUUUGAUAAUGUUUUUGCUUUAAAGUUUAGUUAUUUUUAGAGUCAUGUGGUCUUGUCCUCUUAUACAAAAUCUUUUUCUUACCCAAUUACAAAAAAUGAUAUGAGAUAAUGAAUUAAGAAUGAACUAAUCCAAUUAUGGAUCAACAACCAUUUUAUUAUAUAUAUAUAUAUAUAUAUAUAUAUAUAUAUAUAUAUAUAUAUAUAUAUAUAUAUAUAACCAAUUCUAAUCACCUAAUUACCUAGAUAAUGUGAGAGUUAUAGCAAAAGUAAUUCAUUUAAUGUUAAACUUGAUUGACAAUUAAUAAUCCUUCUAUAAAUUACCUUUUAAAUUAGUUAUAUAUUAAUUAACAUAUUUUUCUAUCUUAAUUUAUAAAAAGCUACUUAAUCAAUUUCACUAACUCCACCUAAAAAAAUACUAUUUUAAGUUACAAGAGAGUUUGAAUUAAUGAUUAUCAAUUCUUUUAUAUUUCAUCCAAGUUGUUGAGUCAUUACAUCUAGCCCCCUACAAGAUUGAAUGAUCUUAGAAUUAGUAUUUGAUUAUGAAUUAAAUAUUUUUAAAUUUGAUUCUUAAAAAUUUGCUCUAUUAAGCUAAUAAUUUGAUCAAAACUAUAAGGAAGUUGGGUUAAGACUAUAAUAUUUCACUUAAGUGGUUCCUCCUCUAGACUGAAGUGGAAUAACUUUCUAUUUGUUAGGAGAUCAAAGAAUUUGAUUAAGAUUUAAGAAUCCAAACUUCCAAUUGAUAGAGAUUCUACAGGAGUCCUAGUUUUAGGUAAAUAAGAAAGGGAGAGUUUCAUGAAAGUCUGACAGUUGGUUGCACCAAAUUUUUGGUAUUGUUUUAGAUUUAUAAGGUUGUUCUAUUGGAUUCAUCAAACCAUUGUGUAGAUCUACUAACAAAAGGGAGAGCCAAUUGAUCUCUUUAAUUUGUUGGAUAUUUCUACCUUUUAAAUUUUGAGUCCAUAGUUGGUAAAUAAUAGUUGUGCAUUUCCACCAAUAUUUAGAUUUUUUUAUUUUUCUUUUUUAACUUUUGAUCAAAGUUAUGUAGUGGUUGUAUUUUUUGGCAAGAUCUCUUAUGCAUGAGUAAUCCAACUUCGGUGAUAUUUUAAGUUACCAACCAUGCUAAAAUCUUCAAAGGACUCAAUGUUGAGGUGUAUUGGCUAUAAGGGAUUGAGAAUAAAGGUAAAAUGCCAUGUGGAAGAGAUGAAUCAAAUCCUAACAAAAGUGGGAUUUGAUUUAUAUGAGAAUAAAUUUUGUAUUCUAUACUCAUUCCAAAAAAUAAUAUAUUCAAAUAUAAAAUGAAUGGAAAAUGAAAUAAAUUUUUCAAAAGAGUGGUAUCUUGAUGGACUAGAGUUCUUUGUUUCAUAAAUUUUUUCUUUCACAAGUUGCCAACAACAAAUGCAAGCCAUCGGCUAGCCUUAUACAGUCUAAGUAAGGUUUUGGCUCGUUCGAGGGUUGACUCGAUCAAGAAUAAUCAACCUAGUAGUUAGAUCAAUUAACCAAUUGAACCAAUUGGGUUUGGAAUGAGUGUUGAUUGUUUUUCCUAUAACUUCAAAAUAACAUAUCAUUUUGCUCCCAUCCUAGACCCAAAAGUUGAAAUUUAGAUAAAAUUUUGGGAAAAGUCCAAAUAAAUAGAGAUGAUGUUGGAAUAAUGAUAAAUUUUAAUUUUUAUAUUUAUAUCUAGUUAUUUAAUUAUUUUAUAUUAUUUAAAAAAAAUUCUUAUUCAAUAACCAAUUCAACUUUAAAAACAUUGAUAUGUACACCUCCAUGAUUUUGAUAUUCAAUGGAGUUUAUUUUAUUCUUGUUGCCACUUUUGCCAUCAAGUAGGAUUCUUAUGAGAAAACAUUUUUGGAUUGACUUUUGAAAAUUAGUUAUGGUUUUAAGUCUAAUAAGAAAACAUGUUCAAUUAAUUUUAGAAGAAAUAUGUAGGAUCUUUCUAAAAAAAAGUACUAUUCGAUACCAUAGCGAAAAGCACCAUCCUAUUAGAGACAAGAAAGUCUUAUUCCUUUAUACCAUAAAUGAACCAAAAAAAAGUCUUAUUGCUUUGUGUCUUAAAAAUAAUCUCUUUUUUCUUUUCUAAAUCAAAGUCUCAUUUUUUAUUUUUUUAUUUUUUACCUUCAUCAUCGAAAAUUCCCAUACCAUUCAAUACUUUAGCAUUUUGAAAGCAAAGACAAAUGCUUUCCAUAAGAAGCCUCUUCUAAAAAUUUACCUAAAUAUUUUUUCCUCAAUACUUUCUAUAACCUAAACCAAGCCUUUAGGUUUUGAAUUCUAUAGACCCUAACAAAGGAAUAAAAUUUUCCCUCAUGGUUCCUAUGAUUCAUAUUGAGUCUUAGGUUUUCAAUUUCUAAAAAUCCUAAUGAGGGAAAAAAGUUUUGAAUUAGAAGGGGUUUAAAUUUCCUAAAAACCCUAAUGAGGGAACAAAGUGUCAAGCUAGAAAGGAAGAAACUUGUUCCCUUGUUCUUUCUAUGACCUAAACCAAGCUUUUGAGUUUCAAUUUCCAAAAGCCAUGAGGGAACACGGUUUUCCCCCAUAGUUUCUAUGAUCCAAAUUGAACUUUGUGGUUUCAAUUUCCAGAAACCCUAAUAAGAAAACAAUGUAUCAAGUUGGAAAUGAAGAAAGCUUGUUCUCUCACUUUCUACUAUACAAACUAAAUCUUAGGCUAUGUUCAGUUCUUAAAAUAUGUCAAAAAAAUGUUUAAAAAAAAUUAUUUUCUCAUGGUUGAUUGUAUCGUGGAAAAUACUCAAAGAAAGAUUAAAUAUAAUUAAUUAAAAACUUAUGCAUCUUUUAAUCAUUUAAUUUUUAUGAGUUUGAAAUAACAUAUAAAAAUCAUUUAUUAAUUUUAAAUUUAUUUUGUUAUUUUCUUUCACGUUUUUUUUUCUUCUACACUUUUUUUUUCCUUCAAAGAACCAAACAUAACCUUUAGGUUUCAAAUUUUAGAAACUUUAACAAGGAAAUAAAGUUUUCCCUCGGUUUCUAAUUUCUAUGAUCCAAACCAACUCUCUAGAUUUUGAUUCCUAAAACCACAAUGACCGAACAAAAUGUGAAGUUGAAAAGGGAAGAAACUUUAUUACUUCGAACUCUUUAUGACCGGAACCAAACAUUCGGUUUUCCUUUCCUAAAAACCCUUAUGAGUGAUACAAAGAUUUGAAUCCUCAAGUUUUUUGGAAACAAACAUAACCUUAGAGUUUCAAAUUUUAAAAACCUAUACGAGGGAACAAAGGUUUCCCUCAUAGUUCCUAAUUUCCAUGAUCCAAACCAACUCUCAAGAAAAUGACGAGUUGAAAGGGAAGAAACUUCAUUAUUUCGUACUGCCCAUGACCAGAACCAAACCUUCGGUUUCCAUUUACAAAAGACCUAAUGAGAGCGAGCCUUAGGAUUUCAAUUUCCAAAUAUCCUAAUGAGGGAACAAAGUGUAAAGUUGGAAAGGGCUCUCUCAUCCAACAAUUUUAAAUGCCAAGGCAGGCAAAGAAAACUAUCAUUUAAUUGCGAAGAAACAAGGAGUACAAGAGAGCACACACGGUUCAAGCCAAGCCUUCUUCAAUUACAAUAUCUAGCCCAUCUGAGCAUGCUCCUAUAUGAGCUUUAACGACUGAAUCCUAUUGCGUUAAAAGAGUAAUAAAUCCUUUAAUAACCGCCCAAAAACAUGAGAAUUACACACGGUAUCAGAAAAUCAGAUGAAAUUGUAUAACUCAUCCGAAUAAACCCCUUCAAAUAAUAAAACUAAGCAAAAUAGUCUAUACCCUAUGUUACAUACCGAUGGCUUUCAUAAUAAAGGGCACUGUAGCUUUACUAGAAUACAACAUUCUCACAAGCCCAGAUUGAGUGGAACUAGGGCCAACAUUAUUGAGCUGAAUGUAGGAGGCCCUUGGUUGAUUUUCAAAAGCUAUGGUAUUGAACUCCUAGGCUCUUCACCUAAUUAGAGCCUGAAAAUUUGGAAAGGGGUUCCGCCAAAAAAAUUUCUAAAAGAGGAAAAGAAUCCUAAUCAUCAACUCACCGACCUUCCUUCCUGCCAUGCAACCUAUAGAAUUGUCAUGACGAGUCAUGAUUCCUAUUGGGUGGGCUUCGGUGUUGAAAACCCACUCAUCUAAUGAAAUGACUGACGAAGGUGAGAAAAGAAGAUAGAGAUAUUUGAGUGUCUCAGCAAGGAAGAAGCUUUGCAUCAUAUUGUCUUUGACGUCUCUAUUUACCUGUGAAUACCCAGAACCAGCAGAGUAAGCAAAGAGCACAGAUGUAGCAGUAAACAAAAGAAAGUAACAAUGAAAGAAAAUGAUAACCAGCACAGCCAAGAGUGUUUAGGAUUAGAUAAAAUACAUAAUCAGUGAGCACAUUUAUUUCAGUGUAAAACCACCACACCUGCUGGGCUGGCAACUGUCAUUCAUGAUUGAAACUUAUCUAGUAAUAAUAGAUAACUUCUAAAUAGGUUUUUCAUAUUAAUAAAAAUUAUAAAAACUCACUCAAUCUACAAAUAUUCUAAGAUUUCAUUGUGUUAUUUGUUCAGGGUAACAAGUAAUGAGAGAUAUGUUCUAAGAUUUCAGGAAUCAAAGUUCAAAAGUAAAUACUAAAAAUGCAAAUCAGCCAGUCUGAAGUAGGGAUUAGUGAGUUUGAAGAGUGUACUUACAUCCUUCAGUCCAACAUAUCCUGACUCUAUGCGGGAGUUCUUUUCAAAUGCUUGAAAUAUGUUCCAACCCCACUCUUGGUAUGUCUUGCUGCCAGUUAAACGCCAGAGGUAAAACAGUGAUUCAACUGUCUCGGGCCUCAAUAUGUUCCAUGAUGUACCCACACUCAUAUCCUGUAAAUGUUUUAGAUGGAAAUGAGAUUGAGCAGUAAAAGAAAUAACUAGUAUAUAAAAAGAAAAGAGAAAAACUAACCUGCCCAGAGUGGAAGAAAUAGUUCUCUCCAGCCAAUUUUGUUGGUGUUGACUGGUAGAAAUUAUAGCAUGUCCAGGCAAGCUGCAAAAAAUAGGCCAAGCAAUUCACUCAUAGGAACCACAUGAAAAGCAUCCAAAUGCUGGAAAAGUAAGAGAAAACUCAGGGAGGGCAGAAGGAAUCAUUACAAUUCCUUCCCUUAGAACUGCGUGUGAAAUUUUCAUCUCAUAUGGCUCUUUCAUUAUAUGCAAAAUGAUAAUAUUACAUGGAAUAAAUAAAAAAUUGAAAUACUAUCAUUAUAAACCGGGUACGGCUUGUGAUUUUACAAGAAGCCUCUAGCUUAUGAAGUUCUUAAUGUCAUGGGAACAUCAAAAAAAUCAGUGGCUAGUGCUAAUGGAGACCAAAAAAAUGCUGCAAUGGCAAAUAUGUUCAAGGAGCUAAACAACUACUAAAGCUUAAGCUCUAGAUGGGUAUUAAAGCUUAAGGUCAAAACAUUUUCCUAUCAAGCACAAAAUAUCAGAAAUGGUAUGAAGAGAAUUUAAAAAUACCUCUUCGGCAAGGGAUAGGAAUUUCUGAGAUUCUUCAGGACCAUAACCAAGUGAUCCUAAAGCAAUCAUUCCUGGGGCAAAGCAUGCUAAUCCAUCCAUCUGCACAUAUAUAGAAAAAACAAAUAGCACCAAAAUGCUAAUGGUCAAAUAUUAGUGCAGUAGAACAAAUGAGUAUUUUGGUAUCAAAUAUUACCUUGUCAUGCAGAGAAUCCCCAUUUUUCUCACAUAUAUAUGUGAAAGAUGAUGAUGUUGUUCUUCGGACCAAGCUUAACAGACCUUUCAUAGAUGUCUCCCACAUUUCUCUGCUUCCAACAAACCAAUAAAAGAAUUUUGAUAUCAAUAGAUUCUAUGAAGGAAAGACUGUCGACAUUUUUUAGACAUUGGAUAUUUAAAAGAAAAUCUGUGAGUUGAAUUAAAAUAAAAAGUAUGCACCUUUUCCCAAAGAAAUGAGCAAAUGAAAAGAUUAAAAAAUAAUAAGGAACAAAGGCUAAUCAGACUUGUUAGUCAAUCUAAGGUUCUAGUUAAAUGCAUCCACCAAAUUCCUCUUAUUCUAGUUAUUGAAAAGCUAAGGGCCUUUCACAACUGACAAGACCCAAUAUAUGACAAAAAAAAUGUUCCCUCUGAAAAUAAAUUAAAAAAAAGCCCAUGCAAGAGGCUUCCCUUGGACUCACUAAAAGUGUAAAGUUGUCUACUUCAUAUCAAGCCCAAACAAAGCCUCAAAGAAAGCAUGGAAAAAGACACUCCCAUGUUCCCACAUAGCUCUCUUACUUCCCAUCUGGCCCCCAAGGGAGCACACAUCCAAAUUAAGCCCAAGACUCCAAGUAGGAGUAGUUCAUUGCAGUGUUAGCUGUGUUAAGGUUCCUCCAAAAACCAAUAUCCCAGGAGGGAAAUUAUUUAAGAGAAUAAAGUUUAGCUUUACGACACUUCUAAAGGCUGAUUUUCCACUAGAGUUUCACCCAUGACCAAAUUUUAGAGCCACUGCUAGCAACAAACCUCACAAUAGAAAAGAGCAAAAGAAGAUCUUGGGAAUUGAAUUUUCCCUGCAAUGUCAACUUUUAACAACAUGCCAAGUUAAAUUCCACUUCAGGAAUCUCCAAAUCCCUCUUCCAAUGGGAGCUCAGUUUCACAGAGUCCUCAAAAGCAUACACCUUCUUUCCUAGGUGUAGACACCACCUCCCACCUAUUGGGGGUUCUCAAACUAGCAUCCUUGGGCCAAACCAAAAAGAAACUCAGUUUUCUUAAUAAUAGAGGCAACCUUAACAGGAAACACAUUUUUUGUUUUUUGUUUUUUUUUUUUUUGUGUUCAUUUGCUUUAAUAGCAUGAAAUAAAUUGGGAUGUAAACAAAGUAGGACAGAGGAACAGUAAAUCCUAUCCCAUAAAGAAAGGACCAUUCUCUUCUGUACAUCCAGAGGACCUCCACAACAGGAUCCUAGAAUUCUAGGAUUCAAGGGCCAUUCACUAGUACCGCAACUAAUUAAUUAUACCAAAGUAGCUCAUUUCCCAUUAAAAACAAUUCAUUUUAAUUAGUCAAACAGGAAAAAGGAAGGAACGAGGAUCAUGUCAUUCAAUAAGAUGCCAGAUAUCGCAAAUAAACAAUAUUGGCCCAUAGUAGUUCAAGAGAAACUGUCUGACAGUCAAAAUCACAAUCAUCAUGUGGUAUUGAUAAACACAUGCCCUAUGUAGCACACAAAUGAUAUUUCACCAGAAUUCAAUGGGAGAUGUAGGGAUUCACCUAUAAUGCUUCACAUCAGCAGUUUUAUUUCCUUGUAUCCAAACUUUGAGUAAAUAUUCAUAAAAGCUGCAAUCAAGUUUUUCAAGUUAAUCACCAAUGUCAAUCAAACUAACAAAAUUAUGCACAUAGUUCAGCUCCUCCAUCAGGGAGAUAGAUAAAGUAGUAGAAUUCCUAUGACAUAAUGAGACCCAGAUCUCAAGAAAGAUAUCACAAAUCGUACAGAAAUAUUAAAUGGUCAUACCUGUCACCCAUGGCUCCAAAGGUUAUGGUCGAAUAAGAUGAUGUUCCUCUAUGAGGAUUAAUAUAUAUGGGAAGCAAACCAUCAGCAGGAAAUGUUUUAUUAAGCUCAAUGAUAACAUUCUCAACCUGAAACAUCAGAAUUCAAUGCCAGCAAAUUAAACCUCCCGAGAAAAUGCUUGUUUCGUUGGAAGCAGAAGUUAAUGACCAAUGUCUUCUGACUCUAGUUUCUUUACCAAAAAAUUUAAACUUUGUAUGGAGAAGAUGAUAACUAACUGAAGUUGCUUAGUCUUAGGAUUUAAUCCUAGUCAAUACAACAAGAUAGUAAUUGACAUUACUUUAGAUAAUUGUCAAAGGUCAUCUGCAUUUUAAGACACAUGAAAACAAUUCCUUUUUUGGUGUGUGCACAUAUAAGCAUAAGAGGAAUAUACCUUUUUCUGAUACUUUGGAUCACCAGUCCUUUGAGAAAGGGCAAUAAACUCCAGCUGCUCUGUGCCGGAAUCGGCUAGGAUACUGUCACCCUAGGAACAAGGAAAAUUAUACAUUUUAAAAAACAAUGAAAUCAAUUACCAUGGAUAUAUGUUUGAUUUUUUUUUUUUUUCCAUUUCAUGUAUUUAUUAAUUUAUUUGUGGACAUUAAAUCAUUAGCAUGAAACAAUUCAAAAAAGAAAGAGAAAUUGCACCUAAAACAACAGAAAGAGAUUUAGGCAUUAGGAUUCAAUGGUUUUAGAGACUAAGAUGGACUUCUGCAAAUAAUUCAUGUAUUUAUUAAUUUAUUUGUGGACAUUAAAUCAUUAGUAUGAAACCAUUCAAACAAGAAAGAGAAAUUGCACCUAAAACAACAGAAAGCGAUUUAGGCAGUAGAAUGCAAUGGUUUUAGAGACUAAGAUGGACUUCUGCACAUAAUUAAGAACACCGGGUUUCAGAUGCAUCUUAACAUUGUUGUCAGAGGAUAGGAAGCUAGAAAAAGAAAUAUAGUUAAUUAAGGCCCUGUUUAGAUUCACUUCCUCAAAGCAAAAGCCUUUUUUUUUUUUUCCUUUUGAAAGCUCCAUAAGAGCUUAUGUAUGGUUUUUUUAUAAUUUCAGGGUAAGAUUUUUUUGGCAUAAAAAAGAGACUAACAGGGAAGCAAGGACCAUGUAGGUUCCAGUGGAAGCCCUUUCUUGGUUUAUAUGAUAAGCUGUUACAUGUUUAUUCAAACUUUUAAUAAUACCAAGAUUCCUCCUUUAAAAUCAUGAUUUUAGCUUCAACUUAAGCAUCUAACAGAAGUCAAAAGCAAGAAGUGAUCUGAAACAGACCUAAGCUAUGUAGCAGUAGCUUGGACAAUUUUAAAAAGGAUCCAUGACCAUUUCAAACACCAUGUCAUACACAUCAGUAGAAAUCUUAGAAUAUUACCAUUUUUCCUUUUUUCUCUUUAUAUAGUUUUUUAAAGAAUAAAUAGAAGAAGAAUAAAGAAAGAAAAAGACACACCUAUUGAAUCUUGGAAAGCACUAAGAGGAUCUGUUUGUGUGUGAUCCAUUAGUCUUGGCUUGAUAGUUGUUGCUAGAAGUUUCCAUGAAAUAUUGUUAACUUAUGAGUGGAGGAUAAUGGUCAAGGCCAUUGAAAUCCAUAUUUGCUUAAGAGCUUGAUUGGAAAUUGGAGUUGGUGGGAUAGCCUUUGCAGCCAAUCCAAUCCAGAGUUGUUUGUAGUGGCUGGAAGGUAUAUUUGUUUGGCUGAUUCAUAUGAUGUCGCAGUAUGGAAAAAGAUGCUUAUAAAUUUUUUUUUUUUUUUUGAUAGGUAAAAGCAUAACCUUAUAACCAAUUGCCUUGAGGAAUAGUUAGAAUUCAGUUAACAGGUGUUGUGCACACAGAAAACGAAGAGGAAUCAGUGUAUAGUGAUUUGGUGUAGAGGAUGACCCUUUAUGUUUGAUUUGGUGUAUCUGGGGAGAGCAGAUUAGCUGAGUUUUUAAAGAUACAGUGUAUAGUGAUCGCUUUCAGAAUUUAUUUCCUCAAAUCUUGUUUGAAUGGUCAAGAGAUCCUGUGGAUGAAGCCAAUAUUUCUUUUCUAGAGCCCACUGAUUGCUUGGGAGUGGGUUAAUUUGUGCUGUGGCUGUUUUUCUAGUCUUUCCAUUGCUGUUUUGGCAAUCUUUGUAUACUUUCUGGAUAUGUGUAUGAGGAUCGAUAGGCCCACAAAGGAUUAUGUUAACAAGUGCCUUACUCCCCAAGGCACCCAAUAAAUAAAAUAUAAUAGGGAAGAAAUUAAGGACACCCCAAAAUAUCAAGCCAUCAAAGAAAUCUGGAAAGGAUAGUCUCUCAUUCCCUAUAAAUCUUCUGGAUCACACAAGUAUAGGUUUCAUACAAACAUAUUUUUACUUGCAAUUCCAACAGCUCCAAAGCAUUGGAGAUCCUUCUAAUUUCAUUCCUUCCAUGAACAGAAAAAUAGGCAGAGGGGAAUAAUUUGCAAAAUUUCCUCCUCCCUUUGCAAACAGACCAUCCCUGCCAACUGGCUAAGGUGUCCUAAGCUAACUUAGGAAAUACCCAUGAAAUACUGAGGGAUCAAACAAAAGAGACCACAAACUUCAAGUUGUUCAAGGUAUCAAAAUGCAUAAACAAAUUAUUAUACCAACCCAUCCUAUUUGCAAACAGUACCAACUAGCGAUAAUCCCACUCCACUAGUAAAAAUGAACACAGGGAAUGGGUGAGAAUCCUUAAAUCUUUCUAUGCGGAAAACAGGCAAAGUUCCUGGCACAUGGCUUCACAGUGAUUUCACAUAGAAGCAAGUAGCAACCAUCUUCAGAUAACUUCCACUCGUUUAUCCUCCCCGCUUACACACUAUCUUGAAUAUGAGACAAGAACAAUUCUACCAUUUCUGACUCACAACUAUGAAAACUUCUAUAAACCUUCAUUUUUUAUAAUCCUGAUCACCUUCCGCAUUUCGAUGAUUUGCCACCAUGUUGUCUCAAUUAAUUGAAAUGUAUGACAGAUCUGGAAAACGAAGAAAGUUUUUCCCACACCAAAAUCUGACAUAGGAGAUAAAACAUCUCACCCUUUUCUAAGAGCAUUUCAUCACCCCACAACAGCAGCUACUCAUUUCCUCACCAAAUUUACAUUUAUGUGUGGAACACUCUCUAGUGUUCAUGUUCAUGCAAUCAUGCUACAUAUUUAGGUCAAAUAAGGAUUUCAGCAGAAGCCAAAUCACAUCAUGAUGUAUGCAAAAAUCCAACCAGUAGAAGAUCAAUUUUAGGUCAGCGUCAAACCAAGUCAAGUAAAAACUCCAGGUCAUUGUUGAGUAAGCAAGUAGCAGCAAUUACAUAGUGAAAAUGGUAAAUGCAUUCUAUUUUCCCUCAUGCCACACAACUAAGAAACAUAAUUUCCACACCUAAGCCCAAGACACAUUUUAUAACUUCACACAACUCAAAAUAGAAUAAUAAAUCAACAGAAGGCAAUAAUAAACAUAUAAAUAAAUAAAACAACUUUCCAAUAAAUAGUGACAAAAGAACAACCAGAAACCAGACACUUACUCCAGUCCAUCCAGGGUUAUGCGCAUUUCCAUGUGACAGUAUUUUUGCAGUAAACUGAGGCAUUGUCAAUGGUACUAUUGUGUUACUUUUAGAUAUAAAAAUAUGACUUGGGAAAGGAUUUACACCCUUUCCAUCUCUCUUCUAUUGUAUUUUAUUCUUUCUUCUCCUCUCUUCUCUGCAUCCAAAUCCUCAUAGCAUCUCCAACUCAGUAUCAAGUUGAUCCGGGUGUAAUCAUAUUAGAAACUUUAAAAUAGAAUUUAUCAAUAGCAAAUGACGGGAGAUGACAAUAAACUUCAUUUGUUGCAUCAUAAAAAUUAAAUUACUUAUUAAGACAUUUAUUUUUACAGUAGUUUAUGGAAUAAUAAAUUAGAAAAUUCUAAAAAUAUGUUACAAAGAUUCUUUUCUAGGCCAAAAACGAUUAAUUAGUAAGUACCUAACAAACGGAGGAGCAACCUAGGUGUAGUGGAAUACAAGGAUCACUCAAAACAUCAAAAUACAUGGAAACACUGCCUGCUCACUAGCCUGGGAUUAANNNNNNNNNNNNNNNNNNNNNNNNNNNNNNNNNNNNNNNNNNNNNNNNNNNNNNNNNNNNNNNNNNNNNNNNNNNNNNNNNNNNNNNNNNNNNNNNNNNNUAACAAAAUUUCAGCUCUAACUCCAAUUGCCCAAGACCAUACAAAUGAGGUUUCUAAGAUUUGUUUCCUUCUUAUGCCAGUAUAUAAAGAUUGCCUCCAUUUAGGGAAUUUCUUGCAAUUCAAUUUAUAAAUAUAGUCUUGCACAAGUAUAUUAGGAAUGCCUUCAUAUGAGAAUUUCUUGCAAUCCAAUUUACACAUAUACCAAAUUAGGCUAGACAGCCACCAGCCACCACCUCCCUCUAUAAAAUUCACAUAUUCUAAAGAUGAAAAUUCCCAAGUUGAGAAAAAUUGUCUCAUGAUUAUCUUUUAUGCGUUAGAACAUAGUUUUCUUCUUUUUGCUCAUGAAGACAUAUUUGCGCCUCUUGGAAUAUUCCAAGGGCCCAACCAACUAAUUUCUUGCUACAUCUUUCCCAUACACCUAAUCUCUUCUUCCCUAAAUUUCUGUAUUUCUUGCCAUUAUCUUUUCUUACUUCAAAUUUCUGUUCCCAUGGCCUUUCGGUAGCAUUAUUUUCUUGAAAUUUGCAUUCAUUCCAUCCAUGUCUCUGUUUCACUUAGUAAGGUGAACCCAACCUUCCUAUAGUUUUUCUCUUCAAUCUUCUUGGUUUCAUCACUUCCCAACUGUUCUCCAUUUCAAACUGUUUUUGCUUUUCCCACGACAGGAGCUUAUAUUGGACCUUGAACAUACCUGUACCUCUACCUGAAACCAAAAUAGAUAGGAGGGGAAAGAAUAUGUAAGAGUAUGACCUCAUUCUAAGGAAUUCAACAAAACAAACACAAAACUUUGUAAGAAGAGGUGCCUUCUCAUAAAGGGGAUUGCAGUGACCAGUUACCAAAAAAGGAAAGCUCUAUUUUCCAGGCUCUCCCAUAGUUGAUACUUUGGAACCACAAGAAUUCUUACUAAGAAUGAGAGAUCCUUUCUUUCUCAUCCUUUCUUUCAUCAAACAGGACAAAUAUAUAUAGAAUCAAACUGAACCCAAUAAAUGCCCAUUCAUGGAAGAAUAAGCUUCAACAGAUUGAAGACCUUCAAUUUCCCAUACAUCCACCUUUUUCAAGAACUAUCCCACUAGAAUCAUCCUUCUACUAGUGCUCUUUGCCCAUCUAAUAUCGAUUCUCUUCCUAUUCCCCAGAGUCAAACUGAUGUCUUAACUAAUCUCCCAAGUUUGGUGAAAAGCUCUGGUAAAUAUAAACAGGAACUGCGAAAAAGAGUGCUAAUAAAUCAAAAAAUAACUUUUCAAACAUUUAUAAUUAAUCAAAAACCAAACUAAAAAAAAUCAACUUACCUUCCCAUGGCUGCGUGUGUGAAUCUCUUCUCCAUUAUGAUGCGUCAAAAGUGACAGCGGCUUUUCUUAAGUCCAAUGUGCAGCUACUACCACUAUUGUAUGGUGUGUCCUAUGGAAAUCUUUUCAACUAUGUAUGGAAGUCUUUAUGUGGCUGUGUGUGGAGAAUGCUCUCCAGUGGAGUCCCGUGCAGCUGCUUGUUGUGGAAGAUGCUGCCCAAACUGUGGUGCGUGGUUGCCUCUUCUGUGUGUGCCUCUUGCAGCCGCGAUUGGUGGACUCCAACUUCUCCAAUGGUGUGCUGUGAUGCUUCUCGAAUUGAUGGUCCCUUUCCUUGGUGUGUGAUGCUAAGAGGGAUCUCUAAUGAUGCAGACUGUGUGGUUGGGAGGGUGGCUGUGAAGAAACUCGUAUUCGCGUGUAAGAGAAGGCCCCUCUUAUAAUGCGUGAUUGACUCCCUUAGCGGACUGUGCAUUCUUCCAAGAUGGACUGUCUCCCCUUUCAGGCUGCUGCGUGUUGGUGCUUCUCCAUGAAGAAUGCCGACUACAAUGAAACUUUAGUUUUGUAGUUCGACCAACUUCUAUAUGGUUAAUAAUUGCCUUUCCUCAUCAUUCAAACAGAAGAUAAGGUAACUUAACAUUAAAAAUGCAUUCUUGCAAAGAAACCUUGAGAGGGAUGUUUGCAUGGAGCAACCGUUGAGGUUCAUUGAUUCCACCAAGCAAGGCCAUGUUCUUACUUAAAAAGUCUUUCUAUAGAUUGAAGUAGGCACCUCAUUCUUGGUUCGAUCAACUGUCUUAAUAUCUACUACAACUUGCUUCUAUUAUAACAAAUUUAAUGCUUAAUUAACUCUUUGUCUAUCGCACCAAUGAUAUUACAACUAUUAUUCUCAUAUGCAUGGAUGAUGUUCUUCUCAUAGUGAGUAAUGAUGAUUUUGUUCAAAUUUUAAUUGAACGUCUUGGCUAAGAGUUUGAAUUAAGGAACUUGGAUCACUGAACAAUUUUCUUGGAGUAGAAGUGAAGCCUUUUUUCGAUGAUGUAUUCUUGUCUCAACAGAAGUAUAUGCGUGAUUUGCUUCACAAAAAGCAAAUGCCACUCAAAGACAAAGAAGACCUCUUUGGUUACAUGCAUAGAAUCAUUUUCAGAACUUCAUCUAUGAUUUGUUUAUGAUAUUUGUUUUUUCGAUGGAGCUAAAUGGCAAAAUAAGAUUAGUGCAGCCCCUAGUCCCUGUAGUAUGUUAGAGACCCUUAAAACUACUAAGCACUUUUAGAAUUGAUAUCCAAGUUUUAAAAACUUAUAGAAUUGAUCAAUAUGACAACUGGGCAAACGAUUGAUUGUUCUCAAGGUGAACAGUAGAGAAGAAUAUUCAUUAGCUUAAUUUUUUUUCAUAAAAAUUACCAUGAUUAAUAGAAAUAUAGGAUAAGUCAUCCAGGCUUACUGUCUUCAUGUGUGUCCAUCCAAUAAAAUCAGGUGUUGGAUAAGCACAUACUAAUGGUAGGAUUAAUUGAACCUAAAAAUGUCAACUCCCUAGACUUUAUUGUAUCAACAUCCAAAAUGACAAUUGCAGACCAAGGAGAAGCCCUAAGGGAAAUAUCAAGCUUUGGAGAAAGGUUGUCGUUGUCAAAAUUACCAUAUAAGAAAGUCACUCUUACAAGGUAUGUUUACCAUAUAAUAAACAUGAUUAUUUAAUACGGUUUGGAAUCUGAAAUGUGAUUGCUUGAAACCAUCACUCCUUAAGAGGUUUUAAUUACUUUACCGAAAACCAAAGAUUCACAUUCAACAGUCCUAAAUCUGUAGAAACCUAAAAAUAAUCUUGACCAAAUUUGCAUAAUCUAGGGUUUUGAAUUCACCUUAUGAGAAUUUUAGAUUCCGUUGAGAAUUUGCACCGACCUCAGACUACCCUUUUGAGUCUCUCUCUUUAUGUUGGGAUGUGAAGAACGUGCCUUGGCUACUAGUGUUUGGGAUUAGGGAUUCGGCGAAAAUGAGGUAAUGUAUUUUGUUAUAUAAUAGUGAUUUAUUAUUUAAAUGCAUGUUGUAUUAUAUGCUAAUUGUGCCGUAAAAGAAAAAGUGAAAAUUCAAUAAUUUAUUAUUAUCAUAUGAAUUGCAUAUAUAAUAUAUUGUUUUAUAUGGUAAUGUUACCAUAUAUAAUGAAGUAUUUUAUAUGUUAAUUUAUUGUUCAUAAUAAAUUGAAUGUUAUUAUAUUAAUAUAUUUUUAAGUUUAUUAAUUUUUUAAGCUUAUUUAAUUCUACUUAUUUUUUUAAUAUUAAAAAUAUUUUAUUUUGCAUAUCAUCCAAUAUUGAGUUGAGAAGUUGAGAUUGUUGUGUCUCGAGACCUUUCAAGUUAAUGACUAAUACCGUGACUUUGAACCAUGGUAGACACAGUUAUGCUGUUAAAAUCAUUAGAGAAGUCGAAUAGAAAGAGAAGUUGCAUUGUACAUAGAGAAAUUAAUUUUUCACAUAGAGAGAUAUCAAUAGAACUUGUGUAUACUGUAGUGAGAAAUGAGAGGAAAAAAUGAUUUUUGAGAUGAGCAUUGUUGGGUGUGAAAUUAGAGAAGCUUGGGAUAGAAACAGAAAUGGUGUGAGAGAAGCAACAUAAGCAUUAAAAAGUAUAUAUAUAUACCAAGUACUUCACCAUGUCUAUAAUGCUACCAUACACACAAUUCUCAAAUUAGUUGCCACUACAUAUCUCAAUGCCAAUUUUUCCACUAAAUUUUACCUCCAUCCAAUUCUUUGCACACAGAUGAAUUUAAGAUGCAACGAUACCAACAUGUUUGGACACAACUUAUGCUAACCUCUACUAAAGUUAUGUGAUUGUAUCCAACUUUUCUUCUAGUGAUAUUCAUUGAUUGAUGCAAUUAGCAAUGUGAUUUCCUUUCAAGUAAAGUGAUGUAAUUUUCUUUCCAUUAAAGCUUAUAUUUACUUGUAUAUAUUUUACCUAAACUGGCGAAUGGAAAUAAGUGAGAUCUUAUUUCCACCUAUCUUCUUAUGGGACCUCUCACUAUCGAGUUAACAGAGUAAUAAAAUCCUUUAUAACCACCUUAAAACUAAAAGCAAUGACACAAUAUCAGAAAAUUAGAUAAAGCUGUAGGACUCAUCCCUUGGAACAAAUAAAACCAAGCCAAAUAGCCUAUACCCUAACUUACAUAUGGAUAGCUUUCAUAAUAAGGGGCACAGGAACUCACUAGAAUACAACAUUCCUCACAAGCAUAGACUGAGUGGAACUUGGGCCAACAUUAUUACCUUAUGGUUUUAUUGAAUUCGUUUAAUUAUUGAACUUUUAUAAGUUUAAAUAUUUUAUUAACCAAUGUGAGAACUUGAACCUUCCACUUCAUUUAUUAGAAUUGACCCUUCUUCAUAUAGAAGAUUUUCCAAUUCUUCAACAUCUAACUCUGCUAGUUGAUCGUCAUCAACUACCCAAAAAUCGGUCUCAUCAAUGCAUGCAUAGUCAAUGGGAUCAUAGAUUCUUUUCUUGUUAUAGAACCUAAAAAAAAAAAGCAUAUAAUUAUUCAUAAUUGUGAAUAGAAGAAUUUAAAUUCAAAACAACUAAGAAAUCAUUUAUACCGAUUUUUUAAGCACAAAUUGUAAUGAACGUAUACAAGAUCAUUAAGCCUUUGAUGUUCCAAUCUAUUCCUUCUUUUGGUAUGUAUACGUUCAAAGACACUCCAAUUCCUCUCACAUCCAGAAGACGAUGCGGUUUGGCUCAAUAUUAGAAUGGCUAACUUUUGCAAAUGUGGUGCACUGUAUCCAUGUAGCCUCCACCAUUCAUCUAGUUACCAUUUCACAUUAAAAAUAAGAAAAAAAUAAAACACAUUAGCAAGUUUAAAAUAUUAAAUAGUAAGUAGGUAACCAAUAAAAAAGAAUAAACAUACUCAUAAAUGAAAAUAAUAUUUUACCAGGUUGAAGUACUUCACAUGAAGAAUAAGCAAGGUCUCUUCCAAAACUUCCCAAUUGAUCACGAAAUAACUUCAUUUCAUUCAUUGUUUCAAGCUUGCCUUUCAGAACUUUCUGAUCAAUAACAUCCAUGACACCUCCAAUAACAUUUGGCUUAUUACAAAAGUUUUCCUGAUCAUAUUGGAAACAUGGAUUCAACCAAUAAGCUGUUGAAUGAAUGCUUUUCUUUAGUUGUUGAUCCCAACGUUGCUUUAUGAUCUCUGUAUAAGGCUUGUAUAGUCUUUCGUUGUAGUUAAACAAUUUCUUAAUGCCCAAACGAACCCUAUACAUGUCUUCAUACACAUAUCCCAUCGAAGGCCUCUCAUCACAAUCAACAAUAUGCAAUAAGCGCAUUAGUGGAGACAUAAGAUUCACAACAAUCAAACAAUCAUUCCAAAAUCUAUUAUCCAAGAUUAUGGAAAUUGCAACUUUGCUUUUAUAAUCCUUUGAAUAUCUAAAGUCCACAAAAAACUUACUAGUCACCAAAGCUUGCAAGUCAUGUUUAUGAUUAUGAGGACUCUUGAGUGCAAUGAAUGUAGUAGCAAAGCGAGUUACACCAGGUCGCAAAAUCUCUAUCCAUCCUUCUCUUUUUCUUAACCAACUUAACAAAGCAACAUGAUUAUAAACAAAAAUUGUCACCUUUGAUGCACGUCUUACAAGUUCAGCAACAUGGUCCAUCUUACCAAUAUCCUUAAAGAUCAAAUUAAGACAAUGAGCUGCACAAAGUGACUAAUUAAUGUGUUUAUGCUUCUGAGAAAUCAAUCUCCCUGUGGCCACAUAAUUUGCUGCAUUAUCAGUGACUAUAUGAACUACAUUGAGUGGACCAACCCAUUCAAUCACCUCAUCAAAUAACUGAAACAAAUUAGUUGCAUCAUUGACAAUGUCCGAAGCAUCAACGGAUUUCACAAACGAUAUUCCUUUAGGAUAAUACACAAGGAAGUUGAUGAGUGUUCUUUGUCUAUUAUUUGUCCAACCAUCACCCAUUAUUGUACACCCAACUUUUGCCCAAAUUGCACGAUAAGAGUCCACAAGUAACUGAACUUCCUUCUUGGCAUCCUUUAAAAGAUUAACUCGUAGCUGAUGGUAAUUUGGACUCUUAUAUCCAGGACCAAUUGCAAAUAUAGCAUCCAACAUUGGCUUGAAGUAGAAGGAAUUCACUACAUUAAUAGGAAUGGAUGUAUCAUAAAAGAAUCUCCCAACCGCCAUAUCCGUUCUCCAAAUAGCUUAUUUCCCAACUAGUACACUUCUCAUGGAAGGUUGAGCUCCUUGAGUAUUUCUUGGUGCAAAAUACUUAUCCACUGUUGAUUUUUUCCUUUUUCCACUAUUAGCUGCCAUAGGACUUUGCAUUUCUUGAACCUCUUCUUCACCUUCUGCCAUAUCCCCUUCAAAUUGUGACAUAUUAGGACCAUAAGGAUUUCUACAUUCAUAUGCUUCUUGGGUUGCUUUCUUAGAAUUCCCAAACUCUUGCAAAGAAUUUUUCCAUUCGAAAUAUUACAUCAGGAGGAACCGAUUUACAUGGACCAAUAUCUCAUUUCACUCCAGCAAGAUGUUGUUUCAUUCUAUAAAUACCCCCACCUUUUGUAAUCUUUUUACAAUACAAACAAAUAAGAGCUUUCCUUCCAUUUGCAUAUCUUUCUUCAGAAACAUGCUCCCAUGCAAGAUCGGUCUUACUUCUAGUUGAUUGAGAAUUGGUAGUUGAAUCUUGACCAAAGGAUGGAGUCAUGUUUGAUUCCAUUUUUUAUUUCUUUAUCAACUUAGAAACAAAAAUCUCACAUUAAUGUAGAGAAUGGAAGUCAUCAACAAUUUAAUGAUUUAUAAUCAAGUCAUCAACAAUUUAUAACAAUCACAUAUCAAUGGGUAAAUUUAUCUAAAAGAAUAAUGGUCAUUAUAACAAGCAUGUUUUGAUCCAAUUAUAAAUUUAUCUAAAUUCUAAAGUAAUUUUGUAGAGAUAUAUUGAUGGGAUACAAGGAGCAAACCAUGAGAAUCACGUGCUUGGGCAUUCAUUAAAGUUUGAAAUAUUAAUGAAAUCACAUGCCACUAUGAAUGGAUGAAUCUCACCAUUCAAUUGUCUUAUACUCCUAUGCUUUCUAACAUUUGGAUGGCGACUCCUCUUUAUUUCUUCUUGGCUCAGGUCUCAACCACCCCCACCAUUCCUCUGUUCAACGUUCCACCCAUUCAAUUUCAACCCACUUUAACAAAUGUACAUAUGUUUUCCGCUUUGAGACAAAAUCAAAGCCAUAUAAUUCAACACCCCUCAAACUCCUAACUAGUCACUCCAUGCUUUCAUUUUGGCUUCACACAGAGACUUUAAGAACAUAAAUUAUAGACACACACCUAUUUUUACUUAUCAAUGCAUUAUUUAGUAAGAGGUUUAAGGCUAAUUAACCAUGCAAGGGCACAUGGUUAGACCUAGAAUAGUGAGAGGAAGUGACUGUGGAUGAAUUGAAGGUGGCUUUGGGUAUAAAAGCUAAGGAGGCCAAAGGGAAAACUCACUGGGCAAACUCCAACGUCGGGGCGGGCUACCAGCUGGGAGAGGGGGGGAGCUUUCCAACGUUAGCGAUACCUGUGUGGGUGUCGUGAGCCGCCUGCGGGACCUGUGUGGGUGUCGCAGGUCGUCGGCGGGAUCUGUCUUGGUGUUGCGACAGGGAUGCGUCGACAACGGGCGGAGGAGAGGGGAGGAGCUUUCCAACGCUGGCGAUACCUGUGUAGGUGUCGUGGGCCGCAGGCGGGACCUGUGUGGGUAUCGCAGGCCAUCAGCAGGAUCUGUUUUGGUGUCACAGCUGGGAAGCGUUGACGGCGACAGAGGAGGAAGGGUUGGAGGUUGUAGCCUGUAGAUUUUGAGAUUUUCAUUUUGUUAUAUAGGACUCCAAAACGGCGUCAUUUUGAUGUUGUUUUUUUUAAAAAAUAAAUUAAAAUCAAUUGAACUGGCUGGUUCGUCCAGUUCACCGGUUGGACCGUCGGUUCAGCAGUCCAACCUCGGUUCGAUCCCCAUCCGGUCCAAAUGACCAAAUCGGACCGGAACGGUGACCGGUCGAUGGUCGGACCAGCCGGUCAGGUCCGAUUUUUAAAACAUUCGAAAUAACAACUCCUGAAUUAUUUUUGCAACCAAUUCCCUCCCAUUGACAACAAUUGCCUCCUCUCCAAGAUGAAAGCCGAUUUUUAAAACCUUUGAGACCAUUUUUGAAGUCAAUAAGAGCAUCUUUAUUUUCCCUUAAGCAAUUUCCCAAAAGAAUUUCAUCUUUACAAGUGAAUACUCUUGUUGUUAAACAUAGAAUGAUUGAAAGGAAACUAAGAAUUGAAAAUUUCUCCAUCUGAGAACACCUGUAGAAACAAGUAACAAUAAGUUCCAACACAACAAUAAAAAUAGUGACAAAAUUCGAUAAGCAACGGCAUCAUGAUAUUAGACAAUAAAUAACAUAUUUAAUUUAACUACUCAUUAGUUUAAUAAGAUAAAAAAUGUUAAGUGAACAACAUAGUUGAAGACAUAUCAAGAAAACAUUAUUGUGACUAUCUCACCAAAUGGCAAAUAUGCUCAAUGAUUGCUAUGGAUCAAAACAUUCAAACUACAUAAAUCAACCACAGGGGAAAAAAAAGGCAUUAGGAAUAAACACUAGGAAUAGUGGCAUUAUUACUCAUGAAGUAGGAUUUUACCUAUUAUCUCUUUUUAGGUUGUCCUCAAUCCUUUCGUUGAAGAGAAAUAUAUAGAAGAUAAUUCAAAAAGAAGCCAAGUGGAUGAUAGUGAUGUGGACCUCGCAUUUUUAAUGAUGCGUUCCCACUCGAUCGGCGAGACUCACUUUUCAUUAUUUGGGUGAAAAAUAUGUUUCUCAGAAAAGACUUGGAGUCGCCACUUACUUUUAUUUAUUUUUAAAGGGGAAAACAAGUAAGAACAAAACCCCUGGAUGGACUCCUGAUUUUGUUUUUGGAAAAGCUGUCUGCGAAAAAAACCUAAGUCUGGGUCCGGGGAUCAGGUUACUUAUUGGGAAGGUACGAUAAAGACCGUAGCACCCCUCUAAGCCCCUAAAAAAGGGUCUCUACUAAAUAAGGUGAAGCAAACAUGGCAAUUAACUAGGAGAUCAAUGGAUACCAAAAUGAUCAUAGUUCAAAAAUAAAGUCAUGAUAACGAAAUAAUAAACAAAGUGAGAGUGAGAGUGUACCUUAUUAGCAGGUAAUAAAGCGCUGUCAUGAAAACAAGGUUAGUGUACAAUGACAAGUGUAAAAACAAUCUCAUACAGAACUAAAUUAAAAUCAAACAGAAUGGAGAGCACAACUUACUUGAAUUAUUUUCGAAGAAAAUGUUAUGAAUGUCGGGCCCCCACCAAAGCCCAAUUUAUUUUUGCUAUGAAUUAAUUCUCAUAAAUUCCAUUAUUUUGGAAUUAUGAAAACUUAUUCAUUUCUAAAUAAAAAAAAUUUGAAAAAAGGAAUUUUGAAAAUUAAAUUUGAAAUUUCGGAAGUGUGGAAUUUUAUUUUAUAAAAAAAUGAGUUUGAAAAUUUUGGAAAUCUCUUUGAGAAUGGUAUUUCAAAAUAAAUAAAUAAAAAAAUAAUUUAAAAUAAAAUUAAAUAAAAAAAACGAAUAAAUAAAUAAAUUUUGAAUUUUGGAAAAUGGAAAUUUUGAGAAUGGAAUUUUGAAAAAUUAAAUUAAAAAAAAUUGAAAAUUUGGAAGGAUUAUUUUUUAAAAAUGAAAUUUCGGAAAAUUAAAUUUUAAAAAUUGGAAAUUUGGAAAAUUGGGACUUCGAGAAUGGAAUUUCGGAAAAUUAAACUUAAAAAAUGAAAUUUUGGAAAAUUAUUUCAAAAAUAGAAAUUUUUGGAAAAUUGGAAUUUUUGAAAAUCGAAACGUGAAGAUCAACGUUUUGAAAAUUAUAUUUUUUGAUGUAUGAGAAUAAAAAUAAAAAAAUAAUAAAUAAAAAGAUGGUACGUAGUCGGUGGGACUCGCAUCCCGAAAGUGGCCAUGCAAAGCGUGGUCCUGGGAUGGAAUAUCUUAUAACAUAAUAAUAAUAAUAAUAAUAAUAAUAAUAAUAAUAAUAAUAAUAAAACAAUCUCAACCUCACAUACUUUAAUACUAUUUACACAUGAAAUAUUGAAAACUAACAACUGAAUAUCAGAACAUGAUAAAAUUAAUUAAGGGAAACUAACCCUAAAAUUAUUAAGAGUAUAUACUAACAUGAAACAAUAAAAUAAAUUGACAACUAGGAAUAUUAAAAACCUAAAUUAAUGAGGAACGACCAAACUAAUGCUAGAGAUAAUAAAAAAAAAAAAACAUGAACUAAUUUAGGUUCAAUAAGAAUGCAUAAUUGGAAAAUAAUAAAAACUAACGUCUAAGGAUAUUUAAAUCCCAAACUAAUAAGAGGUAAAUAAAUACUAAAACCUUAAUAUUUAAAGAAAACUAUUGAACAAUAAUGGAUCAACCGAAAUAUCAAUUAAUCAUUCAAAGAGCAAUAUAUGUCAACAUGGAUCAGUUCAACCAAAGACUAAAAAUUCAAGAAGCAAUAUAUACUAACAUGAGUUAUUAAAAUCAACAAUUAAAAACUCCUAGGUAUAUACAAAUUAUCAUAGGCCAUCAAAUUAAAAAACUAAAAAUUCAAAGGACUACAAAGAAUUAACAUGGGUCAACCAAAAUAACAAUUCAUAAUUUUAAUGACAAUGUAAAUUAAUAUAGAUUGACAAAAAAUAAGAAUAAAAAUUUAAUGAGCAAUAUAAAUUAACAUAGAUAUUUAAAAAAAUUAACAACAAAUGAUUUUAUGAAAAUGAAGAAAAAUAAUAAUAAUAAUAACAAUAAAUAAACAAACAAAAUUUCAUGAAUAUUAUAAAGCUACAUAGAUAUUAGUUUUCAUUUUGUUUCAUUUUAAAUUUAUAACAAUGUAAACCAAUAACAUAUGAUCCACCAUAUUCACUUGAAUUUUUAAUUCAAUGAAACAAACCACUAACAUGAAACAUCUCAUGGCCGGCCAUUAAUCUUACUUUGAGUUUUUUAUAUUAAAAAAAAAAAACAAUGCUCAAGCUUCCACUAUUAUUCGAAAUUAGCCAAAAUUAAGAAAAAAAUAAAAAUAAAAUCCUAUUAUUUAAUAAAAUCUAAUUUUCCAUUAUUAUUAAAAUUGAUCAAAACUAAAUUUAUUUUUUUUAAAAAAAAAUUCCAAUUUUCUACUAUUAUUCAAAAUUUGACCAAAACUAAAAUUAAUUAAAAGAGAAAAUUUAUGAGGAAUAAAACAAAAAUUCUUAUGCCGUGAGAUCAAACCGAACACUUAAAAUAAAAUGAUAAACACGCAAUAGCUUAGAACCUAAAAUACAAGAGCCUAUAAAAAUAAUAAACAUUCAUGCAUAUUAUAAUACAAGUCCACACGCAAUGCUAUAUCCACUAUGCAUCAACAAUUCUUUAAACAAUAAAAGUUAGUGGACUUUGAAUGUCAUGAAAUCCCAUAAUAAUUAAUAAACAUUGACAAUGGUCAUUUGACACAUGCUGGAAAACUUUCUUGUGCCUGUUGCCAAAAAAAACUUUAAAACAAGGAUUUUAAAAACACUAUUUGGGCCAGAAAAGUGAAUAAAAUAUAUGGUUUAAUAGUUUUUUUCCUUUCUUUCUUUUUGUUUCCUUUUGACUUUAACAGAGGAGCAAAGUGAAUGGACUGCAUAGAGACGAGCUCUUGCAUGCACUGGUACUCCUCAACCACAGAAGACAAACACCAAUUCUGCAAUUUUCUCAAACAACCCACAAGACAGCCUGUCCGGUGCUUUCCGCGUUUGCACCACAAUAAAACAAUGCCCUUAUUUUCCCUGCCUUAAGAGUAAAGCUUGAAACUGCAGGGAAAAUCACUUCUAAAAACUCUCAAAUUUCCCGCUCCAAUGACAAUGCAAGGAGCAGAAGUUUGCGUUCCGAAACCAAGAAAAAAAACCCCCUAAUUUCCUCUGCGUUUCUCAGCAAAACUCGGUUUGACGCGCAUAGAACUUGAAAUCUACAGAGACACAGUGGAAAAAUCGCCCUGCAACACUCUCGAAUUUCCUAUUCUAACCGCAAUGCAAGAUAGAAAAGCAUGCGUUUGGAAACCAAGGAAAAUAACACCCUGGUUUUCUCUGCGAUUCUCGGGGAAAAAAAUCUAGAAUUUGACGCGUGUACGCAGAGCAUUAAAAAGAGAGAAUGAAAAUUGCAGAGAAAUAGAGUCACACUAGCACCGAGCCAGUCCUCAAGAAUGGCAGUGAGAUCAGCAACAACUAAAUAUAAAAAAUAAUCCAUAAAUCAACAAAGUUCAGCAUGUAACCCAUCUUACCCGCACCCAAAUCAACAAGCAAUGCAAAGCAAAUAAAUGAGAAAAAGAGGACAAGUAUAUUAAUCAAAGUAAGCAAGAAAACUCACAAUCAGCUUACCUACGGCCGCUCCUUUCCUUUGUUAUGCUUUCUCCUAUCCUUCGUUUUUUCUGCUGGUUUUCCUGUCUUCUCUUCCUCUGCAACUCAUUCCUUUUCGAAUCUGUACCUCUUCCCAACCUCCCGACCUUCUCCUCUCAGACCUCCUUCUUUUUUUUUCCUCAGUCUCCCUUUUAUAUCCUCCCUUGAAAACCCCUCAUUUUCAUCUAGAAAAUGGCCCCUGCCUCUUUCCCAUGCAGACUCCUCGAAAACCUCAUUUUUCAGCCGAUUCGUUUCUUCCUCUUCAAGACUUCCUUUCUCUCCAAUUUCCCACAGCCUCUUCGGGAAAUACCCUCCACUUUUUCUUUCUCUUCAAGAAAAAUCCCUUUUUCUACCCUUCCUCUCUUUGUUUUAAAAAUAACAACUUUUUUUAAUCCCCAUGAUUCUUGCUGGCUUUUGACUUUUAAUUUUUUCCAAUAGAAUAUCUUUUUUUUCCUUCUUCUUCUUCUUCUUAUGUAGUCCACCGACUCUCCUUUUCCAUUAUUUAUUUAUUUUUUAUAUAAUAAAAACAAAGUAUAUAAGGCAAUAAAAAAAAAACAUAAUACAAUAAAAAAAAAUGAAAAUAAAAUGACAUAGUAAAAGCAUAAUAUAACUAAAUAAUAAUGGUACUAAGAAUAACAAAGGUGAUGAUAAAAAAAUAAUAAUAAUAAUGAUUAUAAUAAUAAUAAUAAUAAUAAUAUUGAUAAUAAUAAAGACAACUUAUAAUACUGGUACUAAUGAUAAUAUAAGAUCCCUAGUCACUUACGAUUUUCUGAAAAUAAAUAAGUGGAUCAAUGAACAAAUAAAGCAGGAAAAAUAAAUAAAUACCACACGCACAUAACAAUAAUCUAAAUAUUAAACUAAAACACAAAUGAAAAAACUAAAAAUAAAUAAAUAAAUAAAUAAAUAAAAAGAUAAAAUGAAAAUAAAAAUAGAACAUCAAGCUGAUACAAUUAAACAUCGAAAACUCAUCUCAAGCAACCCAAAUAAAAUAAUAAAGAAAUAUCAAGCUGAAUACUCACCUAGUCUCAAAAAUUCAUCAAUCAAGAAACUAAUCUUAAAUAAUUAAGCUUAAAAUAAUAAUAAUAAUAAUAAUAAUAAAAUAAAAAAUAAAAUAAUAAUAAUAAUAAUAAAAUAAAAAAAAUAAAAAAAAAUAAAAAAAAUCCAAGUGACCUGGGUGACCUAAGUGGAAAGUGUCAAGGUGAAUUAGGUGGAAACUAAACCAAGGAGGUGUCCAAGUGAUAAAAAAACAUGCUAAGUGACUUAGGAGUGUACCUACCGGGCCAGGUGUAUCUAAAUGGGCCUAGGGUGCAAAAGUGGGCCUAAGGUGGUGCCCAAUGGGUCAUCAGAGAAUUAUUAUAAAGUAUCAAACGGACACGUAAUAGAACAUGUGCUAGUAGGACAAAAUAGAGGGUCUACAAGUGAUAGUCAAUCCCUUCUUUAAUUUUAGCUAUAUUUUCAAAAUUAGAUUGGACAAAUGGGUCAAUUGUCAACCAAUCCCUUUUGGUUUGGGUGGCCUUUUUUUUGACCAUUUUGGGCUUAAAUAGGUUUAAAACUGGCAAUUACUACUUGAUUAUGAAUUAAUAUUACUUUUAAACUUGAUCCUUGAAAUUUCCAAUACUUCAACAUUUCACUUCAUUAAUAGCCUAAAUAAAUUAUAAAAAAAACAAAAAAAAAACAUCGAUAAAAUUUAAUCACUUAACAAGAUUUGUAAGUCCAAAAUUUUGAUACCAUGUUAUAAGGUAAUAAUUUAGCAUGAUAAUAUAUAUUACCAAACAUUUGGUUUAAUAAGAAUAAACCUAAUCUAAAUUCUCAUAACUAUUUAUUGGGUUGCUACUAUAUAUCAAGAAAAAUCUCAUCAUUAACUAUGCUUUUUAAAAUUAUCUUCUAAGGAAAAAGACUUAAGUUAUUAUCUCUUUAAUAUUUUUGGAAAGGAAAAGGACUCAAUCUAUCAUUUUGGUCCAUAACUUUGACUUUGUGCCUUAUCCACUUGUCCCUUUGAGCAUGACUUUGUUACUGUUGGCAGAUCAGAGGGUUGGUCGCGUCCAUCAACUCCCCUUGUGUUCACCGUGGGCGCUUGGGUGAAUGCACUAUAAGGUUAGGGUAUGCGCCUUUCCUAACAAUAAUUGCUUUUAGGAGAGUUGGUAGCGCCUAAGGUCCUACAAGUGGUAUCAGAGCCGAGGUCACUGGUUCGAACCCCAGGGGUGUCGUUGGGAGGGAGAUUGUUGGCAGAUCGGAGGGUUGACCGCAUCCAUCAACUCCCCUUGUGUUCGCCGUGGGCACUUGGGUGAAUGCACUAUAAGGUUAGGGUAUGCGCCUUUCCUAACAACAAUUGCUUUUAGGAGAGUUGGUAGCACCUGGGGUCCUACAGUUACUACUUAGCUCAUCAAACACAUAGAAAGUUGUAGAGAAAAGUUACAAAGAGUCAUGAAACCACUCUAUCCCCAAAUCAAAAGGAUUUUUUGAAUGAUAUGAGGAACAGAGACAAAAACUCCCACUAUCAUCCAUUAAGUAAUAUAUAAAGGUGUUUUUCAAUAGAUUUCAUGUACAACUACCUCCAAGUAAGUAUGAAGAUAUUACAAAAUAUACACAAGGGAGUUGAUAAGGUAUAAAAAGUUUGUCUCCAAACUCAAUCCAUGACUUAGAUUAUCUAUCCAACUUAUAAUUUACUCAAGUCAUGUGCAAUUCAAGUAGUGCAAAUCAAAAUGCUCAAAUGCAAAUAAGGAUAUAGUGGAAACUAACUUUGUUACACUAUUCCUUACUUUUAAGGGUUCUAUCCAAUAAUUCCAAUUCAUUUCACUUUUUUUCCUCAUCUAUAUAAAUCUCCAAUGAUUAAAAAAUGUAUAAAUUUUUAAAUAAAUUUAAUUGUAAUUGAUUUUAUUUUAUAUUUUUCAUGGUAAACCAAACACCAAAAAAUCAUUUCACUUUUGUUUAAAAAAUAUUUUGAAGAGGGAAGAAGGGGGAUAAAAGGAAAAAAGAAAUUAAAAUAAAAUAAAAUGAUAACAAUAAUAAUAAAUAACAAUACGUGUAUUGAAGUUUUAAAUUUUGUUUAAAAAAUAUUUAUAUUUUUUUUAUAUAUAUUAAAUUGAUCUCAAAUGCAUAUCGUAGAGAGUAGUUUUCAUAAAAAUAUUUAAAGUGAGGGUUCUUUGUUUGUUUGUUUUAUUUUUACUCAAAUUUUAAAACAAGUUAUUUUAUUUAGAACUACUUUUUUAACUUAUCAUAUUUUUUAAGACAAUUUUAAAUUUUUUUUUUAUAUUCUUUUAUGGUAAGAUAUGUAUAUCAUAAGAUAUCAUAUCUCAUUGGAUAAAAAGUACAUGUUUUAAAACAUAUAAUUUCCAAUGAGAUAUAUUAUUCUUGAAUAUACAUAUUUUAUGAACAUAAUAUUGUACGAUAGCAUAUCCAAUGAGAUAUGGUAUUUAAUUUUUGAAAUGAUUAAAAAAGGUAAUAUGAAAUAUAUAUUACUUUCAAUAUUUAAAAUAAAAAUUAUAUCACAUCCAAUAUUUUUUUAUUUUAAAAAAUGAAAUUUCUCUUAUAUUUAGUAAUAUUUGUGAUUAAAAUAUUUUAAAUUUAUAAGUAAUUUUUUUAUUAUGUUAUUAAAUAUAUAAAAAUAAUUCAUAUAUUAUAUAUGAUUAUUAUUUUAUAAAUAUUUUUUAAAAAAUCCUUUUUUAACCAUAAAUUUAAUUUAUAAAAAAAAUUAUUUUGUGAAAUAAGUAUAUAAAAAAAUAAAAAAAUAAAUUUAUCAUAUAUAAGAUAUGCAUAUCAUAUAUCUUAGUAUGAGAUUAAUAUAUUUCAUGUAGAAUUGAAUAAAAGAAAAAAGUGAAUAAUAUAUCUCCCCACUUAUCUUAUCUCAUGUUUGGAUAAGAUAAAUGAUGAAAUAACUUAUCUUAUAAAAGAUCAAUCAAACAUGUUAUAAUAUUUUAUUUUUUAUCCUAUUUGAUGUUAUAUCCGGCCAACCAAACACGACUUUAUUUUCAUUUUUUUUUUCAAUUCUAAACUUUAAUACUGUGAUCAAACUUUUUAUACAAAAUUAAACUAAAUCUAUUUUUGAAAGUUUUAGAUAACUUCUUUUUUUUUUUUUUUUUGAAACUAGUUAAACUACCUUAAUGUAAUAUAAUUUGAAUAAAGAAAUGAAUUAAACAACAUAUAUAAGAAUGAACUAAACUUUUUUUUUUUUUUUUUUUUUUAUGAGUCAAGUGUUUGCUUUAAACUUUUUUUUAGAAUCAAGUUGUUUAAUCCUCUUAUGCAAAACCCAUUUCUUACUCAAUUAUAAGGAACAAUAUGAAAUAAUAAAAUAAGAAUAACCUGCAAAUAAUAAAAUAAGAAUUAACUAUUUUUUUUUUCUUGGGUCAAGUUUUUUACUUUAUUUAAGACAGUUUUUGUUUUAAACUUUGCUUUUACACUCAAUUUGAGUUGAGCUCAAACCAAGGUUUGAAUAAUCCGGUAUAAUCCAAACUUGAUUUAAUAUUUUUUGAUAUUUAUAAUGCAUUUAUGUUAUAUUCAUUUUCUUUUCAUAUUUUUUUAAAAAAUAUUAAAUUAUAUUAUUUCAUAUACUUUUUCAUUUUUUUAGAAAUAUGUACAAAUUUAUUUUUUACUUUUUUUUUGCUAUAUUGAAACUUUUUUUUUUUUAAUUUACUAAUUAAAUUUUCAUAUAAAUAUAUAAAAAAAAAAUGUAAAACAUUAUCAUGGAUUUUGAAUUAUGCAAUUCCAUCAACUUGUUUAUAUAUAUGAAUAUAAGGUAGCAAACCAAUCAAAUAAAUCCUCUAAACAAUCACAAACCCCAAAGAAAAUCCAACAAAAAUAGAAGAAGAAGAAAGAAACCUAGCUAAGUGCUGGAGACAAAGGAAAAAAAUCAUAAGUAUAUUUCAAAUUAAAAGAACUAUUAAUAUUAAUAUUAUUUUGUAGAGAAUCGUAUUAUGUUUUAAUGGGAAGAGUGAAGAGAAAAGGGCUGGGUUCCUUGGCCCAGAAAACCCUUGCAAGCUUAUGACCUGGGUUGGGUUUCAAAAUUGGGCCUUCAUGAAGGAUUCAGCACAGAAGGUUUUGGGCUCACCGAUGAUGCGGGUGUAAGAUAAAUCAUAAUUAAUGUAUGAUUAUUGAUUUAUUUUAUUUUUUUAAGCAAGUUCAAAAUCAUUGAAUUGGAUAGAAAUUUGCUAGCCCCGUUUGGAUUAACAUAAAAUGCUAGGAAAAAUAAAAGUUAGGAAAUAAAUUUAAAUUUUUAAAUUGGAUUUUUCAUGAAAAAUGUGAAAUAAAAUAAAAUGGAAAAUACGAUAAAAUUUAUAAAAAUUUUCAAAGUCUUCUUUCCAUUUUAUAAAAGAGAAAUAAAUUUGAAGAUUUGUUUUAUAGCUCUAAAUGUAAAAAGGGAAUAGAGGUGUUGAAAUGGUAAUAAUAAAAACCUACAAAAGUUUUCAAUAAAGUAAUUUUUUCUAUACCACUGACUUUAAAAAAAUAAUAAGAAGAAAUAUUUGGAACUAAAAUAAAAAAUAUAUAUAUAUUUCCAAUUUUAAAGGUUUAUUUUCAAAUUUGAUAAAUAUAUUUUCAAAGUUUUGCUGCUUUUAAUAUUUUAUUUCUUUAGUAAUAAACAAUUUUUAUGAGAAAACUUGUACAAAGCAAGAAUAAAAAUAUAAAAAAUUUACAAAAUAUUGGUAGUUGGAUUUUAUGAAGAUUUCGAAAAAUAUUAUAUAAAAAAUCCUAAAUAAUUCUGAUGUGAUCAAAAUUGGCCACAACCCAUAACAAGAAAGGAAAAUCCUCAAUUUUCUUUUCAAUCCUAAACUUCAUAUACUCGAAUCGAAUUUUUCAUACAAAGUUAAACUAAAUAUAUUUUUGGAAAUUUUAAUUAACUCUUGUUUUAGAAACCAGUUAAACUACCUUCAUGUAGUACAAUUUAAAUAAAAAAAUGAAUUUACCAUAAAUUAAUGAAACUAUCUUCUCAAAAAUUUAAUAUGACUAAAAUAAAUUUUGUUUUUAUCUAUUUUCUCACUUUUUUUUCAAGAAAAUUUAGAUCUAAAACUUUCCCAUGAAAUGAUAACUCAAAAACCACACCAACAAUAUAAAAGUGGAAUCAAUAUAUAUAAAAUAAAUCCACAAAUUUCAAAAUCAUAAAACCAAAAUUCUAUGUUUUUUAAUAAAAUUUUACCUUAACGAAAUAGUGAUUUUUUUUUUUUUUUGCCUUAAUAACAAAGUUAUUUUUUUAUACAAAAAUAAACUAAAUUUGUUUUUGAAAAUUUUAGAUCACUCUCGUAUAAAAAACUAGUUAAACUACUUCAAUAUUAUACAACUUGAAUAAAUGUGUAUACAAGUGCAUAUAUAUUGUAAAUAUAAAGGAAAAAACGCAAUAUACAACAAAUUUCAUGAAAGAUAGUAGGAUUUAAAGAAUUAAAAUAUGUCAUACCAUAUGAAAACAUUGAAUGCUAGAUUUUUAAAAAGUUCAAUUUAACAAAAUAUAAGUUUAAUAUAAAAUUUCAUCACAAAAUCCAUAAAAACAAACUUCUUAGAAUUUUACAUUUAGGUUUUAGUUCCAAAUUCUACCUAGGCAUAAGUACUUAUAUGUGUUGUUGAUAUAAAUGUCUCUUUGUGCCAUCUCCAAAGUUCCAACUUUUCAUGUUCGUCAUUAUCUCUUCCUCGCCUAAAAAAACCCUAAUAAAUUAAGUAAAAAUUUUUUAUUCACUAAUUACCAUCAUUUUCAUUGUCAAUAUCAAAACCAUCGAAAUGGAAAUUCUCUGAUAUUCAUUAUAAGAAUAAAUUUAUUUAACUUCCACUUUGGCCUUUGACAACAUGAAUAUAGCUUUCAUGUAGGAUUAUCUUUACUCUUUCUCCUAUUAUGAUCAAUUUCUAACCAUUUUGUAUAUAUUUCCUUUAACAAAAUACUUUUGCUAAAAAUUAUGAAAAAUAGCUAAAAGUGUAAAUAUCAUUUUAUCAAGCAUUGGAUGAUGUAUCAUAUAUGUUUCAUAAGAUACACUUAAAAUAAGAUAGGGGUUGCUAAGCGCCUCGUAUCAUGUAUCCUAAGUUUUUAACAACUAUGAUCUAGAUAAAGUUUGAUCCAUAUGCUGAAUGGUGAAGUCAAUGUAAAUAUAACAAAUACAAGAACAUUGAUGCCAAAGGUGACCUCUGAAAUGAAAUACUCACGGGUGGAUAGCAUCAGGAGCACGCCUUGAGCUACUCAGACCAUAUGCAAGAAGAGCCUACAUUGUGAAUAUGUAUUAGUUUCUCUGCAUUCAAUAACUACAAAAUCAACACAAAUGUAAAACAAGAGUAAAAGAUAAGAAUGUCAGGAAGAUGAACAAUCAGACUAACAGGAGUACCUGAUUUGCAAAAUCUGCGGCUGAGUGCACAACUUCAGCCAACAUAACAUGGCUAGAGGUUGUUAACCAGACCCCAAACUUGAGAGAAAAGACGAGGAAGUUACACCAUAAUGCAGUUCUGACUGCUCGUUGGCUAGAAUAAACAUGUUAGGCAGACACAAAAGAAAACAAAAAAGGUCAGAUGGUGAAAAGUGGGAGCUAAAUUUCUGGUCCCUAAUUGCAAAAAAGGCUCAAAAUUCUUGAUAGGUUUGGAUUCAGUGCAGUUCAUUAAUAUGCAGCUUGGAUUGACGUCAUCCACAAUCACUCCACUUCCUAAGAAAGUCACCCAUAAAAUCACACUAGAGGAGAGAAUCAAGAAACAAAGGAAUCAAAAGAACGAAAAGCUUUCUCUUUCAUGACUGCUUGCAUCAACUAGUUAAUUUACUCUUUUCUUGUAUUAAAUCAAAGAUAAUGUUACAGAAGAUUAAGAAUUUCCAAAACCAUAAAUAUACACACUCCUAAAGGUUUUGUAGCCUAUUUCUGUGAACUGGGACAUUCCAACUAACCCCAUUUUCAUUUUCGGGUUGCUAUAAAAUAGUGCCCCAAAAUAAAACAUUCCCAUAAAUCUUGCCUUACUUUCCCAAAACCAAAAUACAUGUACUCCGACUCUUAUUUGCAAGUCAACCACACAAAUGCUCACAUGAUCAAUCAACAAACCAACUUACAGCCCCAAAAAUGGCCAGAAAACAACUCAAUUUACCUGUCCUAUAGUAAGCCCUUAACAUAUUCAUUAUACUAAUUGUAUUUUUAUUAUAAUAUUAUAAAUCAAUAUCAAUUUUAACUUAGUUUUAUGUUGUUUGGUUGUGAAUGAGAAAUUUGCCCGAAAGAAAAUUAAAUUUAUUAGGCAUGACCUAAAAACAAAGAAUAAAAUCCAUUUUAUCCCCUCAACCUUUUGUGUCUCAUACACUUUGUCCCACAUUCAAAAUCCAACACCCUUCAAACUUCUUAAUGGGUAGCACUCAACUUUUUUUUUUUUGGAUAAUUUUUAUUUUCAUUAAAUGGAUGUGCUCCACAUGUGAUGCAAUAAGAGGGUAAAAAUGUCAUUUAAAAGAUAUCCAUGGCCCUAUAAUCUAUUCCUUCAUUUUUCUUUCUUUGAAAACCUUGAAAUCCUCAAGUCUAAAAAAAACACACCUCCUUUUAAUCGAUCUUCCUAUUAUGCUAAGACAAUGAGUCUAGUACAUUAUAUGUUGGCAAUUUUGUUUCAAUAUAUUCUGGCUUAUGAAAAUUUUUAAAUAGUGACUUACUCUUCAUUGAAGAUUCAAGGUUGUUGUUGGUUAAACCAUAAAUCUACAUGUAAGUUUAAAAAUGUUUAUUUAGUGGCAAGUUAAAUGAUUAAAGGGUUAAAGUGGAUUGAUAUUUUUUUUAUAAGCUAAAAAUACUUGAAUUAAUGUUUUGGAAAAAACAAGAGACACUCGAGCAGUGGAACCAACACUCAAGUUCACAAGGCGUUCGAGCGAUGGUUAAGUGCAUUCAAGUGGUUGUCCCAAAUCUGCUAGAAUAUGGUAGAUUUCUUUUCGAAAUUUUAUAAGUAUUCUUUUUUGGAAAUUCUAUAUAUCGAUCCCUUAGGCCUGUAGGCCUAUAUAAACCCUCUAUUAACCCCUUUUAGGGUUAGACACCUUGAAAGAGUUGACCAACUUAACCUAUCAUUCCUAAUCUUUCAAGAAAAAAUUCAUAAUAUUGAAUUUCGGGUUGUUGGAAGAACUUGCAUCCCCUUAGAGGUUGAGAAGAAUCUACUAGAGCAUUAGAGGCGUUAUGUUGUGGAUGUGGAUCAAGGUAUAGGUGCUAGAGAAUAAGUUUUUAAGGUAAAAUGGUCAAGUAAAUCUAUGUACUUUGAUCUGAAAUAGUGGAUUGUAUAUUAAAGGUCUUAGACCUCAUGGUUUUUAUUUCGACAGUUAGUGUUAGGUUUUUCCACAUAAAAAUUAUUAUGUCUCUUGUUUGAUAUUUGAUUACUUUGAUUAUCCCUAAUAUCUUCAAGUUUUAUUUUGGGUUAAUUUUUCAUCGCUUAUAUUGUAUUAUUUAAAAACACCUAUUCCCUCCUCUCCCAUCUCAGGUGUUAUCCUAUUGGACAAAAGGUUUUUCAAUUGGUAUUAAAACAAGCUUUUCUAAAUAAAAACCAUAUUUUUAUUGAUCUUGCAAGUCCAAUAUGGAACAACCAAGGUCUGAAGCUCCCCUAAAUAGUCCACCCUAUUUCGAUGGGAGUAAUUAUCCCAACUAAAAGGCUUGAAUGAUUUUUUGAAAAUGCAAGGAGAAAAGGUCUAGAAUGCAACGAAAUAUGGAUGAAGACUUCAUUGAAACUAGAUGUGAAUGGGAAAUCUAUUGAUGAAUUAAAACCCAAAAAAGAAUGGCAUAAAUUAGAUAAUGAAGAAAGUGAUGCCAAUGCUCAGGUUCUCUUUAGCAUAUUCAAUAAGGUAAGUCAUAAUGAGUUUUGCAAGAUAGCCACUUGUAAAGAUGCUAAAAAAGCCUAGGACAUUCUCCAGGUUACUCAUGAAGGCACUUUAGUUGUGAGGUUGGCUAAAUUGCAAAUGUUAACCUUCAAGUUUGAAAGCAUUAAAAUGCAAGAGAAUCAAACUUUCUUUGCAUUCUAUGCUGAAUUAAGUGACAUUGUGAACUUCUUUUUUUAACUUAAGAGAACAAAUCCCUGACUUUAAAAUAAGUAGAAAAAUCCUGAGAUCCCUUCCUAAAAGGUUUAGACCUAAGGUCACCACAAUAGAGGAAAACAAGGAUACUUACUCUAUGAGGGUUGAUGAACUUGUUGGUUUUUUUCAAAUCUAUGAAAUGACCUUUCUAAACUCUCACAAGCCUAAAGAUUCUACUUUUAAGGAUAAUGAAAUUGAAGAAAAAGAGUCUGAAAAUCAUAAUGAGAUAAUUAGGGAUGAACUAGCGCUCAUGGCUAAACGCAUUAAAUGGGUUUGAAACUUAACAAUAGACCUAAUAAGAACAAGGACUUGGGAAAGGAAAAAAGAUUUGGUAGGUCUUCUAAAGAAAAAGAUAAGGAAGUUACGAAAGAGAAAAAAGGUAAAGUGUUUUAAUUAUGGAGGUUUGGAACAUUUUUCUAUUGACUAUGUCCUAGUCUCAAUGACAUUAAAAAAAAAUUGUGCAGGCUACAUGGAGCGACACUUACUCUGUUGAGAGUGACCCUAUGACUUUUGAAGAUGUAAGGUAUGAGCAAAAUGAUUAUUUAAAUUUUAUUGCAUCUGUUGACUCUAAGCAUGAUACUAAUAGUCAUGAGAGUGAGUAUACUAAUGAAUAGAAUGCUAGUUUUCUUAGAAAUAUUUCCAUUGAAUAUCAAAAACUGAUUGAACAAUAUUUGAAGACUCAUAAUAUUCUUAACUCAUAAAAAGCUAAAAUUGAAUAUUUUUAGUGAAAAAAGACUAAUUAUUUUGCGAAAAUUUGAUUCGUUGAGUUUGAAUAUCAUUCUUUUCUUGAGAAAAACAAUAUUCUAACUUUAAAAAUUGAGACUAAAAAACCAUCAAUAAGGCUUUUCACCUUGGGACUAGUGUUGGAUGAAAUUCUUGAGAAAUGCAAGUCCCAAGGAGAUAAGAAAGGCCUCGACUAUAUUAGCAAAACCAAGACUUCCACAAGUGGAGACAUAGUAUUAGUUAAAGGUAAGGAGGAAACUCCUAACCAAGAAACAUCUUCUAGCACUCUCUCACUAUUCACACACUGUAAGAAGUCUGAAUAUACUCAAAGUAGGUGUCACACUAGAUUUCUUGAGAGCUAUGAGUCUCAAUUGAAUAGGCUUGUGAAUGAGUUUAAAUCUUUAAAGAAUAAUAUUUUGAACACUAUGAGAGGGAAGAAAACCAAUACAGAGCUUAAGACUCAACAAAGCUCCUCUAAGUCACCACCUAAAACAAGUGUGGAUGAGAAAAGAUAGGCUUAAGUGUUGGAUUGUUUUCACAACCCUUAGAGCUAAAGCCCUUAGUGAAGCUCUAGGCAUAUGAUAGGUGAUAAGUCUUUCGUCACCUCUCUUAAGGAUUUUAAUGGAGGAAACAUCACCUUUAGGGAUAGUAGUGCAGCCCGUGUGAGAGGUAAAAGUAGUAUCUCUAUCCCCAUAUGCCUAGAUUUAGAUGGAGUCCUUUAUGCUAAUGAACUUAAGGGUAAUCUUCUUAGCAUUAGCCAAAUUUAUGAUAGUGACUAUAGGGUAAACUUCUUUUGAAGUUUGUGUGAAGUGAUAAACAAGGAAGGAGAAGUCAUUUUCAUUAUGCUUAGAACAGUGGAUAAUUGCUAUGCAAUAAAUUCUAGUUCUAAAACCUCUUUGGUUUGUAGUAGGGCUAAGUUUGAUAUCAUUGAGUCAUGGCAUAGGAGGCUAGAUCACAUAAACUAUAGACACUUGGUCCACAUAACUAACAAAGACCCAGUUAGAGGUAUCCCUAAGUUGAGUAGUCAACCUAAAUCUAUUUGUGGAAAGUGCCUAAAAGGUAAACAAGUAAAAAACUCACACAAAAAUAUUAAAGGGAAUAACACUUCUAGGCCUUUAAGCCUUCUCCACAUGGAUCUCAUGGACCCUAUAUGAAAAUGGAGAGUAAAAGAUGUCAUUGAUUUUUCCAAAUAUUCCUUUGUAAGUUUUCUAAAGGACGAAUUUGAAACAUUGAGCACUUGAAGUCCUUGUGCACUAGAAUUCAGGUGGAAAUAGGUAAUCCUAUUGUUAGGAUUAGGAGUGAUAGUGGGAAAGAGUUUGAAAAUGUAGAAGUUGAUCUCUUUUAUGAAUUAAAUGAGAUUAAACAUAAUAUUUUGCCUUUAGAACUCCUCAACAAAAUGGAGUGGUAGAAAGGAAGAAUUGUGUUCUUUAAGAAAUGACCUGAGUAAUGAUUAACAUGCAUGAUACUUCUAUGCAGUUUUGGACUGAAAUAAUUAACAUGACUUGCUAUACUGCUAAUAAGGUUUUCCUUAGGCAUGGAACAAAGAAAACAUCCUAUAAAUUGUGGAUUGGAACAAAGAAAACAUCAUAUGAAUUAGGGAUUGGCAGUGAGUGCUAUAUUCUCAAGGAUAGAGAAAAACCUAGGUAAAUUUGAUUCUAAGUCUAAUUUGGGUAUUUUCCUAUGUUAUUCCAAUAAAAGUAAAACUUAUAAGGUUUAUAAUUAGAAUACUAAAGUUACCCAAGAAUCUUCAAAUGUAGUCAUCAAUGAUUUUGGAUAUGAUUAGGAAGUCAUUGACUUUGAAAGUUUAACCUAAAAAUCAAUUGGGAAUAACCUCGAAAAAGUUGACUUAGAUGAUAGUCUUAAAAGUAUCCUAAAGAGGCAAUUGACCCCAACAGGGAUGAAAACCACUUGAAAUUGCUAAGUUAGGCAAAGUGGAAAGUAAACAUAAAUCCAGAGUACCCAAAAAUUACCAUAUCUCAAAUGUAAUAGGAAACAUGGAUGAUUCCAUGGUUACAAGGAGACAAUCUAGACAGAAUGAUAUAUAUAUAUAUAUAUAUAUAUUUGUUAUACCUCCUAAUUAGACCUAAAGAAUGUAGAAGAAGCCUUAGGAGAUAAAUCAUGGACUACUACACUAUAGAAAGAAUUAAAUCAAUUUGUUAGGAAGAAUGUGUGGUACUUAGUCCCUAGGCUUAAAGACAAACCUAUAAUAGGCACAAAAUGGAUAUAUAAGAAUAAAAAAGAUGAAAAUGGGUUCAUUGUGAAGAAUAAACUAGGCUAGUAGCCCAAGGAUAUUCCCAAAUUGAGGGGAUUGAUUUUGAGAAAACUUUUGCACCUUUAACUGGGUUAGAAUCUAUUAAAAUCCUCCUAGAUAUUGCAUGCUCAUUGAGAAUGAAACUUUUUCAAAUGGAUGUUAAAAGUGUCUUCCUAAAUGGGAUUCUUAACGAAGAAAUCUAUGUUGAACAAUCUAAGGGCUUUGCAGGUCCUAAACUUCCCAAUUAUGUUUAUUGGUUAAAGAAAACCCUCUUUGGAUUAGAACAAGCUCCUAGAGCUAGGUAUGAGAGGCUUACAACUUACCUUUUGGAAAAAGGGUUUGAGAGAAUGAGAGUUGAUAUAACUUUUUUUCAUUUAUAGGUCUAAGUCUAAAUUAUUAAUGACUCAAAUUUAUGUUGAUGGUAUAGUUUUUAGAGUCACCCUUACCCUUAACUUUGUUGUGGAUAUGAAAAAAGAGUUCGAAAUGAAUAUGGUAGGUGAACUCAAUUUCUUUCAAGGACUACAGAUUAGACAACUUAAAGAUGAUAUCUUUCUAUCUUAGUCUAAAUAUGUUAAGGAGUUAGUAAAGAAAUUUGGACUUGAGUCCACUAAACACUUUAAGAUACCCAUGAGCACCACUACUAAGCUUUGUAAGAACACUUUUGGGAAGGAUGUUGAGAAAAAGCUUUAUAGGAGUAUGAUAGGGAGUUUGUUAUAUCUUACUGCAAGUUGUCAGGGCAUCUCCUUUAGUGUGGGAGUUUGUGCUAGGUACUAAGAAAAUUCCAAAGAGUCACACUUAACUUUUGUUAAAAGAAUCAUUCAUUACAUUAGUGGGACUUUGGAUUAUGGGCUAUGAUGUCCUUAUGAUUCCUCUUGUGUUAUUAUUGGAUAUUUCAAUAUUGAUUGGGUCGAAAAUGUAGAGGAUAGGAAAAACACUUUUGGGGCUUACUUAUUUAUUGGGGAUUGUUUAGUCACUUGGCUAAGUAGAAACAAAAUUUAAUUUCUUUAUCCACCACACAAACGAAAUAUAUGGUCAUAGGAAAUUGUUGUACCUAACUCCUUUGGAUGAAACAGAUGCUCGGUGACUAUGACAUUGAGUAAGGCACUAUGAGUAUCCAUUGUGGCAAUCUAGUGCUAUUAACAUUUCAAAAAUUUUUGUUCUUUAUUCUUGAACUAAAAAUAUAGACAUCUGUCAUCAUUCUAUUAUGGAUUUAGUUGAAGAUAAAGUCAUUUCUCUAGAGUUUGUCUCAAUGAAACAUCAAUUGGCAGAUAUUUUCACUAAACGCUUGGAUUCUCUUAGGUUUGAAUUCCUUAAGAAGUCAUUGGGUAUAUGACUAAUUGACUAAAAGUCAAAAGGGUAUAGACCUAAGGAUUUGUGUUUUUUAUCUAUCUUCUUUCCUUUGGUCAAUCCCAUCUUCCUCUUAGAGCACUGGUCUUAUACCCUUUUUCAUUUGCCUCAUUAGUAAGAAUUUCAAUCUCUCAAGUUUUAAGUCUGAGUGAAAUAUACUAAACCUACAAGGGUUGAUUUUAUUUUCCCUAGAAUUUUUUUAAUUACUUUUGAGGUAAAGAAUCAAGGUAUAUACAAAUCUUUGUAUAGUGGGAUAUCUAAAAGGAAAUAAUUGGCAAGUGAUCCAUGAGGAAUAUUCUUAAGUUUAACUAAUAAAAUAGAAUUUGUUUUUUUCUUUGGAAGUAAUAUCAUGCCUAAUUCUUUUUCAUUCACUUGCCUUGUUUGUCUAAGUUCAGUAUUAUUUUUCCCCAAAGUGUCUUAAGGCAUUCUUGGAUUCUUAGUUAAAAUAAACUAAAAUAUUCUUUCCAAGAUUCUUUCCAAGUUUAUAUACUUUCACUUGCAACAUUUGGAAACACCGUCCUAAGUGGAAUAAGACAACCAUAGUGAAAGUAUGAUUUCCAUAAAUGGUGUACAAUGUGCUUAUUUUCAACUUAUAUGCUUUGAUUGUUAUCAAUAUGAUUUCCAAACUAAGAUCAUGAUUAACCUUGUUCUUUAGAUUUGAAAAUAUCAGUCUUGUUUGGUUGAACUAUGUUUUUUGGGCAUUCAAUUUGUUUUAUUACUUUUCUUUCUAAUUUUGUGAGUUAUUUGAUUUGAAUUUUGCCUUAAGUUGAAUGUUUGACCUGUUUCUAAGGUUUUUACAUGUCUCUAUGUUGUUAGUUGGUUUCUUAAUUUGUUUUAUUAGUUCACUUUUAGCGUUCAUAAUCCUUCUAGAGUUUUUCACAUAGCCUCGAGCGUUUAUCCCAACGCUCAAGCAUUGGCUUCAUUGCUUAAGCGCUCAAGUGGCCUAAGUUGUUUCUAGUGUCGCUUCAUGUGGUUGUAUUACUCAAGUACUCCUUAAGUUACAUCCAAUGCUUGCAUUGCUCAAGUUCUAAUCUUGCAUCCAAUAGCCUGAGCAACUAUUUAAGUCCUUCUAGCCAAGGAUGAAAAUAUCGGUAAUCAUGGAUAUAUCAGUACUUUGAUUUUACGGAUAUAUCAUAAAUAUUGGUGGAUAUUUUUCACAAAUAUUGAUGGAGCAAAAAUUAUUCAAAAUUCAUAAGAAUUCUUGGAAAAACUCCAAAAAAUGAUAAAAUAAGCAAGAAUACACAUUUAAAAGUUAUUUUGUAGGUAUAAUUGACAUAGAUAUGAUCAAGAAGAAAAACAUCGGUAGGCAGAAAUAUAUCGGUAGAUUCGAUACUUGGAUUUUAAGAAUAAUAAAUAUGAAUUUUGGAAGUGUAUAAAGUUAGAAUUGAGUUAAGAAAUAUUUGAUUUUAUUAAAUAAAAACAAUUUAUGCAUAAAUAUAAUACAUAUGUCAUUGCAAUAGUCCUUAGUACCAAAAUGAAGAUCAAUGUGGUUCCAUCAUAUUAUUAGAUGACAGGAGCCCAUCUUGUUGAAGACAAUAUUUAUUUUAAAAUUUUUAAAAUACUUUUAUUAAAACAUGUUUUAUUACAUUUUAAAUGCAAAAUUAAAUUAAUUUAUAUAAAAUAUUUUAUUUGAGAUUUAAUUUCUAAAAUUUUAUUAAAAAUAUGUGAUAACAACUUUUUCUCUUAACAUUAAUUUAUUUAAAUAAUUAAAAUUAUUAAUAAUUUAUCUUAUCAAAUUAAUUUUAAUUUAUAAAAUAUUAGGACUUUCUUAAUUUUUUAUAUUAUAUCAAUUUUUUUGGGUAAAAUUAUAUUUUUAAUAUUUUAAAAUAAAAACAUUUAAAAUUUAAAUAAAAUUGAAAGGAUAAAUGUAAAAAAAAAAAUUAAGAGUGAAGUGAAUUAAGAGUGAAGUGAUAAUAAUUUUUAAAAAUAGGAUUAAUGAGAUAACUAUGAAAAGUGUUGAAAAUAAAAGGAUAAUAUAAAAACAUGGUUGAAAUUUGGACCAUCUAAAAAAUUCAAAUCUAGAAAUUUUCAAAAGAAACCCCAAAAAAUCUCUGAUUUUUCAAAGAUUUUUUUCCGUUCUCCCUCGUGUUGCUCCACUCGUGAUUUUAUCGCCGAUCUAUCGGUUCCAAACCGAUAUAUCGCCGAUAUUUUGACGAUUUUCACGAUAUUUUUCUAACAUUCCUCUCGUUCGAUAAUCAGUGCUCAAAAUCGUUUUGGGGCCAUCCGAUAUCCGAAAUAUCGGCGAAAUAUCGCCGAUAAAAAUCAAAAUUUCAAUCCAUGCUCCUAGCACACCUUUUUUAAUCUAUUUCACUUCUUUAGUUCAUUUGAGCACUUUGGGUUGCUGCUUUUCGGCUUCCAGUGAUCUGUUCAUGACUUGUUUCAUCUUUUCAUCUUCAUAGUAUUGUUUAAGACUGCUUUUUGAGCAUUUCUAAUGGUUUAUUUUCCUCAUAUAUUUUUCUCUAUUUUCGAGCUUUUUUACUUUUAGUUUUUGUAUGAUAGGACGCUAUUGUCUUAGGGAGGUGUCUUCUCUGAAGCCUUACUCUCACGAAGUUGUUCAGGGCAUCCCUAUCUAGGGUCUUUUUGACUUGAAUAAUCUUCCCUUGGAGCAUUUUCACUCUAAGGAGGCUCAAGAUAAAUACUACUCUAUUCUCCGGGGUCAUCGAGUCAAAGUAGAGCUACCCAUUGAUCAUAGAGCCUUUAAGGACACCUCUUUCUUGGUUUCUUCCAUGUUAGGGGCUUGGAAACUCUUACGACUGUUUGAGAGACCUCGUAUCCUCAUUACAUUCAGAUGUUCAAUUCAAACAUCCAUUCAGUAGUUUGUGGUCUCAUAUUUAGUGUUACCAUGUAUGGCUAGACUUUCAUGGUCUCUACUUGAUCUAUCAGGUGUGUUAUGGGCAUGUUUUUUUCUUACUAAUCAGCUAGCUUUUAGUCUUCUUUCCAGAGGUUUAAGCAUUCACUAGAGGUGAGCUUGUCUCUAUUCCUGUUACUUUGUAUGGCGAGUCCUAUCCAUUGUCGACUUACGUUUCCAUUGCUAACUUCACCAAGUUAGCUUGGGUCCUCGCUAUGUUUAUGUCUUAUUCCUUCUACUCCUCCUUCCAUCGUACUCAAAUUUGUCACCUUGUGGCUUGUUUUAUUCAGAACAUUCUCUUUGGGUAGUAGUUCGACAUUGCCUAGGUGAUCCUUAACACCAUGACAUCAUAACCCGAUCCCACCAUGUGCAAUGGAGCUCCCUUAUUCACCCUUCUUAUUACUAUGAUUCUGGAGCACAUCAGUUUCAAUUUCGAUCUUGCUUUGGUAGCUUGGGUGUCUCGCACUCUCAUUACUGCGAGUUCCUAAGUCAAGCACUAUAGCCAUGUGUACGGUCGAUAAUCCCUCUGGCCUCAGCUCAAUCAACCUCCAUUCUACUAACUUCAAUGUCAUAAGAGGUGGCUCAAGAGACUGCAAUAGAGAAGGAGGAGAUUAAGCCAACGGAGUAGGAUUCUCCCAUUUUAAAGGUGGUUUCAAGAUGGGGAAUAGGGCCCUUGUUUUCACCCGUCUCCAAUUUUGGAUCUUUAACAUUUGUUGACCUCAACCCUAAUUAUUUCUUCCAAUCUAUGCCCCAGUGAUUACUACUCAAAAAGUGCUAUUUGAUAGCCUAUAAUUAAUCCUUUUUAACACUUUUGAGUAGUAGUUUAGGCCUUUUAACUCAAUUGGCAUGUUAAGGAUCCUUUAAAGCAAUUUUGAUCACUUUGUGUAAGUUUUGGUGUUUUUGUUAGUAUAUUGAUCACCAAAGCAAGUCAAGAAUGAGGAGAGCUAUGAGGAAUCUUGGGCAAAGCUUAGAAUUCAAUUGCCAAGAGUGAAUCCGGAUUGCAAGGAGAAAAAGCAAAGAGAAUCUGCCAUGAAGCCUAUUCUUGAUGACAGUUGUAGCAGCCACUUUUGGAGCACUUUCUGAAGUCCAAAUGAUGCAUGCUAUAUACCAUUUCAAAGCUCAGGAAGUCAACAAUCCAAUGCUUCAAACGGUGCGCAAUUCGGAGUUGAAACGAAGAAGUUGCAGCCAUUACAAGUCAAUCACUCUAAAGUGUUGCGGAAUCAGCCAUUUGUUGCGAGAAUUUCGCAGCACUUUUGUACAGUAAGGUGUUUCUCCUUCUGACGAUGCACGAACCAUGCCGCGAGAAGGGAGCUGGAAACCUCAAGGUGGAAGCCAACUUCGCAGCCCUGUGAAGAUAGCUCGGUCUUGCAAAAUAAUUUCGCAGCCCUCUUGGGUGUCUGCGAAAUUUCGCAGACACCACUUUUCUCCUGCAAAAUGGUUCCUGAAGCCUUCCGAAAGUUGCUACCGACAUUGGGAGAUAUUUUCCAUUAGAUUUUUGUUGUCUAAAUCCCAAAAUACUCCUUGUAAACCACCAAUUACAUGAUUCCUUAGUUUUUAAGUUAGUAAAAAGACCAAAUAUCUUUGUAAUAAUUAGUUUUAUAUUGGUUUGAUAUAUAUGCCUCUCGGGAGCCUAUUCUCGGGGAGGAGUUCCUUCUGUAAACGUUUGGUAAGCUAGUAAAGUCUAUUUUCUUUCUACUGCCUUACCUUCUCACUUUGUAUUUUCAUUUUAUUUCUAAGUUAUGAAUUCUCUGAGGAGUUUUCCCCAGAGAAUGAGUAACUAAACCUCCAAUUCCUUGGAGCUAAGGUUGCCGGGGAAGGUUCCAAGUGCAAGAAUGCAAAGCUCUGUGGUUUUAGCUAGUAAUGAAGAGGAAGUGAAAACCUUUAGUGAUUUCAAUGUUUUUAGUUAACUUAAAACACCUUGGAGUCACCUGGGCCAACACUUGGUAAGGCAAGUGAUUUCCAACCAUGGAAAUGCACUAGUUUACCCCUUGCGAGCCUCUGGUAGGUGACUUCAAGGUAGGAUUUUCUGGAAUUACCAACACUUGGUAAGCUUUUGGACUCCUAGGAGACAUCCAUUAGUUAUCUCUUGCGAGUUUGUGAAGGGAAGUCCAAGGUUAAAGAUCACCUUGAAUGGUAAGUGCUCGUGAGAGGCAUGAACCAUUGCAAAUUGCAUCAGUGAGAGAAUUAAAGUGAAAUCUAAUUGAAGGAGUCUCUGUACAUCACCGGUUAGAGAAUUGACUAUAAGUUGAAUCUCUAAUGCGAGGAAAUGAACCAACUGACCAGAGCCGUGUCUUUUGCAUGAGGAACCACCCCAGUGAACCUAAAUCUCCAAGGAAUGUUUUUCUUCCUAAAUUAUUCCAAACUUCUGUUAAGUUAGUUAGUUUAAGUCUCAACCUUUACCAAUCAAAAUUUUGUGUUUUAUUUCUUAAGUUAACCGUGAAAUGAAACAAGACCAAUUCACUUGGAAUUGGUAUCCUUGAUUGCUUGUUAGUCAUUCCCAGUGAACGACCCUAGAGCCACUAUACUAUAGUAGCUUUGUAUUUGCUACCCUAGUGUAUGGUGUUAUAGGUAUAAAUUUUGUUGAUCACUUUCUCAAUCAAGGAGCACCAGCUGAACACAAAUCAGCUGAGACACCAAUUGGGCACGAGUCACCCCAUUACAAGCAUUUUUUGUUAUCUCCUUAUCUCCAUUUUAUGGUGGGCUUGGUCUAGCACAAAUAGGUUGGUGAGUUAGUUAAGGUUUGUCUUGGAGGCCUGAAUAGACCAGACAUGAGCCUAGUUUUUUAUAACACCUACUAGUGGUGGGCCUUUGGCUCUUCUAAUGUAAGCUCCAAGGCUUCAUUGACAUAACAAAUGAUCAGGCAAAACCAUUUUACAUUUUUUAUUGUUAGCUAUUAUAUUUUUACUUUUAACCAUAAGUAAGGACAAAGGGGCUAGGUUCCUUAGCCUAAAAAACCCUUGUAUUCAAGCUUAUGACCUAGGCUCGGGUUUCAAAAUUGGGCCUUCCAACCAAGAAGAAUUUGGGCUUAGGGCGUUAGAUAAAUCAUAAUUAAUGUAUGAUUGUUGAUUUAUUUCUUUUAAGCAAGUUCAAAAUCAUUGAAUGUGAAAGAAAUUUAUUAGACUUGUGUGGAUUAACAGAAAAUGUUAGGAAAAAUAAAAGUGAAGAAAUGAAUUUAAAUUUUUAAAUUGGAUUUUUCAUGAAAAAUGUGAAGAAAAAUAAUAAAAUAUAAUAUAAAUACCAUAAAAAUUUUCAAUUUUCAAAGUUUUCGUUCCUUUUAUAAAAGAAAUAAAUAAAUUUGGAGAUUUGUUUUAUAGCUCUAAAUGUGAAAAGGGAAUAGAGGUGUUGAAAUGGUAAUCAAUAAAAACCUACAAAAUUUUCAAUAAAGUAAUUUACAAAAUAAGAAUAAAAAUAUAAAAAAUUUACAAAAUAUUGGUAGUUUGAUUUUAUGAAAAUAUCGAAAAAUAUUAUAUAAAAAUUCCUAAAAAAUUUUGAUGCAAUCAAAAUUGGCCAAAACCCAUAACAAGAAAGGAAAACCCACCUUUUUCUUUUCAAUCCUAAACUUCAAAUACUCAAAUUCAAUUUUUCACACAAAAUUAAACUAAAUAUAUUUUUAGAAAAUUUAAAUAACUCUUGUUUUAGAAACUAGUUAAACUACCUUCAUGUAGUAUAAUUUAAAUUAAAAAAAUGAAUUUACCAUAAAUUAAUUAAAUUAUCAUUCUCAAAAAUUUAAUAUGACUAAAAUAAAUUUUGUUUUUUUUUUCUAUUUUUUCCCUUCUUUUUCAAGAAAAUUUAGAUCUAAAACUUUCCCAUGAAAUGAUAACUCAUAAACCACACCAACAAUACAAAAGUGGAAUCAAUAUAUAUAAAAUAAAUCCACAAAUUUCAAAAUCAUAAAACCAAAAUUCUAUCAUAUUUAACUACUAUUUUGAACUCUAAUUUCAAGGUUUUUAAUAAAAUCUUACCUCAAUGAAAUAGUGAUUUUUUUAAUUUUUUUUUCUUUAAUAAAAAAGUUGUUUUUUCCUCAGUUAUCUUUUUCCAUCUUCAACUUUAUUAUAAUACUCAAAUCUAAUUUUUUUUAUACAAAAUUAAACUAAAUUUAUUUUUGAAAAUUUUAUAUCACUUUUGUAUAAAAAAACUACUUAAACUACUUUAAUAUUAUAUAACUUGAAUAAAAAAAAUGAAUUUAUAAUUAACAAAGAUAUAAUAAAAAUAAAUAAAUAUGACUUAAAUAAAUUUUAUUUUUAUUUAUAUUUAUUGACAAAACCAUAACCUUUCAAUAGCCUGAUUGUGCUGGACCAAGCCCAUCUUAAAGUGGGAGUGUAACAGUAAGGAGAUAAUAAGAAAUGCCUGCUACUCGACCAAUAAGGAUAUAAUAAGAAAAAUUAUUGGUCUUUGACACUACUUUGAAAGUUUAUUUUGGGUUUUUUUUAGUCCUUUUUAGAGUGUAGGAUCAGUUAAAAUUUUUUUUUGCAUGGAUUGAAUCUUUGUUGUGCUCUUAAUUCAUGCAAGAGAAUGACAUCUUGUGGGAUGAGAAUUCUUUGAUCCCUAAAUUUUUUAUAUCACAAGCAACCAACAAACAAAUUCCAUACACCAAUGUUUUAAAAAUGUGACCAACCAAUCAAAUUAGUUGGCUCUACUUGGUUUGGAUACGAUCUUGACGAUUGGUAAAUUGGUGGAACCAACUAGGUUUGGAACCAGUCUUGAUUUUUUUCCAUUUAGGUUAGACAAAAAUUUUGGAAAAAAUCAAUAAAUAGAGAUGAUGUUGAAAUUUUAAUAAAAUUUAUCAUUUAUAUUUAUGUUCAACUAUUUUUCGUUAUGAUAUAGUUAUAGAAUGUAGUUGCAAACUAGAAGAAUAUAGUUGGAGGAAUGGUGUAUGCUCUAGUGGAUGGUGUCUCAAACUCAAUUCCCAUGGAUAGAGAAGUAAGAGUUAGAGACACAACAAAUGGAAUUGGCACUAAAACGGGUUUUGAAUUUGAUUGAGAAAUAACUAAUCUCAUGAUAGAUAAAGGAACGACUGUGCUAAGAAGAAAUUGGGUUUUGUUGCUGUUCUUUGUAGGUUGAUGAGUUCUUUGGUCUAACAUGUGUGAUUUUCUCACUUUUGAAACUUCAUUUUUGGUUUUGAUCCAUUUUAGAGAAGAUAUGUGAGACAAUCCAAAAUGGGGUUACAUUGUCUCUUGCUUUUGGCUGUUGUUAUCAUUUGUUGCAUUCAUAUGGUAGAAUGAUGAUUGUUAACUAAAACUUCUAUGACCAAGUUUGAAUUUGAUACAUGGGUGGAGCUUAUUUGUUUAAAUAUUCAUGUUUUGGUGAAUACAAGUCAUUUUAAUUGAGCAAAAAAUACAUAUAAUGUAGAAGAUGGAUAAAAUUAAGUUAUAUACUUAUAGAAAAUUAAGAUUUUAAGACUCUUCAAUUUAAUAAAAGUUUUUUUGUACUAAGGAUUAUGGGUUAUGCAUUCAAUUUUGGGUAGAAGGAAAAUACUAUCCAAACAAGGCCUACAUAUAAUCUAGAGCUUUCCCAUCCCUAGGAAGCUUAGGGAAUGGAUUAGAUUAAAUAAGUUAGCUCAAAAGUGAUGUAAAAUGUGGGUAUGUUGUAUAAAAACACACAUAUAUAUAUAUAUUUUCUUCUUGUUUUUCACCAUUCAAAAAGUUAUGAUUUGCUUAAUUUGAUUGAAAAAAAAAAAUCAUACUACUUUUUUUUUUUCCCAAUUAUAAAUUUUAGCCACUUUUUGUGAAAAUUAACCAAAAUUCUGUAGACACCAAAAAGAGGGGAAAAUGUCAUAGAUUUAGGUUAAUAAAGAAAUAUAGUUGGGAUAAAUAAUUAAAAUAUCUUACAUUGGACGAUCAUCAUAUCCCACUCAAAUUUAAUAAGGUAGUGGAAACAUAACUAAUAAAUAUAUUUUCAAAGAGAAUUUGAAAAUUUGAAAUUGGGAAUUUCUUCUAUUCAUUUUUAAUAAUUUUUAGGGGCUACUAUAAAUUUUAUCCACAAAGGGAUAACGUACUCUUUUUUUAGUAGUUAAACAAGCUAUAACCUUUGAGAAUCACUAUUGAUCUUAAUAAAGGUCCUUUUUAUAUUAAGAAAUUUCUCUUUGAAUAAAUUAAAAGAGAAAUUUUGCCUUUUAUUGCAAUUGUAAUGACAUUCACUUUCAAAGCUUGUAAUUAUACAUAGAGCAUAUAAAGAUCUACAAACAAAAUUUAUUACCUUCGCAGGUGAUCUUUGGCAUAGGUUGCUCUUCCUCUCAACAACCAUUUGACAAUUUUAUCCACAAAAUCAAAGUAGGUCUCACUCCAAGAUUUCCUUGUUGCCAAAACAAAAUAUGGAACUAAAAUACCCAUCGCAAAUCCCAAGCCAACACUCAAGUAAAACCAUUGAUCAAUAUAGCCACCAUCAUUUUUGUCCUCAAUAACACUACACUUUUUAUCUAGAUCUUCAUCUUGGCAUUUUGUGACCAAUGGAGCUCCACAAAGAUUAGGGUUUCCAACAAAGGCUAACUCAUUGAAGGUUGUCAUUUGCCCUAUAAAGGGGAUCUUACCAGAGAAAUUAUUAUUCGAUAGAUUCAAAUAACUCAAGAAUGUUAAUGAAACCAUGCUUGAAGGAAUGCUGCCGGAAAGCUUAUUCCUUGACAAAUCAAGAGAUAAUAAUUGGUGCAACAUUGAAAUGUUUUCAGGAAUUUGGCCACUGAUGUGAUUCCCAGACAAGUUCAAAACCACCAAACCAAACAAUCUUGUUAUUUCUUGGGGAAGCUCUCCACUUAAAUUAUUGUCGGAUAGGUCUAUGCCUACAACCAGAGAAAGAGUCCUGGUGUAUUCAAGACUUUGACCUUUCAUAAUCACCACCAAUCGUUCUUCAUACUGAGAGUUGCUCACAUUUUCAUACAAAGGAUAUAUAUUCUUGUUAUACUCCGGAACCAUGGCUUUAAGCUCAAACAAAGUGACUGGAAUUUCACCCAUCAGAUUGUUGUGUGCAAGGUCUAAGACAUGUAGGGAGCUUAAAUUUGAAAGCUGGGAGGGAAGUCUUCCAAAAAAUACAUUUGACCUCAAGUUGAGUAUUACAAGAUUUAUGAAAGCAAUUCCAAUCCAUGAAGGAACCUUACCCGAUAACUGGUUAUAACUGAGAUCAAGGAGUUCUAACCUUGAUAAAUUUUGGAAAGACGAGAGGAGCUCUCCUGAAAGCUUGUUGUCGUUCAGAUGCAAUGAUUUGAGCCAUUGUAACUGGCCCAAGGACUUUGGUAUCAUCCCAGAUAAAUUGUUAUUUCCAAGGUCAAGAACAAUUAGGCUAGAGCAAUUACCUAUGGUAUAAGGAAUGCUUCCAAUCAAAUUAUUCCUUGAAAAAUCAAUGACUUGAAGAGAGGUGAUGUGUCCUAUGGAAUCUGGGAUGGUCCCUGUUAUUUGAUUUUUCGAAAGCAAAAGGUGAUGCAUGUCUAACAUAGAUUCACCUUUGCUCAGUAGGAUAGGGCCAGAAAAUUUAUUGUAGGAGAGAUCUAGUGAAUAGACCCCUUUGAUUGAAAAAGGAAUAGGUCCCUCAAAGAGGUUGUGACUGAAAUCAAUAUAUGCAGAUUGAAAUUUUAAUGAAUUUGGUAGCUGACCUUGUAACUGAUUGUGAGAAAGAUUUAAGUACUGCAGAUUGAAAGAAAUAUUCCAAAACCACUUGGGUAUGGAACCUGAGAUGCUAGCAUUUGACAAAUCCAGCCAGGAGACCUCAUUUUGAGACCUAAGCCAAGUCGGGAAUGAAGGGCCUAAAUUGCAUGAAGCCAUAUAAAGAUCAGUGAGUUGGAAUGGGGGGACCCAGGUGGAACUAACAUUCAAAAUGAGACCAGAAUUUCCGCCCAUGAACAACAUCUUUAGCUUACUCAACUUUGAAAAAUGCUCUUCAGAAAGAAUUCCUGUCAAGGUAUUAAGAGUAUUAAAAUAAUUUCAUUUAUUUAUUUAUUUUAUGAAAAAUAAGAAAUUUCAAGAGAAAUGAAUUUUCAAAAAAUGUAUAAUAAAUCAAAUGAGUGGAAAAAAGAUAAUUUAAAAUAUUUUUUAAAAACAAGUGUUUACAUGGAAUCAAUAUAUACACAAUUACCAGAAGAAAAUUUUAAUGAAUUUGGUAGCUGACCUUGUAACUGAUUGUCAUAAAGAAUUAAGUCCUCCAGAUUGAAAGAAAUAUUCCAAAACCACUUGGGUAUGGAACCUGAGAUGCUAGCAUUUGACAAAUCCAGCCAGGAGACCUCAUUUUGAGACCUAAGCCAAGUCGGGAAUGAAGGGCCUAAAUUGCAUGAAGCCAUAUAAAGAUCAGUGAGUUGGAAUGGGGGGACCCAGGUGGAACUAACAUUCAAAAUGAGACCAGAAUUUCCGCCCAUGAACAACAUCUUUAGCUUACUCAACUUUGAAAAAUGCUCUUCAGAAAGAAUUCCUGUCAAGGUAUUAAGAGUAUUAAAAUAAUUUCAUUUAUUUAUUUAUUUUAUGAAAAAUAAGAAAUUUCAAGAGAAAUGAAUUUUCAAAAAAUGUAUAAUAAAUCAAAUGAGUGGAAAAAAGAUAAUUUAAAAUAUUUUUUAAAAACAAGUGUUUACAUGGAAUCAAUAUAUACACGAUUACCAGAAGAAAAUUUUAAUGAAUUUGGUAGCUGACCUUGUAACUGAUUGUCAUAAAGAAUUAAGUCCUCCAGAUUGAAAGAAAUAUUCCAAAACCACUUGGGUAUGGAACCUGAGAUGCUAGCAUUUGACAAAUCCAGCCAGGAGACCUCCUUUUGAGACCUAAGCCAAGUCGGGAAUGAAGGGCCUAAAUUGCAUGAACUCAUACCAAGAUCAGUGAUUUGGAAUUGGGGGACCCAGGUGGAACUAACAUUCAAAACGAGACCUGAAUUUUCAUCCAUCUGUAGAGUCUUCAGUUUACUUAACUUUGAAAAAUGUUCUUCAGAAAGAAUUCCAGUCAAGCGAUUAUAAGAAACAUCCAAGACAACCAAUUCAGAAAGUUGUCCAAAACUAACUGGGAGACUCCCAUUCAGUUCAUUCAUUUUAAGCCGCAUCUCAUUCAGAUCUUUGAAUGUCCCAAAAGAAGUAGGGAUAGGGCCUUGAAGCUUGUUGCCGGAUAGAUCGAGAUAUGUAAGUUUUUCCAGCUGACUCAAUCGUUCUGGCAAUCUGCCCACUAAUUGAUUCCAGGACAAGUCCAAAUACCUCAGUUUUGGUAAAGGACCUUCAAAACUGCAGUUUUUGAUCUCUUUGAGAAAUUCAGGGAAACUUCCUAUCAAGGUAUUGGCACCUAAAUCCAAAUGUUCUAAGUUGCAAAAAUUUCCGAUGGAGGUUGGAAUUGUACCUGCAAUCAUCAUCAAGAGUAUUAAAAUAAUUUGUUUUUAAUAAAUUGUUUUAUGAAAAAUAAGAAAGUUCACGAGAAAGGUAAGAAACUUUGCCUUCUUAAUGCAUUAUCAAAUGAACGAAGAAAAGAUAAUUUAAAAUAUUUUUAGAAACAAGUGUCUGCAUGGAAUAAAUUGAGAAUAUUGUUUUUAGAAAUUAAAGUUUCCAAACAAAAUUUUGUUUCAAAAUAUAAUAUAAUAUUUGUAAAAAUUAUUUUAAAAAUGUUUACAAGAAAACAAUUACAUUAUAAUAUUUGUAAAACUAUAAUAAAAAACUCAAAAAAUAAUUUUAGAAAACUAUUUUAAAAAUUGUUUACAACCAAAACCUAGAUUUUGUAGUGUAAUCUUUCAAAUACAUCAAAAGCCCUAAAAGGUCCCCUUUAUUGGUCAAUUGUGCAAUGAAUUUAUGACAAAUCAUGCAUCAUCAAGAGUUAAAAUAAUUUAAUUUAAAAUAUUUUUCAAAAAAAAAAAAAAAAGAGUUUAUGAGAAACAAAUUUGAUGAGUGGUGAGAAGAUAAUUGAAGUUGCUUUGAUGGUCUAAUGAUAAAAGUAAGAGAUUAUUGGAAAGUCAGAAUAAUUUAAUGCGAAAUAUUUUUUUAAAACAAGUGUUAAACUGUAAAACCACUACAUUAUUUUGAUGUAUCAAAAUCAAUAGGCAAUAAUAAUUUUUCUAAGCCAAAAACGUACCAAGAAAUUUAUUGAUUGCCAAAUUCAAAAAUUCUAUCUUCUUCCAACUUCCGCUUAACAGUUGAGAGCAACUACCUGUGAGAUUUUCAUUUGAAGAUAGAUCCAAGUGCUGCAAGUUAGGUAGUUCCCCAAGGGCAAGUGAAAUCUGCCCAUAUAACUUGUUAGAGCUUACAUCAAUGUAUACAAGGUUGCUAAGGUUUAGAAGCCAUAUUGGGAACUUUGACUGGAAAGAGUUGCCACUGAUGCUUAUGACAGACAAUGAAGUAAAAUUGAUAGAGUUUAGAGAUGAAAUGGAACCGGAGAGCCCACAAUCUUGUAGGUGCAACUCUGUUAAAAAUGAAAGCUUGUUGAAUACUUCCAUCCAGUGAGAUCCUACCAUUGAUAGGUCGACAUAGUUCAAUUUGAGAUGCCUUAAGGAAACAAGAUUAGUCAUCCAUUCAAGGUGCUUAACAAAUAAUUGAGAUUCAUAGGAAGAAAGAUCAAGAAAUUGCAAAUUAGAAAGGUUUCCCAAGGUUGGAGGAAUUGCACCUUUGAAUCCACAAUUUGAUAAGUUUAGAUAUUGUAAAUUUCUCAAAGAUCCGAAGAAUUUAGGAAUUGGGAUAUGCUCAAAUGAGUUGCCACUCAAAUCUAAAGAUCUCAAAGAUUUGAGUUCUAUCAAAGAAGGUCGAAUCUCCCCGCUUAAGUUCAUUGAACUCCAAUUUUCAUAUGCUUCUUCAAGAUAAUAUGGGUUAUGAAGAUCGAUUGAAAUAACAACUCCUGUGUUAUUUUCACAACCAAUUCCCUCCCAUUGACAACAAUUGCCUCCUAUCCAUGAUGAAAGUCGGUUGUUAGAAGAAUCUUUGAGACCAUUUUUGAAGUCAAGAAGAGCUUCUCGAUUAGCUCUUAAGCAAUUUCCCUCAAGGGUUUCACCCUUGCAAGCAAGAUCUCUUGUUAUGAAACAUAGAAUGACCAAAAGGAAACCAAGAAUUGAAAUUUUCUCCAUCUAAGAACACCUAUAAAAACAAGUAAUUAAUAUUAAGUUCCGAUAGAAGAAUCAAAAUAGUGAUGAAAUUUGAUAAGUAAUCAAAACUUCAAGUUAUUGGAUAUUAAAUAACAUAUAUAUUUUAAUCAAUCAUAAUUUUAAUAAGAUUAAAACAUGUCAAGUGGAUGGCAUACUUGAACUUCCAUAUCAAAUAUGGUCUGAUGAUUGUUGUUUAUCAAAACAACAGAAAUCACCCACAAGAGAAGCUUAGAAGCAUUAGGUAGAGGAAAACACUAGAGACAACUUGGCAUUAUUGGUAAAGUAAAACAAGAUUAGUCAUCCAUUCAAGAUCAUUAACAUAUAAAUCAUAAGAUUCAGAAUUAACAAAUAAAUCAAAAGAUUGAUGGCUAGAAAGAUCAAGAAAUUUCAAAUUAGAGAUGUUUCCCAGACCAUGAGGAAUUGCACCAUUGAACCCAUAAUUUGAUAAGUUUAGAUAUCGUAAAUUCUAAAAAAUACAAAGAACUCAGGAAUUGGAAUACGUUAAAAUGAGUUGUCACUCAAAUCUAAAUAUCUCAAGGAUAUGAGUUCUAUCAAUGAAUGACCAAUCUCUCCACACAAGUUCAUAGAGGUCCCAUUCUCAUAUGCUUCCUUUGGAGAAUAUGGCUUAAGAAGAUCGAUUGAAAUAAUAGCUCUUGUUUUAUUUUCAUAAUCAAUUCCUUCCUAUUGACAACAAUCAAGGCCUCUCCAUGAUGAAAGCCAAUUGUUAGAACUUUUGAGACCAUUUUUGAAGCGAGUAAGAGCAUCUCUAUCAGUUUUUAAGCAAUUUCUCAAAUUGGUCUCACCUUUUCAAGCAAGUUCUCUUAUUAUUAAACAUAAAAUGAUCAAAAGGAAACCAAGAAUUAAAAUUUUGUCCAUCUAGGAACACAUGUAGAAACAAGUAAAAUAAAGUUCCAACACAACAAUAAAAAUAGUGACAAAAUUCAAUUAGUGAUGGAAUCAAGGCAUCGGCCAAUUAAUAACAUAUUUAACUUAACCACUCAUUUGUUUAGAAAGAUUAAAAAUUGCUAAGUAAACAACAUACUUGAAUGCAUGUCAAAGUAAAUAUAAUUGAAAUCAUCUCAACAAAUAUCAAAUAUGCUUUGAUGAUUGCUAUUGAUCAAAACAUUCCAACUAUAGAAAUCACCUACAAAAAAAAAAAAAAAAAAAAAAAACCUUGCAGCAUUAGGUAGAGAGAAACACUAUAAAUAACUUGGCAUUAUUAGUGGAGAUCUUACCAAUUAUCUUCCUUUUUUUUUUUCUGGUGUAGUCAUUCCUUUGGAUGUAGAGACAUAUAUAGAAGAUAAUUCAACUAGAUACCAUAUGGAUGAUAGUGAUAGGCUCCUUUCCUUUCUUUUUAGCAAUAUUUUGAAAAAUGGAUCAGACCAACCAAUUGAACCAAUUCAAUUGCUAACCAAUUCACUUUCCAAUUUAGGUGACCUUUUCCAACCAUUUUGGGUUUAAAACGAUGGGAAACCGAUUACCACUACUUGAUUAUGAUCAAAUUGUGCAUAUGAAGUAAAAAGUUGAAUUUGCCAUUAUCUUUCUAAAAUAAAAUUUCCAAGAAAAAAAAAUUUAGGUGAUGUUUAUCUUUUUAACUUAAUAUAAAAUGAAAUUUAAUUUCAAACUUCAACUAUUUGUUUUAAUUUUUUUUAUAUAUUUUUAACUUAUUUAUUAAUAUUUUUAAUUCAAUAGAAAACAACUAAAAUACGUAACUUUUUACGUAAUUUAAAAAGUUAACCAAUUCAUACUUCUAACCCCUCACACCUAACUCACAUUGUGAAAAAAUAAUUAAAUUAAUACUUAAUACUUUUAAUUUGUAUUUAAAAUUAAACUAAAUUAAGUUCUAUUUAUAUUUAAGAAAAAAACACCAUCUUAAUCUAUUAGCUCUUAAUUUUUUUUCUUUUUAAAUGAGAGAGACUUAAUCUAUCAUGUUCACCCAAACUAUAACUUUGCAUAAUGUCAAUGAUAAUAGUAAUAGUAAUAACAAUAAUAAUAAUAAUAAUAACAAAUAUGCACAUGUAGAUGAUAAAGUCAUUAGUUCUAUGAAUUGAGUCAUAGAAAAACCUUCCUCAAAAUAUCACAAUCUUUAUGUUGUCCUAUCAAUAUGUAUAUAAGGGAUACCAAUAUGUUUAUAAGCAAUGUUUCACAAUCUUAUGAAAAAUUAAGGGAAAAAAAUAAAAUAACCAAUAACACAUCAACAAUUUUAGCAUACCAUCCAAAAUAAAUAAAAUCUCUUAAAAAUUUGAAAAAUUCUAUCUUGAGGUUAUCAUUUCUGAUAGAAUGACCAUGCCCAUCAAAGUUGGCUCUGCGUUAAUCCAGUCCAAUCAAUCAAAUCAACUAUUUAAAGUGAUCCAAAGAUUGGGACCACUUUUUAAAGACAUUUUUGUCAUUUCAUGUCUUGGGAAAUUUAAGGACAUUAUUUUCCUCAUUCAUGUAUUCAAGGUUUAUGUCGUGUCUACCAAGGUGGCUAUUUUUCCUUCAAUCAUUUUUAAUACAUUUUCUUUCAUGUCUUGCAACCUUAUCAAGAAAAUUUUGCAUUACCUUGACUUUGACUCCAUGUUUGGGUCAUCCAGAUUAGGGUCCUAUAAUUGUUGUGACUUGUCAAUUGCAUUUUAAAUUUUAUAGAACUUUGGUGAAUAUUUGCAAAUAAUAGAUAUUUUAUAUAUUUUAAUUUUUGUUGAAAAUAAUUUUUCUUUUUUUGGUAAAAAGAAUUUUACACUAGCAAUUCAUUUCCUCACAUGGAAGUGCUAGAGUUUUUUUAAAAUUACCUAAUCCAUUAGGUACUUUUACAAAGUAUACAUGAUUUAGUUGUGCUUCAAUGAAUCAAUUGCUUUAGAUUAAUUAAUUUUCAACCAAUUGAAUUAUACAUUCAGAUAUAAGGUAAUUUGGGUAACUAACAUUUAAUAGCUUAAUAAUUUCUUUAUUUAAAUCUUAUAAAAUUAAAUAUAUAACUUAUCAUAAACAAGUUGGAAGCAAAUAGUCAUUCAAGCCUUCAUUUUUCCUUUUCGAUUUGCUAUAAAGCUGAUUUUUUUUCCUAAGAACAAAAUAUUUGAGAAGAAAAUAAAAAAGUUACAAAUUAAAACCACAAUGAAAAAUAAUAAGAAAAAUAAACAAUAAGAAAACAGAAACAAAAAACACAUAAACGAUUUAUGUAGUUUGCUCUAAAGCCUACAUUCAUAAAUGAAGAUAGAAAGGAACUUCCACUAUUGUUUAAGAAGAUUAUAAUCCUAUAACUCUUAAAUUCUAAAGUCUAAAUUAAUUAUACCAAGAAAAAUGAUUAUUUCUUAUUCGCUAAAAUGUCUUCUCAUAUUUUCUUGGUUGGAAUAUUUAAUAUAAGGAACUAAUUAUCUAAUUAUUAGAGAUACAUAAUAUUUGUAGAGAUAUUACUACUAGUUUUCCUUAUUCUAUUAAAGAAAUUUAAUUACAAUUAUGAAAUAUUUUAUAUAAGGUGGUGAGGACUAUGCGUGGUAGAUAGAGAUAUAAGGAAGAGUGAGAGACACUUGGUGGAGUAAGAGGGCUCACUAAGGUGUAGAUAUGAGAAUGAGUGAAAGAUAUCUGGUGGAACAAAAAGACUCAUGAUUCAAGGUGGGGAUAAAGCGUAGGGAAACUUGAGAUGUUUUGACACCCAAUAGUUGUAUCUAUUUCUAUUCUCUAUACUAUUUUAUAUGGCAUUGUAGAAUGUUAUUUCUCAUCCAUUAAGGUAGGCAUGGUUGGUUGAAUCUUUGUGCGUGGUUUGCUUUAUUUUUGUAUUUUUUUUCUUUAACAUAUCUAUGUUGAAGUUGUUGUUGGCCCAAUAAGUGGUAUCAAAGCUUCUGAUGAUAUAACAAGUAUUUGUUGGGAAACUUGAAACAUCUAAAUACAAUAAGAAAAAAAAUGAAAUAAAAAAAGACAAAAUAUUUACCUAGUUCGAGAUAAUCGCCCACAUCUAUGGGAAAGAAAGAUCAAAUUUAUUAAUAAACUUUACACACUUCAAACUAUCUUGACCAUUCUUUACCCAAAACUCAUACACCUUUUGACUAUCUCUAUUCAUUCUUUGCUCAUUUUUUCUUUCUAUCCUAAAAUCAUAUAUAAAACCACAUAUCUAUAAAGUUCUAAUCUUGAUCAAACUUAAAAGGGUCAUUUACCCAAAUAAAAACUAUACAAAUAUUAAAUUUUCACAAAAUAAAUAUAAUAAAUAAAUUGAAUUUAUAUAUAUAUAUAUAUAUAUUAAAAGAAUUUUUUUCUUCCAAAUGCAAGAGACCAAGUACCCCGACAAGGACUUAGAUAUCAUUUUUAAGGUAGAAAAUUUAUGACAAUGAAAAAUUUUCCACAUUUCCUUUCAUUGAAUUCCACAUCCAUACCAAAUGAAGAUUGUGACCACUUUUUAAAGAUGUUUUUGUCAUGCCAUGUCAAGGGAAAUUUAAGUAUAUUAUUUUCUUCAUUCAUUUAUUCAAGGUUUAUGCCAUGUCUACCAAGGUGGCCAUUUUUUCUUCAAUUUUUUGUCAUGUCUUGCUACCUUAUCAAGAAAAUUUUGUAUUAGCUUGACUUUGACAGCAUGUUUAGGUCAUCUGGAUUGGGGCCCUGUAAUUGCCCGUGACUAAAAAAAAUACAAAAAUAAAGACUUAGAAACUAAAAUUCUAGUUCAUGUCAACAAAUUUUAACAAAGCACUCCAUAAUAUAUGAAAUUUCUUAAAAAUUGUAUUUUUGUAAUAAUAGUUCUAAGCUUUUUUCUCCCUUUAUUUUAAGAAACAUUUGAAAGUGUCAACUGCAUUUUAAAUUUUGUAGGACUUUGAUGAUUAUUUGUAAAUAAUAGAUAUUUUAUAUAUUUUAAUUUUUAUUGAAAAUAAAUUUAUUUUGGUAAAAGGAAUUUUAUAGUAGAAAUUCAUUUCCUCACAUGGAAGUGCUAUAAAAAAAAAAUUUAAAUUACCUAAUCCAUUUGGUGCUUUUACAAAGUAUAUAUGAUUUAGUUGUGCUUCAAUGUAUCAUUUGCUUUGGAUUAAUUAAUUUCCAACCAAAUGAAUUAUACAUUUAGAUAUAAGGUAAUUUGGGUAACUAACAUUUAAUAGCUUCAUAAUUUCUUUAUUUAAAUCUUAUAAAAUUAAAUAUAUAACUUAUUAUAAACAAGUUGGAAGCAAAUAGUCAUUCAAGCCUUCAUUUUUCCUUUUCGAAUUGCUAUAAAGUUGAUUUUCUUUCCUAAAGAAUAAAAUAUUUGAGAAAAUUUUGAAAAGAAAUAAAAGAAGUUAUAAAGUAAAAUCACAAUGAAAAAUAAUAAGAAAAAUAAAAAGAUGAAAAAACAAAAACAAAAAACAUGUAAAACACGAUUUAUGUAGUUUGCCCUAAACCCUACAUUCACAAACAAAGAUAAAAAGGAACUUUUACUGUUGUUUAAAAAGAUUAUAAUCCUAUAACCCUUAAAUCCUAAAGUCUAAAUUAAUUAUACCUAGAAAAAUGAUUCUUUCUUAUUCGCUAUAAUGUCUUCUCAUAUUUUCUUGAUUACAUUGGAAUAUUUAAUAGAAGGAACUAAUUAUUUAAUUGUUAGAGAUACCUAUGAUAUUUUCUUUAUAAUUUGCAUGAGAAAAACCUUAUAAUAUCUUAUAAAGUUAAAAAUCCACAAUAAUAAAUCAUAUUAAAAGUCUCACUACAUCUCUGACAAUGAUUUUUGAAUUAUUUUAAAAUAUAUACAAAAUCGAACUCCCAAUAACAUCAAUAGGAUUGUAAAUAUUUCUCUUCUAUCAUUUAAAAUAAAAAGGAAAGAAAGACCAAAUUAUUGCUUUGGAAACCCAAUUCUUCUGUAGUUUAGUUUUAUAAAAUCAAUUAGAAAAUAAAAAAAAAUUCUUAGAAUAUUCAUUUUGCAAUCCUUUGUUGUUUUUACAAUCCAAUUUGACAUAUUUUAAAUUGUAGGAAUUCUUUGGAGGAAUUUGAAAAUCAAUUUCUGGUUUAUAGCUUAAAACAUUACUCUAAUCACUUAGAGCAUGUUUGACAAUGAUAUUAGAAGUUUGAAAUUUUCUAUCAUGACAUUAUUAUUAGGAUUAUAUAAAAGAAAGGAAAAUAGUUAUCACCUAAUCCAAUCAUGUCAACUUUAGAUAGUUGGAAGUGAUCCAAAAAUUGUGCAACUAGUUUAUGUCAUGUAAUUUUAUAAUGUUUCUAUCACUAUGACCACUUUUUCUUCACUCAUUGUUAAUAUAUUUUUUCGCUUCUUGGUACCAUAUUAAGGAAAAUUUUCAUUGGAUUGACUUCAACUUUAUGGUUAGAUCAUCAACAUUCAAGCCUUUUCAAUGGCCUCUAACUAAAAAAUAUACAAAUAUAUAAAUUAAAAAUUCAAAGUCCAAAAAAAUGUUGCUAUCUUCACUUAAAACAUUAUUUUUGAAGUCGUGUCCUUUUGUCCUCUUGCACAAAACAAAAAGUACUCCUUACUCCAAUCCAAGGAUGUAUAGAAAAUAAUAAAAUAUGAAUUGACUAACCUAAGUAUGAAGUCAAGAACCAUCUUCUCAUUUAUUAAAGGAACCAUUUUUAAUCAUAUCAACUACUUAAAUAGGGUUAGAGCUUUAACAAUUAACUUUAUUUGAACUUUAUUAUCAAUUGGCCAUAUUCUUUCCAUUAAUUAAUUACCUUCAAAUUAGUUAUGUAUUAAUUAACAAAAUUUUCUAUCUGAAUUUAUAAUUGAAUAAUUACAACUAAGUGAUACAAAAUUCAAAUUAGGUUCUAUUUGGAUUAAAGUAAAAUAAAAAUAAAAAAUCACCAUCUUAAUCUAUUAUCUCUUAAUUUUAAUUUUAAUUUUUUAAAUGAGAGAGACUUAAUCUAUUAUGUUGACUCAAACUUUAACUUUGCAUUAUAUCUUGUUAUCCUAUUAGCAUGACUUUGCUACUACUUGUCCCACACAAGAAAUAAUAUGCACAUAUAGAUGAUAAAAUCAUUAGUUGUAUGAAUUGAGUCAUGGAAAAACCUUCCUCAAAAUAUCACAAUCUUCAUGAUGUCCUAUCAAUAAGUAUACAAGUAAUAUUUCACAAUCUUAUAAAAAUUUAAGGAAAAAUAAAAUAAAAUAAUCAAUAACACAUCAACAAUUUUAGCAUGCCACCUCGAAAUAAAUAAAAUCUCUUGAACAUUUGAAAAUUUCUAUGAUGAGGUUACCAUUUCUGAUAGGACCAUGCCCAUCAAAGCUGGCUCAGCACUAUAAAAUCCAAUCCAAUUAACAAAUCAACUAUUUAAAAUAAUCCAAAGAUUGUGGCCUUUUAAAGACAUUUUUGUCAUGUCAUGUGUAAUCAAGUCAGCUUUGAAUAAGAUGCAAGGGAAAUUUAAAGACAUUAUUUUCCUCAUUCAUUUAAUUAAAGGUUUGUGCCGUGUCUACCAAGGUGGCCAUUUUUUUUCAAUCAUAUUUAAUUUGUCAUUUCUUGUUAUCUUAUCAAGAAAAUUUUGCACUAGCUUGACUUUGACUCUAUGUUUGGGUCAUCUAGAUUAUGGCCUUAUAACUGUCUAUGACUUGUCAAAUAUUACAUUUUAAAUUUUAUUGAACUUUGAUGAAUAUUUGUAAAUAAUAGAUAUUUUAUAUAUUUUGAUUUUCAUUGAAAAUAUAUAUUUUUUUUUUGGUAAAAUAAAUUUUACACUAGCAAUUCAUUUCCUCACAUGGAAGUGUUGGAAAAAAUUUAAAAAUUACCUAAUCCAUUUGGUGCUUUUACAAAGUACACAUGAAUUAGUUGUGCUUCAAUGAAUCAAUUGCUUUAGAUUAAUUAAUUUCCAACCAACUGAAUUAUACAUUUAGAUAUAAGGAAAUUUGGGUAACUAACAUUUAAUAGCUUCAUAAUUUCUUUAUUAUAUAUAUAACUUAUUAUAAACAAGUUGGGAGCAUAUAGUCAUUCAAGUCUUCAUUUUUCCUUUUCGAUUUGCUAUAAAGUUAAUUUUCUUUCGUAAAGAAUAAAACAUUUGAGAAAAUUUUGAGAAGAAAUAAAAGAAGUUAUAAAUUAAAACCACAAAAAAAAAAAAAAAAAAUGAAAACAAAAACAAAAAACACGUAAAACAUGAUUUAUGUAGUUUGCCCUAAAGGCCACAUUCACAAAUAAAAAUAAAAAGGAACUUUCACUAUUGUUUAAGAAGAUUAUAAUCCUACAACUCUUAAAUCCUAAAGUCUAAAUUAGUUAUACCUAAAAAAAAUUAUUCUUUCUUAUUCACUUAAAUUUCUUCUCAUAUUUUCUUGAUUACAUUGGAAUAUUUAAUAUAAGGAACUAAUUAUCUAAUUAUUAAUAGAGAUGCCUAAGAUAGUUUCUUUAUAAUAAUAGAAAGUCUCUAUAGAAUAUAUCAUAAUAAGAAAAUAUCAAACGCAUACAAAUUAAUUCAAAUGUUAAUUUAACAUACUUUCCAACAAUAUAAAUCCAUCUCGACUCAAAUUCCCAAGAUUUAAACAUACUUGAAAGUCAUCUUUCAUGUUUCUUUACUCCACACACUUAAACAAAUUUUAGGUACAAUAAUCUCCAAUUGAGUUUAGACAAUUCUUGAGCUUAAAUAUAGAAAGAAAUUUAGUAAUUACAUCUAUUAGACUCUCUAAUACAAUGAUCUUUUUACUAGUGUCUUUUGUACUAAGUAAAGAAGCAACAAAAUCAUCAAUAGCAUACCUAUGAGAUAGUUUAAUCCACUUUCUUAUUUUGCCCCUAACCAAAGUAUAUUAUUGCUUUUAUGACACAUUUUCUUUAUCAUCAAUAUUUUGCAACUCUUCCUCAUUUAAUUUUAUUGAAAGUUUCUUUUCUAUAGUUGAUGAAGCAUUAAAUUGGAACUCCACCUUUUUUCUCGCCUUAGAAUUGUUUUAUGUAUCAAAUUGCUCUUUUCUAUUACUCAACUUUGGAGGCUCAUCAAAGAUCACAUAUUAGACAAUUAAAGGAUUUUGAACGAGGGUACCACAACCUAUACCCUUUCACACUAUCUACAUACCGUGAAAAUAUGUGCUUCCUUAUCCUUGCAUCUAAUUUAUCUUCAUUGAAAUAAGUAUAAGUAGAACAAUUAAUUUUUUUUUAAUUAUCCUUAGUUGUAAUUUAUCUUCAUUUGAAUGAGCAUAAAAAGAACAACUAUUUUAAAAAAAAAUUAUAUACAUACUUCUUGAGAAAACAAAUGGUAUUUUAUUAAAAUUGAAAUAUGAGGAGUUCUUUUUUUAUAUAAGAAAAAAACAAAUCUUGAACAAUUACAUAAUGGAUUUUUAAUGCAUCGAUUUCCUAAUAUAUAAAUAUAAUACAAUAUUUAACUAGGUUAUUAAUUUGAAAUUUAGUUAUAUUAUAAUAUGAUUUUUUUUUUUUUCAUGUCAUAUUCUGAGCACUACAUAAAAGCUAUGGUCUUUGGGUGUAAGGGCAAAUGUGUAGAAUUAAAUGAUUUUUUCAUGUUUUUUUGAAAAUUAAAUUCAACAUUUAAAUUUGAGAAAUUAUAACUUCAACACUUAUAAUUUAGCAAUAAACUUUUUUAUAUUUAAUUUUUAGUUUUAUUAGCACCAUUUUAAUCUUUGUAUAACACUAAAACCUUUUUUUUUUUUUUUUUAACUUGUGUGCUUAAAAAUGUUUUUAUUAAAUAUAAGAAUAAUUAUAAUGUUUCUAAAAAUUUUAAUUAAAUAAAAAUUUGCUUCCAAUGUUGCAUUUGACAAAAAUCAAGAGUAUCCUUAUUUAUCUGAAAAGCAAAUAAAUCAUAUGGGGAAGUGUGGUAUCCAAGAUUGAAAGUUUGGAUGCUUAUGGUAUUGUAUAAGAUUUAGCUCUAUCGAUCUAUACAUAAUAAAUGCUAGUUACUAAUAGGUAAGAAAAUCACCAAAACCGUGUGUCCAUUUCGUUUUCAAGAAAAAUAAACUAUGUGCAUCAUAGUAAUCAAAGUCUAUGGUUAGGGCUAUCCCAAGUCAAGGUCUUGCUAAAAGGUAAAUUAAUUAUAUAUCAUAGCUCAUAAACUUAAUUUUAUAUAAACUAAAAAGUAAAUUAAUGAUAUAUCAUGGUUCAUAGUGGUUAGAAAAAUUGAUAAAUUUCUUUGAGUUAUUAUAAGUAAAUCUCAUUACUAACAAUUGGAAAGAACUUUGUUUUUUGUUUUUCUAGUUGUUAGUUCACUAGACCUCUUGAGGUCACUACACGAAAAGUACUUAUAUAUAUCAAAAGAUUUUUUUUCUUCAACACCCAAGAGACCAAUGCCACCAACAAGAACUAGAUAUAAUAUCAUUGAAUUUUUAUGAACGAAGCACAACUUGCCUAUGCAAGAAGGUAGAAUAGAAGAAUUUUCCACAUUUCCUUUUAUUGAAAUCCACAUCCAUACCAUGAUAAUUUGUGCCUUCAUCCGAGAAGUUGUAAUAUUAUAAAUAUAAGAAAAUAUUAUUGGUUCUUGCCUAGUAUUCUCUUUUCGCUAUCAGUUGGAAAAGAGACAAUUUUCACAAUAAUGUGUGCCAGGACUUCUACAAUAUCCUUUGCACACUUAUAAAUGUUAAAAAAAAAAAAAAAAAAGUUUCAAAACCCCAAGACUUCAAAAAAAAAAAAUUGUUAAACUAAUUAUGGAACUUAUAACUUUUUAGAUGAGUGUAUUUACUAACUAUGCAAUCUAACAAAAUCUAUAAAAGUUCAUUAAGGAAAAAAAUAUUUAUGAGAUGUUAUAUUUUAUACUACAUAACAUUAUGCUUUGAGGAAAAAUUCUCUAGUUGUAGAACAAUUUCUUCUAAAUUAAAAGAGAAAAAAAUUGUCACUCUCUUGUAUAAUGAUUGAUUUAAGUGGUUAGAAGAAUGAUACUUGGUGAUAAAUAAUAUGAGAAUCAAUUUUUAUAAUAUAAUAAAUAUCUCAUCAAAUCAAAUGGCUAGUCUCAUACUUAUCCAUCAAUAACACACUAAAUAUCCAACCACCCCACCAAUCUCAUUAAAACCCUAUAAUACCCUAUAAAUCAUCUUUAUCAUUCUUGAAAAAAUCCACAAUAAUAAAUCAUAUUAAAAGGCUCACUACAUCCCUAACAAUGAUUUUUGAAAUUAUUUUAAAACAUAUACAAAAUCGGACUUCCAAUAACAUCAAUAGGCUUGUAAAUAUUUCUCUCUCCUACCUUCUUAAAUUUUUCGUCUACGCUUGUCACCAUAUCAAGUCAAAAUCAUGUUGAAGUGUUAGCCAAACAAAAAAAGACUUGAGCCACUAUCUUCACUUAAACGUCAAGUUUUAAUGGAGACAAAUGAAUUAUGGGGCCAUGGAACAGAUUUCUUCAUCUUGAUAAGUUGUAGGUCAUGAACCAAGUUGCUUGAAAAGGACGGUAGAGGACUGAAAUAUUUCCUCACAAGAGCCUUAUAAUAUUAUAUCUUGAUGACUUCCAAUAAGUCAAUACCACUUUCCCCCACAAGAUGUCUUCAAUGGGUCGAAAUUCAAAAUAAAUGAUUCACCUAAUGUGAUGGAAAUAGAAAUAAUUUGCAUGCAUUUCCUUUACUUUAUUUAUUUGGCAUAUCAUAACUCAAACUUUUUUUUUUUUAAUCAACUUACUGUUGCACUAUUCAUUUAGUUUAUCUUAUACAAAUAUAUACACUAAAUAAUAAUAAUUUCAUAAAUAAAAAAUUCACCACCCAAAAAUAUAAAAAAAAAUUAAUGUUUAUUUCUAAUUUUUUUAAAAUUUAUAUUAUCAAAAUUUCUAAGCUUUGGACAAUUUGACUAAAUUACGAAGUCAAAAAUUUAUUGAAAAAAACUAAUUACAAAAAAUAUUAAAAAGAAAUUCCAAGUGACACAAAGACAAAUACAAAAAAAGAAAAAAAAAUGAGGACUUUAACAAAAGAAAGUUUUUAUUACUUAUUAAUGUAAAACUUGAUUAAUAUAUUGUAAAAAUAAAAAGAAAAAUAGUUGUUAAAGUAAAUUUGUAAAAGUAUAUUGAAAAUAAAACAAACUCUCUCUACACUCCUACUUCAUCUAAUUUCUUGAAACCCCUGGUUUCUCUACGAUCUUUGCAAAUAUAAGUUAUUUGCUUAUGUUCUCAAGGGUCAUAUUUGGUUAGAGUUUUUUCUUUUUUCUUUUUUUUUUGGUGGAUAAAAAACACAGGAAAAUGAGAAAGGGAAAACGAGAAAGCAUUAGUUUGUGGGCCUAAUGCUUUCUCCACUGUCCAUGAAUUUAAGGACCAUUAAAGAAUCAAAUUUAUGUAAAUCAUGUGUAAAUGUUGGUUAAAAAAGAUGGCAUUGCCUGAAGGGAUAAACACAAAGAAUGCACAACCAUGUUUUAUCCCCUCUUGUGAGAACCUAAUAGGAAUCAAUCAAAUAGAGCAACAAGAAUUCACCCAAUCAACAAGUAUAUGAACACCAAUAAUUUUAGCGUGGAAAACCUUCUCCAAUAUGAGAAGUAAAAACCACGAGACCUUUAAGCCACUUAAAAACUCCAGUAAUAUAAUUAAUGGGUUGCACAAUUCUCUCUAGAUAAAACUACAGGCAUACAUCAACCAUAUCUCAAGAUCAAUUAAUCUCGGCAAUUUCAAUAACUUUGGAUAAAAAUAAUGGAAAGAUCUCACCAAACACACCACUGUUCUCGGACUAAAAUAUAACUGUUCCAAACUCCAAAUCCAAUCUCCACCGUUCAGAAUGAAGAUCAAUAAGUCAUGAACGUGCUAUCCAAAAAUCGGCUCAAUCGAACCACGGAUUAAUCUUGAUCGGAGCUUAUGAUCAAAACUAUCCGGAUAGAAAAUGCAUCAAAACAGAGGCUUUGUUCUCGGACUGAAAGACGACCGUCCAGAUCUCCAAAUCCGAUCUCCACCGUUCAGAUUGAAGAUCAAUGAGUUAUGAACCUCUCCUCCAAAUUUCAGGUCGAUCGGCCCACAGACGAAGUGGGAUCGUACCUUUGAUGAAAUCUGGGCAAUGAAGAAAAAACUGUGUUUUUCUCUUCAAAAAUGGUGGUUCUCCCCUUCUCUCUCUUUUCUCUCUCUCUUUUUCUUCUACCUCCGGUGGCUGCAAAAAAUUGGAAGAAGAAGAAGAAAAGGGAUUCUUCUUCUACCCCUUUUAUAUAAAGGCUUAAGAGGCCUUAAAUUUUGGGCUCUCAAUUUUGGGCCUUCCACAUGAGGAAAAACCCAACAAAUCUCCCCCUUUCCAAUUAUGUGGAGGGACUCGCUAUUCCGGCGAUUGAAUAGCAAACUUCAAGCUUCUCCCUUGGUAAGGACUUCGUUAACAUAUCUGAGUCAUUGUGAUCUAUAAGUAUCUUCUCAAGUUCAAACAAGUUGUCAUUGAGAGCAUUUCUCAUCCAAUGAUACCUCACAUCAAUGUGCUUCGAUCUUACAUGAAAGGUAAAAUUCUUACUAAGGUGAAUGGCGCUCUGGUUAUCACAGUAUACCACAUAGCGUUGCUACUUAAACCCAAACUCAUGUAUGAAACGUUUCAUCCACAACAACUCUUUACAUGCUUCUACUGCUGCAAUGUACUCUACCUCUAUUGUAGAAAGUGCAACACAUUUCUGUAGUUUUAAUUGCCAAGACACAACACCUCCUGAGAAUGCCAUUAAAUAGCCUAAAGUAGACCUUCUAUUAUAUACAUCCCCUACCAUAUCUGAAUUAGUGUAGCCAACAAGUACUAGUUUCCCACUUCCAAAAGUGAGUUUCAACUUAGAAGUGCCUCGCAAAUAUCUCAUAAUUCACUUGAUUGCCUCCCAAUGUAGUCUUCCUGGAUUAGAUAGAAAGUGGCUAACAACACCAACUGCAUAAGUUAUGUCUGGUCUAGUACAUACCAUGACAUACAUCAAACUUCCUACUGUUGAGGCAUACGGAACUCUUCUCAUGUCUUCCUUAUCCUUAUCUAUAGAAGGGCAAUGUCUACUGCUUAGCUUAAAGUGACUAGCUAGAGGAGAACUAACCACUUUAGCUUUGCUCAUGUUAAAUCUUUCAAGCACCUUUUCAAUAUAUUGCUCCUAUGACAUAUAUAGCUUCUUGGAUGCUCUAUCUCGCUCAAUUCUAAUACCAAGAAUUUUCUUUACUGGCCCCAAAUCCUUCAUGGAAAAGGAUUUACUUAACUGCUUCUUCAGCUUAUCAAUUCUUGAAACAUUUCUGCCAAUAAUCAAGAUAUCAUCAACAUAGAACAACAAUAUAACAAAAUCAUCAUCAGAGAAUUUCUGCAUAAAUACACAAUGGUCAGAAGUAGUUUUUCGGUAGCCUUGCUCUCCCAUAACUGAUUCAAACUUCUUAUACCACUGUCUUGGUGCCUGCUUUAACCCAUAAGGACUUUCUUCAACUUACACACAUAAUCCUCUUUUCCUUUUAUUGUGAAACCCUCUGGCUAUUCCAUAUAAAUUUCUUUGUCUAAAUCACCAUGGAGAAAUACAGUUUUAACAUCCAUCUGCUCAAUCUCCAAAUCAAGACUAGAUGUCAAGCCCAAAAUAACACGAAUAGAUGACAUCUUAACAACAGGAGAAAAAAUCUCAUCAAAAUCAAUACAUUUCUUUUAACUGAACCCUUUAACAACCAAUCUAACUUUGUAACGUGGCUGUAAAGUGUGUUCUUCUUGCUUCACUCUAUAAACCCACCUAUUCUUCAAAGCUCUUUUUCUCUUUGGCAACUCGACAAGUUCAAAAGAAUGAUUCUCAUGCAAUGACUUCAUCUCAUCUUGCAUAGCAUCAACCCACUUCAUCUUAUUUUCAUCUCCCAUGGCUUCCUCAUAACUUUCAGGUUCUCCCCCGUCAGUUAGUAAUACAUAAUCAUCAACAAAAUACCAUGUGGAAGGAUGUAGGUCUCCGUUAGACCUCCUGAGUGGAAUAUCUAGUGGAGCCUUUGCUACUGGUGACUACUCAUGAACAUCAUCAUCCAUCUCAACCUGUGUGGGAGUUUCAACAUCACCAAUGUCAUGUUGGUCAUCAUGUGCUUAAUCUUCAACCUGUGUAGGAAGAUGUGUCAAAGGAACUGGAUCUAAGUCAAUCAGAUUAUCACUAUACUGAAACUAUGUUGCAUCAGUCUUCUCAAUGUGUUUGACAUUCUUCAAAAUCAACACAGUACCAUUACUAGUCUCCAAACACACAUCUCCCAUACCAAUGGCUUUAGCUGAGCCAUCAUUACCCAUCUUAACACUUCCAAAAUCACCGGAUGUGUAGGAUGUAAGGAAAUCUUUCCAAGGUGUAGCAUGGAUUGAGGCACCACUAUCAAUCACCCAACUGGUCUCCUGGCAAACAAAAUUAACAACAUUACUAUCAUAAACAAUAAGGAAAUCUGAAGUGGUAGUGGCAACUUGAUCAUCUUCACCACCAUUGUCAUUAUUCUUGUCUUUCACUUUCCCUUGUUUCAUAUCUAUCUUCAAUUGGCGACAAUACUUCCUUAUAUGCCCUUUCAAAUGGCAAUAAUGACACUCAACAUUGGCAAACUUGUUAGUCUUGAUUUUGCUUCUGUCUCUGUUCUUCGGACCUCUACUCUUACUCAUCCCCCUCUUUUCAGUAAUUAGGACAUAUGACUGUGAAGAAGAACCCUGUAACUUUCUUCUCAUCUCUUCAUUCAAAACACAACUCUUAACCAAAUCCAUAUUCAUCUGGGGCUAAGUUAGACAAAGAAGUUCUAAACAUCUCUCACGAGUCCGGCAAUGUACCAAGAAGUCACAACCCUUGCACCUCUUCCUCAAACUUGAUAUUCAUUCCAGCCAACUGAUUAAUAAUACCUUGGAAUGUAUUCAAGUGAUCUGUCAUAGGAGUUCCAUCUAGAUACUUCAAGCUAAUCAUCUUCUUGAUUAGAAACAAUUUAUUGUUACCAGUCUUUCGAGCAUAUAACUGUUCAAGCUUGUUCCAUAGACUCCGUGCAUGUUUCUCUUCACUAACAUGAUUGAGAACAUUAUCAUCUACCCACUGUCUGAUAUAACCACAAACCUGUCGAUGAAGUAAAUUCCAUUAUGCAUCAGUUUUAUUUUCUGGCUUUUUAGAAGCAAACACAGGCAAAUAAUUAUUAUUCACAUACAAUAGGUCUUCCAUCUUUCCUUUCCAAACAUGAUAAUUGGAGUCAUUCAAAGUAAUCAUUCUACUUGUAUUGUUUUCCAUUGUUCUACACAAGGCACAAAUUAUCUUGAACCAAUGCUCUAAUACUACUUUGAUGGGAUAAACACAAAGAAUGCACAACCAGGUUUUAUCCCCUCUUGUGAGAACCUAAUAGGAAUCAAUCAAAUAGAGUAACAAGAAUUCACCCAAUCAACAAGUAUAUGAACACCAAUAAUUUUAGCAUGGAAAACCUUCUCCAAUAUGAGAAGUAAAAACCACGGGACCCUUAGGCCACUUAUAAACUCCACUAAUAUAAUUAAUGGGUUACACAAUUCUCUCUAGAUAAAACUAGAGACAUACAUCAACCACAUCUCAAGAUCAAUUAAUUUUGGCAAUUUCAACAACUUUGGAUAAAAAUAAUGGAGAGAUCUCACCAAACACACCACUGUUCUCGGAUUGAAAUAUAAUUGUUCAGAACUCCAAAUCCAAUCUCCACCGUUCAUAAUGAAGAUCAAUAACUCACGGACGUUCUCUCCAAAAAUCAGCUCAAUCGAACCACGGAUUAAUCUGGAUCGAAGCUUAUGAUCAAAACUGUCCGGAUAGAAAACGCAUCAAAAAAGAGGCUCUAUUCUCGGACUGAAAAACGACUGUCCAGAUCUCCAAAUCCGAUCUCCACCAUUCAGAUUGAAGAUCAAUGAGUCAUGAACAUCUCCUCCAAAUUUCAGGUCGAUCGGCCCACAAACGAAGUGGAAUCGUACCUUUGAUGAAAUCUGGGCAAUGAAGAAAAAACUGUUUUUAUCUUCAAAAAUGGUGGUUCUCCCCUUCUCUCUCUUUUCUCCUUCUCUCUCUUUUUCUUCUACCUCUGGUGGCUGCAAAAAAUUGGAAGAAGAAGAAGAAAAAAAAGGAUUCUUCUUCUAACCCUUUUAUAUAAAGGCCUAAGAGGCCUUAAAUUUUGGGCUCUCAAUUUUGGGUCUUCCACAUGAGGAAAAACCCAACAUUGCCUACUAUACAAUGACUCCUUUAAACAAGUCUCACAUCAAGCAUCUGCUUGGGGUAUGCUUUUAGAAUAAAUUUAACGUAUUUUUAGUUGUUUUUGUACAAUGUUGUGAGCAUUGAUCAAAAAGAUGAAACGGAAUUUUUACAUUGUAGAAUUUUUACUAAAAUCAAUUAUCAAUUAUUUUUAAGAACUCGUAGAAUUGUUUUCAAAUACGUUGUUAAAUAGACCCUUAUUUUUUAUGAAGUAUAUACCAUGCUACAAAGUUUUGUGGUGUAAGAAAGCAUAAUUGUGCUACAAUGUACAUACCAUUGAACUUCACAAAUGGAUCAACCGCCCUUGAGCCUUGAAAAUAGCUAGAGAAACAUGCCUUGUUUUCUUCUCUUCUCUACCUCUUUUCUCCUUUCUUUUCACUCCGCACGAUCUCUCUCCGAAAUGGUCUUCUGCUGUCUCUAAAUACCAGCCCUAGCUGCUAUCCAAGAAUGGGCUUAAGAAUACCAAAGAACCAGCCCUAUAUGUGGGCUUAAGAGAGUCUUUUCAUUGGCAAGUCCAACAACGAUAAUAAUAUAGGAUUAAAAAAAUUAAUGAUUAACAAAGGUAAUUAUGAUUAACAAAGAAACCAAUUAUUUUUUUACCUUCUAGGCAAAGUCAUACUCAAUAACCAAUAAUGACUUGUCCAUUUUUUAGCACCCUUUCUUCUUCCAUUCUUUCAACAUUUUUAGCCUCCCUGCCUUGCUUCAUUUAACAUCCCCUCAUCUUCGUAUCGAUAUAUUGCUCCUUCUACUACUUCUCUUUCAUCAUAUUCUUGUACUGAUUUAACUUACACUCCUCCCUCUUCAAUUAUCACUUCUUCUAACACAACAUUAGUUUCAUUAUCUAUCAAUCUUUCAACAAUUUCAAGUGUUGGUUCCUUAUAAAUGCGUUGGCAUUUGACUCUAAUUAUUUAUUUUUUAUUUUUAGGAGAGUCAAUAUUUGUAAAGUUUGUGUUUGGACAAGUUAUGGUUUUGAAUUUGACUAGAAUUAGGAAACUAUUAGAAAAAGGUUUAGCCAAUAGAACUUUAUAAAUAUGUGGUUCUACGCGAGAUUUCCACAAAAGAGCAAAAAAAAAAAAAAAAGUGAGCAAAGAGUGGAGAGAGAUGGUGUAUUAGGUUUUGUGUAAAAAGAAGUUAAGAGAGUUUGAGUUUGUAUUUCUAAAAUUUAUUAAUAAAUUUGAUCUCCCUUUCUAGUGGACCUAGGCGAUAAAGUAGAACAGUAUAAGAGAGUGUUGUGGUUUUCUUAACAACUGUAUCAAAGCUUUCAUUUUCUUAAAAAGUGAUAUCAAAGCUCCUAUUUUCCCAACAAGUGAACAUCAAAACUUUUGUUUUCUCAACAAGUAGUAUAUGAUAAACAUCAAGAGUCUUCACCAGAAUAGCAACUGAUUUGUUAGAUAGUUACCCUUAGAUAGGUUGCAACUGAUCUAUUAGAUAGUUACCCUUAGUUAGUUAGGUUGUUGAACCCAUAGUUUGUUAAAUCAUUUUUGAAAUAGCUUGUAUAAAUAGAUUGAUAACAAAAGUUCUUGGAGUGUUGUUCUUCUUUGUUGGCAAUCUUUUAUGGUAUUAAAGCCAAGUUUUUCCCUUUUAUCAUUUCUAGAUUCGCUUUCUUCCUUUUUGUUGGCCUGAUUACAGUCGUUCUCCUCUCAAAGAACAUCCACCGUCACAGGGCUACUUCAACCUAAUUUUCCAAUCCAUAAAACUCUCUGGACAUAACGUCCUCACAAUCUCUUAGAUUGGUUCAACCAUUGCAUAUGUUGAAUCAUUCUCUUCCUAUCAAACUAAAUAGGAGUAGUUACAUUAUCUAGUGGAGAAUAUGAUAUUUGACAAAGGGUUUGAAGAGCAUAUUAAAGGAGUUCCGUCCUCCCAAGACAACCACCAUUAGUGAAACCAAUCUAGACUUCCUUACUUGGCGACAUUUUUAUUGCGUGAUCCUGAGUUGGAUCUACACUUCCCUUACUCCUGAAAUUAUGGGACAAAUAAUUAGAUAUCAUACUUCUCAUGCAACAUGGACUGCUUUAGAGAAGAUCUUCUCCACCUCAUCAAAAACAUAAGCAAUGUAGUUUCGGUUAGAAUUUCAAACAGCUUGGAAAGGCUCCCUCCAUGAUGGAAUACAUACUCAAGUUGAAGAUGCUCAUUGAUUAACCUUGCUACCAUUGGAGAGUCAGUAUAAAAAAGAAACCAAAUCUUGAAACUUCUUGGCGGUCUUGGAGCAGAUUACAACUCCAUAGUUGCAUCCCUUAUAGCUCAUGAAGAUGAUAUACCCCUACAUUAGUUCACAACAUUUUACUCACCUAUGAACAAAGACUCAACUUUUAGAGUUCAGUAAUAGAAAACGAAGUUAUCUUUACUCAUAUAGCCACACAAGGACAAUUUGCUCACCUAAGAAGAUACCAAAACAGGGAAACUAACUCCUACUUCAACAACCAAAUUAACUCCCACCAUCAUCAAGGAAGAGGAUGUUCAGGUGGCCAUGGGCAAGAUCAUUGAACAAAUCUUAAUGGCAACGGUAGUAGACCUCAAUGCCAACUUUGUGGUAAAAUCAUAGGUUUGGUAUAAAUUUUCAAGGACCUAAUCCCUUGCCUACAAAUCCUAUCAAACCUUCAUCAAUCACUCCUAAUAGCAAUGAUAUACAAACGAUGAUGGUCUCUCCUUUAAUCUACAAUGAAUCUUGGUUUCUUGACAAUAUUAGGGCAACACACCAUCUCUCCCUAAGUGAUAAUACUCUCUCAAACGCUCAUCCAUACCACAACAAUUACAAAGUCAUAGUUGGAAAUGGUAAGAAAUUAUCCAUCUCACAUGUUGGUUCUAAGUCAUUUCAAACUUCUCACAAGUCCUUUCAAUUACGAAGCAUUCCUCAUCUUGCUACAAAUCUUAUCAAUGUUCCUAAAUUUUGCACUAACAACAAUUUAUUAUUGGAAUUUCAUCCUACUUUCUUUCUUAUUAAGGACUAGAAUACAAAGAAGAUUCUUCUUCAAGGAAACAUUGAGCAUAGAUUGUAUAAAUUCCCCAAUAACCACAUUGGUACCUCUUCAACAUUCUUUCCUUCUAGGCACUUAGCUCUCAUUAGAUAAUAAAAUAAGAAUGAGCUAAUCAACUGAUGAAUUCAACAACCAUCUUAUUAAAAAAUAUAAAUAAUUACUCAGAUAGUGUGAUGGCCAGAUAGGAUAGUCUGAUGGAAGAUGGUGACAACCUCUCUUUUUUUAACAUAAAGCAUAAUAAUUCCAAGUCCAGGAUACUUUUCUUCUAAUAAAGUGCUUGCUUUAAACUUUCCUUUUGAUAAAGUUUUUGCUUUAAAGUUUAGUUACUUUUAGAGUCAUGAGGUCUUGUCCUCUUAUACAAAAUCUUUUUCUUACCCAAUUGCAAGAAAUGAUAUGAGAUAAUGAAUUAAGAAUGAACUAAUCCAAUUAUGGAUCAACAACCAUUCUAUUUUAUAUAUAUAACCAAUUCUAAUCACCCCAUUACCUAGAUAAUGUGAGAGUUAUAGCAAUUAAGUAAUUCAUUUAAUGUUAAACUUGUAAUCCUUCUAUAAAUUACCUUUAAAUUAGUUAUAUAUUAAUUAACAUAUUUUUCUAUCUUAAUUUAUAAAAAGCUACUCAAUCAAUCUCAUUAACUCCACCCAAAAAAAAUACUACCAUAAGUUCUAAGAGAGUUUGAAUUAAUGAUUAUCAAUUCUUUUAUAUUUCAUCCAAGUUGUUGAGUCUUUACAUCUAGCCCCUACAAGAUGGAAUGAUCUUAGAAUUACUAUUUGAUUAUAAAUUAAAUGUUUUUAAAUUUGAUUCUUAAAAAUUUGCUCUAUUAAGCUAAUAAUUUGAUCAAAACUAUAAGGGAGUUGGGUUAAGACUAUAAUAUUUCACUUAAGUGGUUCCUCCUCUAUACUGAAGUGGAAUAACUUUCUAUAUGUUAGGAGCCAAAAGAAUUUGAUUAAGAUUUAAGAAUCCAAACUUCCAGUUGACGGAGAUUCUAUAGGAGUCCUAUGUUUAGGUCAAUAAGAAAGGGAGAGUUUCAUGAAAGUCUGAUAGGUUGUUGCACCCAAUUUUUGGUAUUGUUUUAGAUUUAUAAGGUUGUUCUAUUGGAUUCAUCAAGCCAUUGUGUGGAUCUACUAACAAAAGGGAGAGCCAAUUGUUCUCUUUAAUUUGUUGGAUAUUUCUAACUUUUUAAUUUUGAGUUCAUAGUUGGUAAAUAAUAGUUGUGCAUUUCCACCAAUAUUUAGAUUUUUUUUUAUUUUGCUUUUUUAACUUUUGAUCAAAGUUAUGUAGUGGUUGUAUUUUUUUGGCAAGAUUUCUUAUGCAAUGAAUAAUCCAACUUCGGUGAUAUUUUAAGUUACCAACCAUGCUAAAAUCUUCAAAGGACUCAAUGUUGAGGUGAUACGGCUAUAAGGGAUUGAGAAUAAAAGUAAAAUACCAUGUGAAAGAGAUGAAUCGAAUCCUAACAAAGUGGGAUUUGAUUUAUAUAAGAAUAAAUUUUGUAUUUCUAUUCUCAUUCCAAAAAAUAAUAUAUUCAACUAUAAAAUGAAUGGAAAAUGAAAUAAUAGGUAAAGGUCGCCUACUUAAAAGAAACAUAAAAAGGAAGUCUGUGUAAGGUAGGGAAUUUUAUGCAACUAUGGUGUAUCUGAUUUCUUUCCUUGAAACAUUUAUUGGAAAUUUCAUGUCAUUUCUAUGAUUUCAUUAAAUGUUUUAAUGUGUCAUUACAUCUCGGUUUAUUGUGUUGAAAUGUUACAUUGAGAUUGGAACGCAUAUUGGUGUGGAGAUUCAUGGUUCUGUGUUAUGGAAAUAGUCUAUGGUGUGGUUGCAUGGCAAGAAGGAUAUGGAAUAAUCACGGAUGAUAUUUAGAGAAUUGGUUGGUAGGAAGUGUCUAUGUGGUGCUACAGGCAUUAUCUUUUGAUAUAUUGUUUAUGUGGGACCGUGGGUCCUUGGGUGAAAGUCCCUAAAGCCCUCGAGGAAGACACUCCGAUGUGGGUGUAUGGGGUUGGUCCUGCCCUUGGGUUUUAGUCCCUAAAGACACAAGAUUGGUCCUGCCCUUGGGUAUGAGUCCCAAAAGACACGGGGUUGGUCUUGCCCUUGGGUAUGAGUCCCAAAAGACACGGGUAUGACUUGCCCUUCAGUGAUGUCCUAGAAUAGUCAUCAUUAUAUUGAUCGAGUAUCUUGUGGAGCAUUGAUAUCUGAUGUGUAGAUUGUUGGGGGUCAGCAGUUUAUCAGUUGUGAAAGGAUGGAUGGGGAAAAGCAAUGAUGAAACUAGCAAACACAUGCAUACAUGUUUGACAUGAUUAUACAUUGUUUAAUGGUUAUAAAAUGUUUAUCAUCCAUGUUUUUAAACAUUUAAUUCAAGGUUUUUAAGGGUAUGCUUUGGAUUGUUAUAAACUUUUCUACUGAGUUGUGAACUUACCCUAUCCCUUCCACCUUUAGAUGUAGGUCAGAAGACCUAUGCAGGAAAUAAUGCUUGAGCAAUGCUUUACUGUGAUUGGAUUAUGUUUGCUCAAUUAAAAGUCUUUUGAGGCUUUGCCUUUGUAUUAAGGACUAAAUAUUUUUGUAGGAAUGAUGUAAUAUAUAUACUUGUCAGGUACACUUGCAGUAAGGGCUACUCGUAGUGAACAAUGAGGUUUUGGUAUAUGUAAAUUAACGUAGUAUAAGUUUCUUUUAAGAAACGAACCAUAUUUUGUUAACUACAAGUUACAAAGUUUAAUAUAGGAUGUACUCUUUAUAACAGGUUUUGCAUAUCCUCUUUUUGCACAAAAUCAAGUAGGAACUCAACAUUUAAUUUUUUUGAGAGCACUUAUAUUGUAUUUGAGUAUCAAUUGUUUGGUUUGAAGAUUAACAAAAAAAAUUUGGGGUGUGACAUUCUCUCUCAUUCUUUUUUAUAGGUAAUAAAAUAAAAGAAUAGUAUUCGUAAUUUUUCUAUUCUCCUUGUUCCAAACAUAAGGAAAUCAUUUUUCAUUGCCAUAAUAGCCUUUAAAGGCAACUGUUGAUUGCCCAAUGAGAAUUAGCAAUACAAGAACAAGUUUAAACUUGAGGACACCUCUAUUCUUCAGACUAUAUGCCAAAGAUGGGUUUAUAUAGAGUUCAAGAACAUAUUUGAAAAUGACUUGUUUGAAACAUUGGAAUAAGAAAUAGGAAUGAGAAAUCAAUUUCAUCCAUAUAUUAUUUAUUACCUUGUUUAAAUUACUUAUUACAAAAGAAAAUGAAAUAAAAAAUUAAUUUCCAUUAAAACUAAAAAUAAUUUCUAUUAGAGUUUUGAUUUCUCUCUUAUAAUGUUUUCAAGAUUAGAUUGAUCAUUGAAUUGGAAAGUACUUAUUGUGUCACGAUUCAAUCAUUGAAUCAAUGGUUCAACCAUGAUUGAACUAUGAGGAAUAUAACUUCAUAAAUAUAUUAAUAAUAUUAAAUUAAAAAUAAUCAUUAAUAUUAAGAAUAUUUAUAAAUAAUUAAAAACUUAUCAAUUAUUUGCUACCAGUUAGGGGGUAGCUUGUUAACAAUGCCUUAUGGCAAUGAGUGAGUUUGAGCCCCCUUGUUAUAUAAGUAGUGUAAGGUAGAGGUGUGACCCAUAUCACCAAGAUUUGGUGGUUGGGUUAAGCAUUGAGCACUAUUUUAACUUGAGUCUUCGGAAGUAAAAGGUCCAACAAGACUUGAGAACAAAAUCUGAGCCAAAUUUAGGGUCUUCAUGUGAAGUCAAUGUAUGAAGAUGGGUUUAGACUAGGCUAAGCUAGAUUCUAAUACUCGAGAACACCUUGAUAUUGUUAACUUGAUCAUAUUUCAUACCGAGGGAGUGCAAUGAGCACAAGAUUUGAGUGUUCAAGUUGAAUGAAUUGGUUUUUUUGAAUUUCAAAUAUUUAAUGGUUCACUUUACAUAAAUUUAGAAUAUGAGAAGUUGAUGGUUUUAAUAUGAAAAAGUACUCUAUGUUUACAAUAUUCCAAGCCUCAAUGUGAAGUAGAUUUAUUAAUUAGCCCAAAUUCUAGAAUUCUAAAAAGACUGGAGAAUUAUUCACUUCCUUGAAUUUUAUAUUUGAAGAUUGCCUUGAAUUACACCAAGUUCUAUUGAAACUAGUGAGAAUAUAAGUCCAAUAUAUCAUUUUUAUUGUUCUCAUUACAUUUUUCUUUAUUGGUGUUUAAUUUUUCUUUUAGAAAAAAUAAAUGUUUUUCUCAUUAACAUAUCAACAAGUUUUAGCAUACUUAUAGACCCCAAAAUUUGUCCCAAUUUUAAUUUUACAUUAAUUUUGAGCCCAAUUUUAAAUCCCGAUUACAUGUGUUAUUUUAGGCUCACUCACCCUUUAAUUUUUAGUUUUCAUUAUUUUAUAAAUUAUUUUUUAUUUUUAUUUAUUCAUUUUAUUAUUAUUAUUAUUAUUAUUAUUAUUAUUAUUAUUAUUAUUAUUAUUAUAUUCUUUUUUUAUUUUUUUAUUCUUUAUUUCAUUAUUUUAUUUUUCCUCUCUCAUCUCUUUUCCUUUUUCUCCUCCACCUACCCUCACCCACCCACUCUUCUCUCUCUCCCCCAAUUCCCUUUCCCCCCCCCCCCCUAUUUUUUUCCCCCCAAGUUUUCCCUCAUUUUCUUCCCCAACAUCUCUCCAUUCCUCUCUCUUCUCUUACUCUUACACUGCGGGCCCCCAUCCUUCUUCCCUUCCCCUUCAUUUUUUCCCUUCCCCAUCUCCCCACUUCUUCUCCAACACGGCGGGCUCCAUUCCCACUUCCAUUUUUUUUCUCUCAUCCUCACAACCCUAUUUUUUUUUUCUUCCUCCCGCAACACCCAUUCUGGACGGCUAGGAACCUCCCACUUCUUCCCCUAUUUUUUUUUCUCAUUUUCUCCUACCCAUUUUUCUUCCAAUAUUUUUUCCACCAUUUUUUUUUCUUUCUUUCUCAUUUUCUCCUACCAAUGCUUCCAAUAUUUUUCCCACCAUUUUUUUCUUUCUCUCUCUUCCUCCAUCAACCCGACUUCCAAAGGCACCAGAAUCCUUCCUUUAUUAUUAUUAUUAUUAUUAUUAUUCACCAAUCUCCCACUACCGCGGGCAAGCCCUUGCUAGUCGCCGCUUUUCUGUUAUUAUUAUUAUUAUUGUUUUAUGUUAAUAGUAAUUGUUGUUUAUAAAAUUUGGAUUGUUGAAUUAAUAUGAAAUUUGAGUUAAUUUGUUGUCGGUAAAUUAAUAUGAAAUUUGGGCUAAUUUAUUGUUGGUGAAUUAAUUUGGAAUUUGUUAAUUUGGGCUAAAUUAAAUGAUAAUUUAUAUGGUUAUACUCAUUUGAAUUAUUUAAUUUGGAUAUGAUGUAAUAUUGUAAUAUAUUUUGGAUGUGAGUUUGCAUAUUAAAUUGGGUUAAUUUUGGUUGUGGAUUUAGGUUUGCAUGUUAAAUUGGGCUUGAAUGAUGAGAUAUUAAAUUUAGGCCUAACGAUAUUUAUUUUAAUUUAUCAUAUUUUAGGUUUGAUUAUUUGAGCUUAUAUUUUGGCUAUUAAUUUGGAAACUUUAGAUUAUGAUCUAUGAUACGUGAGAUAUUUUUGUUGGGGUAUAUUUGCUAAUUUGGGUUUUUUUUUUUUAAUUGGUGAAAUUUAUUGGGCUAAUUUGAAGUUUGAAUUUGGGUUUGAAUAUCUAUUGUGAAUUUUAUACUUUUUUAGAUAUUUAUAUUUGGGCUAUUUUUGUCUUUGUAUGGGCCCAUUAUGCAAUUAUGUUGGUUGGAUACAGAUUUAUGACAUGUGGAGCACAAAAUUUCAUGGAAGAAAGUGAGAAUAAAAAAGUAGUAGGAAGACGUCGAGCUUGUAAGUUUAUUUGGGUACAUAUUUUAUUUUCCACUUUUAUUUGGUUUGAUUUUUAUUAGUUCUUGUAAAUAUUUGUUUAUAUAUAUUUAUUGAGUGUGUACAGAAUUGAACAUCGAAUAAACUAGAAAUUUUGUUUAAAUGAGAUGAAGAAUUCAGUAAAUGUGUUUUGAUAAAACAAUAAUUUUAAAAUAUUUUUUUUAAUAAAAGAAAGUUUUUUUUUAUUAUUUAUAAAAAUUCAGAAAAAUACAUUUAGAAAAAUCCAAAAUAAUUGUUUUUAAUAGAAUUCGAAAAAUUGUUUUUAAUAACAUUGUCCAAAAUUUUCUUUGUUUAAUAAAAAUUGUCCAAAAAUUGUUUUGUAAAUAAAGUUGUCCCAAAAAAUUAAUUUUUAAUAAAAUUGUUUAAAAAUAUUUUUUUUAAAUGAAUUCUUUCUCUUUAAUUAAAAUGGGAUUAAAAGUGUUUUUCAGAAAUAGGGGAUUCAAAUCUUUGUUUUUCUUUUUAAUUAAAAUUUAUUUUGCAAAUAAAGUUACGUCGUUUUAAAUAAUUUGUUAAAAUCAUUUUUUUUAAAUGAAAAUGAAUCAAAAUACUUUUGUAAAUAAAAUUGUAAAAAUUCAUUAUUUUCUGAAAAAAAUCAAGUAAAAUAAUUUUUGUUGCCAAAUUAAAAUUUUGUAAUAUUUUUUUUUUAUACAAUAAGUACAAAUAACUUUUUUCGAAAAUUAAAUACAAAUGAAAUUGAAUCAAAUCAUUAAUUGAAACUUCUUUUUUGUAAAUAAAUAAAUUGAAAUCAUUAAUUCAAAAUCAUUUUUUUAUAAAAUCUUUUGAAAUUUCUUGAAAACCAUUUUUUUAAUACCUUUUUUUUUAGUUCAAUAAAUCAUUUUUGAACAAUUCUCUUGUUAUUCAUUUCAUGUAUUCUUAUAAUUAGAUUUCAUUAUUAUUUUUGUGUACGUUGAUUUUCAUCAUGACUUGUACAUUAAUUAUUUUUCUUGAUAUCCAUAAUUAAUUAAUUAAUUGUCACAAUUCUCUUGAUUUGUUUAGUAAAGACUGUAUACGGGCUUAGAGGGGUGCUACGUCUUACCAUCUUACCUUCCCAAUAAGUAACUUGACCCCUAAACCCGACUUUGGUUUUCCAAAGACCUGUUUUUCUUUCGGGAAUCACACUUAGGGUUUUUCUUUCUUAUUUGUUUUUCCCUUUAAAAAAAAAAUUAAAAUAAGUGGCGACUCCAAGUCUUUUUAAAAAAAAAUUAAAAUUUCAUCAAAUAAAUAAAAAAAACGAGUUUCUCCAUCAAACGAAAAUGUGGGGUCCACAAUACCACUUCAAAAUAUAUGAGAUUUUUUAAAAAUUGUACUUUAUUAGUAAGAACAAUUCUAAAAUUUUUCUUUUCUUUAUUUUAAGAGCGAUGUGAAAGUGACUACCAUUUUAAAGUUUAUAGGAAUUCCACAAAUAUUUAUAAAUAAUUGAUAUUUCAUAUAUUCUUUUUAAAAAGUUUAAUUUUUUUGGUGAAAUGAAUUUUAUAUCGGUAAUUCAUGUAUUAGAGCUUCCCUCUCAUAGAAGUGCUAGAAAAAUUUAUGUUGUGUUUUGUUCUAUGAAAGAAUGAAAGAAAAAAAUGUUAAAGAAAAUAAUUUUCUUAUAUUUGGUUUUAUUAUGAAAAACAUGAAAUAAAAUUAAAUAUAAUUAAUAUUAGUUAGAAACUUAUUCAUUACAAAUUAUUUAUUCUUUCUAUAGAAGAAGUAAAAUAUGUUAAAUAAGUUUGAAGUAGUAUAUAAAAAAUAAUUUAUUGAUCUUAAAUAUUUUUUUAUUUUCUUUCACUUUUUUCCCUCAAUUUUUCUUCUCUAUUUUAUUUUCCUCUCACAUUCUCUUAGAUUUUUCAAACCUAAAAAUCACCUAAUCCAUACAACGUUGUUACAAAAUAUCAAUUAGUUAUGGUGAAAUAAAUCAAUUGCUUCAAAUGAAUUAGUUUCUCCGACCUUUGAAUUGUGAAUUGGGAUAUACGAUAAUUUGGGUAACUAACAUUUAACAAUUUAACAUUUUCUUUAUUUAAGUUAUAACAUUUAACAUUUAACAAAAUUUUUAGUGUAAAAUUUCUUUCAUGAAUAAGGCUUGAUCAUCAAUUUAAAAAAAAGAAUGACAUUAAUUAAAUGAGAAAUUUCUUCACAAAUUGUGUGAUUGAAUGACAAAAUUGAAAGUUUUGUAUACAUCUAUCUCAAUCAUUAAAUACAAUAGCUUGAUAAGGAGGAUUUAUAAUAUUUGGAAUUGCAAUAAACUUAUUUUUAUAAGACAAUAAAAUAUAAAUUGACAAAUUAAUUAUUUUUUUAUAAACACAAUAAAAUAAGUGGUUAGAAUAUCAUUGUCUACACAUAUAUAGAUUAAGAUAAAAAUAUUUAAUAAUUUCAAAUUUAGAUAAUAGAUGUUAAACCACUUUGCAUAUUUAAUAAUUCAAGUAAAAAAGUUACAAGUAUUUUAUUAAAAUAGGUGGCAAUGCAAUUUAAACUAAUUCAACAAAUUCUUUGCAAGUCAAAAAAUUCCUAGUAUUUUAAUAAAGUCAAUGAGAAUAAAAUUUAAGCUAAUAUAUAAGACUUUAAUCAUAGUGUAAUUGUCCUCUUAAAAUAAUAUUAGCAUUAUAAUUUUAAUAAAAUAGAUGGUUAACAACAUACAGCCAUGUUAGGUUCUUCACUUUUUAGUCUCUUGUUCAUGCUAUGAGGUUCCUACCUCUUGGUCUUUGUAAUUUUAAUUUCUUUUCAUUCCUAAACUUCAAAUAUUGAAAUCAAAAUUUGUAUACAAAAUUAAAUGAAAUUUAUUUUUAAAAAUUUUAGAUAACUCUUGUUUUAUUGAUUAAUUAAAAUACCUUAAUAUAGCAUAAUGUGAAUAAAGAAAUGAAUUUACCAUAAAUUAAUAAAAUUGUCAUUGGUAAUUUAAAACCUUAAUAUGAUUAGAAUAGAUUUUGUUUUUAUCUAUUUUUUCUUUUGUUUUUCAAGAAAGUUUGGAUCUAAAUUUUCUCAUCAAUUAACUAAAAAAAUGAAAACAACAAUAUAAAAGUGAAAUCAAUAUAUAAAAUAAAUCCUCAAAUUUCAAAAUCAUAAGACUAAAAUUCUACUAUAUUCAAAUACUAUUUUGACCUUCAAUUUCACUUUUUUAAUAAAAUUUUACCUUAACAGAAAUAGUGAUUUUUUUUUUUUUGUUUUUACCUUAAUAAGAAAGUCAUUUUUUUUUCUCUUUUGUUUUUUCAAUCUUCACCUUUAUCAUAAUACUCAAAUCUAAUUUUAUAUAUAUAUAUAUAUAUAUAUAUAUAUAAAAUUAAACUAAAUUUAUUUUUGAAAAUUUUAGAUCACUCUUGUUUCAAAAACUAGUUAAACUACUUUAAUACUAUAUAACUUCAAUAAAAAAAAUGAAUUUAUCAUACAUUAUCAAAGAUGUCAUUAAAAAAAGACUAAAUAUGACUUAAACAAAUUUAAUUUUUGUCCAUUUUCUUCUUCUAUUUUUUUGCUAAGGUUAGGUUAGUAUUUCUAGCCCGAGACACAUUAGCUGACAAAACCAUGACCUUUCGAAAAUUAGGCUCAGGUCUGAUCCAUUAAAUUGACAAGCCUCCAAGACAGGCCCUGAUUAGCUUACCAACAUGUUUGUGUUGGACUAAGCCCACCUUAAGUGGGAUUAAGGAAAUAAUAAGAAAUGUUUGUUGCUUAACCAAGGAGAGAUGGGUGUUGAUUUAUAUUGGGUUUUCCAUUGUAUUGGAUUAUUGAUCUUUGAAACUUCUUUGAAAGUUUAUUUUUGUAAACUAGUAAUAACUAGUCUUGAUUUUUGUUUUCAUUCAAGUUAGACAAAACUUUUGAAAAAACGCCCUUAUGCACAAAAGUGAGCCUAUAUUGAAUUCGACUCUCAUAACCCAUGCCAACAAGGUAUAUAAGUUCAAAGUGGGGACCACUAAGAGCCAUAUGAGUAUUAGCUCCUUCAGAUUCCAAUUCUAAAGUUGAAUCAACAUUCCAUUGCAGAGAAUCAACUAAACUCCAAUAUCCUAUGUAAGUAACAAUGAGACAUUAUGUGCUUAGGUCCAUGACUUGCUAUCCAUUACGUUUAGUCUCUCCAUGAACUAACGUUCAUAAUCUAACAAAGUGAAAGUUAUCAACCUUUUAAUACUACCUCUACUAUCCUUGAGUUAUAUAUAUCCUCUUAUUGUGUGUUUAACUAACAUGCCUUAACUUUUAAAGAUCUUAUGUCAAGUUCCAGUUAAGGAAUUACCAUGACCAUAGUUUCCAUGAACACACCUCCUUAGAUCACUCAAGGGGACACACUGUCUCGAUUCCAUUAGAUAUCAUGGUGCCUCUAUUGAGAAUACCUAUUGUCAUUGACUUCCAUCAAUAGUGACCCAAUCUAUAAGCUGUCAUUAAUUAGCUUAUGAUCUCACUCGUAGGUCAAAGCCACUGUUAACUUUAACAUAAACUCAAUAUUCUCUCAAAGUUGAAAGACAAUAUAAUAAAACAGCUUGGUAAAGUCAUGACUACUUGAUAACCAUAAGUCAUGACUCAUUGUAGGUCCUAUCUAAUGUGUAACUAUACACACUAGUGCACUCACCAUAUUCCCGAUAGCCAAGAUCAGUCAUCCCUUCAAUUAGGAGGUAAUGCACUAUACCCUCUAAUGGGUAAUCUAGUCCUACGAACCGGUUGUGAAUAAAUAAUCUAUUUACAAAUAACCAAUGACUUGGAUCUUUUGUGCAACUCCUAAUACACUUGUAGACCCUCGUUUUUCAUGUGUGUUUCCACUUGAUGACAAGACUCAUUUUUUAGUGAAAAACUAAUUUUUAUAAAACUGAUUUUUUAUUUUGAAAUUCCAUUUUAUUUAUUUCCAUUGAUUCAUUAUUUUAUGCUAACAUUACUAAUGUGUUUUUAUUUCCAGUCAUUUCAUUAUUUUAGCUAACAUUACUAAUGUAUUUCAUUUCUAGUCAUUUCAUUUCAUCUCCACAUGCAGCUGGUGGAGAUGACAUCCACCAUAUACUCCCGUUGCUGUCGUGUUUCUGAUUGUAUUUGUGCGCGUGAUGCGAAACUAUAUUUGAUGAUCAAGUCAAUGCCAAAGAUGGAAGACUGAUGAUCUCACCGAGAUGGAGAAUCCAGAUGAAGAAGUAAGAGACCACCGAUUACGGCUUCCAAUAUGGUGAUGUUGUGGGUGGAUAAAUGGAGAAGCUGUCUAGGUGUGUUGCGAGACCAAUGGAGAUCAUGAGCAGUGAUCUGGUGUUGUCGAAAAUUUUCACUCCAGAUGAUGAAGAUGAAGAUUUGGUGUCGAUGAAGACGAGCUUUUGAGAUGAAUUGUUGCACGUACCAAAAUGGCGAAAUGCAGGUCUGAAGAUGGUGACUGCAAGAUGAAAUGUGGACCGAAAUCCAAAGUCUAAUUGAAAACCUUCUAGUGUCGGAAAUGGAAAGCUCUAAUGGCGGUGGUGACUUGUAGCACUGCUGAUCUUCAUGGCGGUCACGGCAAACUCAAAUGGUGGACCUAAACCUGCAGCAACGAUGAUAUUCAUGGCGGUGAUGGAGAGCUCUAAUGGCGGUGAUGAAUUUCAUGAAGGCGGUGAUGGACUCUGAUGUCGGUGAUGAAAUUUUUUCUCAGAGAAAAGAUCAUGCUCUCUUCCUCCCCAAGUCGAUCAUGUAAGUGGAGUCUUCCAGAGGACUCCACUUACAUCCAAAUUACAUGCGGUGAUCAUCUACCCACACGCACCUACAUGACCCUCUUAGACUGCAUGAUAGUCGCGUGAUGGAGCACUUCUCUUCCCAAGCUUAAAUAACCUUCUCCAAGUUACAUAAUAGCCAUGUGAUGGUGCUUCUCUCCUAGAACCUAAGUGACCUCAAAAUUCCACAAUAGUCACAUGAUAAUGCCUUUCUUCUAGAAGCCUAUGUCAUGAAACCUUGCCUUUGGACCCAUGCAUGAAUAUUCCUAAUGUUAAUUAUGCACUACCUCAUAUCUAAAAGUGACCUCAUGCAAAAAUAAAAUUAAAACACUCUCAAAAUUACACAACUAAAAAUAAAAAAUCAAAAGUCAUAUAUUUAAGGAUAAAAAUCCAAAUACAUGCACACAAAAAACAAAAAUAAGUUUCAUACAAUUAAAAGAAAAUCCAUAUAUCCCUCGCAUGCAAUCAAAUAUCCAAAAUAGCCUACAUACAAUAAAAAAAAUCAAUAUCAAUCCAAACUCACCUAAUCCUAAAACUAUGCCAUGGUAAAAUAAACACAAACCUAAAUGCACUAGAAAUCAAUCAAAAACAAAGUCCUGAACUGGGAAUCAGGGGUCACUAAAAUCAAGGUUGGGAUCCACCUAAUCCCUCCUAAAUAUCUCUCAUAGAAAAUCCAAAAAUAGUGAUUGAAAUAGUUAUAGUGGACCACCAAUGAGAGCUCAAAAAUAGCUUAAAAAAAGACCAUAAGUGGAUAAUAAGACAAUAGAGAAAAUAGAAAGGCAAUCUUGGAUGGAAUGUGCCAAGAGGAUAAAAUAGAGGGUUUACAACACUCAAAUCACAUACAAUGCAAAAGAUGUAGGCAAGAAUGCUCAUAAAGCAUAAUGCAUGGAAUAAAGAUAGAUAAAAGUGAAACUGGAAUAUCAGUAAAUAAAUAACGAAUUCCAAAUUUAUUACAUCAUGUCAUGCUUUUAAAGACUCUAUAAUAACAGUAGGAACCUAUGUCCCUAUCUUCGCUUGAAACUUUACUUUAGGAAUUUAUUAUCUUGUCAUCUCAUAUAAAAUAUACUCCUUAAUUCAAUACAAGGAAGGAUAUAAUAUGAUAAUAUAUGAAUUAGCUAAUCAUGUUAUGAAGUCAAUAACCAUCUUAUCAUUCAUAAAAGAAUUAUAGUGUUAGAACUUUAGCAAUUACCUAGUUCAUUUGAUGUUACUACAACUUGAUCAUUAAUUAGUAAUCCUUUGUAAAUUAAUUACCUUUCAAUUAUUUAUAUAUUUAUUAACAUAUUUUUUCUCUCAAUCUAUAGAAAGCUACUCAUUCCAUCUCUUUAACUCCACCUAAAUAAUACAUAAUACCUAAAGCUAUAAGAAAGUUCAAUGAAUGAUUAUCAAUUCUUCUAUGUUUCAUCAAAGUUGUUAGAUGAGUUGUAGUGAUCCCUACAAUAUUGAAUGCUUUUAUAAAUACUUGAUUAAAAAUUAAAUAUUUCUAAAUUUGAUCCUUGAAAAUCGGAUCCACUCUAUAAUUUGAUCUUAUUAAUAAUUUUAUCAAAUCAUUUAGGGACUUGGUUUAAAAUUAUAACACUUCACCUUGCACCAAGAUGAGGAAAAUAAACAUCUAUAAAAUUUAAACUCAUGACUUAUCAUCAGUUAAAAUUUUAACAUAUUAUUAAGCUAAUAAUUUGAUUUGGUGAUAUAAAUAGUUGAUUGGUUAAUUAACAAAGAAUAGAAGCAAAUUCAAGUUCAAACUAUGUAUAUCAUAGUGAUCCUUUUUUGUCCUUUUAUUUUGGUCUUUAUUUAGGCAUAUAUCAAGUAAAAAUCAAAUUUACAAUUAUCUAUGUUUCUAAAAUUUUUCUUCUACAGAAAAAGAUUUAAGCUAUAUUUCCUCAAUUAUUUUGAAAGAAAAAGUACUUAAUAUGUAAUAUAUAUAAUGGCCCAAACUCUAACUUUGUGUGAUGUACUCCACUUAUCCCUUGAGCAUGACCUAUGAUGAUAAAUCAUGUGUAGAAGUCAUGUUUGAUAAUAUUAUAAAAAGAAAAAAAAAAUACAUAUGCACAAGUUUUAGCAUACCGCUUCAAAAUAUAUGGGAUUUCUUAAAAAUUGUAUGUUAGUAAAAAUGUUUCUAAGAUUUUUUUUUCAUUGUUUUAAGAAUCGUUUGAAAGUGUCUGUUGCAUUUUAAAGUUUAUAGGAGUUUUAAUGAAUAUUUGUAAAUAAUGUAUACGAACCCGAGCCGACCAAAGAGGAGGCGGAGAGACUUGCUGAAAAUGGUCCAUUUUACUUGAAGCCAAAAAAGAUCGAAAUCAAUGUCAAUCAAUAGAAAUAAAUGCCAAGUAGAAAAAAAUAAGGAAGAAGAAAACGAUCGAAAUUCUGACCAAAGAAUUAGACAUUCGAAGACCUUUGUUACUCAUAUUAGCACCAUAUUUUCUUUUUCUUUUUUUAAAAAAAAAUAAAAUUGGUAGAAAGAAUUUUACACCAUUAUGCUUCUAGCUGGCCUAAUACUCUCCAUAUUCCACUCAAUUUGUAGAAGCCAUAUCAGAAACACAUCACCAUUCACUUGCGAACCUUUCUGCCUUCUUUGAUAUUUUUGUGCAACAAACCCAUCAAAUAAAUCCUCUAAACAAUCACAAAUACACAAUAGAAAAUCCAAGAGAAAGAAAUGAACCAAAUAUGGGAGACAAGCGAAAUGGAAGAUCAUGAGUGUAUUUCGAGUGUUUGAUAUGGGAGAAAAGGUGAUAAAAAGAGAAGGAGCUCGAGUAGUUGAAAGGCAUCUUCACUGCAAUUUAUGUGUGUGUUGUGUCCUAAUCUCCCCCAAAACCAAGACCAAGUUCUUUUGCUCCAUCUGUUCUUGUUCCCUAAUCCUUGCAUUUUUUUAUUUUUAUUUUUUGCAAGCAUUUUCCUCAUUACAACACCAUAAAUAAUAGUAAUGUGAGUAUGGAAACUUAGGAAAUUUGAGGUUGGUGUUUGUUUUAUGUAUUUGGUAAUAAUUUAAGUGGUGUUUUGGAUGUAAUUUGAAUGAAUGUAGAAUCUUGUUGUUUAGGUUAUGAAAACCAAGAGAAUUUGAAGAGGGUGUUUUUGGUUUGCAAUUAUUUACCUAGUGUAGUCAUACACACACAUAUAUAUAUAUGAGAAAAUAUUGUUUUAGAUUUAUUAAAUUUAAAAUGUAGAAAAACUAAGGAAUCAAUAAAUUUGUUAUUCCUAUUGGAAACUCUGCACUAAAGUUAUUGGUGGAUAAAUCAAUACUGACUAUGAGAGAAAUAGACUUGAUAUAUUCUAGAUCUUGGUCUUUCACUUUCAAGAUCAAACUAUAUUCAUAGGAUCGGGCCUUAUCAGGUGUUGGGUAUAGAUAGCGGCUUAUAUUUUGCUUUUAAGUCAUUGGAUCACCCAAAGUGCAUGGACUACUACCACUCAAAUUGUUUUCAACAAGGUAUGAGAUAUGCAAUGAACUUAAAUUUGACAACUCAAAAUGAAGUCCUCCAAAAAAUGCAUUUGAACUCAACUUAAGAAUUCAAACCAAUGUGAAAACAGCUCCAAUCCAUACUGGAAUAUCACCUGAAAGCUUGUUCUUGUUUAAGUGAAGUGAUUGAAGCCAUUCUAACCGACCAAAAGAUUUUGGAAUAGUCCCCAAUAAAUUGUUCUUUCCAAGGAUUAGAAAGUAUAGGUCCGUGCAAUUAUUUAUAGAUGAAGGAAUGCUUCAUGUUAGACUAUUCCUUGAAAAAUCAAGGAUUUGAAGAUGUCGUAUAUGUCCUAUAGACUUUGGGAUGAUUCCUAUCAUUUGAUUGCCUGAAAGAGAAAAUACAAACAAAUUUGGGAUGGAUUCACCUAUUUUGGCUAGGAUAGAACCAGAAAAUUUAUUGUUGGAUGGAUCAAGUGAGUAGCACUGAUGAGGAUGAGUUUUCAAGAUAUAUAUCAAGAAAGGGAAUUAGUAUUAGUUUUAAUUAAAGUAGGAUUAAUAUUACUUGGAAUUAAAUUAGGAUUAAUAUUUGCUGGAAUCAAAUUAGGAUUAGCUAGUUGAGUUAUAAUAUAAUUAGAAUUUGAGUCAUGAUAGGUUAUUAGAGUCUUAGUAGACUUUGGAUGUUAUAAUUAGAAUUAGAAUCAUAAUAGGUUUUUAGAGUCCUAGUAGACUUUGGAUUUCUUAGAGAAGCCUAUAAAUAGGCUAAUCAAUGUAAAUCAAAGGAAUAAAUUGAUGAAUAAUAUUAUACUUUCUUUCAUUGCAAGGUUGCAACCCUCAAUGGUGAGACUCCAUUGAUUUUCUUUUAGGUGAGACUCCUAGAAGGCCUUAGCGAGACUCUAAGGUUUUCCAUCUUUUCUUCAUUGUUUCUUCUUUCUCUCUAUUUCUUAUCUUAUAAUUUUCUCUACCAUAAAAUUUAUUCCUUAUUCCUCUCCUUACACCCUAAAAAUAAAACCCUAACCCACCUACCCUUAGGUGUAGGCAACCAUCCUAGGGUUAUCCUACAUCAAGCACCCAUGGUGUGGUAGAGGAAUUGGACCUUCAAACAGGUUGGAGCUGAAAUCAAUAGAUGCCCAAGGGGCCAUAUUUAACUGAUUUGGUAAUUGACCAUAUAACUGAUUCAAAGGAAGAUUUAAAAACAAUAGUUGAGAAUAAAUAUUCCUAAAACCAAUUGGGUAUCAUCCUUGUUGUAGAAUUAGGAUCUUUUAAGACUAUAUUAACAGUCUCAUAUGCAAUAACCUGAAUGAUUCAAUUUGGGUGGUUUUUCAUGGGCUUCAAAACAAAGAAAGUGGGUCUAAAUUGAUGAACAGAUAUUACCCCAAAAUGAGUUUUAAGCUUUUAGCAGAUGAUAAUGCUAGUUACUUUUAACCUAGAAAGUGACCAAGAACUUUCGGGGUUUUUUUUUCCUCUUUUCAUCACAAUUGUGAAACAUCAAAUUUGUCAUUGUUUUCCUACAAUUUAGAUUAUGGGGGUGGGGAGAUGUAUGCUCCUUUGCCCACGUUAGCAUUGGAGUGAACUAUGAAUUUCAGUUCUUGGAACCUGUCUGGAUAUGUUUCUAGAUGCUAGAAGGUUGGGGUGGGGGAAGAUAGCGGCAAGACCUGGUGUAAUUCCUUAUGGGUAAUUUGGGGAAAAAUGAUAGUAGUAACUAUUUUGCCUAUUUAAUUUUUCAAUCUAAUAUGCCUAAAGAAUUUGCAUAUCAAGUUUAAAAGUUGGCUUAAAUACCCAAGUCAACCUACUAUCGAUUGUGCGAGGAAAAAAGAAGAUGGGCAACAGGUAAGCUGUUGGAUUAAUUGGUAACCAACAUUUGCUAAUUAAGGUCGGAAUUUCUAUCUUAUAUUGGUGAGGUAGAUGACUUUUUUCUUAGUUUAUGGGGCCAAUGGAAGCAACCUACAACUAAGGAAAAUGGUUUCUCUCUACUCCCAGCUUACUAAGUUAAUUUGCUAAUGCAAAAAAGGCUUUCCCUUUCUACCAACAAGUUAGAAGGGUACUUCUUUCACUUAUUGUGCUUCUUGUUUCCAUGUUUUAUCUAUAAGGUGAACAUGAGGUGUCAAUCCCUUCCAAUUUUGUUUUCAUGUAUUAAUAUAGUUGAAGAAUCUAAUUACAGACUGAAAGAAUAUAGUUGGAACCUUGGAGGAGUGGUAGAUGAAGGGAUGGCCAUGCUAGGAGGAAUGAUAGUUGAAACAUCAACUCCAACUAGCUGAUCUGAGUGCAUCAGAAAUGGGAAUGAUAAGGCGGCCUCUCCUCUUUUUGGAAUGGAUACCGGCUCUAAAGACAUGAUCUUAGAAUAGGAAACCUUGUGUGUUUCCUAUAAACCAACUCAGCCUAAUCCACCUACCUAGGUUUCGUCUCCUAGGGCAACAAGCAUAUCCUAAAUGGUCUCAAAAGGCAAUAGAGUCCUGUGGUGCAUUAGUAUGAAAGUAUAGUUGAUUAUCUCGUUUCUUCUUAUGCACUAAACUCUGGAAAAACUGGCAGAUCACUUUCUAGUAAAAAGGAAGCUUUUUCUCCAGGAAUCUGUUGUUCAAUUUUCAAUUUUACAAUACUUCUCAUCUGACUCUCAUUGUAGAAUUAAGGUUUUUUUUAAGACUGCAUUAACAGUCCCUUAUGUAGAAACCUAAAUUAUUUAAUUUGGGUUUGUCUAGGGCAGAUUUUUAUGGAGUUCAAAACCAAGAAAGUGGCUCCAAAUUGAUAACCAAACAUUGCCGAAAAAUGUGUUUUUAACAUAUGAGACUGGUAGUUACUUCAAGUUACUGCUAACCUAGAAAGUGACAAAGAAUGCUACUUUUGGAUUUUAAGGAAAUUUUUUCUUUUAUUUAUUUACUUUUUUUUUUUUGUGCAGGUGCCACAUUUUCUCUUUUGGUUGGAAUUGUGAAGUAUCAAAUUCAUCGAUGUUUCCUACGAUUUAGAUUUUGGGGGUUGGGAGAGGUAUGUUCUUUUGCCCCACUUUGCAUUAAAGUGAGCAAUGAAUUCUAAUUCUUGGGGGCAUGGGUUGUGCAAGGUGGAUGCCCACACCACUUGGCGGGUGCAAAUGGAAGUCCUCUAAUGUGUUUGAUAAAGUGUUUCACCAAAAGAUUUUCUUGCUGAAGAAGGGAAAAUCCCAUUUUACUUUUGUUGUUAAUCAUGUCAAUAUGCCUUGUUUGUCAAUUACCUUGUUGCUUAAACUUUUUAUUUAUAUUUAUAGUUUAAAAUGGUGCAGAAUCCUUUGCUUCUGAGAGGUCUUAGGUUUGAACCUCACCGCUUAUGUAUUCCCUUUGUAUUGAAUCCAUGUAUGAAAGAAUGCCAUGGAGGCUAGUGUUGAGGCAAUUAUCUGUACUAUUAACCAGCUUCAUUUAAUAUACAUUGUUGAUCUAUUAUCUAAUCGCAUAAGUUGUUGGAUUAAGUGGCAAUCAACAUUUACUAAGGUUGGAAUUCCCAUAUUAUCUUGGUGAGAUAGAUCAUGACUUCUACCCUCAAUUUAUGGGGCCGAGGGAAACACCCUACAACUAUGGUAAAUGAUUUCCCCAUUCCCGAAGUUCUAAGUUAAUUUGCUAAUGCUAACGUAGAAAGGCUUCCCCUUCUACCAACAAGGUUAAGAGAGUGCUUCCUUCACUUACCUUGCUUAUUGUUUCCAUGUUUGAACUAUAAAGUUAACAUGGGGUGCUAAUCUCUUCCAAUUUUGUUUCCAUGUAUUAAUAUAGUUGAAUAUAGUUGGAGGAAUGGUAUAUACUCUAGUGGAAGGUGUCUCAAACUCAAUUCCCAUGGAUGGAGUAAGAUUCAGAGACACAACAAAUGGAAUUGGCAAUAAAACAGGUUGUGAAUUUGCUUGAGAAAUAACCAACCUCAUAGCAAAUGAAGGAACAAUUGUGCUAGGAGGAAAUGAGGUUUUGUCUUAGACGUAGUUCUCUACAGGUUGAUGACUUCUUCAGUCCAAUAACGUGUGAUUUUCUCACUUCUGAAACUUCAGUUUUGGUUUUGAUCCAUUUUAGAGAGGAUAUGUGACACAAUCCAAAAUGGGGUUACAUUGUCUCUUGUUUUUCGCUGAUGUUAUCAUUUGUUGCCUUCAUGUGCUAGGAUGACGUUUGUUAAUGAAAAUUUCUAUGACCAAGUUGAAUUUGAUACUUGGGUGGAGCUGGUUUGUUUAAAUAUUCAUGUUUUGGUGAAUAAAAGUUAUUUUAAUUGAGCAAAACUAAUACAUAUAAUGUAGAAGAUGGAUAAAAUUUAAGUUAAAUAUUUAACAAAAAAAAUAUGAUUUUAGGACUUUUCAAUUUAAUAAAAGUUUUGUUGUAGUUAUGGGUUAUGUAUUCAAUUUUGGGUAGAAGGAAAAGACUAACCAAGCAAGUGCUACAUAUAAUCUAAAGCAUUCCCAAACCCUGGAAGCUUAAGGGAUGGAUCAUAUUAAUAGUGUGUGAUAGUGAUUCUUGAAAGUGUUUUUAACGUUUAUAGUACUUGAAAAAUGAAAUCUUAAAGUGUUAGAAAUGUUAAAAACACUUCCUAGAAUAACUAUCAAAUGCACUCUAAAUAAGUUAGCUUAAGAGUGAUGCAAAAAAUGGGUAUGUUGUAUAAGAACACAUAUUUUCUUUUUGUCUUUCACCCUUCAAAAAGUUAUGAUCUACUUGUUUGCUUGGAAAAAAAAAUACUUUUUUUCCCCAAUUAUAAAUAUUAGCCAUUUUUCAUCAAAAGUAACUAGAAUUAUAUAGACCCCAAAAGGGCAAAAAAGGUCAUAGAUUUAGGUUAAUAAAGAAAUAUAGUUGGGACAAACAAUUAAAACAUCUUACAUUGGAUGAUCAUCAUAUCCUACUCAAAUUUUAUAAGGUAGUGGAAACAUAACUAAUAAUUAUAUUUUUCAAAGAGAAUCUAAAAAUUUGAAAUUGGAAAUUUAUUCUAUUCAUUUUUAAUAUUUUUUGGGGUCUACUAUAAAUUUUAUCCACAAAGGGAAAACAUACACUAUUUAUCUUAAUAAAGGCCCCUUUUAUAUCAAGAAAUUUCUCUUUGAAUGAAUUAAAAGAGAAACCUUGUCUUUUAUUACAACUAUAAUGAAAUUCACUUCCAAAGCCUAUAAUUAUACAUAGAGCAUAUAACGAUCUACAAACAAAAUUUAUCACCUUCGCGGGUGAGCUUUGGCACAGGUUGCUCUUCCUCUCAACAACCAUUUGACAAUUUUAUCCACAAAAUCAAAGUAGGCCUCACACCAAGAUUUUCUUGUUGCCAAAACAAAAUAUGGAAUUAAAAUACCCAUUGAAAAUCCCAAGCCAACACUCAAGUAAAACCAUUGAUCAAUGUAGCCACCAUCAUUUUUGUCCUCAAUAGCACUACGCUUUUUAUCUAGAUCUUCAUCUUGGCAUUUUGUGACUAGUGGAGCUCCACAAAGAUUAGGGUUUCCAACAAAGCCUGACUCAGUGAAGGUUGUCAUUUGCCCUAUAAAGGGGAUCUUACCAGAGAAAUUGUUAUUUGAUAGAUUCAAAUAACUUAAGAAUGUCAAUGAAACCAUACUUGAAGGAAGGGUGCCAGAAAGCUUAUUAUUUGACAAAUCAAGAGAUAACAACUGCUUCAACAUUGAAAUGCUUUCAGGAAUUUGGCCAAUGAUGUGAUUCCUCGAUAAGUUCAAAACUAGCAAACCAAACAAUUUUGUUAUUUCUUGGGGAAACUCUCCACUUAAAUUAUUGUCGGAUAGGUCUAUGCUUACAACAAGAAAAAGAGUUCUGGUGUACUCAAGACUUUGGCCUUUCAUAUUCACAACCAAUCGUUCUUCAUACCAAGAGUUGCUCCCAUUGCCAUGCAAAGGAUAUAUAUUCUUAUUAUUCUCUUGAGCCAUGGCUUUAAGCUCAACAAAAGUGAUUGGAAUUUCACCCAUUAGAUUGUUUUGUGCAAGGUCUAAGACACGCAGGGAGCUUAAAUUUGAAAGCUGUGGGGGAAGUCUUCCAAAAAAUACAUUUGACCUCAAGUUGAGUAUUACAAGAUUUAUGAAAGUAGUUCCAAUCCAUGAAGGAACCUUACCCAAUAGUUGGUUAUAACUGAGAUCAAGGAGUUCCAAUCUUGAUAAAUUUUGGAAAGAUGAGGGGAGCCCUCCUGAAAGCUUGUUAUCAUUCAGGUGUAGUGAUUCGAGCCAUUGUAACUGGCCCAAUGACUUUGGUAUCGUCCCAGAUAAAUGGUUAUUUCCAAGGUCUAGAACAAUUAGGCUAGAGCAAUUAUUUAUGGUAUAAGGAAUGCUUCCAGUCAAAUUAUUCCUUGAAAAAUCAAUGACUUGAAGAGAGGUGAUGUGUCCUAUGGAAUCUGGGAUGGUCCCUGUUAGUUGAUUUUUUGAAAGGAAAAGGUAAUUCAAGUCUAACAUAGAUUCACCUAUGCUCAAUGGGAUAGGGCCAGAAAAUUUAUUGUAGGAGAAAUCUAGUAAAUAGACUCCUUUGGUGGAAAAUUUUAAUGAAUUUGGUAGCUGACCUUGUAACUGAUUGUGAGAAAGUUUUAAGUAUGACAGGUUAAAAGAAAUAUUCCAAAACCACUUGGGUAUGAAACCUGAGAUGCUAGCAUUUGACAAAUCCAAAAAAAAGACCUCCUUUUGAGUCUUAAACCAAUUUGGGAAUGAAGGGCCUAAAUUGCAUGAAGCCAUACUCAGAUUAGUGACUUGGAAUGGGGGGACCCAAGUGGAACUAACAUUUAAAACAAGACCUGAAUUUCCAUUUAUCCACAACUCCUUCAACUUACUUAACUUUGAAAAAUGUUCUUCAGAAAUAAUUCCAGUCAUGCGAUUCAAAGAAACAUCCAAUUUAACCAAUUCAGAAAGUUGUCCAAAACUAACCGGGAGACUCCCAUUCAGUUCAUUCGAUCCAAGCCACAUCUCUCUCAGUUUUUUGAAUGUCCCAAAAGAAGCAGGAAUAGGGCCUUGAAGCUUGUUGCCAGAUAAAUCGAGAAAUGUAAGUUUUUCCAAAUGACUCAACCAUUCGGGAAUUGUACCUGCAAUCAUCAUCAAGAGUAUUAAAAUAGUUUCAUUUAUUUAUAUAUUUAUUUUAUGAAAAAUAAUAAAUUUUAGGAGAAAGGAAUUUUCAGAAAAAAAAGGUAUAAUAAAUCGAAUGAGUGGAGAAAAGAUAAUUUAAAAUAUUUUUUUAAAACUAAGUGUUUACAUGGAAUCAAUAUAUACAUGAUUACCAAAAGAAAAUUUUAAUUUAUUUGGUAGCUAACCUUGUAACUGAUUGUUAGAAAGACUUAACAACCACAUAUUCAAAGAAGUAUUCCAAAACCAAUUUGGUAUGGAACCUAAGAUGCUAGCAUUUGACAAAUCCAAAAAGAAGACCUCCUUUUGAGACCUAAGCCAAGUCGGGAAUGAAUGGCCUAAAUUGCAUGAAUCCAUACUCAGAUUAGUGACUUGGAAUGGGGGCACCCAAGUGGAACUAACAUUCAAAACGAGACCUGAAUUUCCACCCAUCCACAACUUCUGUAACUUACUUAACUUCGAAAAAUGUUCUUCAGAAAGAAUUCCAAUCAAGUGAUUCCUAGAAACAUCCAAGACAACCAAUUCAGAAAGUUGUCCAAAACUAAUUGGGAGACUCCCAUUUAGUUCAUUCGAUCCAAGCCACAUCACAUUUAGAUUUUUGAAUGUCCCAAAAGAAGCAGGGAUAGGGCCUUGAAGCUUGUUGCAAGAUAGAUCGAGAUGUGUAAGUUUUUCCAGCUGACUCAAUGAUUCAGGAAUUGUACCUGCAAUCAUCAUCAAAAGUAUUAAAAUAAUUUUGUCUAUCUAUUUAUUUUAUGAAAAAUAAGAAAUUCAAGAGAAAGGAAUUUUCAAAAAAGGUAUAAUAAAUCAAAUGAGUGGAUAAAAGACAAUUUAAAAUAGUUUUUAAAAACAAGUGUUUACAUGGAAUCAAUGUAUACACGAUUACUAGAAGAAAAUUUUAAUGAAUUUGGUAGCUGACCUUGUAAUUGAUUCUGAGAAAGACUUAAGUCCAGCAGAUUCAAAGAAAUAUUCCAAAACCACUUGGGUAUGAAACCUGAGAUGCUAGCAUUUGACAAAUCCAGAAGGGAGACCUCCUUUUGAGACCAAAGCCAAGUUGGGAAUAAAGGGCCUAAAUUGCAUGAAGCCAUACUUAGUUUAGUGAUUUGGAAUGGGGGGACCCAAGUGGAACUAACAUUCAAAACGAGACCUGAAUUUCCAUUUAUCCACAACUCCUUCAACUUACUUAACUUUGAAAAAUGUUCUUCAGAAAGAAUUCCAAUCAUGCGAUUCCUAGAAACAUCCAAGAGAACCAAUUCAGAAAGUUGUCCAAAACUAAUUGGGAGACUCCCAUUCAGUUCAUUUGAUCCAAGCCACAUCUCUCUCAGAUUUUUGAAUGUCCCAAAAGAAGUAGGAAUAAGGCCUUGAAGCUUGUUGCAAGAUAGAUCGAGAUGUGCAAGUUUUUCUAACUGACUCAACGAUUCAGGGAUUGUACCUGCAAUCAUCAUCAAGAGUACUAAAAUAAUUUCAUUUAUUUAUUUAUUUAUUUUAUGAAAAAUAAGAAAUUUCAGGAGAAAGGAAUUUUUAGAAAAGGUAUAAUAAAUCAAAUGAGUGGAGAAAAUAUAAUUUAAAAUAGUUUUUAAAAACAAGUGUUUACAUGGAAUCAAUAUAUACACGACUACCAUAAGAAAAUUUUAAUGAAUUUGGUAGCUGACCUUGUAAUUGAUUCUGAGAAAGGCUUAAGUCCUGCAGAUUAAAAGAAAUAUUCCAAAACCACUUGGGUAUGGAACCUGAGAUGCUAGCAUUUGACAAAUCCAGGAGGGAGACCUCCUUUUGAGACAUAAGCCAAGUCGGGAAUGAAGGGCCUAAAUUGCAUGAAGCCAUACUCAGUUUAGUGAUUUGAAAUGGGGGGACCCAAGUGGAACUAACAUUCAGAACGAGACCUGAAUUUCCAUUUAUCCACAGCUCCUUCAACUUACUAACUUUGAAAAAUGUUCUUCAGAAAGAAUUCCAGUCAUGUGAUUCCUAGAAACAUCCAAGAGAACCAAUUCAGAAAGUUGUCCAAAACUAACUGGGAGACUCCCAUUCAGUUCAUUCGAUCCAAGCCACAUCUCUCUCAGAUUUUUGAAUGUCCCAAAAGAAUUAGGAAUAGGGCCUUGAAGCUUGUUACCGGAUAGAUCGAGAUAUGCAAGUUUUUCCAAUUGACUCAAUGAUUCAGGAAUUGUACCUGCAAUCAUCAUCAAGAGUACUAAAAUAAUUUCAUUUAUUUAUUAAUUAUUUUAUGAAAAAUAAGAAAUUUCAGGAGAAAGGAAUUUUCAGAAAAGGUAUAAUAAAUCAAAUGAGUGGAGAAAAGAUAAUUUAAAAUAGUUUCUAAAAACAAGUGUUUACAUGGAACCAAUAUAUACACGACUACCAUAAGAAAAUUUUAAUGAAUUUGGUAGCUAACCUUGUAAAGAAAUAUUCCAAAACCACUUGGGUAUGGAACCUGAGAUGCUAGCAUUUGACAAAUCCAAGAGGGAGACCUCCUUUUGAGACAUAAGCCAAGUCGGGAAUGAAGGGCCUAAAUUGCAUGAAGCCAUACUCAGUUUAGUGAUUUGAAAUGGGGGGACCCAAGUGGAACUAACAUUCAGAACGAGACCUGAAUUUCCAUUUAUCCACAACUCCUUCAACUUACUUAACUUUGAAAAAUGUUCUUCAGAAAGAAUUCCAGUCAUGCGAUUCCUAGAAACAUCCAAGAGAACCAAUUCAGAAAGUUGUCCAAAACUAAUUGGGAGACUCCCAUUUAGUUCAUUCGAUCCAAGCCACAUUUCUCUCAGAUUUUUUAAUGUCCCAAAAGAAGCAGGGAUAGGGCCUUGAAGCUUGUUGCCGGAUAGAUCGAGAUAUGUAAGUUUUUCCAAUUGACUCAACGAUUCGGGAAUUGUACCUGCAAUCAUCAUUAAGAGUAUUAAAAUAAUUUUAUUUAUUUAUUUUAUGAAAAAUAAGAAAUUUCACGAUAAAAGAAUUUUCAAAAAAUGUAUAACAAAUCAAAUGAGUGGAGAAAAGUUAAUUUAAAAUAUUUUUAGAAACAAAUGUCUACAUAGAAUAAAUUGAGAAUAUUGUUUUUAGAAAUUAAAGUUUCCAAACAAAAUUUUGCUACAAAAAUAUAAUAUAAUAUUUGUAAAAAUUAUUAUAAAAAACUCAAAUUUGAUUUCUAAAAAAUAUUUUUACAAUGUUUACAAGAAACAAAAUACAUUAUAACAUUUGUAAAACUAUUAUAAAAAGCUCAAAAAAUUAUUUUAGAAAUCUAUUUUAAAAAUUGUUUACAACCAAAAUCUAGAUCUUGUAGUGUAAUCUUUCAAAUCCAUCAAAAGUCGAGGAGGAGAAGAUGAGCCAAAAAGCCCUAAAAAUUCCCCUUUGUUGGUCAAUUGCACAAUGAAUUUGUGAUAAAUCAUACAUCAACAAGAGUUAAAAUAAUUUAAUUUAAAAUAAUUUUCAAAAAAACAAAGAGAAAGUUUAUGAGAAAUAUAAUUUCAAGACAAGGUAAGAAACUUUACUUUCUUAUUGCAUUAGUGAAAUGGAUACAAUGAAUGGUGAAAAGAUAAUUUUACUUGCUUUGAUGGUUUAAUGAUAAAAGUAAGAGAUUAUUGGAAAGUCAUAAUAAUUUAAUGUGAAAUAUUUUUUAAGAACAAGGGUUGCAAUGCAAAACCUCUACAAUAUUUUGAUUUAUCAAAAAAAAAUAAGUGAUAACAAUUUUUCUAAGCUAAUAACGUACUAAGAAAGUUAUUGUAUGCCAAAUUCAAAAAUUCUAUCUUCUUCCAGCUUUUGCUUAACAUUUGAGAGCAACUACCUGUGAGAUUUUUGUUCCAAGAUAGAUCCAAGUGCUGCAAGUUAGGUAGUUCCCCAAGGCUAGGUGAAAUAUGCUCAUAUAACUGAUUAGAACUUACAUCAAUGUAUACAAGGCUGGUAAGGUUUAGGAGCCAUAUUGGGAACUUUGACCGGAAAGAGUUGCCACUAAUGCUUAUGAGAGACAGUGAAGUAAAAUUGAUAGAGCUUAGAGAUGAAAUUGAACCAGAGAGCCCACAAUCUUGUAGGUGCAACUCCGUUAAAAAUGGAAGCUUGUUUAAUACCUCCAUCCAAUGAGAUCCAUUGAAAGGUUGACAUAGUUCAUCUUGAGAUGCUUUAAGGAAACAAGACUAGUCAUCCAUUCAAGGUCCUUAACAAAUAAGAACUUCUGAAAUUCAUUGGAAGAAAGAUCAAGAACUUGCAAAUUAGAAAGGUUUCCCAAUGUUGGAGGAAUUGCACCACUGAAUCCACCAUUUGAUAAGUUUAGAUACCAUAAAUUCUUCAAAGAUCCAAAGAAUUUAGGGAUUAGUAUAUGCUCAAAUGAGUUACCACUCAAAUCUAAAUAUCUCAAGGAUUUGAUUUCUAUCAAAGAAGGUCGAAUCUCCCCGCUUAAGUUCAUUGAGCUCCAAUUCUCAUAUGCUUCUUUAGGAGAAUAUGGGUUAUGAAGAUUGAUUGAAAUAACAACUCUUGUGUUGUUUUUGCAACCAAUUCCCUCCCAUUGACAACAAUUGCCUCCUGUCCAUGAUGAAAGUCGGUUGUUAGAAUCUUUAAGACCAUUUUUGAAGUUAUGAAGAGCAUCUCGAUCGGCUCUUAAGCAAUCUUCCUUAAGGGUUUCACCCUUACAAGCUAGAUCUCUUAUUGUUAAACAUAGAAUGACCCAAAGGAAACCAAGAAUUGAAUUUUUCUCCAUCUGAGAACACCUAUAAAAGUAAGUAAUUAAUAUUAAGUUCCGAUAGAAGAAUCAAAAUAGUGAUGAAAUUUGAUAAAGAACUAGAACAUCAAGAUAUUGGAUACUAAAAAACACAUUUAUUUUAAUCAAUCAUAAGUUUAAUAAGAUUAAAACAUGUCAAGUGGAUGGCAUACUUGAAUAGUUAUCCAUAUUAAAUAUGGUUUGAUGAUUGUUGCUAAUCAAACACAAGAUAAGCUUGGAAGCACUAGAUAGGGGAAAACACUAUUGAACCCAUUCGAGGCUAAUCAAACAACUUGUCAUUAUUGGUAAAGUAAAACAAGACUAGUGAUCCAUUCGAGAUCAUUAACAUAUAAAUCAUAGGAUUCAAAAUUAACAAAUAAAUAAAUAAAUUGAUGGCUAGAAAGAUUGAGAAAUUUCAAAUUAGAGAGGUUUCUCAUACUAGGAGGAAUUGCUCCAUUGAACCCAUAAUUUGAUAGGUUUAGAUAUUCUAAAUUCUUCAAAGAUACAAAGAAUUCAGGAAUUGGAAUACAUUAAAAUGAGUUAUCACUCAAAUCUAAAUAUCUCAAGGAUUUGAGUUCUAUCAAUGAAAGUCUAAUCUCUCCACACAAGGUUGUAGAGGUCCCAUUCUCAUAUGCUUCCUUGGGAGAAUAUGGGUAAUGAAAAUCAACUGAAAUAAUAGCUCUUGUUUUAUUUUCAUAAUCGAUUCCUUCGCAUUGACAACAAUCAAGCCCUCUCCAUGAUGAAAGCCAACUAUUAGAACUUUUGAGAUCAUUUUUGAAGAGCAUCUCUAUAAGUUUUAAAUCAUUUCCCAAAUUGGUCUCACCUUUACAAGCAAGUUUUCUUAUUAUUAAACAUAGAAUGAUCAAAAGGAAACUGAGAAUUAAAAUUUUCUCCAUCUAGGAACACCUAUAGAAACAAGUGAACUUAAGUUCCAACACAACAAUAACAAUAGUGAAAAAAUUCAAUUAGUAAUGGAAUCAAGACAUCAAACAAUUAAUAACAUAUCUAACUUAACCACUCAUUUGUUUAGAAAGAUUAAAAAUUUCCAAGUAACCAACAUAAUUUAAUACAUGUCAAAGAAAAUAUAAUUGAAAUCAUCUCAAUAAAUAUCAAAUAUGCUUUGAUGAUUACUAUUGAUCAAAACAUUCUAACUAUAGAAAUCACUUACAAGAAAACUUGAAGCAUUAGAUAGAGAGAAACACUUUGAACAAUCUCCUUUUUUAUGGUGUAGUCAUUCCUUUGGAUGCAGAGAUAUAUAUAGAAGAUAAUUCAACUAGAAACCAUGUGGAUGGAUAGUGAUAAGCGCCUUUCCUUUCUUUUUAGCAAUAUUUUGAAAAAUGGAUUGGACCAACCAAUUGAAUAGAUUCAAUUGCCAACCAAUUCACUUUCCGGGUUGGGUGACCUUUUCCAACCAUUUUGGGCUUAAAAUAGUGGAAAACCGAUCACUAGUAUUUGAUUAUGAUCAAAUAUUUCUAUCACAACAACCACUUUUUCUUCAAUCACUUUAAUAUAUUUUUGUCGCCUCUUGGUACCUCAUUAAGCAAAAUUUGCAUUGGAUUGACUUCAACAUUAUGUUUGGGUCAUCAAGAUUCAAGCCUUUUCAAUUGUUUGUGAUCCUCAACAAAAAAAGAUAUAUAAAUUAAAAAUUCAAUUCAUAUCAACAAAUUUUAGCAAACCACUUUAGAAUAUAUAAAAUUAAAAUUUGUGUUCUUGUAAUAAUGAUUCUAAGUUUUUUUUUCUCUUCAUUUUAAUAACCAUUUGAAAGUGUCAAUUGUGUUUUCAAUGUUAUAAGACUUUGAUGAAUAUUUGUAAAUAGUAUAUAUUCAUAUAUUCUUAAUUUUUUGAAAAAAUAAAAUAAAAAUUAGAAAAAAGAUUUAUUUAUUUAUUUAUUUGGAUAUAGAAGAUAAUUCAACUAGAAGCCAUAUAGAUGAAAGUGAUGGCCUCCCCUUUCUUUCUCCUUUCUUUCUUUAUAGUAUUUCUUUUUUAAGCAUACGCAGUCAAAAUUUUGCUUUUGGUAAAGUCUUCCACCUGUAAUUGAAAUGUAAAGAAUAAUAAUUCAAAGUCCAAAAAAAUAAGGACAAAAAAGUUGCUAUCUUCACUUAAAAACUUUGUUUUUGGAGUCGUGUCCUCUUGUCCUUUUGCACAAAACAAAACGUACCCCUUACUCUAAUGCAAGGAUGUAUAUUAAAUGAUAAAAUAUGAAUUCAUUAAUCUAAUUAUGAAGUCAAGAACUUAAUUAAUUAUUUAAUUAUAUUAAUUAAUUUAAUUGAAGUGUAAAGAAUAAUAAUUCAAAGUCCAAAAACAUAAGGACAAAAAGGUUGCUAUUUUCACUUAAAAACUUUAUUUUUGGUGUUGUGUUCUCUUGUCUUCUUGCACAAAACAAAAAGUUCUCUUUACUCCAAUGCAAGGAUGUAUAUCAAAUGAUAAUAUAUGAAUUAAUUAAUCUAAUUAUGAAGUCAAGACCUUUAUUAAUUAUAUUAAUUAAUCUAGUUGAAAUGUAAAGAAUAAUAAUUCAAAGUCCAAAAACAUAAGGACAAAAAAGUUGCUAUCUUCACUUAAAAACUUUAUUUUUGGUGUUGUGUCCUCUUGUCUUCUUGCACAAAAUGAAAGAUACUCUUUACUCCAAUGUAAGGAUCUAUAUUAAAUGAACAAUCUUCUCAUUCAUUAAAGGAACCAUUUUUAAUCAUAUCGACUACUUAAAUAAGGCUAGAGCUUUAACAGUUACCUUUAUUUGAACUUUAUUAUCAAGCAUUAAUUAACAAAAUAUUCUAUUUGAACUUGUAAGUGAUAUGAGAGUUUGAAUUAAUGAUUAUUAAUGCUUCUAUAUUUCAUCUAAUUUGUUGGGUUAGCCGUAUCUAAUCCCACAAUAUUGAAUGAUCAAUCUUAUUACUACUUGAUUAUAAAUUAAAUAUUUCCAAGCUUGAUCCUUAAAUAUGGUCUAUUAAGGCAAUAAUUUGAUCAAAACUAUUAAGGACUUAGGUUAAUAAUGUAACACUUCAUUUCACUAAUAGCAUAUAUAUAUGAGAAAAAUAAACAUUGAUGAAAUUUAAAUGCCUAACCUACCCUAAGUUAAAAUUUUGAUAUCAUGCAUGGUAAGCUCUGAUAAUUUGACAUGAUAAUAUAGAUCACCAAGCAUUUGGUUUAAAAAGAAUAAAAUCUUCCAAGUUCAAAUUGUGUAUAUUUGACAUGGUGAUAUAGAUCACCAAGCACCUAUUUGAAAAAUAAUAAAAUCUUCCUAGUUCAAAUUGAGUAUAUGAAGUAAGAAGCUGAAUGGGCAACCCUUUUUUUUUUUAAAAAAAAAAAAUUCCAAGGAAAAAGAUUCAGUUGAUGUUUGUUUUUUUUAACUUAAUUUGAAUGCAAUUUACUUUCAAGACUUCAAAUAUUUGUUUUUAAUAUUUUUUUAAACUUUUAACUUAUUCAUCAAUAUUUAGAAUAGAAUAGAACAAGCUAAAAUAUGUGACUUUUUACUUAAUCUAAAAAGUUAACCGAUUCACACUUCUAACCCCUCAUACCUAACUCACAUUGUGAAAAAACAAAUAAUAUUAAAUACUUUUAAGUUGUAUUUAGAACUAAGUUAAAUUAAGUUCUAUUUAGAUUUAAAUAAAAAAAAUCAUCUUAAUUAUGUUGAUCCAAACUUUAAUUGUGCAUGAUGUCUCGUUUUCCCUAUGAGCAUGACUUUGCUACUACUUAUCCCACACAAGAAAUAAUGGGCUUUUAGUUAAUUAACUACUAAGAAUAAUAAUAUGAACGUAUAGAUGACAUUAGCCCUAUAAAUUGAGUCAUGAAAAAACCUUCCUCAAAAUAUCACAGUCUUCAUGUUGUCCUAUGAAUUAGUAAUAUUUCACAAUCUUGUAAAAAAUUAAGGAAAAAUAAGAUAAAAUAAUCAAUAAGGCAUCAACAAUAGCAAACCACCUCGAAAUAAAUAAAAUAUCUUAAAAUUUUGAAAAUCUCUAUGAUGAGGUUAUCAUUUCUGAUAAAUUGAUCAUGCUCAUCAAAGCUAGCUCAGCACUACACAAUCCAAUCCAACCCAAUUAACAAAUCAACUAUUUAAAGUAUCCAAAUAUUGUGACCAUUUUUUAAAGACAUUUUUGUCAUGUCAUGUCUAUCAUGCAAUUUAAAGUAAUCAACUCAGCUUUGAAUAAAGAAAUUAUGUUUAUGCCCAUUCAUUAAUUUAUUAAUUUAUUCAAUGUUUAUGCCAUGUCUACCAAGGUGGCCAUAGAAAAUUUUGCAUUAGCUUGACUUUAACUCUUAUGUUUGGGUCAUCUAGAUUAGGGCCUUGUAAAUUAAGAUUUCAAUUCUUGUCAACAAAUUUUAGCAAACCACUCCAUAAGCUUUUUUCUCCUUUCAUUUUAAGAAUUAUUUGAAUGUGUAAAUUGCAUUUUAAAUUUUAUAGGACUUUGAUUAAUAUUUGUAAAUACUAGAUAUCUUUGUAUUUUUAACUUCUUUAAAAAUAAAAAUUUUUUAUUAAAAAGAAUUUUGCACUAGCAAUUCAUUUCCUCACAUGGAAGUGCUAGAAAAUUUUAAAAAUUACCUAAUCCAUUUUGUGCUUUUACAAAGUAUCAAUUAGUUGUGGUUAAAUAAAUUUAGUUUCCAAUCACUAAAUUAUACAUUUAGACAUAAGAUAAUUUGGGUAUCUAACAUUUAACAACUUCAUAAUUUCUUUAUUAAGUUGUGAUGACCCAAUUUAUUUCUAUGCUAAAUUUUUAAUUUUUAAUUAUAAUUCUAUCUUUAGUGUAAAAUUUCAUUCAUGCAUGAGGGUUAAUAAUCAUUUUAGAAGACAAGAAUGACAAGAUUGUGUGAGAAAUUUCUACAUGAAAUCUUGAGAUUGAACACCAAAUUGAAAGUUUGGACAAACCUAAGAAUAAUAACUAAUGCAUCAAGAUUUUAGAUACAACUAUUUCAAUAAUUAAAUAUUGUAGCUCAAUAAACAUACUUCAUAAUGUUUGGAAUUACAAUAAAUUUAUAUUUAUAAACUAAAAAAAAAAAAAAAAAACUUAGACAAAUUUUCCUAGAAACAUAUUCAAAUAAGUGGUUAGAGUAUUAUUGUCUAUGUAUACAUAGAUUAUAGUUAGAAUGUUAAGUGAUUUCAAAUUUAGACAACAAAUGUCAAGCCACUUAACCGUCUGAUUAGUCUUAUAAAUUAAAUAUAUAUAACUUAAUAAAUAGGAGUUGGAAGCAUAUGGUCAUUCGAGUCUUUGUUUUUCCUUUUUCACUCACUAUAAGGAUGGUUUUCCUUCCUAAAAAUAAAAUGAUGUAAAAAACCAUGAUAGAGAAUAAUAAUUAACAUGGAGAAGAAAACAAAGAGAAUGAAAACCAAAAAACAUACAAAGCACAUAAUGACUUACAUGGUUUUGUGUAAGGUUUACAUAAACAAGUAAAAUUGAAAAAGUUCAAAGGGAUUAUAAUCCUAAAACUCUCAAAUUCUAAAGUCCCAAUUACCACCUCUCCUCCCAACCCCUUGCCACUCUUAAAAAAAGAAAACUCUCUUUGAGUAAAAAAUUGUUCUUAUUUUCUUGAUAACAUAGAAAUAUUCAAUAUAAAAAAAUAUCUAGUUAUUAAAGAUUUCUAGUAAAUUUUCUUUAUAAUAAUAGAAAGUCUCUUGCAAAAAUGUAUUUUGAUGGGAAAAUAUCAAAGAAUUACAAAAUUGUCUCAAAAGAGAAUUUGAGAUACUUUCUAACAAUUUCCACCUUGGCUUUAAAUCCUAAGAUUAAAACAAAUUUGAAAGUCUUUCAUGUCACUUUGCACUCAUGCUCUUAAAGGAUCUUCAGAUGUUGUCAUAAACAAUUAAGUUCAAAACACAUUAAUUGGUUUCUCCACUACAAUGAUCUUUUUACUAGUGUCUACCAUCACUAGCAUACCUUUAUCUACCUCUUUGUUUCAUCUUGGUUAAAUUGUAUUGUUACUCUUGUUAUGCAUUUUCCUUAUCAAUGUUGAACCUCUUCUUCAUUUGGCGUUACUAAAUUCUUUCCUAUAGUUCCUCAAGCUUUAGGUUUGAGCUCCAACUUUUUCUCACUUUGAUGUUGUUGCUGUUUUUUUUUUUUUUUUUGGUGUAUCAAAUAGCUUCUUCCUAGGAUUAAUCAUUAUAGCCUCAUCAAGGGUCACAGCCACACUAACAAGAAAAAUGAAAGAUUUUGAAUUUGGGCACACAACAUAUACCCUUUAGAGUACAUUUUCUCCAUACCCUAAAAAUAUGCAUUUUCUUACCUUUGGUUCCAACUUACCUUUAUUCACAUGAGCAUAAGCAGGACACCAUAAAAUUCUUAAAUCUAUACAGUUAGCAAGGAAACCAAACCAUUCCUCUUAAAGAGUCUUAUAAUUAAUAUGUAGGAUGUCCUUUCACAAUAUAACAAGUUAAAUUUAUUGCUUCAACUCAAAAUUCCUUUCAUAACCCUACAUUCAAAAGUGUGCACCUUGCUCUCUUUGAAAGAGUUCUAUUCAUCUUAUUUGCAACACCAUUAUGUUGUAGAGUAUGUCUAACUAUGUCUCACAUUAUCUUUAAUAUUGCACUACUCAUUAAAAUAUUUUCCACUAAAUUCCAUAUCAUUGUCGAUUCUCAAGCAAUUUGUUUUCCCAUAUGUUUCUCCAUUAUCUUUUAUAUUGCACUACUCGUUAAAAUCUUUUCCACUAAAUUCAAUGUUAUUGUCAAUUCUCAAGCAAUUUGUUUUUCCAUACGUUUCUCCAUCAUAAUUUUCAAUUGUUUGAACUUCUCAAAGACAUCACUCUUAUGUUUAAGAUAUAUACCCAAACCUUUCUAAAGUAAUCAUCAAUUAAGCUCAAUGUAUAUGUUCCACCAACAUGUGAUAUAACCUAAUAAGGACCCCAAAGAACUAGAUGAUGUAAUCUAAAGUACCUUUAAUAUUGUGAAUAGUUAUACUCCAUCUAAUCGAUCAUUUUUCUCAAACAUAUAAUGCUCACAAAAAUCUAGCUCUUCCAUUUUCUAACCACCAAGAAAAACUUGUUUGCUCAAAAUUGUCUAAUGAAAAAGGAAGACUAAGUUUUUGAUAUGGAGUUUAUGUUUGAAAGUUUUGGGAUUUAAGAAUAUGUUCAUUAGAGUUAAAUUCAUUGGGUGUUAGGAUUUCUUAUAUGCACUUUACUUAUGAAACUGACUUGAAGCUUUUGAGUUGUUGAUUAUCUUGUAGUGAUACAUCUCAUUUAGUGAUUAGAGUUUACAAGUUCCUCAUAUUUAAAAAAGUUCAUAGAGCUCUAUUAUUAAUGAUCUUCGUUACCAUUGUAAAUACUAUCUCUAGCUGAAAAUGAACAAGGGUUUUAUUGAUUCAAUCCUUUCAUACGCUUGAGAUGGUUCCUUGUAUGACUAUAAGUUGAAUUACUAUUUCCAUAAUCUCUUGUAAUAAAACAACAUCUUGAAUAAUAUAUCUUCAAAAUGAAAUAGACUUGGAGCAAAUCACACAACAUUUAAUCCUUGGAAUGGUUUUGCAUUCUGGUGGCUUAAAUAGGAAGAAGAAGACCUUAAUUAAGACUGGUAUGGACCCAGAUUUUUCAUGUGCAUCCCCACUCACUGGCGAGAAUUGUUUUUAUUGGUGAAAAAUUAGUUUUGAAAAAGUUGGAGUCACCACUUAUUUUAUUUUAUUUAUAAAGGGAAAAUAAAACAAAAAAGAAAACACUAAAGAAGUGACUCUAUAGUUUUGGAAAAGCAUGUCUUGAAAAACUCGAGUCUUGGUCCAGAGAUCAGAUUACCUAUUGGGAAGGUACCUCAAAGAGGUAGCACCCCUCUAAGCCCUAAGGAGGUUUCUACUAGCUAGGUUGAGAGAAGUAUGACAAUUAGUUAUACCUAGGUAGGCUAAGGUGAUUUCAAAACUCUAUCAUCACUAUCAUGCCAAAUAAGAAUUCAAAACAACAUCAUAAAGAAGUGGCAGUUUGUGUACCUGAAUUGCAACUUAAGCGCUAUCAUAAAACAUCAAAGUUAGUUUAAGCAACAAGAUAUAUAACAUACAAUAUGCUUUUUACUCUAUUCAAAGAAUUAGGCACAAAUCAAAUCAAUCUGAAACACAAUCAAGCAUGAAGGUACUUCACACACAAAGCAUAUCUAUUUAUAGAACUUUGAAAGAUAAGAAGAGGAGAGACACACCUGGAUAGCAUGCAUAAUUUAUAAGGUUCUUCCAAAAAUGCUAGAGUGGUUAGGACAACCAUAAAUUAUACAACAUCCUUAUUAUGUCUAAUAUAUAGUAUCAGAGCCAAAGUCGAGCCAAGAUAAGUUAAAUGGCUCCAAAAUAAAUAACAAAUUCAAGAUAAGUACAAGAUCAUUAACAUGUAGUUAGAAAAGGAAGCAUCACAAAACAAUUUCUUAAAAAAAUAUCUUGGAGUGGAAUUUAAUUAUAAAAAAAAAAUCAGAAAAUAACUCCUACACAUCUAGAACAACAUACAAAAAACCAAACACAUUCAAAUGACAGACUGCAUCAAAGACACAUAAAAGUUGUAGAAGGUCCAGAUUAGGUAAACAAUAGUGACAUACAUAAACCGAUUUUUUUUUUAAAUAAUAAUAAAUCACAUAAAAUUGUACAAAAAAUCAUGCACAUCGAUCAAAGUGUCUAAACCACAGAAAAAAUGAAUCCAUAGUCAGAUAGAACUCAAAAUAUUUUUAGAACACCCAAGCUAAUUAGAUGUCCAGAAUCCAUCAUGUAUAGUAGGUAUGACUUUGAAAAAUCAUAUCUCCCUCAAAAAGGCAUAGUUUUUAAUAUUUUAUGUGUCAAAAUUUAAUUUCAAGAAGUCAAAAAUCUAGGAAAAAUAUUCAUUUAAAUUAGAAAGAUUAGAAAACACUUUAAGUUUUCAAUGAUCUCUUAAGUGUGUAGAGGUACUCCUAAAUAGAGAAUGCUGAAAGAGAUGAUCAUAACUCAACUUUAAGAAAAGAUUUCUGACUCAAAUAAUAUUCUAGAAUCAAGUUCAAGAAGUAAGGAAAAUCAUAAAAGCUUUCAAAUUUUUUUAAAAUACUCUAAAGUUGCUCAAAUGAAUUUUAAAACUAAAGGGUCAGUAAUUGAAUGAAAACUGACAACAAAUAAGAGUUUUAAAAAAUUUCCUUAUGUAAGGGUUCCAUCAAGUCCCCAUUCAAUUUCUAUAAGUUUUAUCUAUAUAUCCCCAUUAAUUUGGGAGUACAAGUCCAAACCUAUGUGAAUAAAAUAAAAAUAAAAACAAAAUUUUUGAAAAACCAACAAAGGAGAAAUGCAACUUAGAUAAAAUGAAUUGCAUAAUUUUAAUAGAAAAUGUGUUCUUUACCUAAAGCUAGAAUGAAUGUUUUUCUAAAGCCUUUUAUUGGUGAUUUAAAUGCUUUUGAAAAAGAUUUUAAGGGAACCAGAAAGAGACCCAAUGAUAGACACAAAAUAACUAUUUUUGAUUUCUAACUUAAAAAGGCUUUGAAAAUAAGAGAAAAGCCAAACUUAUGAUGGAAAAAAAAAAUCAUUUUUGACAAGUGAAGAGAAAUUUUGAUUCAAUAACAAUUGGAUAGUCUUUAAAAGGAUCGCAAACCAAACAAAAAUUUUAUUCAUAUUAAUUAAUUUUCCUAAAUCAAAUAAAAAAAAGAUUCAAUCAAAAUAAAUAUUUUAUUUGAAAAGAUUAAUUUUCUAAAACAAGUAAAUAAGAUUCAAUUGAAAUUAUUAUUAAUAAACUUAAGACAUAAACCAACCAAAUUUCCAAAUAUAAAUAAACAAUAUCAAAACAAACUCAAGACAUAAACCAAUUAAAUUUCUAAAACAAAUAAAUAGUAUCAAAAGGAAUGCUAAUGAACGUGAGAUGUGAACUAACCAAAUUUCUAAAAUGAAGAAUAGGGUCCAACCAAAACAAUUAUUUUAUUCGAUCUAACUAACCAAAUUUUAUGGAACAAGUAAAUUACGAUAAAAUCAACCAAGGACUAAUAUUAGUGGUCUUAAAACAUAUUAUAGUUACGUUGGAUCAAUCAAAAUAUAACCAAAAAAAUUCUAGGACAAAUAACUAAAUAAAUGCAAUCAAGGGUUAAUAUUAAUGACUUUAAAAAUACAAUCAUAGUUACAUAGGAUCAAUCAAGACUAGUAUUUUAAUUUUUUUUUAAAAGGGGGUUAACCAUGAGAUCAAUUAAAUUAAUAACUCAUAAUUCUAAUAUAUAUAUAUAUAUAUAUAAACUAAAAAAAAUCAAUUAAAGACUAAAAUCUAUUAACUUGGACAUGGAUAUAUUCACAGGAUCAAUUAAAUUAAAAAACUAAAAUUCCGAAGACAUGUAAAUUCGAUAAAAUAAUCCAAGGACUAAAAUUUAUUAACUAAGUUAUGGAUUUAUCCACGGGCUCAAUAAAACAAUAAACUAAAAAAAUGCUAAAGCUAUCUAAACUAAAGUAGGACGGAUUUAAACUAAGUGAGAACGGAAUUAAAACAUGAACUAAAAGCUAGAUUAUGAACUAAAAUUAUCACGUGGAAUCAAUUAGUAAGAUGAACUAAAAUUCUAAAAUUAUAAACAAGAUGAGGUGAACUCAAAACUAAAAGCUAGAUUAAACAAAGAUCCGAGUUUUCUUUUUCGGUCAAAUAUAAUGAAUCGGAAACUAGAACUAAAUAAGAUUCAAACUUUUUAAAUCUAAAACAAAGAAUCAAAUUAAACCGAAACAAGGAUGUAAUUUUUCGAUCUAAAACAAUGGAUCAAAAUUAAACAAAGUUUAGAUUUUCAAAACCAAAACAGAUUCUGUACUCACCUUUCUCCGCAAUCCCUUGGACUAUGUUAUAGAUGGUGCGGCCUGUGGAUGUGUUCACUUGCAGGUACGGCUGUGAUUGGGGAUCGUUGGAGAACGUGUGCUACUGCCUUCUCCGUUGAUGACGAUGUUGUCUAGAACUCCUUCGUUAGUGGGAGUGUUUCUUGUGAUUUAUAGCCCACCUUCCAGAUUCUCACGUGAAGGAGCAGUCCGCCCUUGUGAAUGUGCGUGAUUCACUUUUGGAUGGGAUGCGGCUGCUACUGAAUUCGAAUCAUAUACAGUCAAUGAAUGGUGCGUCAAUGGGAUGGAUAUAUUGUUGAGUGGGGUGUCGGUGGAGAGAAAUUUCUGAUCAGCAUGCGCGCUCGUGCCCUUGGAGAUGCAGCCAUGAAGAUCCUCGAGUGGCCUGCGUGCAUGAAAAAAAUAUAUACUGUGCACCAAAAUUUGUUUUUUUCAACUCCGCAGCUGCUUGGUGGUCCUUCAAAAGUGCGAGUAGGCUGCUCUAUAUGGUUCCAAAACCGACUGCCCUUCCUGAAUCUGUGCUGAAAGUCCCUCUUUUCUAAAACCACUCCCGAAGUCUGCUCUCGGCUCUCUGUGUUUUCCUCGCACUUAUCCAAAACACCAGCCCCAUUUUCAUUAGCGUUUGGCAACCGUCCCAUGCGUGGAGGACUCCUCCUUUCUCCAAAUUCUAUGUUUCCUCCUCUUAAUAAAAUCAUUUUAAAAUAAUAAUAAUAAUAAUCAUAAUAAUCUGUGCAUAUCACCCAUGGAGUCCCACCUUUUUCAAAAACUUCUUCACCUCUAUUUUAACUCCCUGGUGAUCUUCAAUAAGGCCCUUCUUUUCCUUUUCAAAGUCUUACCAAAAAUUAACUCUUCCUUACCCGUAGGUAAAUUUUCCUAUAAAAACAUAAGAUUAUUAAAUCAAGUAAAUGAAUAAAAAAAAUUAGAGAAAGAUAAAAUAAUAAUAAUCAAUAAAUGAAUAAAUAGCAAAAUAAAAAUAAAUAUAAUAAAUGAUUAAAUAAAAGUGAUUGAUAAUAAUAAUAAUAAAAAUAAAAACAAAUAAAUAAGUAAAUAAGAAAAAUGAGCCAUGCAAGGCAUGCAACCAUGCAAGUUAUACAAGUCACGCUAAGAAUGUCUAAUGGGCCAAGUGACCUAGGUGGGCCUAAGAUGGGGCCUAAUGGGCCAAGUGUACCUAAAUGAGCCUAAGGCGAGUCUAAGUGGGCUUAACUAAGUCUAACCUAAAGUGCACCUGAGUGAAGCUUAAUCUAAACUCGAAUGGCAGCCAAGAUCACAAUGAGGAGUCAAAUAAACCUCUCAACCAAAGUCUCCGAGGUGGCUAAGAGAAGACAAGCUAAAUGAGUAGUAAUGGCCCAUUGGGGAAUUGCUAUAAAGUACCAAACGAACACUAAUAGGAAAUGUGCUAGGAAGGCAAAAUGGAAGGUCUACAACUCGACUAAUUAAUUAGCAACCUAGGCUAAUUGAAUGAUAUUUUUGAAGUACUGUUCUAAUUGAUUAAUUGGAGUCAUGUUAUGUUAAUUAAUCAAUUAGCAAUCUUUUUAGAUUGGAUUAAGAGACCCAAACUCAUGGUGGACAAUGGACCACAUUUUUCUCACAUGUUCCCACUUGAUGGUAAGACUCACUUUUUUAUUUGUGAAAAUUUAAUUUUUAGAAAAAGACUUGGAAUCGCCGCUUAUUUUUCUUUUAUUUUCUUAAAGGGAAAACAAAAUAAGAAAAAAAAACCCUAAGUGUAAAUCUUGAAAGGAAAGACGGGUAUGUGAAAAUUGAGUUGAGUCUGGGGGUCAGGUUACUUAUCGGGAAGAUACGGUAAUAAACUAUAACACUCCUCUAAGCCUUAAAGUUAGGUCUCUACUAAUUAAGGUAAGAUAAUUAUGGCGAUUGAUUAAUUAAUCUGAUGGAUACCGAGGAUGAUCAUGAUAAUAAUAAGGAAUAACUAAGCAAGAUAGAUUCGAAGUGUGCCUUAGUAGUGAGCAAUAAUAUGCUUAAAGAGAAAAUAGGGUUAGUGCACAACAAUAAUAAGCAUAAAAUAUCUCAUGUAUAUUCCAAAGCAAGGCUAAAUCAGUCAUUUAUUUAAUAAACACAGUAAUUAGAAUGAAUUAAUAAAGGAGUACGUCAUGUAUAUUGGGUUCCACUAUUUCCCAUUCUAUUUCUACAUGGACUAAUUAUAUAAAUUUCACUAAUCUAGGAAUUAUAAAAUUUAUUUAUGUUUAUUAAAAACAAGAAUAUCAGAAAAUUAUUAAAAACAAAUUCAGUGAAAAGUGCUUGUCGAAGGAAAAUGGUAGCAAAUAGGACCAGGGUGUAAGCAAAAUAAAUAAAUAAAAAAAAUCAAUCCAAACCAACCACAAUAGAUCAUAUCGGUUCGGUUUUCAAAAAUAAAAAAGGUGAGGUCGAUUUGCAAAUUUUGAAAACCGAUCUUAUCGGUUUGAUUUUUUAUUUUCUUGUUUCCUGAUUGAUAAAAACUGAACCAAAUAAAUAUUCUAAAACUUAUAUAUAAUUGCUUCCUGAUUUUUGAAUUUCGAGGAUCGAUCCGACGUCAUUUUGGCGCCGCUGAUGAUGCCGUUAUUGGCGAUCUUGGGGUCAUUUAAGGCCGCAGUAAAUAAUAAAAAAAAAGGUAUUAAUAUGGUUUGGAUUGGGCUACCAUUUUGGAUGGAUUGGGUUGCACCAACUUGGGUCAAGGAAUACUUUUGAGCCCUGUUUCAUCCAUCCCAUGGUAUCAUAUCUAAAAUAGAUAGAUAUAUCAUUGUUUUACCAUCUGUUUAAUUAUCAAAUCUAAAACCUUUCAUUAAAAAAAAAAAAAAAAAGCCACUGUGGGGCUCAAACCCAUGAGCCCAAGGUUGAGAACAUUGCGCUCAACCAACUGAGCUAUGAGACCCUUCUAUUUGUUUAUGAUUCUGUACUUUAAAAAUUGUGAUUCAGAUAAAUUUUUGUAUUAUCUUUUCUGUACCACAUUAAAUAUAGGAAUUUAUCAUUUCUUAUUACAUUAAUGUUUAAUAGUUUUAAAAUAAUUGAAUUAUAUAUAUUUGUUACCAAAAGUAACUUAUAUUAUAUAAUUUUAUUUAUUUUGAAAGAUGUAAACAUGUUAUUAUUGUAUCAAAUAAUCGGCUCAAAGGAAGAUUAUUUUAAUAUAAUAAUAAAUAAAGUAGUCAUAAAUAUGUGACAUAUAAAGUUUAUCUUGCAUGAUGUAUGUCAGUCCAAAGAUAGGCAUAUUGCUUCGGUUUUAUUAUCAAUAUUUAUGAAUUAAUUUUGCAAAGGAUACCAAUUACAAGUUAAUAUUUAUUGUCCAAAGACUGAAUAUUAAUGUUUGUGUUAGGUAUCUUGUAAUAGGCCCACAUGCAUAUACAUAUAUAUGUUAAAAUUUUAUUUAUUCAUGUAUGUAUGAUAUUUUUGUGACUGAUUCUAGGCUUUAUUGUUAUGAAUUCAGCAUCUUCUACAUCUGCAAAUGUUAAUAACAUUAUUGUGCUUAAUGGCACAAACUUCAAGAAAUGGAAGGAGCACAUUAUAAUUGUGCCCGGGUGCAUAGAUUUGGACUAUACAUUAAUAGAUGAUCACCCUCCAGACCUUACUAGUGCCAGCACUAUUGAGCAAAGGGUUGUUAUGGAAAAAUAGGAGCGAUCCAAUUGCAUGAGUCUAAUGAUAAUGAAGCACUCAAUUCUAGAAGCUAUAAGGGGUGCAAUACCUGAGGAAACCCAAUCCAAGACAUUCUUGGACCAAAUAGCAAACCGAUUCGCUGCAAAUGAAAAGGUUGAGACAAACACUAUUCUUAGUAAGCUUGUCUCCAUGCGGUACUAAGGGAAAGAGAAUAUAAGGGAGUACAUAAUGGAAAUGUCCAAUCUUGUGACUAGACUCAAGGCACUAAAGUUAGAGUUGUUAAAAGACAUAGUCGUGCACUUAGUCUUGAUCUCUCUGCCUACACAAUUUAGUGCAUUCAAGAUCAGUUACAACACACAAAAGGAAAAAUGGACUCUAAAUGAGAUUAUUGCUCAGUUUGUACAAGAGGAGGAGAGAUUGAAAUAAGAGAAGAUAGAAAGCGCUCAGUUGGCUUCUACAUCUUAGGGAUUUGAUACCAGCAAGAAAACAAAAAGGGACAAUAAAGGAAAACAAACUGAAUUUUCUGGGACAUCAAAGCAAAAGGUGCAGAAGAAACAAGAUAAGGAGAUCACUUGUUUCUUUUGCAAGAAGGUUGGUCAUAUGAAGAAGACAUGUACUAAAUACGCUGCUUGGCGUGAAAAGAAAGGUACACUUCUCAACUUUGUUUGUUUAGAAAUUAAUUUAGUUAUAGUGCCUACUAACACUUGGUGGAUAGAUACGGGUGCAACUACUCACAUAAGUGUCAAGAUGCAGGGGUUGCCUAAGGAGUCGAAUGCCAACUGAUAGUGAAAGAUACAUCUAUGUGGGAAAUGGCAACAAGGCUGCAGUCAAGGCUAUUGGUCUUUUUAGAUUACAAUUAGACUCUGGAUGUACUUUGGAUUUGGAAGAGACUUUUGUAGUACCAUUGUUUAGACGGAAUUUAAUUUCUGUUUCAUGUCUAGACAAAUGUGGAUAUUAUUGUUCAUUUAGAAAUACAAUGGUUAGUCUUUAUCUAAAUUCAAAUGUUAUAGGUACAAGUAGUCUAACAGACAAAUUAUAAAAAUUGAACAUAAAGGCCUCUAGUGGAAAUGAAACCUUGCAUUCAAGUAAUUAUGGCAUUAAGUGAAAAUUAACAAAUGAGAAUUCAUCAAUGUUAGGGCACAUACGUUUUGAUCAUAUUUCAAAUCAACGUAUUCAAAGGCUUGUGUCAGAAGGAAUUCACGAUCCACUUGAUUUCUCAUACUUUCAAGUCUAUAUAGAGUGUAUUAAGGGUAAACAAACAAAUAUGAAGAAAAAUGAUGUCAAUAGGUGCAGUGACAUCUUGGAAUUGAUACAUACAGACAUUUGUGGUCCAUUUCCUACCCCUUCUUGGAAUGAACAACAAUAUUUUAUCACUUUCAUUGACGAUUACUCAUGCUAUGGCUAUCUUUAUUUGAUUCAUGAGAAGUCUCAGUCAUUGGAUGUGUUCAAGAAUUUUAAAGCUGAAGUUGAGAAUCAACUAUGCAAGAAAAUAAAGGCCAUUAGAUCUAAUCGUGGAUGUGAAUAGUAUGGUAGAUAUGACGUAUCCGGUGAACAACGUCCAAGACCAUUUGCCAAAUAUUUGAUAGAGUGUGGUAUAGUUCCUCAGUACACCAUGUUGGGGACUCUAAGCCAAAAUGGUGUAGCAGAAAGGCGAAACCAUACUCUUAAGGAUAUGGUAAGAAGUAUGAUCAGUCAUUCCACCUUACCAGAAUCACUUUGGGGCGAAGCUAUCAAAACUGUAGUUUACAUUUUGAACAGAGUCCUAAGCAAAGCAGUAGCCAAAACCCCAUAUAAGUUAUGGACUAGCAAGAAACCUAGUAUUAGGCAUUUGCAUGUCUAGGGUUGUCCAACUGAGGCUAAACCUUACAAGCCAAAUGAAAAGAAAUUGGACUCCAUAACAAAGAGCUGCUACUUUGUAGGGUAUUCUGAAAGGUCGAGAGAUUUCAAGUUUUAUGACCCUUAAACUAGAUCUUUCUUUGAAAUGGGCAAUGCUAAGUUCAUUGAGGAUGUUGAGUUAAGUAGGAGAUAGUCAUUAAGAAAGGUGGUCUUUUAAGAGGAAUCUGUUAGUAUUCCUAUUAUUACAACUAGACAUGGUCAUAUUAUGUUUGAUGACACUAUCCAUAAUGUAUAACCAAUAACAAAGAUUGUAGACAUACCUGAGAUUCCUCCUACUCAAGUUAUAGAACUAGUUCAAGUUCAUGAAGAGGUAACUCAACAACCUCAAGAACCUCAAGUACAAGUGCCACUGAGGAGAUCCAUUAGAGAAAGGAGAAGUACAAUUUCAGAUGAUUAUGUUGUAUAUCUCUAGGAACAUGAGUUUGACAUUGGUCUAGAAGACGAUCCAAUUUCAGUUAGUCAAGUCAAACAAAGUUCUGACUUUGAAAAGUGGAUAGAAGCCAUGAAAGAUGAGAUGAAAUCAAUGAAAGACAAUGGUGUUUAGGACCUAGUAGAGUUGCCUGAAAGUGUAAAAUCGAUUGGUUGUAAAUGGAUUUUUAAGACUAAGCAAGAUUCAAAAGGCAACAUUGUUAGGUAUAAGGCACACCUUGUCAUAAAAGGUUUCACUCAAAAAGAAAACAUUGAUUAUAAGGAGACCUUUUCACCGGUUUCGUUAAAGGACUUCUUUAGAAUCAUCAUGGCACUUGUGGCUCAUUAUGAUUUAGAGCUGCAUCAAAUGGACAUUAAAACUGCGUUUCUUAAUGGUAACAUUGAUGAGACAAUAUACAUGGAGCAACCGGAGAACUUUGAAUCUAAUGAUUCAAAGCAACUUGUAUGCAAAUUAAAAAAGUCCAUAUUUUAAAGUAGACAUCCCGAAAAUGGUACCGAAAGUUUGAUCAGGUGAUUACUUCAUUUGGUUUUAAGGAGAACAUCAUUGAUCAAUGCAUAUAUCUCAAGUUCAGUGGGAGCAAAUUCAUUAUCUUGGUGCUAUAUGUAGAUGAUAUUCUACUUGCUAGUAGUGAUGUAGAACUUUUGCAUGAAACCAGGCUAUUUCUAUCUAGUAAAUUUGACAUGAAGGAUCUUGGUAAUGCUUCUUUUGUGUUGGAUAUACAAAUCUAUAAGGAUCGUUCAAGAGGUAUACUUGGGCUAUCACAAAAUUCCUACAUCGAUAAGGUGUUAAGUAUGUUUGGCAUGAGCAAUUGUGCACUAGGAGACACGCCUGUGGCAAAAGGCGAUAAAUUUAGUUUGCACCAAUGUCCGAAAAAUGAACUUGAGAAGAAGGAUAUGGAUAGGUUUCCCUAUGCCUCGGCAAUAGGAAGUCUCAUGUAUGCACAAGUUUGUACGCAUCCAGAUAUUGCGUACAUUAUUGGAAUGUUGGGCAGAUAUUUGAGUAACCCAGGUAUGGAUCACAGGAAAAAGGUAAAAUGGGUUAUACGGUAUUUACAAAGAACUAAAGAUUAUAUGCUCACAUAUCGAAGAUCCAGUCAUUUAGAGAUCGUGGGAUAUUUGGACUCCGAUUUUGUGGGAUGUCUUGACAGUAGGAGAUCCACUUCCGACUACGUCUUUAUGUUGGCUGGGGGAGCAGUUUCAUGGAAAAGUGUUAAACAAACACUUAUUGCUUCUUCCACCACGGAGGCAAAAUUCAUAGCCUACUAUGAGGCAUCAAACCAUGGGAUAUGGCUGCGGAAUUUUAUCACUCAGUUGCGAAUUGUUGAUGGAAUUGAGAAACCAUUGAGAAUCAAUUGUGAUAAUAAGGCCGCAGAAUUAUAUUCUAAGAACAACUGAAGUUCGUCAAAGUCCAAACACAUUGAUAUCAAGUUCUUGGUUGUAAAAGAAAGAUUUCAAAGUCUUCAAGUAUCAAUCGAACACAUAAACACAAACUCCAUGAUUGCGGAUUCACUCACUAAGGGUUUGCCACCCAAAGUAUAUCAUGAGCAUGUCACACAUAUGGGUGUUGUACAUAUUGAUGAUGUGCUAGUAUAGUGGGAGUUUGUAUUUAGAUUUUGUGUUUGUUUUCUUGAUGUGUUAUUAUGUUUGUGUUAUAUGUACAGACCUUGGUUUUAAAGACUAUUGUGUUUGAAUACUCUGAAUUGAAAUGAUGACUUUCAGAAGCAGUUUAGCAUCAAGUGUUGAAAGUGGAAUUUGACUAUUUUUAGUCAUAAAGUAGGACCAAUUAGAAAUAGACAUAUUAAAGAUCAUAUUCUAUGUAAUUUCCAUGCUACACAUCCAUACUCGAUCCAUGUUGCUAAUUUUGUUAAUGUUGUGAUCAUUGAUGGGUUUAGUUAUAAUUAUGAUUAACGAAAACCGCUUUAAUCCUAUGUUAGCAUAAUUAGUAAACCCGAUUGUUUAAGGAUAUUUAAAUAGAAUAGCAAAGAUGAGCUCAAUAAAGUACUAUCAUGAACAUUGUUCUGUAAUAUAUGUGGUCUAAGUAGGAGAUUGUUAAAAUAACUAUGGACUCACAUAUGGAGCAUAGUUCUUGAUUAAGCUAUCCGUAUCUAUUUAAAUUUGUGUUCAUUGAGUAUGGGCCACCUUAUAUGUAGAGCCCAGUGCCAUAACAGGUCUUAGAUGAUGGGCCUAAGACACGUGAGGCCCAACAGUCUAAAGGGUAUGGUCCCUAAGGCAUAGAGGGUAUAUAAGGCAGGUGUCUCUUCAAUUUUUGAAUAUCUUUUGAAUAGAACAAAAUGCGCUCUCUCCCGCUUCCCAACGUUAGAGAGAUUACAAAAAUGGUGGUUUCCCCUCUAUAGCCUUAGAAGAUUCAUACCUUGUUCAAAACCAAAAGGCAAAAUGGACUCAAGUUCGUUCGUUUUCUAUAAAGAUGUCUGGCAUAAGUUCUUCAUAUGAUUUAACAUGCGAUCUCAGUCUGUUAUUGGAUUUUUGAAUGGACUUCUUUCAAAAGAAAAAUCUAGUUGGCUAUGUAGAUCAACAUAAAUGAACUUUAAUGCGAUACAGUUCCAUAUUCUGAAACCUGACCCAAUGAUGAAAUCAGAAAACCAAAGAGUAAUGGGUAGAGGAUAAAACCAAGCCAUGGUUAGCAUCUUGCAUUGGAGACACGAGAAUUACACGAGCUGCGGAAGCGUCAUGAUUGUUGACGUAUUUAAAUUCUAGACUCUUCAAAGGAUCACAAGCAGACAUGGUUUCCUCCAAAGGAGCCGAACCAUCUAAUCAAUUGGAAAAAUACCCAUAGUUCUAAGGACGGAAAGAACGUUAAUCGUGCUGUUGGAACAUGACCUUGAUUGUCAUUGUUAGAAUGAAGAGACAUUUGCUAGAGUUAGUUUGGUGAAGUAGGUGUUAGGCAUUGAAGCUAAGUUACAGACAAAGGAGGCAAUAACAAAUGAUUUUGAGAUGUAAUUAGGCCCACCAUGGGUCUUCGCCUGUUCUAAAAUCUGUCUCAACCCAAGGAACAGACACUACCUUUCCAUCAUCAAUACAUGCAUGCGUCAGUGCCAAUGACAGAGAAACAAGUCCUCUAAUAACUUGACCCUGGCUAUUGUACUGAGAUCCAUGGCAUGGACAGAUGAACUUGUUCUCAAUUGCAUUCCAUGAUGCAACACACCCAAGAUGGGUGUAGACCGCAUUAAUUCCAUAGGUGGCAAGGGUGUGGUCAUUCCCCACAAUAAGGUAGGUGGGGUCUCCCUUCAAUGUGAUAAUGAAACAACACUGAAUUUUUUAAGGUAAGGUUUGUGGAUAGGUGAAAACACGUGCAUGGGGAGUUGCACCGAAGACUGACCCUACAUGAGGAAGUGACAUGCGUGUGGGGUAAGAAUGGAUUUAUUCUUUUAUCAGAAAUGCUGGGUCUUGCAAAUAUUUAUUGGUUGUCUCGAGGGAUAAAUCAAGUGAAUCAAUGGCGGGCCAACCUAUAAAAGAAAACUGUAGCUUCCAGUUUACCGCAUGCAGACAUCUUUCCUUGAAUUUGGUGCAAUCUAUGUUCUUUCAGCCAUCAUCACAAGCAAGUAAUCUCAUUUCUCAUAGGCAGUGUAAGACUUCUUUUGAUUCACAAAUUUUCUGGGAGAUUUCCUAUUUGGAAAACAUCAAUGCAACAGCCUGAAUUAUCUUUCCCAUGCCCAGGUGACAGUCAAGUGAAGAGGACUCAGUGAUGCUUCUGAAAAGCUUCUAAGAAGAGACCAUACAGGAGUGGGCCCCAAGGAUGAUGUGAUCCAGAGAAUUGGUUACCAAUAGUUUCAUUCAGUAUUAACGCCUUUGACUGUAGUUGGGCCAUCAACAAGGCUUUUUUCUAUCCUCAUCUCUCAUAGCUCAUGGACUUUAUAAAGGGGAUAUAGUAAGCAGUGGAGCAUCAUAGAUUUCUAGAGAGGGUUCUAUUUGACGGAAGCCUUUCUGUGAAUGCUCUCCCUUCCAUUGUCGGUGGCCUAAAUAAAGGAGCCCCCUUCUAUUGACCAUAAUAUCAAGUUGGAUUUUGAUAACCAACUUCCUAAUGUAUCUCCACACGUCAGCUACAAAUGGAUGACUUUUUGGACCAAAAUUCAAACAUUCUCAUGUGAAAAAAACACUAAGAGCAAGGCCCACUCAAGCACAUAUAAGGCAUCAGCUUUAUCUACUGGAGAGAUUGACAUGAAGCUAAAUCCAAAAUAAAUGAAGACCAACCGAUUGGCACCACUCUGUAUCAACAUGCUUGAUGUGGGGAAACCAUCAAGAAUAAGACCACAAUCACGCAAGCUUUCUGAUUGCACCACCAAACUGCUUUGCAAUAUCAUACAUCCAUUCUUCAGCAAAAUCAUGCAACCUAAAAUCAAGAAAUAUAUCUUUGACCACUAGAUCCUCCAUAGACUCAAACGUUAGUGCCUACAGCUCAGGGUCCACAGUGUUCAGUAUUGGAGUUGCUACUCCUAGAAGACCCCAAACACACCAGAAAUAGGGAGUACAAAAAAGAGCAAGAAUAGAAUAAAAAAGAGCAUAAAUAAAUGAAUCAAAGACCACUAAACUUAGCAUUCAUGGGUGCCGAUAUGCUACACACAGAUGAGAUCACCAGAAUAUGAUCCAUGGAAGUAAGGAUAGUAACAAGAUGCCCAAGUGACAUAGUAAAGAUGAAACAAAGUUAUGAUGCUCUCAAACCAAUCUCAAAAGAAAAUGAAUAAACCAACAAAUAAUAAGCUCACAAGUAUCCGAGAAUCAACAUAAUACAAAUCCAUAUCUUUUAACAUCCAUACCCAACCAAAUAAUACACAGAUAUAGCAAGAGAAGAGGGAAAAAAUAUGACAAUAAAGAAAAACAAGGGGUCUAUGACAGCCAUACCUGAAAGUGUUCCUCUCCAAAACGAGCUGCUAAUGGAGAUGACAUCCUCCUCCGGAUCUGAAAAUAUCCAGAAGUCCAAGAUCUCUGAUUGUGGAUGUCAGUAUGUCACGACCCAAAUUCCUGGCCACCUAGAAUUUGGCCUAUGACCCCAGGUCAAAAGUUUGACCCUAAGGGUUCUUCCUAAUCCAAGUUGGCGGUCAACCAAAAUGCCCUAAUUUUUUGUUUUUUGUUUUUUAAACAUAAAUCACACUAAAACUCCCUCAAACUAACAUUCCAAUUCAUCAAUAUGCAAACAACUCAAGAUCAAUAACAAUAAGAUUUCCAACCCAAGUUUAAAAUGGAGGUCCAUAAUAUGAGUAAGUUUAAUCCAAAAUAAGUCCAUAUAAGAUUACAUAAUUUAACAAUCUGUUAGAACAUGUUUUCAAAUGACUAAACACAACAAAAUAUGACAAGUCCUCUAAGCUACUCCAAAAUCCCCUAGGGUAUCCUGAAGCUCUCCUUGUCCCAUUUGUGGAUCCUUAGGAGUCACAUCUACAUCUAAAAAAAAUAUAAGAAAGAGGGGGUAAACAUUCCACAUUGCUCAGUAAGGUGCCUUACACCCAGGGAGGAGGAGGUUAAUUGGGAUUACUGAGUUUAAAGUGUACACAAAAUAUACAUUCCACCACAAAUUAAUCAACCCAAACAUUUUAAUUUCUAUAAUUAUAACAAUUCAAUCAUUUUCAACAAUUAAAUAUAAUGCAUGUGGAUAUGUGACACAUAGUCGUACAAUACACUGUCACUCUUGGGCUUUUACCGAAUCAUAUGCGUCCAUACCCAAAUACACUCCUCAUUCGAAGUCUUCUCGAGGUAGAUUUUUAGGUCUCUCACCCUAGGGAUCUUACUCCCUUCUUAAUUCGCCUCUCAUGGACCUUUACUUUUCAUCAUCAUUUUAUUAUUCUUUCAUUUAACUUUUCAACAAUUUUUAUUUUCUUUCACACAACCAUAAUGCAUAUGAAAUGCAAUGAAAUUACACAUCAUCAUUCACAAAUAUCAAAGAAAAUUCUCAUUAAUCCAAAUAUUAGUAAAACACAAUUUAUAUCAUAAUUUUUAUUUUAUUUAUUCUCAACAAUCUCAUUAAUUUUAAUAACCAAACACUAUCAUUUUCCACAAUUGAAUUACCAACAACAUCCCAAUAAAUUCUCAAUAAUCUCGAUAUCAAUCAAACAUAAUUUCUACCAUAAUUUUAACAACCAAACACAAUCUUUUUCCACAAUUAAAUUAUCUCAUUAUCCCAAAAAUUCCAAAGAAAAUUCCUAAAUCACCCGAUAAAAUUUCUCAUAUCACUAAUAUUACAUAUUAAACUUUCAACAAUGAGAUUUAUAAAUUUUUUUAAAGAAAAAUGCAUUAAAUAAAUGUUUUAAUGUUAAGACUCCCUACCACAAAUCUAAUAAUCCAACUGAAAACGAAAUCUGACAUUGUACAAAUGUUCUUUGUGUUCAAUAGAGUGUUCCCUUGAAAUUUCACACGAAAUGGAUGGCGUUUGGCUGUCAAAAUGGUCGGCCAAGGUGGACGUCACUUUCUUCUUUUCACAGUUGCCAUGCAGCUCCCCCUUUUUGUAAGUUUUUUUUAAUUAACUAGUUUCAAUUAUUUUAUUUUAUUAUAUUCUAUUAUUAUUAUUAUUGAUUACUACUCAAAAAGUGUUAUUUGAUAGCCUUUAAUUAAUCCUUUUUAACACUUUUGAGUAGUAGUUUAGGCCUUUUAACUCAAUUGGCAUGUUAAGGAUCCUUUAAAGCAAUUUUGAUCACUUUGUGCAAGUUUUGGUGUUUUUGUUAGUAUUUUGAUCACCAAAGCAAGUCAAGAAUGAGGAGAGCUAUGAGGAAUCAUGGGCAAAGCUUAGAAUUCAAUUGCCAAGAGUGAAUCCGGAUUGCAAGGAGAAAAAGCAAAGAGAAUCUGUCAUGGAGCAUAUUCUUGAUGACAGUCGUAGCAGCCACUUUUGGAGUACUUUCUGAAGUCCAAAUGAUGCAAGCUAUAUACCAUUUCAAAGCUCAGGAAUUCAACAAUCCAAUGCUUCAAACGGUGCACGAUUCGGAGUUGAAACGAAGAAGUUGCAGCCAUUACAAGUCAAUCACUCUAAAGUGUUGCGGAAUCAGCAUUUUGUUGCGAGAAUUUCGCAGCACUUUUGUACAGUAAGGUGUUUCUCCUUCUGACGAUGCACGAACCAUGCCGCGAGAAGGGAGCUGGAAACUUCAAGGUGGAAGCCAACUUCGCAGCCCUCUUGGGUGUCUGCGAAAUUUCGCAGGCACCACUUUUCUCCUGCGAAAUGGCUCCUGAAGCCUCCCGAAGCUUGCUACCGACAUUGGGAGAUAUUUUCCAUUAGAUUUUUGUUGUCUAAAUCCCAAAAUAAUCCUUGUAAACCACCAAUUACAUGAUUCCUUAGUUUUUAAGUUAGUAAAAAGACCAAAUAUCUAUGUAAUAAUUAGUUUUAUAUUGCUUUGAUAUAAAUACCUCUCGGGAGCAUGUUCUCGAAGAGGAGUUCUUUCUGUAACCAUUUGGUAAGCAAGUAAAGUCUUUUCUUUCUACUGCCUUACCUUCUCACUUUGUAUUUUCAUUUUAUUUCUAAGUUAUGAAUUCUCUGAGGAGUUUUCCCCAGAGAAUGAGUAACUAAACCUCCAAUUCCUUGGAGCUAAGGUUGCCGGGGAAGGUUCCAAGUGCAAGAAUGCAAAGCUCUGUGGUUUUAGCUAGUAAUGAAGAGGAAGUGAAAUCCUUUAGUGAUUUCAAUGUUUUUAGUUAACUUAAAACACCUUGGAGUCACCUGGGCCAAUACUUGGUAAGGCAAGUGAUUUCCAACCGUGGAGAUGCACUAGUUUACCCCUUGCGAGCCUCUGGUAGGUGACUUCAAGGUAGGAUUUUCUGGAAUUACCAACACUUGGUAAGCUUUUGGACUCUUAGGAGGCAUCCAUUAGUUAUCUCUUGCGAGUUUGUGAAGGGGAAUCCAAGGUUAAAGAUCACCUUGAAUGGUAAGUGCUCGUGAGAGGCAUGAACCAUUGCAAGUUGCAUCAGUGAGAGAAUUAAAGUGAAAUCUAAUUGAAGGAGUCUCUGUACAUCACCGGUUAGAGAAUUGACUCUAAGUUGAAUCUCUAAUGCGAGGAAAUGAACCAUCUGACCGGAGCUAUGUAUUUUGCAUGAGGAACCACCCCAGUGAACCUAAAUCUCCAAGGAAUGCUUUUCUUCCUAAAUUAUUCCAAACUUCUGUUAAGUUAGUUAGUUUAAGUCUAAACCUUUACCAAUCAAACUUUGUGUUUUACUUCUUAAGCUAACCGUGAAAUGAAACAAGACCAAUUCACUUGGAAUUGGUAUCCUUGAUUGCUUGUUCAUCAUUCCCAGUGAACGAUCCUAGAGCCACUAUACUAUAGUAGCUUUGUAUUUGCUACCCUAGUGUAUGGUGUUAUAGGUAUAAAUUUUGUUGAUCACUUCCUCAAUCAAGGAGCACCAGCUGAACACAAAUCAGCUGAGACACCAAUUGGGCAUGAGUCAAAUGGCGCCGUUGCCGGGGAAUGAGUGUCAAGUUCAUUAUGAAACCAUUUUUUGAGCACUUGUGAUUUUCAUCACAAGUUGGUAAAGUUUCUUUCACUUCACUAAUUUUCAUUCUCUCUUUGUUUAUUUACAAUCUAAGUUUAUCUUUUUAAAUUUUAGUCUAGUUUAAUUUUUCUGUUGUAGUCCUCUGUUCUUGUUGCCCUCUGUUUGCAUUUUAGUUGCAGCUGAAUACUAGUUGUGUAUGCCCAAGUGGAUACGAGACAUUGGAGGUAGGCUUGUUAAGUGUGAUACACCUCAGAGAUGAGAAUUUGAAGUAAUCUUGAAUAUCAUGGAGGCUGCAUCUGAAGAUCAGCAUAGUCACCAAGGUCGUCAAGACAAUCUCAAUGAAUUCAGAUCAAUGAGGGACCGUAUGCAUCCACCUCGUAUGAGUGCACCAUCAUGUAUAGUGCCCCCUACAGAGCAACUAGUGAUCAGACCAUAUCUUGUUCCACUUCUACCAACUUUCCAUGGGAUGGAAAGUGAGAAUCCAUAUGCACACAUCAAGGAAUUUGAAGAUGUUUGUAAUACAUUCCAAGAGGGAGGAGCUUCAAUUGACUUGAUGAGGCUUAAGUUAUUUCCUUUUACUUUAAAGGAUAAGGCCAAAAUUUGGCUUAAUUCUUUAAGGCCAAGGAGUAUCCGCUCUUGGACUGAUUUACAAGCUGAGUUCCUUAAGAAAUUUUUUCCUACUCAUAGAACAAAUGGCUUGAAAAGGCAAAUUUCAAACUUCUCAGCUAAAGAGAAUGAGAAAUUCUAUGAGUGUUGGGAAAGAUACAUGGAAGCUAUAAAUGCUUGUCCUCACCAUGGCUUUGAUACUUGGCUAUUGGUGAGCUAUUUUUAUGAUGGUAUGUCCUCCUCAAUGAAGCAACUCCUCGAGACAAUGUGUGGAGGAGAUUUCAUGAGCAAAAAUCCAGAGGAAGCUAUGGAUUUCUUGAGCUAUGUAGCUGAUGUUUCAAGGGAUGGGAUGAACCAACUAAAGGAGAAGUGGGAAAGAUGAAGUCUCAGUUGAAUGCUUACAAUGCAAAAGCUGGGAUGUAUAAUUUGAGGGAAGAUGAUGACAUGAAAGCAAAGUUGGCAGCUAUGACNNNNNNNNNNNNNNNNNNNNNNNNNNNNNNNNNNNNNNNNNNNNNNNNNNNNNNNNNNNNNNNNNNNNNNNNNNNNNNNNNNNNNNNNNNNNNNNNNNNNGGCUGAAAAGGCAAAUUUCAAACUCUCAGCUAAAGAGGAAUGGAGAAAUUCUAUGAGUGUUGGGAAAGAUACAUGGAAGCUAUAAAUGCUUGUCCUCACCAUGGCUUUGAUACUUGGCUAUUGGUGAGCUAUUUUUAUGAUGGUAUGUCCUCCUCAAUGAAGCAACUCCUCGAGACAAUGUGUGGAGGAGAUUUCAUGAGCAAAAAUCCAGAGGAAGCUAUGGAUUUCUUGAGCUAUGUAGCUGAUGUUUCAAGGGGAUGGGAUGAACCAACCAAAGGAGAAGUGGGAAAAAUGAAGUCUCAGUUGAAUGCUUACAAUGCAAAGGCUGGGAUGUACAAUUUGAAAGAAGAUGAUGACAUGAAAGCAAAGUUGGCAGCUAUGACAAGAAGAUUGGAGGAGCUGGAGUUGAAAAGAAUACAUGAAGUGCAAGUUGUUGCUGAAGCACCAGUGCAAGUGAAGUUGUGUCCCAAUUGUCAAUCGUUUGAACAUUUGGUGGAGGAGUGCCCUGCAAUUUCAGCUGAAAGGGAAAUGUAUAGAGAUCAAGCAAAUGUUGUUGGACAAUUUAGGCCCAAUAACAAUUCACCAUAUGGAAAUACCUACAAUUCAAGUUGGAGGAAUCAUCCAAAUUUCUCAUGGAAAGCCAGAGCAACUCAAUACCAACAGCCGGAUCCACCAUCUCAGAAAUCUUCAAGUAUUGAACAAGCAAUAGCUAAUCUCAGCAAGGUAAUGGGAGAUUUUAUUGAAAAGCAAGAAGCCACCAAUGCUCGAGUUGAUCAAAGAAUGGAUGGAAUGCAAAAUGAUAUGAACCAAAAAUUUGAUAACAUCCAAUAUUCAAUUUCAAGGCUUACAAAAUUGAAUACACUGCAAGAAAAAGGAAGAUUUCCUUCUCAACCUCACCAAAAUCCCAAAGGUAUCCAUGAAGUGGAAAGCCAUGAGGGAGAAUCAUCACAGGUGAAAGAUGUGAAAGCUUUGAUCACUCUAAGGAGUGGUAAGAAAAUUGAGCAGCCAACACCCAAGCCACAUGUUGAGAAAGAAGAAGAGAUGAAGAAAGGGAAGGAAAUGGAAGAUAAAGGCAGUGAAAUCAGUGAAGAAAAGAAGGACUCUGAUGCAAAAAUGAAAGCAAUUCCAGAGAAAGAGCUUCUGAAGGAAGAAAUGCUGAAGAAAUCAACUUUUCCACCUUUUCCUCAAGCAUUACAGGGGGAAAAGGGGGUUAGAAAUGCAGCUGAAAUCUUAGAAGUAUUGAGACAAGUGAAAGUUAAUAUUCCACUGCUGGAUAUGAUCAAACAAGUUCCAACGUAUGCAAAAUUCCUAAAGGAUUUGUGUACUAUCAAAAGAGGGUUGACUGUAAACAAGAAAGCCUUCUUGACUGAGCAAGUAAGUGUAAUUUUACAGUGUAAGUCUCCUUUGAAGUAUAAAGACCCUGGAAGUCCUACCAUUUCAGUCAUGAUUGGAGGAAAGGUAGUGGAGAAAGCCUUGCUAGACUUGGGAGCAAGUGUGAAUUUGCUUCCAUACUCUGUCUACAAGCAACUAGGACUUGGAGAGUUGAAGCCAACAACAAUCACUUUAUCUUUGGCAGAUAGAUCAGUGAAAAUUCCAAGAGGGGUAAUUGAGGAUGUAUUGGUUCAAGUAGAUAAUUUCUACUAUCCUGUAGAUUUUGUUGUUCUUGAUACAGAUCCUACUGUAAAGGAAGCUAAUUUAGUUCCUAUCAUCCUUGGAAGGCCAUUUCUUGCAACUUCAAAUGCAAUCAUCAACUGUAGGAAUAGGCUUAUGCAACUCACUUUUGGUAAUAUGACACUGGAUCUAAAUAUUUUCUAUAUGUCUAAAAAGCAAAUCACUCCGGAAGAAGAAGAAGGUCCAGAAGAGCUAUGUAUUAUUGAUACUUUGGUAGAGGAGCACUGCAAUCAACAUAUGCAAGACAAGUUGAAUGAAAGUCUUGAGGAUAUUGAGGAAGGUUUUUCUGAAUCUCCUAUUGGGCUUGCUACUCUACAAAGUUGGAGAAAGAUAGAAGGAAUUCUACCUUUGUUCAAUAAAGAAGAGGAGGCAGCUGUUGAAAAAGAAAUUCCAAAACUCAAUCUGAAUCCUUUACCUGUGGAGUUGAAAUAUACAUAUCUUGAAGCAAAUAAUCAAUGUCCUGUUGUGAUAUCCUCAUCUCUGACCAGUCAUCAAGAGGAUGGUUUAAUGGAAGUUCUCAGGAGGUGUAAGAAGGCAAUAGGAUGGCAAAUAUCUGAUUUGAAAGGCAUUAGUCCUUUAGUUUGUACUCAUCAUAUAUAUAUGGAGGAGGAAGCAAAGCCAAUUCAUCAAUUUCAAAGAAGGUUGAAUCCUCAUCUACAAGAGGUGGUGCGAGCUGAGGUGCUGAAGCUACUUCAAGCAGGAAUCAUUUACCCUAUAUCUGAUAGCCCUUGGGUGAGUCCUACUCAAGUGGUACCAAAGAAGUCAGGGAUCACAGUUAUUCAAAAUGAAAAAGGGGAAGAAAUUACUACACGCCUCACUUCAGGUUGGAGGGUGUGUAUUGAUUAUAGAAAGCUGAAUGCUGUCACUAGGAAAGAUCACUUUCCAUUGCCAUUUAUUGAUCAAGUGCUGGAGAGAGUCUCUGGACACCCAUUCUAUUGUUUCUUGGAUGGGUAUUCAGGGUAUUUUCAAAUCGAAAUUGAUUUGGCAGAUCAGGAAAAGACCACUUUUACAUGUCCAUUUGGAACAUUUGCUUAUAGAAGAAUGCCUUUUGGUUUAUGCAAUGCACCUGCUACAUUUCAAAGAUGCAUGUUGAGUAUUUUCAGUGAUAUGGUGGAGAGAAUUAUGGAGGUUUUCAUGGAUGACAUCACCGUAUAUGGAGGUACAUUUGAGGAAUGUUUGGUUAAUUUGGAAGCAGUUCUUCAUAGAUGCAUUGAAAAAGAUUUGGUGCUGAAUUGGGAAAAAUGCCAUUUUAUGGUACGUCAAGGAAUUGUCCUUGGCCAUAUCNNNNNNNNNNNNNNNNNNNNNNNNNNNNNNNNNNNNNNNNNNNNNNNNNNNNNNNNNNNNNNNNNNNNNNNNNNNNNNNNNNNNNNNNNNNNNNNNNNNNNNNNNNNNNNNNNNNNNNNNNNNNNNNNNNNNNNNNNNNNNNNNNNNNNNNNNNNNNNNNNNNNNNNNNNNNNNNNNNNNNNNNNNNNNNNNNNNNNNNNNNNNNNNNNNNNNNNNNNNNNNNNNNNNNNNNNNNNNNNNNNNNNNNNNNNNNNNNNNNNNNNNNNNNNNNNNNNNNNNNNNNNNNNNNNNNNNNNNNNNNNNNNNNNNNNNNNNNNNNNNNNNNNNNNNNNNNNNNNNNNNNNNNNNNNNNNNNNNNNNNNNNNNNNNNNNNNNNNNNNNNNNNNNNNNNNNNNNNNNNNNNNNNNNNNNNNNNNNNNNNNNNNNNNNNNNNNNNNNNNNNNNNNNNNNNNNNNNNNNNNNNNNNNNNNNNNNNNNNNNNNNNNNNNNNNNNNNNNNNNNNNNNNNNNNNNNNNNNNNNNNNNNNNNNNNNNNNNNNNNNNNNNNNNNNNNNNNNNNNNNNNNNNNNNNNNNNNNNNNNNNNNNNNNNNNNNNNNNNNNNNNNNNNNNNNNNNNNNNNNNNNNNNNNNNNNNNNNNNNNNNNNNNNNNNNNNNNNNNNNNNNNNNNNNNNNNNNNNNNNNNNNNNNNNNNNNNNNNNNNNNNNNNNNNNNNNNNNNNNNNNNNNNNNNNNNNNNNNNNNNNNNNNNNNNNNNNNNNNNNNNNNNNNNNNNNNNNNNNNNNNNNNNNNNNNNNNNNNNNNNNNNNNNNNNNNNNNNNNNNNNNNNNNNNNNNNNNNNNNNNNNNNNNNNNNNNNNNNNNNNNNNNNNNNNNNNNNNNNNNNNNNNNNNNNNNNNNNNNNNNNNNNNNNNNNNNNNNNNNNNNNNNNNNNNNNNNNNNNNNNNNNNNNNNNNNNNNNNNNNNNNNNNNNNNNNNNNNNNNNNNNNNNNNNNNNNNNNNNNNNNNNNNNNNNNNNNNNNNNNNNNNNNNNNNNNNNNNNNNNNNNNNNNNNNNNNNNNNNNNNNNNNNNNNNNNNNNNNNNNNNNNNNNNNNNNNNNNNNNNNNNNNNNNNNNNNNNNNNNNNNNNNNNNNNNNNNNNNNNNNNNNNNNNNNNNNNNNNNNNNNNNNNNNNNNNNNNNNNNNNNNNNNNNNNNNNNNNNNNNNNNNNNNNNNNNNNNNNNNNNNNNNNNNNNNNNNNNNNNNNNNNNNNNNNNNNNNNNNNNNNNNNNNNNNNNNNNNNNNNNNNNNNNNNNNNNNNNNNNNNNNNNNNNNNNNNNNNNNNNNNNNNNNNNNNNNNNNNNNNNNNNNNNNNNNNNNNNNNNNNNNNNNNNNNNNNNNNNNNNNNNNNNNNNNNNNNNNNNNNNNNNNNNNNNNNNNNNNNNNNNNNNNNNNNNNNNNNNNNNNNNNNNNNNNNNNNNNNNNNNNNNNNNNNNNNNNNNNNNNNNNNNNNNNNNNNNNNNNNNNNNNNNNNNNNNNNNNNNNNNNNNNNNNNNNNNNNNNNNNNNNNNNNNNNNNNNNNNNNNNNNNNNNNNNNNNNNNNNNNNNNNNNNNNNNNNNNNNNNNNNNNNNNNNNNNNNNNNNNNNNNNNNNNNNNNNNNNNNNNNNNNNNNNNNNNNNNNNNNNNNNNNNNNNNNNNNNNNNNNNNNNNNNNNNNNNNNNNNNNNNNNNNNNNNNNNNNNNNNNNNNNNNNNNNNNNNNNNNNNNNNNNNNNNNNNNNNNNNNNNNNNNNNNNNNNNNNNNNNNNNNNNNNNNNNNNNNNNNNNNNNNNNNNNNNNNNNNNNNNNNNNNNNNNNNNNNNNNNNNNNNNNNNNNNNNNNNNNNNNNNNNNNNNNNNNNNNNNNNNNNNNNNNNNNNNNNNNNNNNNNNNNNNNNNNNNNNNNNNNNNNNNNNNNNNNNNNNNNNNNNNNNNNNNNNNNNNNNNNNNNNNNNNNNNNNNNNNNNNNNNNNNNNNNNNNNNNNNNNNNNNNNNNNNNNNNNNNNNNNNNNNNNNNNNNNNNNNNNNNNNNNNNNNNNNNNNNNNNNNNNNNNNNNNNNNNNNNNNNNNNNNNNNNNNNNNNNNNNNNNNNNNNNNNNNNNNNNNNNNNNNNNNNNNNNNNNNNNNNNNNNNNNNNNNNNNNNNNNNNNNNNNNNNNNNNNNNNNNNNNNNNNNNNNNNNNNNNNNNNNNNNNNNNNNNNNNNNNNNNNNNNNNNNNNNNNNNNNNNNNNNNNNNNNNNNNNNNNNNNNNNNNNNNNNNNNNNNNNNNNNNNNNNNNNNNNNNNNNNNNNNNNNNNNNNNNNNNNNNNNNNNNNNNNNNNNNNNNNNNNNNNNNNNNNNNNNNNNNNNNNNNNNNNNNNNNNNNNNNNNNNNNNNNNNNNNNNNNNNNNNNNNNNNNNNNNNNNNNNNNNNNNNNNNNNNNNNNNNNNNNNNNNNNNNNNNNNNNNNNNNNNNNNNNNNNNNNNNNNNNNNNNNNNNNNNNNNNNNNNNNNNNNNNNNNNNNNNNNNNNNNNNNNNNNNNNNNNNNNNNNNNNNNNNNNNNNNNNNNNNNNNNNNNNNNNNNNNNNNNNNNNNNNNNNNNNNNNNNNNNNNNNNNNNNNNNNNNNNNNNNNNNNNNNNNNNNNNNNNNNNNNNNNNNNNNNNNNNNNNNNNNNNNNNNNNNNNNNNNNNNNNNNNNNNNNNNNNNNNNNNNNNNNNNNNNNNNNNNNNNNNNNNNNNNNNNNNNNNNNNNNNNNNNNNNNNNNNNNNNNNNNNNNNNNNNNNNNNNNNNNNNNNNNNNNNNNNNNNNNNNNNNNNNNNNNNNNNNNNNNNNNNNNNNNNNNNNNNNNNNNNNNNNNNNNNNNNNNNNNNNNNNNNNNNNNNNNNNNNNNNNNNNNNNNNNNNNNNNNNNNNNNNNNNNNNNNNNNNNNNNNNNNNNNNNNNNNNNNNNNNNNNNNNNNNNNNNNNNNNNNNNNNNNNNNNNNNNNNNNNNNNNNNNNNNNNNNNNNNNNNNNNNNNNNNNNNNNNNNNNNNNNNNNNNNNNNNNNNNNNNNNNNNNNNNNNNNNNNNNNNNNNNNNNNNNNNNNNNNNNNNNNNNNNNNNNNNNNNNNNNNNNNNNNNNNNNNNNNNNNNNNNNNNNNNNNNNNNNNNNNNNNNNNNNNNNNNNNNNNNNNNNNNNNNNNNNNNNNNNNNNNNNNNNNNNNNNNNNNNNNNNNNNNNNNNNNNNNNNNNNNNNNNNNNNNNNNNNNNNNNNNNNNNNNNNNNNNNNNNNNNNNNNNNNNNNNNNNNNNNNNNNNNNNNNNNNNNNNNNNNNNNNNNNNNNNNNNNNNNNNNNNNNNNNNNNNNNNNNNNNNNNNNNNNNNNNNNNNNNNNNNNNNNNNNNNNNNNNNNNNNNNNNNNNNNNNNNNNNNNNNNNNNNNNNNNNNNNNNNNNNNNNNNNNNNNNNNNNNNNNNNNNNNNNNNNNNNNNNNNNNNNNNNNNNNNNNNNNNNNNNNNNNNNNNNNNNNNNNNNNNNNNNNNNNNNNNNNNNNNNNNNNNNNNNNNNNNNNNNNNNNNNNNNNNNNNNNNNNNNNNNNNNNNNNNNNNNNNNNNNNNNNNNNNNNNNNNNNNNNNNNNNNNNNNNNNNNNNNNNNNNNNNNNNNNNNNNNNNNNNNNNNNNNNNNNNNNNNNNNNNNNNNNNNNNNNNNNNNNNNNNNNNNNNNNNNNNNNNNNNNNNNNNNNNNNNNNNNNNNNNNNNNNNNNNNNNNNNNNNNNNNNNNNNNNNNNNNNNNNNNNNNNNNNNNNNNNNNNNNNNNNNNNNNNNNNNNNNNNNNNNNNNNNNNNNNNNNNNNNNNNNNNNNNNNNNNNNNNNNNNNNNNNNNNNNNNNNNNNNNNNNNNNNNNNNNNNNNNNNNNNNNNNNNNNNNNNNNNNNNNNNNNNNNNNNNNNNNNNNNNNNNNNNNNNNNNNNNNNNNNNNNNNNNNNNNNNNNNNNNNNNNNNNNNNNNNNNNNNNNNNNNNNNNNNNNNNNNNNNNNNNNNNNNNNNNNNNNNNNNNNNNNNNNNNNNNNNNNNNNNNNNNNNNNNNNNNNNNNNNNNNNNNNNNNNNNNNNNNNNNNNNNNNNNNNNNNNNNNNNNNNNNNNNNNNNNNNNNNNNNNNNNNNNNNNNNNNNNNNNNNNNNNNNNNNNNNNNNNNNNNNNNNNNNNNNNNNNNNNNNNNNNNNNNNNNNNNNNNNNNNNNNNNNNNNNNNNNNNNNNNNNNNNNNNNNNNNNNNNNNNNNNNNNNNNNNNNNNNNNNNNNNNNNNNNNNNNNNNNNNNNNNNNNNNNNNNNNNNNNNNNNNNNNNNNNNNNNNNNNNNNNNNNNNNNNNNNNNNNNNNNNNNNNNNNNNNNNNNNNNNNNNNNNNNNNNNNNNNNNNNNNNNNNNNNNNNNNNNNNNNNNNNNNNNNNNNNNNNNNNNNNNNNNNNNNNNNNNNNNNNNNNNNNNNNNNNNNNNNNNNNNNNNNNNNNNNNNNNNNNNNNNNNNNNNNNNNNNNNNNNNNNNNNNNNNNNNNNNNNNNNNNNNNNNNNNNNNNNNNNNNNNNNNNNNNNNNNNNNNNNNNNNNNNNNNNNNNNNNNNNNNNNNNNNNNNNNNNNNNNNNNNNNNNNNNNNNNNNNNNNNNNNNNNNNNNNNNNNNNNNNNNNNNNNNNNNNNNNNNNNNNNNNNNNNNNNNNNNNNNNNNNNNNNNNNNNNNNNNNNNNNNNNNNNNNNNNNNNNNNNNNNNNNNNNNNNNNNNNNNNNNNNNNNNNNNNNNNNNNNNNNNNNNNNNNNNNNNNNNNNNNNNNNNNNNNNNNNNNNNNNNNNNNNNNNNNNNNNNNNNNNNNNNNNNNNNNNNNNNNNNNNNNNNNNNNNNNNNNNNNNNNNNNNNNNNNNNNNNNNNNNNNNNNNNNNNNNNNNNNNNNNNNNNNNNNNNNNNNNNNNNNNNNNNNNNNNNNNNNNNNNNNNNNNNNNNNNNNNNNNNNNNNNNNNNNNNNNNNNNNNNNNNNNNNNNNNNNNNNNNNNNNNNNNNNNNNNNNNNNNNNNNNNNNNNNNNNNNNNNNNNNNNNNNNNNNNNNNNNNNNNNNNNNNNNNNNNNNNNNNNNNNNNNNNNNNNNNNNNNNNNNNNNNNNNNNNNNNNNNNNNNNNNNNNNNNNNNNNNNNNNNNNNNNNNNNNNNNNNNNNNNNNNNNNNNNNNNNNNNNNNNNNNNNNNNNNNNNNNNNNNNNNNNNNNNNNNNNNNNNNNNNNNNNNNNNNNNNNNNNNNNNNNNNNNNNNNNNNNNNNNNNNNNNNNNNNNNNNNNNNNNNNNNNNNNNNNNNNNNNNNNNNNNNNNNNNNNNNNNNNNNNNNNNNNNNNNNNNNNNNNNNNNNNNNNNNNNNNNNNNNNNNNNNNNNNNNNNNNNNNNNNNNNNNNNNNNNNNNNNNNNNNNNNNNNNNNNNNNNNNNNNNNNNNNNNNNNNNNNNNNNNNNNNNNNNNNNNNNNNNNNNNNNNNNNNNNNNNNNNNNNNNNNNNNNNNNNNNNNNNNNNNNNNNNNNNNNNNNNNNNNNNNNNNNNNNNNNNNNNNNNNNNNNNNNNNNNNNNNNNNNNNNNNNNNNNNNNNNNNNNNNNNNNNNNNNNNNNNNNNNNNNNNNNNNNNNNNNNNNNNNNNNNNNNNNNNNNNNNNNNNNNNNNNNNNNNNNNNNNNNNNNNNNNNNNNNNNNNNNNNNNNNNNNNNNNNNNNNNNNNNNNNNNNNNNNNNNNNNNNNNNNAAUUGGAGCCGAAACAGAGCAAAAACAGGGGAAAAACAGAGCUCUGCGAAAUUUCGCAGGGUGAAGGAAACUUCUGCGAAAUGUGAUUUUUGUUGCCAAACCACUCCGCAGCACUGUAGAAGCCUCUGCGAGUGUAUUUCGCAGCUGCGAAAGUGGAUUUGGCACACGAGUGCCACUUCGCAGUACAGUAGCACCUAUUUCGCAGCUGCGAAACCCAUUGCGAAAUGGAAAAGCAUGAUUUCGCACCAAAAGUCCCAUUCCGCAGGGCAUUUCGCAAUUGCGAAAGUGGUUUUGGCACACGAGUGCCACUUCGCAGCACAGUGACAUCAAUUUCGCAGCUGCGAAACUCACUGCGAAGUUGUUGCGAAAAUGGCAAGUUGCUGCGAAAUUGGCGUUUUGUUGCGAAACGUAAUCUGACCCCUGGGCUUACGUUUUUCCUAUUUAUACCGGUCAAAAGUGCUGCGAAAAGGGUUUCAAAAAUUAGAACGCCAUUCUCGCAGCCCCUUCGUCUUCUUCACCAAGCCACGCCGUCCGUUUCUCCGGUCGUCUUCUCCGCUUAGCAACGUCGGCCAAAGAUCGAUAUCUCCAAAAUGGCACGAACGCGAGGAGCAAAAUCUUCAUCUCCUUCGAACCGCAAAAGGAGUCUGCGAAAGGAGCCAAGUCCAGGCUCUGUUCCAGAACCUGCUCCACAGCCUUCGCCGUCGAGACCAAACCCUCCUCCAGUGAAGCCGGCGCCACCAAAGCCGCCGGCAAGGCGAUAUUUAACCAGGUCAGGUGGUCAGCCAUUGAAGAAGAAAACCAGGGUUGAGAGCUCUAAACCAAUAGAUUUGACUGAGCAAUCCCCUGAGAAAUCCCCAAAGCUAACACCGGUUCAAUCUCCGGUAUCUUCACCAAAUCCUUCACCGGUACAAAUUCCAGAACCGUCACCGGUUCCCUCGCCAAUUCUCUCACCAAAGGCAACUCCAAUUCCAUCGCCGGUACCAUCUCCGGCACCCCAAGAAAAAGCUCAGGAGCCUCAAGCGCCAAUUCCAGAGCCCCAAAUUGCAGCUGAAGCACCUCUGGAAGAAGUGAUCCGAAGGCCAAUGCUGCCCCAGCCCCCAAUCGAAGGAAACUUGGAUUGUCGAACUCGGGCAUUUCAUUCUGAGCUCUGCUUCGACUUAGCAGCAUUUAGAGUGAGGCCAGAGCUUGCCCAAUCAUUCCAGCUGCUGAGGAGAUAUCAUAUGGAGCAUCUGCUAGCUCCAAGGGAUUUUUUCUAUCCCCGGGUAGUCACGGAUUUCUACCAGACCAUGACAACCAAAGAAGUAAGAAAUCCAACUCUGAUUCAUUUUAUAAUUGAUGGAAGACAUGGUAUUUUGGGAGCAAGACAUAUUGCUGAAGCUCUGCAAAUUCCUUUUGAGCCAACCCAAUUCGACAAUUUUAAGGCUUGGGUAAAUCCAACUGAGCUAGAGAUGGUUAGCACCCUGUCCAGAGGAGCUGCCAAUCGGUCACACCUGCUGAGGGGGGAGCUACCUCCAGUGAUGUUUUUGAUUGAUGCCUUUUUGAGGCAUAAUAUCUAUCCCCUGCAGCAUUGGACCCAAAGAAGGGGAGUUCUCUUGGAAGCUCUAUACAAGAUGUCUGAAGGAUUCUUCUUUGGGCCUCAUCAUCUUAUCAUGGCAGCCCUUCUAUACUUUGAGGAGAAGGUUCACAAGAAGAAGCUUCAAAGAGCAGAUUGCAUUCCACUCCUCUUCCCACGGCUGCUAUGCCAAGUUUUGGAACAUCUCGGAUACCCCUCUGAGCCUCAGCAGGAAAGAAAGAGAAUAUGCCGUGAGCCAUUUACCCUUGAUAAAUGGAAUAAUAUGACGGCCUAUAAAAUUGAUCAGCCUGGGCAGCCUCAGCCAGCAGCAAGGAGAGCCUCCCCAAGACAUGCACCUGAAGGUAUAACACUUGCUACUCCUGCCAUCCCUCGAGCUCCACCAGCUGCACCUGCUCCAUCACAGCCAUCCACAUCAGCUGAGCCGAGGAUGGCCAUCCCUAUAUCCGAAUAUCGAGAGUUGUGCCGUGCAUUGGAGACUCUUACAGCUUCCCAGAGCAAUCUUGCUCAGGAGUUGGCAGCCAUCAAAGCAUGCCAGGAGCAGAUGUUAGCCUCUCAGGCUCAAUAAGCUGCCAUCCUAAGGCAGCUUCAAGUCCAUUUCGAUCUGCCACAAGCUGUAGAGCCCUCCACUGAGACUCCACCAGAACCACACUCUCAGCCUUCAGAGUCUCAAGCUCCAGAGCCCGAAGCCCCAGCUGAUCCACCUACUGAGGAGGCAGAUCCUUCUGCUUAGCACCAUCACCCCACUCAUCAGACAUUAUAUAUAUUUGCUAUUUAUGUUUUUAUGCAUGUUUGUUUUGUUUUAGUUGAAAUGAAAUCCCAGUAUUUUGGUAUUAUAUAUGGGAUUCCUUGUGUUACUUGUCUUUAGCAUUGUAAUCAAAUGAAUACAAAGUAAUACAAGUUGACUAUUUCUUGUUAAAAGUUAGCAUAAAGUUUCCUUAUUUCCUUUUCUCACAUAUUCUAUUCUUUUUGAAACAUGUGGUUUUCCCCAAUCAAUAUUCGAAUUUGAUAUCAGCAUGGAGGUACCACUUCCUCCCUUUUAUUACAGUCACUCAAAUCACAUUGAGGACAAUGCUCAGUUCGGUUGGGGGGUAUGAGGAAGGAAGUAUUCUAAACCUUUUUGGUAUUGCAAUUAUAUUGGUUAAUUAGUUGUAGUUUUUACUUUUUACUAGUGUUACUCUAUUCUCCAUGAAUUUUGAGGAAAAAUUUUCAAAUUAAACCAAGAGAAAUUGAACUGUUGUUUUUCACUUGACUUAGAGUAUGGAUUAUGCUUACUAAAGUGGUUCAAUUGUUAAACUUCUACUGAAAUUGAAUUGAGUUCUUCUACUUUAAGCUAUCCACACACUGUGCACAUUAGUUUCCGAUUAUAAGAUGAAAAGCUAUUUCCCUCUUGACUUAGGAUAAUUUUGAGACUUGGUAUAUUUGACCUCAUUUGAUAAAAAUUGAAACACCCUGCAAAAGGCCAAUGAGCCUUUGAAAUAAAGAAAGUUGUUUGCUUGCCUUGAAACCCGAGCAAGGUCUGAGGGGUAUAUGGUGAAAAUCUUUUAAGCCUGGUGCCCUAAGCCUUAAUUGGUUGGGAGACACCGACCUCAAUGCUCGUUACAAGGGUGAAUAGGUAGAGCUAGCAUAUGGUAGAUGCUUGGGUAUUAGAAAUUCAUUCUUAAAAGUCCGGGGAAAAAUCCGAGGAGUUAGUGGUUGAAAGAUCCUUAAAACUUGGUGCCCUAAACCUUAAUUGGUUGGGAGUCAUCGAUGGACCCCCAUUACAUGGACAAGUCAGAAAGAGUACCCCAUAAAGCUACCUUGAAAAAAAAAAAAAAAAAAAAUGGAUGAUGAAAGAGUGUUCUUUUCUUAUUGAUUUUGGUCAGUUUGCUAAAGUGUUGAAAAGACAUAGGUUGGGGGGUGAGACUAGUUUGGCAUAUUAUUCUCGGAAUCUAAGGAACCAAUACACAUAGAUUUUUGUGGAAGAUUGAAGUUUAGUUCUUAGAAAGUGAAAUGAUUUUAAAACUUCAGUUUGCAUAAUGCACUCCCUUGAUUGACAGUGCUUAGCAUAGUUUGUUAUGACUCUUGUUGAGAUUUGGGUUUGUAUUUCUUCAAUGCUUCAUGUGAGAGUUAGAUCAUCAUGCCACUUGAGAAUUGAUUUUGUUUAGCAUGAUGUUGUAAAUUUUAGAUUAGUUGCUAUUUAUUUUCUUUUUUCUCUCCUUUAUUGCUAAGGGACUAGCAAUAUGUCGGUUGGGGGGAGUGAUUACUACUCAAAAAGUGCUAUUUGAUAGCCUUUAAUUAAUCCUUUUUAACACUUUUGAGUAGUAGUUUAGGUCUUUUAACUCAAUUGGCAUGUUAAGGAUCCUUUAAAGCAAUUUUGAUCACUUUGUGCAAGUUUUGGUGUUUUUGUUAGUAUUUUGAUCACCAAAGCAAGUCAAGAAUGAGGAGAGCUAUGAGGAAUCAUGGGCAAAGCUUAGAAUUCAAUUGCCAAGAGUGAAUCCGGAUUGCAAGGAGAAAAAGCAAAGAGAAUCUGUCAUGGAGCAUAUUCUUGAUGACAGUCGUAGAAGCCACUUUUGGAGUACUUUCUGAAGUCCAAAUGAUGCAAGCUAUAUACCAUUUCAAAGCUCAGGAAGUCAAAAAUCCAAUGCUUCAUACGGUGCGCGAUUCGGAGUUGAAACGAAGAAGUUGUAGCCAUUACAAGUCAAUCACUCUAAAGUGUUGCGGAAUCAGCAUUUUGUUGUGAGAAUUUCGCAGCACUUUUGUACAGUAAGGUGUUUCUCCUUCUGACGAUGCACGAACCAUGCCGCGAGAAGGGAGCUGGAAACUUCAAGGUGGAAGCCAACUUCGCAGCCCUCUUGGGUGUCUGCGAAAUUUCGCAGGUACCACUUUUCUCCUGCGAAAUGGCUCCUGAAGCCUCCCGAAGCUUGCUACCGACAUUGGGAGAUAUUUUCCAUUAGAUUUUUGUUGUCUAAAUCCCAAAAUACUCCUUGUAAACCACCAAUUACAUGAUUCCUUAGUUUUUAAGUUAGUAAAAAGACCAAAUAUCUAUGUAAUAAUUAGUUUUAUAUUGCUUUGAUAUAAAUACCUCUCGGGAGCAUGUUCUCGAAGAGGAGUUCUUUCUGUAACCAUUUGGUAAGCAAGUAAAGUCUUUUCUUUCUACUGCCUUACCUUCUCACUUUGUAUUUUCAUUUUAUUUCUAAGUUAUGAAUUCUCUGAGGAGUUUUCCCCAGAGAAUGAGUAACUAAACCUCCAAUUCCUUGGAGCUAAGGUUGCCGGGGAAGGUUCCAAGUGCAAGAAUGCAAAGCUCUGUGGUUUUAGCUAGUAAUGAAGAGGAAGUGAAAUCCUUUAGUGAUUUCAAUGUUUUUAGUUAACUUAAAACACCUUGGAGUCACCUGGGCCAAUACUUGGUAAGGCAAGUGAUUUCCAACCGUGGAGAUGCACUAGUUUACCCCUUGCGAGCCUCUGGUAGGUGACUUCAAGGUAGGAUUUUCUGGAAUUACCAACACUUGGUAAGCUUUUGGACUCUUAGGAGGCAUCCAUUAGUUAUCUCUUGCGAGUUUGUGAAGGGGAAUCCAAGGUUAAAGAUCACCUUGAAUGGUAAGUGCUCGUGAGAGGCAUGAACCAUUGCAAGUUGCAUCAGUGAGAGAAUUAAAGUGAAAUCUAAUUGAAGGAGUCUCUGUACAUCACCGGUUAGAGAAUUGACUCUAAGUUGAAUCUCUAAUGCGAGGAAAUGAACCAUCUGACCGGAGCUAUGUAUUUUGCAUGAGGAACCACCCCAGUGAACCUAAAUCUCCAAGGAAUGCUUUUCUUCCUAAAUUAUUCCAAACUUCUGUUAAGUUAGUUAGUUUAAGUCUAAACCUUUACCAAUCAAACUUUGUGUUUUACUUCUUAAGCUAACCGUGAAAUGAAACAAGACCAAUUCACUUGGAAUUGGUAUCCUUGAUUGCUUGUUCAUCAUUCCCAGUGAACGAUCCUAGAGCCACUAUACUAUAGUAGCUUUGUAUUUGCUACCCUAGUGUAUGGUGUUAUAGGUAUAAAUUUUGUUGAUCACUUCCUCAAUCAAGGAGCACCAGCUGAACACAAAUCAGCUGAGACACCAAUUGGGCAUGAGUCAAUUAUUAUUUAUUUAUUACCGCAAAUUUUCAAUUUUUACGAUCCUAAGAAAUUUCCUACUAAAGACUAAUGUGGCACAAAAUUCAACUCGUUUGAUUGACCAAUAAAAUCUUUCAAAUUUCGUCAACCUAAAAUUGACACGUGUUCUCCAAUUACCUUUUUUUACUUUUCAACUACCGUUGAAUAGAAGAAUUUUCAAACUUGAAAUUCCAUGGCCUAAAAUACCCGGUCAUUAUAGUAGAAAAAAAGAAUGUGCCAUCAAAAGAAUCCUCAUUCUCUUGCGGGAGUUGGAAGAUAAUCUAGCUAAAACCGGUGUAUGAUGGAAGUGAUCAGAUGGAUCGUGGAGAACUGAUCCUUCUCUCUGCUACUCAAUGGAGGUCCAUCCUCUCUUUGUUUCUCUUUCUUUUUCCUUCCUUUAUAGCUUUCUCUCUCUUUCAACUCAUUCUCGGUUUCUUACCUCCCUAAACUCCCUCUGUGAACUUUUCUUUCUGUUUCUCUCUCAAAAUUUUCUGAUCUCUCUAUCAUAUUCCCUCUCUCAACCCUAACUGAAGCCUCUCAAAUUCUUUAGACAUGCCAUCCUUAUGCUACUCUCUGCCAACUACCAACAUAAAGAUCUUUCUUCUAUUUCUAACAUACUUCGGUUUCCCGAAUCACUCAGAAACUCUCUCCCAAAAUGAUCAUAAUGUGAUGUCCCAGGAAAAAAUGGUGAUCCUCUCCGAAUGUCUCAUGGUCAUUUUGAAUGCAUGUCUCUCUCUUACUCGGAGCGCAUGUGUGAUAGCCAUCCAGAAUGCACAUGCCUCUAACCUCCUAGAGUCUUCUGGAUUCCAUGAAUGAAGGUUUUCCUCUUCUGUGGUACACACUCGAAAAUCCAUGUGAGCAAUCUCAUAUAACAAUAACACUAUCAUCUUGUGCAAAUUGCAACAAAUUUUCCAUCUUGAGUGAAAGAAAUGCCCUUAGAUGCAUGCUUUGGCCAUUACACUUGUGUUCAUCCUAUGUUCACAGUAGGGUCUCUAUCUAUUUUUAAUAUCCCUUCAAACUAAGUCCCUGACCACUUUUGGGCCAUUGGUCUUUUAUAGAGACGACAAAGUAUGUAUUCUGAAAUGAGAGCCCACUCAAUGUGGCUUAUCUCAUCCAAGCACCAAAAAAAUUGCACAAAGAUAUCUUUUCCAAAUCCACAUGUCCCUAUCUCAUGACCUCACAAAAAAUAAACAUGUAGCACUUAUCAAAUCCCAAAAAAGAAAUAAACAAAAUGAAGUAAAUCCACAUGCAAAAAUAUAAAAUCCAAAUUACACACAUCUCAUACAAUACUAAAACUUAGUCUCAUGCAACCUAAAAGAAAAACUAAAAUAAACAAAAUCAUAUAGUAAGAGAAAACAAUGAAAUAUAUCUAUCAAAAAAAUUAAAAUUCAAACUUAUGAAAUCACACUAAAAAAACUUAAAACUUAAACAAAAAUCCUAAACUAAAAGUUAGAGGUUACUAAGAAAUCACACUAAGGAUCCCUUAAAAUCCCUCCAUGAUUUCUCUAAAGAAAGUUCAAAGACAAUAAUCAAACGAGUCAUAGUGGACCACCCAUGGAGACUCAAAAAUAGUUCAGGAGUGGACCCUAAAUGUAUAAUGAGCUAAUAUAUGCCAAUAGGACAAAAUGAAGGGUCUACGAACUCAACUCUCUUAAGCAUAGUAGAAAGCCUAUAAAUACCCCUAGUAGAGGUUAUGUUUUCAAGUCUUGUCAUUUCUCCUUGCAGUCUAAAGAGAGAACCCUAACCUUCGACCCCUAAGAUCUCCACCAUCUCAAUUCUAAGACUUAAGGAGGAGUUAUUGGGCGGAUGAUUAUGAGUUUAUGAGAUCUUCUGCAAAUUUGGAGCUUUCUAUAUCAAUAGGAAUUGUCGGGAACAUCCAUAUCAAAAGUAUGACACUUUUCUCUAGAUCUUUGAUAUGUUUUUGGUUUUAAAUGCCAAGUUUUUCGCUUUGCUUAAAUCUAGAGAAGUCUAGGAUAGGAUUACAUACACCCUAGCGAUCCAAGACUUGGGAAUAUAGUAAUCCAAGAUUUCCCAAUAGUUCAAUCUACCAAGAUAUGAACAAUAGCCUAACAACCAAAGUCAUCAAUCGAAAUAGGAAAAAUCAACCACAAUAGCGUCUCAAUAACUCCAACAAUGUUGGGAAAAAUACUUUAUGGACUUAGUCUAAAACUAGAACAUUUCACUUCACCAAUAACUUGAACAAAUGAGAAAAACAAACAUCAAGAAAAUUUAAACACUUUGUUAAGUCAAAAUUUUGAUACCGUUUUAAGCUUUAAUAAUUUGAUACAUCACCAAAUGCUUAGUUUAAAAAGAAUAGAAGCUAACCUAAUUUCAAACCUAUGUAUCCAAUGGCGACCUGUUUUUGUCCUUUUAUUUUUGUCCUUAUUUAUUAACGUAUCAAUUAAAAAUCACAUUUAAAUUUAUUAAGGAAAUAUACUUAAGCUAUUAUCUCUUAAAUUUUUCUUAAAAGAAAAAAAAAAAUCUUGGCCCAAACUUUAACUUUGCACGAUGUCCACUUGUCCCUUUGAGAAUGAAUUUGCUAUUGCUUGUCCCACGCAAGAAACAAUGCUUUUAGUUAAUUAAAAAUAAAAUUAGUCCAUACAUAUAGAUGAUCAUAAUACAUUUGGUGUUAUUACAAAGUGUUAAUUAGUUAUGCUUAAAUAAAAGAAUUGCUUUAAAUAAUUAGUUGCCUCCAACCACCAAAUUAUGCAUUUAGACAUAAGAUAAUUUUGCUAACUAACAUUUAAUAGUUUUACAACUUCUUUACUUAAAUCGUAAUGAUCCAAUUUUUUACCUAUUUGUUUUCAAUGAUCUUGUAAUUAUAGUUUUAUGUUUAGUGUAAAACUUUGUUCAUGAGUGGGAGUUGAUCAUUAAUUUCAAAGACAAACAGGCAUUGUAUGAAAUUUUUUUACAUAAAUCAUGAGAUCAAACAACUAAAUUGAAAGUUUUGAAGACAACUUAAUACCAAGGAUUUAUAAUAUUUUGGAAUUACAAUAAACUUAUUUUUAUAACAGAGUCAAAAAGAAAUUGAUAAAUUUUCUUGAUAACAUAGUUAAAUAAGUGGUUAGAAUAUUGUUGUCCACACAUAUAUAGAUUACAAUAAAAAUAUUUGUUAAUUUUAUAUUUAGAUAAUAGAUAUCAAACCACUUUGCAUAUUGGACGAUGACUCUUAUAGAAUUAAAUAUAAGACUUGUUAUACACUAUUUUGAAACAUAUAUAUAUUCAUUCAAGUCUUUACUUUUCCUUUUUGACUUGUUAUAAGGUUGGUUUUGUUUCCCAAAGAAUAAAAUAUUUGACCAUAUUUUAACAAGUUGAAUAAAAAAGUUAACAAAUUCUUUACAAGUCAAAAAGCUACAAGUAUUUUAUUAGAGUAGGUGGCAAUGCAAUUUAAACUAAUUCAAUAAAUUCUUUGCAAGUCAAAAAGCUGCAAGUAUUUUAAUCAAGUAGAUUAGAAUAAAAUUUAAACUAAUCAUAUAAAAACCUGAAUAUGAUUAGAAUAAAUUUUGUUUUUAUCUACUUUUUUCUUGUUUUUCAAGAGAAUUUAGCUCUAAUUUUCGCAUGAGUUGAUAACUAAAAAAAACAAAAACAACAAUAUAAAAGUGAAAUCAAUAUAAAAUAAAUCCUCAAAUUUCAAAAUUAUAAAACUAAAAUUCUACUAUAUUUAAAUACUAUUUUGACAUUAAAUUUCACUUUUUUUCAAUAAAAUUUUGCCUAAACAGAAAAAGUGAAUCUUUUUAUUUUUACUUAUAAAAAGUCAUUUAUUCUCUUUUGUCUUAUCAAUCGUCUACUUUAUUAUAAUGCUCAAUUCUAAUUUCUCAUACAAAAUUAAACUAAAUUUAUUUUCAAAAAUUUUAGAUAACUCUUGCUUCAAAAUCUAGUUAAACUACUUUAAUAAUAUAUAACUGAAUAAAAAAAUAUGAAUUUAUCAUAAAUUAACAAAGAUGUCAUUAAAAAAAAUGAAUAUGACUUGAAGAAGUUUUAUUUUUAUCCAUUUUUUUCUUUUGUUUCUUGUUAAGGUUGAAUUAGUAAAUCCAAAUUGAGAACAUUGGUUGACAAAACCAUGACCUUUCAAAGAUUGGGCUCCCACUAAAUUGUCGGGCCUCCAAGACAAGCCUUGACUAUCACACCAACCUGUCUAUGCUAGACCAAGCCUACCUUAAGUGUCGAUAAGGAAAUAAUAAGGAAUGUCUACCUGCUCAACCAAUGGGGAGAGAUGGUGGUCGUUUAUAUUAGGUUUUCCAUUGCAUCCGAUUAUUGAUCUGUGAAACUUCUUUGAAGGUUUAUUUUGGUAAACUAGUAACUGGUCUUGGUUUUUUUCCAUUUAAGUUAGACAAAAUUUUUGGAAAAACUCAAUAAAUGAGAUAAUGUUGAAAUUUUGAUAAAAUUUAUCAUUUAUAUUUAUUUGAUAAAAAAGUUAACAAAUAUUUGACCAUUUUUCACUAAUAUCAUGAAAGCUAAAAAUUAAUAAAAAAAAAUUAUUUUCAAAAAUAUGAUUUGGAAAACAUGUGAGUGUUCAUUACAAAUUUUUGAGACACUUUUUCAUAAGCAUAGAGCAAAAUAUUUGUCUUUGAAUGAAAUAACGGUUGAUAUUCUUCUCAAUCUUAAAGUACGUAGUUCUUUACAAAUGUGAUUAAUUUCACUUCUAAAGCUUGCAAUCAUACAAUUGAGUGUACAUAAAAUUAUAGAUAAAACUAUAUACAAAGAAUUACAAACAGAACUAUCACUAACGCCAUCUUCUUCUCAACCACAAUGAUUUAUCCACAUAACUGAAAUAGGUCUCACACCAAGAUUUCUUGAUUGUUAAAAUAAAAAAUGGAACAAAAAUGCCCACUACAAAUCCUAGCCCAAUACUCAAGUAAAACCAUUUAUCAAUGAAUCCAUCAUCAUUUUCAUCCUCAACGUUGCUUUGCACUUGCCCUUGAUCUAAAUCAUCACCUUGGCAUUUAGCAACAAGUGGACGUCCACAAAGACGAGGUUUCUAGCAAAGGUAGAUUCCCUAAAAGUUAUCAUUUGUCCCAUAAAGGGGAUCUUACCAGAGAAGUUGUUCGAUAGAUUCAAAUAGCUCAAAAAUUUUAAUGAAGAAAUGCUCAAAGGAAUGACAUUGUAGAGAUUGUUACAUGAUAAAUCAAAAGAUAAUAGCUCAUGUAACCUCAAGAUGUUUUGAGGAAUUAAGCCAUUAAUGUGGUUCCUUGACCAGUUGAAAAUCAUUAAACCAGAUAAUUUUGUCAUUUAUGUUGGAAACUCCCAACUAAAGUUAUUGCUGAAUAGAUCUAUGCUAACUGUGAGAGAAAGAAACUCUAUAUAUUCUAGCUCUUGGCCUUUUGCUUUUACGGUCAAACUAUCGUCAAAUGAUUUAUCUAUCAUAGAAAACUGGUAUAGAUAAGGCCUUAAAUAUUUCUUUUCAGCCAUUGCUUUAAGAUCACACAAAGUGGCUGGAAUGCUACCACUUAAAUUGUUUUCAACAAGGUCUAAAAUAUGUAAUGAACUUAAAUUUGAACGAUAAAAAAUAAUUCCUCCAGAAAAUGCAUUAGACCUCAAGUCAAGAAUUCUAAUGGUUGUGAAAGCAGCUCCAAUCCAUGUUAAAAUAUUACCCCAUAAUUUGUUGUAAUUGAGAUCAAGGGUUAAACUUGACAAGCUUUGGAAAGAUAAAGGAAGUUUUCCUGAAAGCUAUUUUUGCCUAGGUGAAUUGAUCAAAGCCAUUCUAACUAGCCAAAAGAUUUUGGAAUAGUCUUGGAUAAAUUGUUCUUUUCAAGUGUUAGAAAGUACAGGUAAGAGUAAUUACUUAUGAAUGAAGGAAUGCUUCCUAUUAAACUAUUCCUUGAAAGAUCAAGGAUUUCAAGAUGGCUCAUAUAUCCUAUAGACUUUGGGAUAAUUCCUGUUAUUUGAUUGCUUAAAAGAGAGUAUAGAAAAUUUGGGAUGGAUUCACCUAUAUUAGGUGGAAUAGGACCAGAAAAUCUAUUGUUGGAUAGAUCAAUAAUUGUCAAAGAGGUCAUAUUCAAUUGAUUUGGCAACUGACCUUGCAAUUGAUUGAAAGAAAUAACUAAAAUACCUAGUUGAGAAAAAAUAUUCUAGAACCAAUUGGUUAUUGAACCUAAGAUGCUAGCAUUUGACAACUCCAUAAUGGAGACCUCCUUUUGAAACUUGAGCCAAGUCGGAAAUGAAGGACUUAAAUUGCAUAAAUCCAUAUCGAAAGUAGAGAUUUGGAAUGGGAGGACCCAGGUGGCACUAACAUUCAGAACAAGACCUGAAUUUCCACUCAUGCACAACAUCUUCAACUUACUUAACUUUGCAAAAUGUUCUUCAGAAAGAACUCCAAUCAAGUGAUUCCAAGAAACAUAUAGGACAAUUAAUUCAAAAAAUUGUCCAAAGCUAACAGAGACACUCUCAUUUAGUUCAUUCCAUCCAAUCUCCAUAUACUCCAUGAUUACUACUCAAAAAGUGUUCUUUUAUAGCUUGAAAUUAAUUGUUUUAAACACUUUUAAGUAGUAGUUAAUACUUUUUAACUCAAUUGGCACAUUAAGGAACCUAGCAAGGGUUACUAAUCAGUUUUUGGCUAGUUUUGGUGUUUUUAGUAGCUUUUUUAUCAUUGAAACAAGCAAAGAAUGAGGGAGAAUUUUGUGCAAUCCAUGGCAAUGCAAGUUGAAGCUCAAAUACAUGAAGAAUCAGAGUUUUGGAGCACUUCAUAGCCCUUUGCCAAGCUUGGCAAUAGGUUGCCAAACCAAUCAGAGAUGCAAGGAAGAAAUCCAGAGGAAGAAAUCUAACAUGUAGAAAUUUCGCAUGUCUUUGCGAAAAUUUUGCAUAGCAUGUGAAAUCAAGAAGAGGAGCAGCUGUAGGACUGAGUGAAGGACAAUUUUGCAUACCUUGCGAAACCACAAGAUGCAGAAAAAAAUGAAUUUCGCAUGGUCUGCAAAAUCUUCUUGUGCACCGACUCCGUUAGAUUUUUAUCUCUAGAUUUUUUGUGUAAAUUACUAUUUUCUCCUUGUAAUGAACCAAUGAUAGGAUUUCUUGGUUAGGAACUAUAAAGGGGGAUUGGAAAGACCUCUCUAUAGAAUAUCUUUUUGUAUAAUAUUUUGGAUACAAAGGACACGAGUAAUUCCUGUAGGAAGAAAUAUAUAGAGCCCUUGCUCUACCUUUCCUUCUCAUUUUGUUUUCAUUUUUCUUUCUAGCCAAACAACCUCUGAGGAUGAUUUCUCAAGGGAUGAGUGGCUAAGUUUUAUGUUUCUCGGAGUAAUGGAAACUAGGUGAAGGACCCGGAUGCAAAGGUGGGAGUUUUCCUUGCUUUAAAUGAAGGUAGUUGUUAACCAUUAAUGGUUUUUAUUUCAAGGUUUAGCUUUAGAUCCCUUAGAAUCACCUUGAAUGGCCAAUACUUGGUAAGCUUUCCGGAUUUUAUGGAUUCUUAUUGCUAGAUCCAUGGAUGUCCAUUAGUUAUCAAGUACGAGCCAUUGGAAGGUGGUUCAAGGUGAGAAUCACCUUGAAUGGGCAAUACUUGGUAAGCUUUCCAGAUUCUAUGGAUGCUUAUUGCUAGAUCCUUGGAUGUUCAUUAGUUAUCAAGUACUAGCCAUUGGAAGGUGGUUCAAGGUGAGGGUCUUUAGUGUUUAAAGCCAUUAAUGGGAAGCAACUACCAUUUUUUAUGAACCCUUUGGAUCAAAUCUUAAUUGCUAAAUACAAAAACCGGUUUGGGAGAUAAUCAUUCUUUAUGUUAUUGUCCCUAAUGCAAGGAGAAGAUCCGGAAUCUCCCCAUUUGCUUAAAGAACCCAAUCCUAGUGACCUAAAGCUCUAAGAGACAUUCUCUUUGUAGUUAACUUCAAUUGCUAUUUUUGUUUAACUUAAAAUCAACUUUUUCAACCACAAUUCCAUUUUCUUUAAAAGCUAAUUUUCAUAAGGAAAAGCACCAUUUCAUUACCUUCACUAAAGUCAAUUGUACGAAGAAAACUCAUCCCUAUGGAUGAUCCUAAAGCCACUAUACUAUAGUAGCCAUGCUACCCUAGUGUAAGGUGAUUUAGGUUUUAUAAAUUUUGUUGUUAACACCCGUCUGGCGCAAGAAUCAAAUGGUGUCGUUGUUGGGGAUGAAUCAAAUGGCGCCGCUACCGGGGAUGGUGCCAAAGUACAUUGACAUUACUUUUGGUGAACACUUGUGAUCUUCAUCACAAGUUUGGUGAUUUUUCUUUUACUAAUUCUUUUUCUUUGUCUCUAUUUUAGCUUAUCUUUUAUUUAAUUUUUAGUUAACCUUAACCACUUCCUAGAAUUGUAUUUCUUUUGUUUUCUUUGUUUUUGUUUUAGUGAUCUCUAGUUGUGCAUGCCCUAUUGGAUAAGAGAUAUUGAGGGAAGACUUGUGAAGAUUGAAACUCCUCAAGAAACUGAGUUGGAAGUGUGCUUGAACAUCAUGGAUGUUCCAUCUGAAGACCAGAAUACCACUCCCACUGAGCAGCUAGUAAUUCGACCCCACAUUGUGCCACUCCUACCUACUUUCCAUGGGAUGGAAAGUGAGAAUCCCCACUCGUAUAUUAAGGAAUUCGAGGAGGUUUGUAAUACAUUCCAAAAAGGAGGAGGUUCAAUUGACUUGAUGAGGCUCAAGCUAUUUCCUUUCACCUUGAAGGAUAAGGCCAAGAUUUGGCUCAAUUCUCUAAGGUCAAGGAGUAUCCGAACUUGGACUGAUUUGCAAGCUGAGUUUCUCAAGAAGUUCUUCCCUACUCAUUAGACCAAUGGUUUGAAAAGGCAAAUUUCGAACUUCUCAGCUAAAGAGAAUGAGAAAUUCUAUGAGAGUUGGGAGAGGUACAUGGAAGUUAUUAAUGUUUUUCCUCACCAUGGCUUUGACACAUGGUUCUUAGUGAGCUAUUUUUACGAUGGUAUGUCUUAUUCAAUGACGCAACUCCUAGAAACUAUGUGUGGAGGAGACUUCAUGAGUAAGAAUCUGGAGGAAGCCAUGGACUUUUUGAGUUGUGUGGCUGAAGUUUCAAGAGGAUGGGAUGAACCAAAUGCUAGAGAGGUGGGAAGAAUGAAGUCUCAACCUAAUGCUAAGGGUGGAAUGUAUGUCUUGGAUGAAGACAUUGACAUGAAGGCAAAAAUUGCAGCUAUGGCAAGGAGAUUGGAAGAGCUAGAAAUGAAGAAGGUACAAGAAGUGCAAGCCAUUUCUGAGACAUCAGUGUAAGCUAUGCCUUAUUCCAUUUGUCAAUCUUAUGAGCACUUGGUGGAGGAAUGUCCUACCAUUCCAGUAGUGAGAGAGAUGUUUGGUGAUCAAGCAAAUGUUAUUGGUCAAUUCAAGCCUAAUAACAAUGCUUCAUAUGGAAACACCUACAAUUCAAAUUGGAGGAACCAUCCAAAUUUCUCUUGGAAACCAAAGCCACCUUAGUACACACAACCUGCUCAAGCACUUCAGCAAGCCUUGAAUCUUGAACAAACUAUUGUGAACCUUAGCAAGGUUGUGAGAGACUUUGUGGGAGAUCAGAAGUCCAUCAAUGCUCAACUGAAUCAGAGAAUUGACAAUGUGGAGAGUACAUUGAACAAAAUGAUGGAUGGGAUGAAAAAUGAUCUGUCUCAAAAGAUAGACAAUGUCCAAUACGCAAUCUCAAGGCUUACCAACCUCAACACAGUGCAAGAGAAAGGAAAGUUUCCUUCUCAACCUCAUCAAAAUCCCAAGGGUAUCCAUGAAGUGAAGGCUCAAGAGGGAGAAUCUUCAAAGGUGAGGGAAGUCAAAGCAGUUAUCACCUUGAGGAGUGGUAAAGAGGUUCAUCAACCCACAUCCAAGCCAAAGUAUGAUGAAGAGAGUGUAGCAGAAAAAGAAAAGAGUGAGAAAAUUAAAGGAAAGAGAAAAGGGAAAAGUACAAAGAAAGAUGACCAUGAUUCUAGUGUGGAUGAAGAACCCCGAGAGGAUAGUCAUCAAGGAAGAUAUGAUGAAGAAACACAUGCCUCCACCUUUCUCUCAAGCUUUGCAUGGCAAAAAGGGAACCAAUAAUGCAUCAUAAAAUUUUGAAGUGUUGAGGCAAGUGAAGGCUAAUAUCCCUUUGCUAGACAUGAUCAAACAAGUGCCGACAUAUGGAAAAUUCUUGAAGGACUUAUGCACUAUAAAGAGAGGGUUUAAUGUGAACAAGAAAGCCUUCUUGACUGAGUAAGUGAGUGCCAUCAUAUAGUGCAAAUCUUUAAUGAAGUACAAAGAUCCGGGCUGCCCUACCAUCUCAGUGAGUAUUGGAAGGACUUGUGUGGAGAAAGAUUUAUUGGACUUAGGAGCAAGUGUGAAUUUGUUACCCUACUCUGUCUACAAGCAGUUGGGACUUGGAGAGUUAAAGCCAACAUCCAUCACUCUAUCUCUGGCAGAUAGAUCAGUGAAGAUUCCAAGAGGGAUGAUCGAAAAUGUCUUGGUUCAAGUUGACAAAUUCUACUAUCCAAUGGAUUUUGUUGUUCUUGAUACGGAUCCGGUUUUCAAAUGAACUAAUUAUGUUCCUAUCAUACUUGGAAGACCAUUCCUAGUUACAUCAAAUGCAAUCAUCAAUUGUAGGAAUGGAGUCAUGCAACUCAUGUUUAGCAACAUGACAUUAGAGCUCAACAUCUUCCAUUUGUGCAAAAAGUAUAUCCAUCCGGAAAAAGAAGAAGGUCCAGAGGAAGUGUGCAUGAUUGACACUUUAGUGGAGGAGCAUUAUGAUCAGAGAAUGCAGGAGGAUUUGAUUGAGAGUCUUAGGGAUCUUGAUUAAGGGUUACCUGAACCCUCAGAUUUGCUUGCUACCCUGUCUCCUUGGAGAAAGAGAGAAGAAAUUCUACCCUUAUUCAAUGAGGAGGAGACACAAAGAGCUGCUAAGGAGGAGCCCCAAAAGCUUAUUCUUAAGCCACUACCCACAGAGUUGAAGUAUGCAUACUUGGAAGAAGACAAGCAGUGCCCUAUUGUUAUAUCUUCAGCUCUUACCAUUCAUCAAGAGGAUUGUCUACUUGAAGUCCUUAGAAGAUGUAAGAAGGCAAUAGAGUGGCAAAUUUCUGAUUUUGAAAGGGAUCAACCCUUUAGUUUGCACCCAUCAUAUUUACAUGGAGGAUGAAGUUAAGCCAGUUUGUCAACCUUAGAGAAGGUUGAACCCUCACAUGCAAGAGGUGGUGUGAGCUGAAGUUCUUAAGCAGCUUUAGGCCAGUAUUAUCUACCCCAUAUCAGAUAGCCCAUGGGUGAGUCCUACUCAAGUUGUGCCAAAGAAGUUUGGGAUCACGGUGGUGCAAAAUGAUAAGGGAGAAGAUGUCUCUACACGCCUCACCAUAGGUUGGAGGGUGUGUAUCGAUUAUAGGAGAUUGAAUGCAGUGACAAGGAAGGACCAUUUCCCGUUGCCCUUUAUUAAUCAGGUGCUUGAGAGGGUCUCUGGGCAUUCUUUUUAUUAUUUCUUGGAUGGCUACUCCAGGUACUUUCAGACAAAAUUCAUGUUGAAGACAAGGAGAAAACCACUUUCACGUGCCUAUUUGGCACCUAUGCAUAUAAGAGAAUGUCUUUCAGCUUAUGCAAUGCACCUGUAACUUUCCAAAGAUUCAUGUUAAGCAUUUUCAGUGAUAUGGAGUGUAUUAUGGAAGUCUUUAUGGAUGAUAUCACCAUAUAUGGAAGUGCAUUUGAUGAAUGCUUGGUCAACCUAGAAGUUGUUCUGAAUCGAUGCAUUGAGGAAGACUUAGUGCUUAACUGGGAGAAGUGUCAUUUCAUGGUACAACAAGGGAUUGUCCUUAGGCACAUCAUCUCUAAGCAAGGCAUUGAAGUUGACAAAGCAAAGAUUGAACUCAUUGUCAAGUUAUCAUCCCUAACAAAUGUCAAAGGAAUAAGGCAAUUCCUUGGCCAUGUCGGGUUCUAUAGGAGGUUUAUCAAGGAUUUCUCUAAGCUUGCAAGGCUUCUUUUUGAACUAUUGGUGAAAGAUGCCAAAUUCAUAUGGGAUGAUAGAUGUCAAAGGAGUGUGGACCCGCAUUUUUCACGUGCGUCCCCACUCGAUCGGCGAGACUUGCUUUUUAUUUGUGAAAAAUUAAUUUUAAAAAAAAGUUGGAGUCACCACCUAUUUUAUUUUUAUUUUAAAGGGAAAAUAAAACAAGAAAGAAAAACCCUAAAAAGUGACUCCAUAGUUUUGGAAAAAGCAUGUCUUUGAGAAACCUAAGUCUAGGUUUGGGGAUCAGGUUACUUAUUGGGAAGGUACCUCUAGGAGGUAGCACCCCUCUAAGCCCUAAAAGGUCUCUACUGACUAAGUUAAGGGAAGCAUGACAAUUAAAUGGUUGAUCAUGGAUACCUAAGUAGGCUAGGUGAUUUCAAAAAAAGUUGCAUGCUAAACAAGAUCAAAUCACAAUAAAGGAGAGUUAGGGUGCGUACCUGAACCGCUUCUCAAGCGCUAUCAUGAAACAUAAGAGAUUAGUUUGGAAAUACGACACAUUAUAUGUAUUUUAUCAAAGAUGAUUAAACAAACAUCAAAGCAAUCAAUCAUGCCAUCAAACAGGAUCAUAGCUCAUGAUAACGUACACAUUCAUAGAAUUUUAGAGUUUGUAGGGUGGGAAGAGCAUACCUGAUUAGUGAGCAUCCACACGUCUUAUGGGAACAAGGGCAUCUCAACAAUAAAUAUUAAUGAAUUCAAGUAUUUCGUCAAGCAGAAUCAAAAAUCAACAUAUCUAGCAAACAAUAGUGAUGAAAAUAUCAUGAAUGUCGGGCCCCCACCAAAGCCCUAAUUAAUUUCGCAUGAGUUGAUUCCAUAAAUUCCAUGACUUGGAAUUAUGAAGUUUUAUUCAUGCUUACUGAAAAUCAAGAAAAUCACGAAAAUAGUUAAAAAUCAAAGAAAACAGUGAAAGUGCAUACCCGAAGUAAAGUGGUAGCAAAUUGUGUGUUAAAAUUCGGAUUUUGUACCUAGAAGCUUCUAAAGAAGUUUAAAGAAAACUGGAGUUAUUUUGACAUAGAAUGGUUUUGAAAUCUGGAUUUAAGAUGUAUAAAAUCACAAAAAGAAGAAAAAAAACAAUAGAAGGAGUAUGAUGUGUGGUGAGGUGGCCAAACUGGAUUAGUGUCUAAGCUACUUUUGAGACUGAAUUACUUGGGUUGCCUGAGGAUGUUUCUGUAGAUUGCUGAAAUGGAAUUCUGCGUUCUUACAUCAGUGGUCGCUGUAUGCAAACUCAAUUCACUCAAAACAACUGUGGAGAAAUAAAUUUCACCGCCAUCUCUUCCUAAAGUUCCUGCCCACUGGCAUCACAACCCAAAUCAGAUUAGUGCACUCCAGUUGAUGUCUUCCAAUAUUUCUUCUAAUUCAGGUUCAGAGAAUGACAAGAAGUCAUUUGGAUUCACCACAUUGGAGAAAGUAGAACCAUUAUCAUCAUCCUAAAGAUGGCAGAAAAGAGGAAAUGCUGGCGGAAAAGCAAUUUCAGCUUAUCAUCUGAUCUGGAAACAUGCAUGAGCAAUUUCUCUUAUAUUAAUAUCUGAGUUCUAUUUCCGUUGUCAACUUGCUCACAAACAGUUUUCUUCAAUUGAGUACUUGCGUCCUGAUUGAUAUUCUGAUGUUCGGUUUCCCGAAUAAAUUUUCAUUCUUCUAGCAUAUCAAAUUGCCUAUGGUCAGAAAUUAACCUUCAGUCAAUAAGAUUCAGCAACUUCUUUGCAUGUGUGAAGGUAAAUGAGUAGUAGGCUAAGGACUUUCUGAUGGAUUCUGCAUUUCUGGAUUUUCGAGAGUGGCCGCCAAGAAGACACCAGGCUCCAUCAUUGAUGUUAUGGUUUCUGAGCCUUCUUCAGUCUACUCUCUAUGAGCAACAGAUACUUUCUGACUGCAAGUAUUAAUACUCAAGUGCCUGCUGCGAUUUUCUCCUGGAUCAUCAAAAAACAAUAUUGAGCCUAGUACAAUUUUCAGGACCUCAGCUUACAAUCCCUUAAAGAACCCUGACACCCUUUUUCUAUUCUAAAUAGCGUAAAGAACACUGUGUCCUGCUUUAUGGGAUUUCUAUGGAGUUUUGUUGGCUUCAUCAUCAUUUGAGUCUGCUGCUUGAAUCAUGACCUUACACCAGAUUGCUGACGAUACUCUUUGACAUCACACCUAACAUGAAAACCGAGAGGGCAGAAAGGGUUUCCGGGGAUGAGCCCUUCUCUGUUAUGUUUUGAUUCCUCUUCAGGCAUCUUUGCUUCGGCUGAUCAAAUACUGUAUACUUAAUUGCAGGGGUUCAUGGUCAGAAGAAGAGAAAUUCCAAGAUCAUCAAAGGCUUCACUCCAAGUUUAAGCUGUCAGGUUUUGUCAGAUUGUUUUGUUGUGGCAUGUUUGAGAUACUUUCAGCAAGCUUCCUGAAUGCAAUAGCAGCAGAGAACACCUCCAAGGCUUGUCAGAUGAUGGAUUAUCAGUACAACUAUACACCAUGUUCGGGAUACCUGUAAGCUAUGAUACCUAUCCAUAGGCAAUUGGGUAAUUCAAGAUUUUCAUCAAUGAGUAUAGCUGGAAGUGGGGCAGCUUCUGGUCUCGAGAAACUCCUCCAAAGGGGUUCAGAUUCUUAUAAUUGCUUGUUCUUUUCACUAGCUGUUAGGUAAGCGCCUCCGGCUUCCUGUAAACUCAACCUUCACACUUGGCAGCUCAGGAAUUAGCAUUUCCAGCCGAAACGCCAACUUUAUCGAUAUGUAAUCGAACCAAGAGAAAUCACUUCUCUCACAGCAAAAGGCUUAACUACAAAUUCAGAAAACAGGAUCGUUUCCGGUGUCAAAUAAGACUUCUCGGGAGUCAUAAUAGAGGAGAGAAAUAUGGUGAUUCGAGUUUCAACUUAUUCAACUCCUAUUGGACGGAUUUGGGGACAGGUCUUUCUGAUAAUUUGUGGAUCUCAGUAGCAAGAAAACUAGAGUGCUAGCAUGAAGAGUAUGACCAUCACCUGCGUUGGGGAUUUCUAAACCAGAAUUCACCAUCUCACAAUUAUUGGACUCAUCAUCCAUUCCUGAAGAUAUAUCAGAAUUCCUAGGCUCAAAUGGUGAACUGUACAGAUUUGCAAGUAUUUCAAGACUGCCUAGGCAUUGCCAAUCACUAUGCAAGUCUGUAGACAAAGUGACCAAUUCUGGCAUUCUUUCCACCUGUCCACUGGAAGUGCCAAUUCUAUCACUGAUUUUUGUACCAUCAUGCACAUUUGAUAUCUCAUUUGGCACAAGUGACUGAAUUGACAUAGGUUCACGUGCCUCUAAACACUCACCUACUUCUUAAAAAAAUUCUGGGGGUUCCUCUAGAAAAUGGACUAUGCACGUACGUGUGUUCUGUGAAAAUCAAAACUGUGCGUGGACUUCUUCAUGCGGCUGUGAAGACUUCCCGAAGUGGCGUGUUUCUGUUAGUGCGUGGUCCCCAUGGGAGUGCAGGCUGCCCCUCAAUCCGUGCUCUUGGAUUUCAAGUGUCCAUCCAAAGUGGCAACAUGAGAUGUUUGUUUCUCUUCCCAUUGUUUUCUGAGCAGGUUCUCAAACCUUUGGUGUCAUAUCCCAAGCUUCAUCCCAUCCAAGUCCUUCAUCAUUCAUCAGUAAUCGCGUCAAUUCUGGGAUUGCAAGGGUAGGAUGCGUAUCAUUCGAAUGUACUGCUAUCUUGUUGGGAAAUUCAGACCAUUGCCAUGAGUCCUCGUCUUUCCUCUCCAUGAAUCUGAAAAUAAUGUCUUGAAGUGGAGCAUUGCAUAGGAAAAAAUGUUGCUUUAGUCGCGAGAGCUUUCCAAUUUCGGUGUAGAGAAGUCAGCUGCAUCUUCCCAAUCAUCUGGCUUGGCCUUAGGCUGAUCAUCUUUAUCGCUUCCUAUAACAUCUUCUUGACCAGCAUCGGCACUGACCCGUUUUUCAUUACCAAUAGAAGUAUUUUCUGAAGAGAUGAUUAGUUUCCUUCCUCUCCUCUGGACCCUUAUAUGCCAUGUAAAGAUUAGAGGUUGUCUCAGCAGCGUCAGCUUUCUGAAGAAUUUCCUUCCUCGAGAUGCGAUCAAGACUAUUCUUGAUGUCAGCCAGCAGUUUUCCCUUAAGAAUUCUACACAUUUCAACUUGUUGUCUGGUCUUAAAAUUGUGUUCCCUCGAGCCUGCUAUAACAUUGAUCCGCAUGGCCAAUGGUGAAGCAAACCGUUUUCUGCAUUCAGUCCCAUCACUGUUUCUAAUAAAAUUCCCAUGUGACAAAGAUCUAGCAUAGACACAGCACCAUCCUUUACAACUAGCUCAGACCAGAUAUCCUCAAGCCAUGACUGAAUCAACCUUGUACAUCGUAAAAGCUAGGACUUCAUGCAAUGGAAAUCAUGGGCUAUAACCAUGAAAACUUCAUUGAAGGCGGUAUGAUCCUCUGCAACAAUAUGCUCUAUUUCCAGAACCAUGCUUCUUGUUUCUGUCAAAUCUGAAGCAACCUGCCUUUCAAGGUUUUCAUAUUGCUAAUUCUUCAAAUCGUUGGAGGGUUGCAAGCUUUGUACCCCACUAAUUAAACUACCCCUCUCUUUCUUCAACCUUUCUAUCUCAAGCUUCAUUAUUUCAUUUGUUAUCAUUAGUCCAUUGAUCAUAAUAUCUGCUUCUUUCGUUGUGUCUUUUGCCUCUUCAAAUGUAGAAAGAAAAACAGGGAGCCUCUGCAAUUUUCUGAGCUGCAACUAUCUUUGCAUCACCAUCUUGAGUCUAGAUUGUUCUUAGCCUUUCUCCGUUUGUGAUCAAAUAUUGUGUCUUCAGUCAUGAUUUGGGAUGUGCUCUCUAUUCGUUCAGGAAGAUCAGCUCUGUCGUCCAUGAAGUUCGUGAUGGCUACUAGUUGCAGAUUGGUAUCUUGUAGUUGGAUUUUUGCUGAUACCAGGUCCUUUCAGUUCAGCCUCUCUAGAAUAUAAAAAAUGGACUGACCAGGGUCCGUCUUGGAAUUUUUCUACUCUCUGCCUCUUCCAGAACCUCUGUGACAUGGAAUUCAAGCUGCUGUUCAUGAGUGCACCUUCUUGUGAGAGUCAACGCCUAUUCAUUAUCUUCAGUUUCAAUAGCAGGUGAACCUUCUUCUUCCGUCUCUUCAGCGUGCUAAAAGUCUUCUAAAAAAAAAUCCCUUUUUUUGCUAUCUUUUUUCUUCUCCCUUCCCUCCAAAACCUUCCAAGGAGAGUCCCACUUUCCUUAAACUCCCAUGGUAAGUUUCCUUGCAAAAACAUGAAAUUUUAGAAGUUAAAUAAUUGCAUGAAUAGAUAAAUAAGUAAAUAAAUUAGAAAAUGGUAAAAAUAAUAAAUAAAUAAAUAAGUUAAGGAAAAUAAUAUAAAGAGGAAGAUAACCAAUAAGAAGUGAAUGAUGAUCAUAAAACUAAAACUAAAAAUAAAAAAAUAAUAAUAAAAAUAAACAAAUUAACAAAAAAAAUGGGCCCUACGAGCCAUGCAAACACGUAGGUCAUAUAAGUCACGCUAAAAAAAAAGUCUUAAUAGGCCUAGUGUGCCUAAAUGGGCCUAGGGUGUCUAAGUGGACCUAAGUAGAUUACCCUAAAAGCUAUCCUAAAAAUGAAUGAAAAGUCUAAGUCUAAAUUAAGGCUGCCAAGGGUCACAAUAAGGGGUCAGAUAAUCCCUCGACCAAAAUCUCCGAGGUGGCUCAAAAAAAGGUAAGUAGUAUGAGUAGCAAUGGGCUACCAAGGAACUACAGUGGAGCACUGAAAACAAAUUUAAAAAAACAUGUGCUAAAGGGACAAAAUUGAGGGUCUAUAAGGAGUUUUGAAGAAUUGAAGCUAUUUUUGAAAACAACACCAAUAGUGAGGGCUCCCAACUAGCAACUGUCUUUUGAGGUAAUGUGUGAUGCCAGUGACUUUACCAUAGGAGCUGUGCUUGGGAAAAGAGAAGAUAGAAAACCCUAUGUGAUCUACUACACGAGCAAGACAUUGAAUGAGGAGCAAACAAACUACAUAACCACCGAGAAAGAAUUGUUAGUUGUAGUUUUUGCCUUGGAUAAGUUUUGUGCUUACUUGGUGGGGUCCUUCAUUGUGGUUUUCACUGAUCACUCUACUUUGAAGUAUAUGUUGACUAAGCAAGAUGUUAAAGCAAGGCCGAUUAGAUGGAUCCUCUUGCAUCAAGAGUUCAAUCUCCAAAUCAAAGACAAGAAAAUAAUGGAAAAUGUGGUAGCAGACCACCAUUCAAGGCUAGCUAUCGCACAUAAUUCCCAUGGUUUGCCCAUCAAUGACGAUUUUCCAGAGGAGUCUCUCAUGUUGGUGGAAGUUGCUCCUUGGUAUACUCACAUUACUAACUACCUAGUCACAGGAGAAGUUCCAAGUGAGUGGAAAGCACAAGAUGAGAAACACUUCUUUGCUAAAAUUCAUGCCUACUAUUGGGAAGAGUCAUUUCUAUUCAAGUAUUGUGCGGAUCAAAUAAUAAGGAAGUGUGUUCCUGAAGAAGAGCAACAGGGGAUCCUCAGUCAUUGCCAUGAAAAUGCAUGUAGAGGCCACUUUGCUUCUCAAAAGACAGCCAUGAGGGUGUUGCAAUCGGGUUUCUAUUGGCCAUCACUUUUCAAAGAUGCCCACACCAUGUGCAAGAGUUGUGAUCGAUGCCAGAGGGUUGGGAAGUUGACACACAAGAACAUGAUGCCUUUGAACCCCAUUUUGAUAGUUGAUCUUUUUUAUGUUUGGGGCAUUGACUUCAUGGGAUCAUUCCCUAUGUCUUUUGGCUACUCUUACAUCUUGGUGGGAGUAGAUUAUAUUUCUAAGUGGGUUGAGGCAGUCCCAUGCAAGCACAAUGACCAUAGAGUGGUUCUCAAGGAGAACAUCUUCUCAAGAUUUGGGGUGCCCAAAGCCAUAAUUAGUGAUGGGGGUACUCAUUUUUGCAACAAGCCUUUUGAAACUCUCCUAGCCAAGUAUGGGGUGAAGCAUAAGGUAGCUACACCUUACCACCCUCAAACUAGUGGGCAAGUUGAGUUAGCAAACCAAGAGAUUAAAAACAUAUUGAUGAAGGUGGUGAACACGAAUAGAAAAGAUUGGUCUAUCAAGCUCCUUGAUUCACUAUGGGCAUAUAGAACAACUUACAAGACCAUUCUUGGGAUGUCUCCUUAUCGCCUAGUCUAUGGCAAAGCAUGUCAUCUCCCUGUGGAAUUGGAAUACAAGGCUUGGUGGGCAAUCAAGAAACUCAACAUGGAUUUGAGCAGAGCUGGGAUGAAGAGGUUCUUAGACCUCAAUGAGUUGGAGGAACUGAGAAAUGAUGCCUACAUCAAUUCAAAAAUUGCAAAAGAGAGAUUGAAGAGGUGGCAUGAUCAGUUGGUUUCUCGUAAAGAUUUUCAAAAGAGACAAAGAGUCUUGCUCUAUGACUCUAAGCUCCACAUCUUUCCGAGCAAGCUGAAAUCAAGGUGGAUAGGUUUUUUUACCAUUCACCAAGUGCAUUCAAAUGGAGUAGUGGAACUACUCAACUCCAACAAGACCAGUAGUUUCAAAGUGAAUGGCCACCAUCUCAAGCCCUUUGUGGAGCCUUUUUCUCGUGACAAGGAGGAAUUCAUCCUCCUUGAUCCACAUCAAGCUCGACAAGACCAGUUUUUGAAUGGACUUAGUCUUUCUAAACACUAUCAAGUCCAUAUCUUUUUGUUUUAUUUUUUAUUUGAGAGUUUUCUUGUAUUGUAACUUGUUUUGAUUCUGAUUUCUCAUUUAAUUUCAUUUUGGUUUGAUUUAACUUAGGUUUUUGAUGAUCAAUUUCAGGGGGGGACUUCAAAGCAGUUGGGCAUGUCCUUAAAGAUUCUUGGCAGAGGAAAAACCCUGAAGAAAAAAAUUCACCAAGGCAUUUCACACACCCUUGCGAAAAUUUCGCAGGGUAUGUGAAACCCUUCUCAAAUAGUAAGACUCCAUUUCACUCAAGAUGUACCACUUCCUCCCUUUAUUUUCAAUUGCUCUUGACACAUUGAUGGCAAUGUUGAUCUUGGUUGGGGGAAGAGUUGACGAAGGAAGUAUUGUUAAUAAUGCUAGGUUAAUUUGUUAAUUUAGUUACUUUUUACUUAAUUUUAAAAGUUUUUACUCUACUCUCCAUGGUUAUUAAGGAAAAAUUCUCAAAAUGAAAUGGGAGAAAUUGAGUUCUUCCCUUUUUACUUGAAUCUUAGAGUUUGUAUCAUGUUUAUUGAGGUUGAUGAAUUAUUGAAACUCCUAUUGAAUUCAACCUUAUUUCUUCCACUUUAAUCUUACCACACACUGUGCAUACUAGGUUCCAAUUAUAAGAAGAAAAAAAACUAUCUCACCCCCUGAACUUAGAAAAAUUUCAACUUGGUACCUUUGACCUCGUUUUAAUAGUGUUGGGACACCUUAUAAAAGGCCAAUGACCCUUAAAAAAAAAAUAAAACAACAAAGUGUUUCACUUGCCUUGAAACCCGAGCAAGGUCUGAGGGGUAUAUGGCUGAAGUCUUUAAAACCCGGUGCCCUAAGCCUUUAUUGGUUGGGAGUCACCGACCUCAAUGCUCGUUACAAGGGUGAAUAGGUGGAGUUUAACUUAUUGUAGGUGCUUGGGUAUUGAAUUUCAAUCUCAAAAAUCCAGGGUGAAAUAUGAGGAGGUAGUGGUCGAAAGAUCCUUAAAGCUUGAUGCCCUAAACCUUGAUUGGUUGGGAGUCAUCGAUGGAUCCCCGUUACAUGGACACUUUAGAAAACAAUACCUUUAGCAUUGCACUCCUACAAUGAAAAAAAAAUAUAUGAAAUAAAAUAGGUGCAUUCUUAGCCUAUUGGAGAUUGGUUAGUUUGCUAAGGUUUGAGAAAGAACUAGGUUGGUGGGAGAGAAUAGUUCGACAUACUAUAUCGGAAACUAAUAAGCUUAACACUUAGAUUUUUGUGGAAGAGUAAGGAUUGGACCUUUGGGAGUGGAAAUUCUUUUGAUGCUUGAAUUUUCAUAAUGUCUACUCUUUAUAAAUUGUGAUUAAGCAAGAUAUUUGAUGACUCUUGUUGAAGGUUGGGUUUUGCCUCUUUGAUGUUCCAUGAGAGAGUAUGAUCUGCAUCAUGCCACUUAAAUUUUUUUUGAAGUGAUUAGCAUGAUUUUGUAAAUUAUUUUACUAUCUAUUUUUCUUUAUCUCUCCUUCAUUGCUAAGGGACUAGCAAUGUGUCGGUUGGGGGGAGUGAUUACUACUCAAAAAGUGCUCUUUUAUAGCUUGAAAUUAACUGUUUUAAACACUUUUGAGUUGUAGUUAAUACUUUUUAACUCAAUUGGUACAUUAAGAAACCUAGCAAGGGUUACUAAUCAGUUUUUAACUAAUUUUGGUGCUUUUGGUAGCUUUUUUAUCAUUGAAACAAGCAAAGAAUGAGGGAGAAUUUUGUGCAAUCCAUGGAAUUGCAAGUUGAAGCUCAAAUACAUGAAGAAUUCGAGUUUUGGAGCACUUCAUAGCCCUUUGCCAAGCUUGGCAAUAGGUUUCCAAACCAAUCAGAAAUGCAAGGAAGAAAUCCAGAGGAAGAAAUCCAGCAUGUAGCAAUUUCUCAUGUCUAUGCGAAAUCAAGAGGAGGAGGAGCUGCAAGACUGAGUGAAGGAUAAUUUCGCACACUAUGCGAAAUUUCGCAUGGUCUGCGAAAUCUUCCUGUGCACCGACUCCGUUAGAUUUUUAUCUCCAAAUUUUUGUGUAAAUUACUAUUUUCUCCUUGUAAUAAACCAAUGAUAGGAUUUAUUGGUUAGGAACUAUAAAGGGGGGUUGGAAAGACCUCUCUAUAGAAUAUUUUUUUGUAUAAUCUUUUGGAUACAAACGACACGGGUAAUUCCCAUAGGAAGAAAUAUAAAGAGCCCUUGUUCUGCCUUUCCUUCUCAUUUUGUUUUCAUUUUUCUUUCUAGCCAAACAACCUCUGAGGAUGAUUUCUCAGGGGAUGAGUGGCUAAGAUUUACGUUUCUCGGAGUAAUGAAAACUAGGUAAAGGACCCGGAUGCAAAGGUAGGAGUUUUCCUUGCUUUAAAUGAAGGUAGUUGUUAACCAUUAAUGGUUUUUAUUUCAAGGUUUAGCUUUAAAUCCCUUAGAAUCACCUUAUAUGGCCAAUACUUGGUAAGCUUUUCGGAUUCUAUGGAUGCUUAUUGCUAGAUCCAUGGAUGUCCAUUAGUUAUCAAGUACGAGCCAUUGGAAGGUGGUUCAAAUAAAAUUUAAACUAAUUCAUAAGACCUUUGACCAUAGUGUAAUUGUCUUCUUAAAAUAAUAGUAGUAUUAUAAUUUUAAUAAAAUAAAUGGUUAACAACCCACAGCCAUGUUAGGUUGGCUGAAGAAGGUGUUUCUCUUUUUAGUCACUUGUUUAUGCUAUGGUGUUCAUGCCUCUUGCUCGUCAUAAUUUUAAUUUGAUGUAUUAAGUGUUAGGAAAGAAUCCGCAAUGGAUCAUACUAUCACAUCAAAGGAUAUCAAAUCCCUUAAUUCAAGCUUCUCCAAAUAUAUCUACAUAAAUUAUGAUUAUCAUGUAUAUAAGGAUAUAUACAUAAAUUGGAAUCUAUAUCUUAUGAUGCAUAUUUUUAUUCCAUCAAUUUCAUUGAAUCUUGUUAAACUCGGAAAUAUAACUGUUUGGAAGGAGGUAUGAAGUUUUCUAGGAAUUUACAUCAUCUUUUUAUGAAGUUGACUAAUUUAAAAGAACUUUAAACAAGGAAAAGUUUUUCGUGUGUCCAACGAUACAAUUUUACCCAAGUGGAGUUUUUAUGGAUGUCAAUUUUCUAGGGAAAUUGAUUAAUCAUGAAAAUUGACCUGCCAUGGUGAAAAUUAAUCCUUAGAUUUAAUGGAAAGUUACUAGUAUGUAUCCCGCAACUAGGAAUCUAGUCUAGUCCAAUCAAUAGAGUACUUAUGUUUGGUUAAGAAAAAAAUAAGGAAAAAAAUACUAAAGAAAGAAAAAGAAAAAAAUAUUAAAAUAUUUUUCUUUCUAUUUUCUUUUAAAAGGGUAGAGAAAGUACAUUCAUUGGAAAUUUAGUUUUUUUUUCCUUUGAAUUACAAUCAAAUAACAAAAUAAUUUUAUAUUCUUUUUUUUUCUAGUACCAAAAUAUAAGAAAAUCACCCUUUUAGAUUUUUUUUUUCCUAUAAAGUUCCAAGGAAUAAUAAAAAAAAUUUCAAUGUUCUCAUUGUAAAUCUAUGUUUAGUGUAAAAUUUUGUUUAUAAAUGAGGAUUCGUCAUCAAUUUAAUUGGAAGAUGAAAACAAAAUUAUAUGAGAAAUUGUUACACAAAUCAUGAGAUUGAACAAUUAAAUUGGGAAGUUCAUGUACAAUUACCUCAAUCCUUAGGUCUUGCAAGUCAAUAAGAAGGCUUCAUAAUAUUUGGAAUUUAAAUAAAUUUAUUCUCAUAAGAUAGUUAAAAAAUCAACAAAUUUUCUUGAUGAACACAUUCAAGUUAUUAGAAUAUUGUUGUACGUCCAUGCGUAGGUUACAAUAAAAACAUUUAAUAAUUUCAAAUUAAUGUCAAAUCACUUUGCAUAUUUCAUUAGUUUUAUAAAAUUAAAUAUAUGGCUUGUUAUACACCAUUUCAGACAACAUAGUCAUGAAAUCUCUGCUUUUCCUUUUUGAUUUGUUAUAAAGCUAGUUUGUUUCCUCAAGAAAAAUAUAUUUGAUCAAAUUUCAAAAAGAAAUAAAAAAUAAAAAAUAAAAGAUUGUGGAUCCGCAUUUUUUUGCAUGUGUUCUCAUUUGAUGGUAAUACUUACUUUUUAUUUGAAAAUUUGAUUUUUUUUUUUUUAAAUGGUUUUAGAAUUGCCAUUUAUUUUUAUUUAUUUUUAAAGGAAAAAUAAAAUAAAAAAGAAAAAUCUUAAGUAUGACUCAUGAUAAAAAAAAAAAUGUGGGUCUGUGAAAAUCGAAUUUGGGUCUGAGGUUAGAUUAUCUAUCAGGAAGUUACGGUAAUAAGUUGUAGCACCCCUUCUAAGCCCUAACAAUAAGUCUCUACUAAUCAAGUUGGGCAAGCAUGACAAUUGACUAAUCAAUUGAUGGAUAUCGAGGAAUGAAAGUCAUAGAAUGCAAGCAAAUCAAGCACAAGAAUGAAUAAAUAAGCAAGAUGGAGAUGGGAGCAUACUUGAGCGACGAACGAGCGUUCAUAUGGAAACAGGGUUAGUGUACAAGUAUAGAGUAAUCAUGUGUAUAUCACAAAGCAUAUCAAAGUCAAUCAAUAUUCAAUCACAGAUGUUGGGCCGCCCCGCUAAAACCCAAUUUAUCUGCAUGAAUUAAUUCUCUAAAAUUCCAUUAUUUUUGGAAUUAUAUAUAGAAUCUAUUCAUGCUUAUUAAAAAUCAAGAAAAUUGAAAAAUUAUUAAACAUCAAGGAAAUUUGUGAAAGAUGUUUGGCAGGGAGAAAAAUUGCAGCAAAUUUAUUAAAAUUGGGAUUUUAUUGCUUAAAAGAGUCUAAAGAUGAAUUUUUUAAACCUAGGUUUAUUUUAGUUGAAAACAGUUUUUAAAUUUCAAUUUAAAAACCUGUAAAUUCUCACCAAGAUAGGAGAAGCAUACCUAGAGGAAGGAAGGUGGUCAUGCAGUAGGAAAAAGAAGCACAAGUGGGAAUGGGAGUAGAAUGGUGCUGGUAAUGUUGAGGUUAAGAAGUGGACCCAGUGCAGCUUCAGAGAGAACAGGGACUCUUCCUUUUCCGUAUCUUCUUUGUCUUCCGCUGCGUUUUUGACUUCCACACCUUCAUACCCAAGCAACCCAUUGACAGAUUCUGUUCAAGGCAUUGCCGAACACCUUCCAAAAUUUGAGGUGCCCGCAAGUUCUGGUACCUCUGAGUCGCAUUCUCACUAGUAGCCACCAUGAGUCACUGGCACAGAAGUUUGAACUCUUUGGGUGGUGAUGUUGGGCACCAGAUUACUAACAGUGAGUUCCGUACUUCUAAAAUUAGUUUCCUUCUUCUGGUGCGUGCCAGUCACUGAGGUCACCUGCAACUGAUCCAGAUUUUAUUGAAAGUCCCACAUUGACUGCUUCUGCUUCGUCAACUUCAUGUUGAUGAUCUGCCGGAUUGCUUUCCUUUUGGUCUUAUAUUGCCAGAUUAAAUCCUGCACAAAGCUUAACCACGAGUCUUCCCACUCUCAAAUGUAAGCUCCAGAUCAUUCAGUAAGAAAGCGAGAUGUUCUUGAGAAUUAUGCUGAGCAAGUUUUCCCUUAAACACACGUGGUGCAUCUGGUGUCCAGUCAGAGGACCAUAAUUUCUUCAACAACUCAACAAAAGCAAGUGCAAGCUCACCAUUCACUCCCAAUGGAUUUUGUUUGUUGAUCUCUUCAGCAUAGUCUUGCAAGAAAUGCCCAACUACAGGAUCCCAUAUCUCAUCACUUGAAGCAAUAUUCUGACAGCAUGUAUCAAGGAUCACAUCUUCAUACCAACUGAAUUCAACAGAUUUCACAUUGGAAGCCCACAUUGUCUUCACCUCGUCAUAGAACUUGCUGAACGAGAGGUAGGAAGAACAAUAUUGCUCCAAUACACAGCUUGCGUGCUCCUUAAAUUCCCUAGGCUUGCAGAAGACGCUUGGGGAAUGCUGUUGAUAGCUUCACCUACCCAAUUUGCAUCCACAUCGUGUACAAGGACCACGACUGCUUAAGAUGAUAACACUGGUCUUAAAAGAUGAACCACGGACUUCCUGAACCUGGCUGCCCCACAGGCAACUUCAAUCCUUUAGCUUUCCUGCCCCGAUCCCGAACACCAAUCCUCCUAUACUGUUUGCACAAGCCUUAAGAGAUUCCGCCAUUUUUCCAUUUCAGAAACUUCUUGCUUUGCCACUUCAUUGGAAUUGUGACUUCUUUAAGCCCAUUCAGGACAUACAUUUAGCUGUUAGCAUUGGCCCGAUACCGGUAGUGGAAUUCUCAUACUCUUCCUCUUGUAACCGCUGCCACUCUCCUGUACUCGCUUAAUCUUGAGGAUGCAUAAACACAUCUAGGAACCCUUUGGAAAGAUGACUUCCUCAAGAGCAACUAAGCCUCCCUGAACAAUGAAGUGAAACUCAUGGUGACGAGUUCCAAGAUAACUGGCAAUCAAAAUGAGAACAAAUUGACUCACUGGCUCUUUGCUAUUUAAGUCAAUCAGAUCUUUCUAAGUUCUCAUUUUUAUUCAUUUCCUUGCUCUUCUUUUUGCGAUCAAACUCUCUAGCCUUCUGUUCAUUUCUAGCUCGGAAGUCCCAAGAUCCAUGAGAUUCUUCUGAUCAUCCUCUGUCCACUCAACAACCUUAUACCCAUAUUCAUCCCCUUCAUCUUCAUCUUCAUCUUCUGCUUCUUCUGCACUUUCCGCUUCCAACUUACUGCCACGACCAUCGAUAAACUUGUGACAGCGAUCAUCAAAAACCAUCACCCAAUUCAGAAACUAGUCUCUCAUCAAACCUCUGGACUUCUUCUGCAUCAUGCCCACUGAGAGAGAAACUGUCUUCUCCUUCCAGAUUAGAGCACUUUUCUACUUCUCAACACUCUUGAUGUCACUAACAACAACAAUUUAACGCAUGUUCGGAACAGCAAAACACCCAAAUAGAGGAUAUUUGGAGAAAGUCUUCACUGCCGUGGGUUUGAUGAGAAUCAUCUUAACAAAAUCAGAAUCACCAUCUUCCAAAAACUCGGGCUCCUUCUCAAGUUCCUGGCCAGAACACCUGUCAACCGGAACAUCCAAGUAUGGGACUUCUUUUCCCAAAGCCGAACUGAUUGUACUUCUGACAGAAAGUAUGACCAACUGUAUCAAGAAACAAACUACCAACUCCUCCAUGAAAAGAAACCAAGUCCACAGUCCACGGGAACAACAAUCCUCCUCGGGCUUAGAGAAAAUCUGUGGCUCUUCCUCAACUCAAAAUUCUAGGAAUCAAUUGCAGAAGAACAAGUGACUCCACAAUCAAGACCCCAGACCAGACCGUAUCGGCCAUGCAUGGCCAUGCAGAAGUGUACACGUGGAGGUAAUAAGGUGCUUAUAGGCAUUGAUGUUGAAGCUGUCCCAACCUCCAAUGACUUCCAUGGUUUAAUUUUUCAAUUCUUCCCAUCGUGAAUAGCAAGGAUUUUAGUGUCACUAAAAUGAACCACUUGUCGGAUUUUGGGUAUGGAAACAAAUGACUAGCCCAAAAGACCCAAACAAAAAAUAGAAGUAAUACAAAGAAAAACUUAUCGACUGAGGCAUGAUAAACACUGUUCUUGAAACAGAUCCACCAUCUUCGAAGACAAACUCAAUGCACUAGGGUACCAGUGGUCUACCUCUAGGAUUCAAUAGUCAAAUUCUGCAAGCGAGAUGUAUAUAGUUCGAGUUUUGAAAAAAUUCCUCCAGAUAGAUGUAUAAAAAGGCUCCUUGAAAAACUCUAAAAAUAUUGAUAUUCGUAUAUAGAGAGUGAGGGGUGGCCUGCUUUUAUAGGGCACUAACACAGUCCCAAUGGGACUCUACUUGUAAUGAGAACAUGACUCAAAAUGGAAGGAGAAUCUACUUAUAAGUGGAAUGGGACUCCACUAGCACAAUCCCAAUAGGACUCUUCCCAAAAAUGUAAGACUAAUAGAAUAAAAUAAAAUAAAAAUAAAAAUUAUGUACACUUUUCCUACAAUCCCCCAUAGAGUGUAAACGUAUUUAUUUAUUUAUUUAUUUAUUUAUUAUUAUUAUUAUUAUUUGAAGAAAAAAUAAUCCAAUGCAUCAGUACCGGUGCCCAAAGGCUAUGAACCAGUCUUAGGACAAAUAAGUAUUGAAUCACAAUACAUGGUGAAAAUAAACUUCUAUGAACUAGUGUUUCUUGAUGUAACUCAAGGGGCUUUUAUCCACAUUGGUUUUCUAAACUACACUACGAGUUAUACAAAACGGGUUGGCACAAAUAGACCAUGCGCCCUGCCUAGAUAUUCAUGAGAGCUCUAGAGAAUCUGCCUAGGUUCUCAUAGGAAGCAACCCCACCUCCACUCUCAUAUAGGUGAAUCCAUCAAGUAUGUUCCACAUUUAAACAUACCAUCCAUAAGAAAUAUGCUAUUCAUUAAGAGUAAACACUCAACCUUAAUCAAUACAGAAUACGCUCUAUCUACACCAUAGGGAUAGACUCUCAUACAAUUAGAGUUGAUAGAGCACCUCAAGUCAACAAGUGAUUUGUUAUUACCCAUAUGAACCUACUUCAUGGAAUUUCCAUUCUAAUAGGUUGGGUUACAACCACACUUGACUUCUGUAAUAAGCAUAAGCCCCAUCCCCCUUGAUGUUUCUUCUACUAGUUUUUUUUUUUUUUUUUUAAUUUAGUGGUUUGGUCAAAGGAUCAACUAAAUUCAACUCUGACCUCACAAAUUCUAGGAACAUAACCCCUGUUUCAAGCAAUUACUGCACAAUAUUGUGCCUUAGGAGUAUAUGCCUGUUCUUCCCAUUAAAUAUUUUACUCUUAGCCUUAGCAAUUGCAGCUUGGCUAUCACAAUGCAUAGACACAUACGGAGUUGGUCUCAUCCAUAAAGGGAUAUCUGCUAAGAGGUUUCUAAGUCACUCGGCCUUAAAACUUGCCUUUUCUAAGGCAAUAAACUCAGCCUCCAUAGUAGACCGAGUAAUGCAAUUUUGCUUGGCAGACUUCCAAGAAACUGCACUUCCACCAAGGAUGAAAACAUAUCCACUAGUAGAUUUCAUCUCAUCUGAAUCCAAAAUCCAAUGUGCAUCACUAAAUCCUUCAAGGACACUUGGAAAUCCACUAUAGCACAAACCAUAGUUAAUGGUGCCUCUUAAAUACUUAAGGACUCUAUGACCAGCAGUCCAAUAGUCCUGAUUAGGACUUUGGGUGUAUCGACUCAAUCUACCUACUGCAUAAGCAAUGUUAGGUUUGGUAUAGUUCAUUAAGUACAUUAGGCUCCCUAUGAUAUGAGCAAACUCUAUUUGGGUAACACUAUGUUCUCUUAUUUUCUUUAGUUGUGAGUUGGGAUCACAAGGAGUUGACACUGGUUUACAAUCAAAAUGUUCAAACUUCCUUAUAUUCUUUUCAACAUAGUGCUCUUGAGAAAGUUUAAGCUCAUUAGGUGUUCUAGUUAUUUUAAUUCCUAAAAUCACCUCUGCCUCUCUUAGGUCAUUCAUAUCAAACUUAGAAACUAAGAAUUUCUUGGUCUCACACACAACCUCUAGGCUAGUUCCAAAUAUCAACAUGUCAUCAACAUAAAGGCAGAUGACUACACAUGUGUUAUCCUCAUACUUGUUGUAGAUACACUUAUCAACAUUAUUAAUGGAAUAUCCAUUAGUUACUAACACAUGAUCAAACUUGUUGUGCCACUGUUUCAGAGCUUGUUUUAACCCAUAUAGUGAUUUAACCAACUUACACACCUUUUUCUUCUUCCUUGGAACUUUAAAACCCUUAGGUUGUUCCAUAUCAAUUUCCUCUUCCAAAUCCCCAUUCAAGAAUGCAGUCUUGACAUCCAUUUGGUAUAUCACCAAAUUAUGAAUGGAAGUUAGAGCAAUCACUAGUCUAAUUGAUGCUAUUCUAGUUAUAGGGGCAAAGGUGUCAUAGUAAUCUACACCAUUCCUUUGUUUAAAGCCUUUGGCAACUAAACGAGCUUUACACUUAUCUAUGGACCCAUCUUGUUUUAACUUUCUUUUAAAGAUCCACUUACACCCAAUAGUUUUUGCACCAGGAGGUAAAUCUACUAACUCCCAUGUAUAGUUAUACAUGAUUGAUUCGAUUUCACUAUUAAUGGCCUCCUUCCAGAAUGGUGUAUCAGGAGAAGUUAUAUCAUCUUUGUAGGAUCUAGGGUCCUCGUGUAUUAGGAAGGUGUAGAAACCAUCUCCAAGGUUUGUUUGUUUCCUAUCUCUUUUACUCCUUCUAGGUUCAAAUUCAGAAGGUUCAAUAGACUUGUCUCUACUUGUUUUCUGAACUUGUUGUUCACCAUUUAGUUUCAUAGGAAAGAUGUUUUCAAGGAAAUCUUCAUUCUUUGUUUCUAUUAUAGUAUUGACAUCUACAAGACUUUUUUCUGACUUAGUAAUAAAAAACCUAUAUGCCACACUAUUCAAAACAUAGCCAAUGAACAUUGCAUCAAAGGUUUUAGGAUAUAGUUUUCGUUUUUUAGGUUGAGGGAGAAGAACUUUAGCUAAACACCCUCACACUUUCAGGUAUGCUAUAUUAGGUGCAUAACGCUUCCACAACUCAUAAGGAGUUUUACCAGUUUUCUUAUAAGGUAUUCUAUUUUAAAUAUGACAUACGGAUAGGAUAGAUUUCCCCCCACAAGUUCAAGGGUGCUCUUGAACUUACCAACAUUGCAUUCAUCGUUUCUUUUAAGGUCUUAUUUUUCCUUUCUAUUACUCCAUUAGACUUAGGGGAAUAAAGAAGAGUAGUUUCGUGAAUGAUCCUAUGAUCUUCAAAAAAAGAAUUAAAGGGGUUGGACUCAUACUCUCCUCCCCUAUCAGUUCUAAGUCUUUUAAUUUUCUUACUUAGUUGAUUUUCCACUUCAUUUUUGUACUUGGUGAAAACAUCUCUUGCUUCCUCUUUGUUUCUCAAAAGAUAUACCCUUUUAUACCUUGAGUAGUUAUCUAUGAAAGUUAUGUAGAAUCAUUUACCACCUUUAGUGAUUGUAUUUUUUAGGUCUUCUAAGUCACUGUGUAUUAAACUUAGUAUAUCUGAUUCUUUUUCAACUGAUUUGCAAGAUUUCUUUGUGGUUUUAGAUUCUACACAAGAUUCACAUUUUCUAUGGUUUUCUAAGGACAAUUUAGGGAUUAAACUCAAUUCAACCAUUUUCUUCAUAUAUGAAAAGUUCAAAUGUCCUAGUCUACCAUGCCAAAUAUCACAAGAAUCAACUAUGUAAGUAGAAGAAGAAGAAGAUGCAUUAUUAUUGAUAAUAUAAAAAACAUUCAACAUAAAUAAACCCUGAUUACAAUAGCCCUUCCCCAUAAAUGCAUCAUUCUUAGUUAAAACUAUUUUAUCAGAGUCAAACAAGAUCCUUACUCCUUUUUUUUUUUUUUUUAAUAAUUGGGCUCUAGACCUUGUUUGAUGCAUUGGGCUUGGUCCUAAAGUUUUGGUUUCUGGACCUAUUGUUUUUAGGUUUGGGUUUUUCUUCUACUACAUUAGCCUUAGAAGACAAUUCCUUAGCUUUCUCAACAUUGUCCCUGUUUUGGUUUUGUUCCUCAAUCCUAAUAUGGAUUAUGACAUCCUCUAGGGACAUUUGUUACCUUUUAUGUUUCAAGUUAUUUUUAUAGUCUUUCCAAAACUCUUGAAGAGUCUCUACUAAAUAACCAGCCACAAAAGGUUCGGGUAAUUUAAUUUCUUCAAUAGCUAAGUCAUUAAUCAACAAGUGGUAGUCAUGGAUUUGAGAUGAUACAUCUUUAUCCUCGGUCAUUUGGAAAUUUCUAAAAUUCCCUAUGGCAUAUUUCUAAGUUCUUGCAUCUUCCAAAAUAUAUUUUUUAUUCAUUCCAUCCCAAAUUUCUUUUGCAACUUUAAAUUGACAAUAAAUAUAAAAAAGUUCAUUAGAAAGGGUACUUAGAAUAGCAUGCCUAACUUGUUUAUUUCUAGUUUCCCAGGUUGGCAACAAAUGAGAACCAUCUUCUGGUUUUGGGUCAAUCAAAAUGUGUCCCAAGUUCACUACAUCAAUUGCAGAGAAAACCCUUUCCUGCCAUCUAUUAAAGAAUGUCCUGUUAAAGGGAUCAAUUUUAGAGGUGUCAAGACGGGUGUGAACUAGGGAAGCUUCCAUUUGGAUAUAUUUCAAGAUUGUUGGAAUUUUGGGUAUGGAAACAAAUGACUAGCCCAAAAGACACAAACAAAUAACAUAAUUAAUAAGAAAAAAAACUUAUCGGCUGAGGCGUGACAAACACUAUCCUUGAAAUAGAUCUACCCUCCUCGAAAACAAACCCGGUGCACUAGGGUACAAGUGGUCUACCUCCAAGAUUCAACAACUAGAUCUUGCCUUGGGUGUACUCUAUAAGCAAGAUGUGUACAACUCAUGUUUUGAAAAAAUUUCUCCAGAUAGAUGUAUGAAAAGACUCUCUGAAAAACUCUCUGAAAAAUUCUUUGAAAAUAUUGGUAUUCGCAUAUAGAGAGUGAUGAUGGGUGACCUGCUUUUAUAGGCCACUAACACAGUCCCAAUGGAACUCUACUUGUAAUCAAAAUAUGGCUCAAUAUGGAAGGAGAAUCUACUUAUAAGUGGAAUGGGACUCCACUAGCACAAUCCCAAUAGGACUCUUCCCAAAAAUAUAUGACUAAUAGAAUAAAAUAAAAUAAAGUAAAAAUAAAAAUUAUUUACACUCUUCCUACAUCAUCCACAUCAGUCUUAAUGGAAGCUGAACAAAAUUCCAUAUUUGAUUUUGAUAAUGAGAAUUUAGAUUCUUCAAGGUUUUCAGAGUUGUAACUCUCUUCACCAGAAGCUUAUCGGUCAUAAAUAUCAAGCUUUUUCGGAAUUGAAGAAGACUUUUGGCUAAUGGGGCCAUAUCCCAAUUCUCUGUACUAGGCAUGGUCGCAACUGAUGCAUGAGAAAUCAGCACCAACAAAAUGGUGUAUAUUGCCUGAAUCCAUGCAAUUUAGAUGCUAACCACAUAAAUUUGUGGGACCUUAGGAUGCAUCCAGUCAUCACCUGAAAUCUUCAUUUUGCCCUACAUGAACAACUACCCUACACUAGCAGUACACGAGGAGUUAACAGAGCCAGUUGAGAUCACUGCAUGAUGUUCUAUCUCUGAAAUACCUCCACACGACAAGGAAGCCACUUUUCGUUCUACUUCUACUUGCCUGAAUUUUCCUUUAGAACUUCUGAUCUUUCUCAAGAGCGUUGUGGUAUAAAUCAGAAUUAGCAUUUUCCUUUCCUAAGGAACGUUGAUUUUCUACGAGCCGUGCCAGUAAGUCUUGUUAUAUUUAUAUAAAUAUAUAUAUAUAUAUAUAUAUAUAUAUAUAUAUAUAUAUAUAUAUAUAUUGUUGGUUAAAAAUAAAGUAUAAGAAGAGUUACACUUUUGAAAAAUAACUUUUGAAAAUAAAGUGUAAGAAGGGUUACACUUUUAAUGUGUGAAUAAACACAUGAUUAAGUUUUGAAAUGUUACAAAACUUGAAAGGUUAAGGAAGACAAUGAGUCUUCUCAUCUUUGUAACUUUAUAAAACUUAAGAGGUUAAGUGUAAGAGAGUUACACAUUUGAGAUUAAAUCAUGUUUAAUGUGUGAAUUAAACAUAUGAUUUAAUUUUUGAAUGUUACAAAGAUGAAGAGAUUAAGGAAGACAAUGGGUUUUUCUCAUCCUUGUAACCAUUUUUCAACCCUAAGAGUGCUAUAUAUGACUUUUCUUCUUUUUGAAAUCAUAUGCAAAAAAGUGAAAAGGCUUGAUCAAUCCCAAGACUAUUUCCAUUAGUUCCCUAAAGAUUUCUAGAGGUGGAAGGAAAUAGAGUUUUUGGACAAAGUUCCAAGAACUUGUUUGAGUCUUUCUUGUGUUCUUCUUCUUCUUGUUCUUAUUUUGUAACUUUGAGAGUUUUAUUGUAUCAAGGUGAGUGUUUGAGAGUGUUUAUUUUCUCCAUUGUAUCCAAAUUUUUUCUUAUCAAUCAAAGACUCUAAUUUUCAAUGGAAUGAGAGACUAUCAAGAUUAUGAACCAAGACCUUGUGAGGUUGGAUCGUUUUGAUGGUUCCAACUUCACUAGGUGGCAAGACAAGGUGAGAUUCCUUCUCACAGCACUCAAGAUUUUCUACAUCCUUGAUCCUACCUUGGCACCGUUACCGAAACCAAAGGAAAAUGACACACCUCAAGUGGUGGCAGCAAAGAAGAAGAGAGAGGAGGAUGAGCUCAUAUGUAGGGGUCACAUUUUGAACGCCUUAUCCGAUAGGCUAUAUGAUCUCUACACCAACACCUAUUCCGCGAGGGAGAUUUGGGAGGCUCUUGAAAACAAGUACAAAGCCGAGGAAGAAGGUACCAAAAAGUUUCUUAUUUCUCAAUACAUAGAUUUCAAAUUUUUUGAUGAAAAGCCUCUCUUACCACAAAUUCAUGAGUUGUAAGUAAUUGUGAAUAAGUUGAAAGUUCUCAAAAUUGAACUUCCGAAGGCCUUCCAAGUUGGUGCUAUUGUGGCUAAAUUACCAUCAAGUUGGAAAGGUUACCGGAAGAGGAUUCUCCACAAGAGUGAAGAUUACUCCUUGGAAGAGAUUCAAAAACAUCUUCGCAUUAAGGAAGAAUCGAGAUCAAGAGACAAAAUGGUGGAAGAGUCCAAUGGUGGGACUAACAAAGCCAAUGCGGUUUCAAAGGCCAAUCAUCUUAGAGGUAAAAAUAACAACGACAAAAGGAAUUCCGGAAAUUAUAUGAGCCCCAAGAAAAAUCAAGAGCAAUUUAAGGGCAAGAAAGGUCUUUGUUUUGUGUGUGGAAAACCCGGGCAUUAUGCUAGGGAGUGUAGGUACCGAAAUGACCUAAAAGGGGCUGUGGUGAAUGCAAUUGAUGAGGAGAUAAUUGCAACACUAAGCGAUGUGUGCGUUGUCCAAGGAAAGGUGCAAGGAUGGUGGUAUGAUACUUGUGCCACAGUUCAUGUUACCUAUGACAAAUCUCUUUUCAAGACCUUUGAAGAUGCAAAGGGAGAUCAAGAGGUUCAAAUGGGCAAUUAAGGAAGAUCCAAGGUGCUUGGCAAGGGCACUAUUGAAGUUGUUUUUACCUCCGACAAAAAGGUUACCCUUAUAAAUGUAUUGUAUGUCCCCGAUAUGAAUAAAAAUUUGCUUAGUGGGGAUUUGCUUGGCAAACCGGGUAUCAAAGCGGUGUUUGAAUCCGAUAAGCUAAUUUUAUCCAAAUCGGGGAACUUUGUGGGAAAGGGGUAUUCUUGUGAUGGGAUGAUCAAACUUUGUACCAAUGACAAUAUCAAUAAAAUGGCGUCUACUUCCGCUUAUAUGUGUGAUUCAAAUUCUUUAUUUUUGUGGCAUAAUAGGCUUGCACAUGUUGGUUUAAGCACUAUUAAAAGGAUUGUGAAAUGUGGUUUGAUUGCUUGUGAUACCAAGAAAUUUGAAAAGUGUGAAAUAUGUGUUAAAUCAAAGAUGAUUAAAAAGCCUUUUCAUAGUGUUGAGAGAUCAUCUAAUUUGCUUGAUUUAAUACAUAGUGAUCUUUGUGAACUUAAUGGCAUGUUAACAAGAGGUGGAAAUAGGUAUUUUCUUACAUUCAUAGAUGAUUGUUCUAGAUUUACCUAUAAGUUUUUGUUGAAAAACAAAAGUGAAACUUUCAAUGCCUUUAAAGUUUACAAAGCCGAAGUUGAAAAUCAACUAGAAAAAAAUAUUAAGGUGCUUAGAAGUGAUAGAGGUGGUGAAUAUUUCUCUAGUGAAUUCAAUUCUUUUUGUGAAGAAUAUGGCAGAAUACAUGAGUGCACCACACCCUAUACACCUCAACACAAUGGCAUAGCGGAGAGAAAGAAUAAAACAUUCUUGGAAAUGGUGAAAGCUAUGUUAUUGCAUGCUAAAUUGAAUUUCAAUUUGUGGGGUGAAGCUUUGUUGACUGCUUGCCAUAUUUUGAAUAGAAUUCCUAUGAAGAAAAAUGAGAUAUCUCCAUAUGAGUUAUGGAAAGGAAGGAAGCCUAAUAUAGGUUACUUCAAAGUGUGGGGGUGUCUUGCUUAUUGCAAGAAAAUGGAUCCAAAUAAAACAAAAUUGGGUCUAAGAGCCAUUAAGUGUGCAUUUGUAGGCUAUGCCUCAAAUAGCAAAGCUUAUAGACUAUUAGACUUGGAGUCUAAUGUGAUAAUUGAAUCAAGAGAGGUAGAGUUCUUUGAGAAUUUGUUGAGUGAUAGCAAUUCUCAAGUACCUACUAGUGUUGGAGAGUCUCUAGAGGAAACACCUUCAAAGGUUGUUGAGCAACCCAUUGUGCCUCGGAAAAGCCAAAGAGCUAGAAAAGAGAAAGUGUUGGGAUCGGAUGAGAUUGACUCUCAAAGAAUUUCCUUUUACUUAGUAGAGGAAAUAAAGAAGAUAUUAUAAGAAAAAUUCCUAUAGUACUUCAAAUAGAGGAGGAUCCCAAAACAUACAAAGAAGCUAUGGCUUCUAGAGAUGUUGCUUUUUGGAAAGAGGCUAUCAAUGAUGAAAUGGAUUCAAUUAUGUCCAACCAAACAUGGGAAUUGGUAGACCUUCCACUAGGAUCUAAACCAAUAGGGUGCAAGUGGGUAUUUCGAAGGAAAUAUCACACCGAUGGCAUGAUUCAAACCUUUAAGGCUAGAUUAGUAGCUAAGGGGCUUAAACAAAGAGAAUGUAUUGAUUAUUUUGAUACCUAUGCGCUGGUGGUUAGAACAACAUCGAUUAGGAUAUUGUUUGCUUUGGCAUCAAUUCAUAAUCUAUUUGUUCAUCAAAUGGAUGUCAAAACGGCAUUCUUGAAUGGGGAUCUCAAUGAGGAGGUCUACAUGGAACAACCGGAAGGUUUUGUUCUACUGGGGAAUGAAAACAAAGUGUGUAAGCUUGUCAAAUCAUUAUAUGGUUUAAAACAAGCUCCCAAAUAAUGGCACGAAAAAUUUGAUCAUGCUAUUCUUUCGGAUGGAUUUAGACACAACAAUGUGGACAAGUGCUUAUAUUCUAAGACUUGUGAUGACUAUAUGGUCAUAGUGUGUCUAUAUGUGGAUGACAUGUUAAUCUUGAGUGAUGACAUGAAAGGAAUAAUAGAAACGAAAAGGUUUCUAUCCUCAACCUUCAAGAUGAAAGAUCUUGGAGAAGUUGAUACUAUAUUGGGUAUCAAAGUGAAAAGAAAUAGUGGGGGUUAUGCUUUGAACCAAACCCACUAUAUUGAGAAAGUAGUUAGCAAAUUUAGUCAUCUCAAGAUUAAAGAUGCUAAUACUCCAUUUGAUUCAAGUAUAAAACUUGAACUACAUGAUGGUAGAUCGGUGGCUCAACUUGAGUAUGCAAGUGCAAUUGGAAGUCUUAUGUAUGCUGCUCAGUGUACCAGGGCUGACAUUUCAUUUGCAGUUAGCAAAAUAAGUAGGUUUAUUAGCAAUCCAAGCGUGGAACAUUGGAAAGCUAUUGGUAGAGUUCUUAGUUACCUAAAGAAUACCAAAGAACUAAGCCUCCAAUAUUCAAAGUUUCCUGCUAUACUUGAAGGGUAUUCAGAUGCAAGCUGGAUAUCGAGUGUGAGAGAUAAUUUAUCUACCACAGGUUGGGUGUUUACACUUGGUGGUGGGGCUGUCUCUUAGGGAUCCAAGAAACAGACUUGUAUAUCACACUCAACCAUGGAGGCAGAGUUUAUAGCUCUAGCUGCAACUGGAAAAGAAGCUGAGUGGCUUAGGGAUCUCAUGAUGGACAUCCCUUUUACUGCAAAUAAUGUGUCAACAGUGUCGAUACAAUAUUGUGACAGUCAAGCCACUCUAGCUCGUGCAUACAGUGGGGUGUACAAUGGGAAGUCUAGACAUAUAAGCAUUAGACAUGAGUAUGUGAGACAAUUGAUUCAAUAUGGAAUCAUCUCAAUCUUAUUUGUGAGGUCAAGUGGAAACUUGGCGGAUCCUUUUACUAAACCUCUUACAAUAGAUUUAGUAAGGAUAACAUCUAGAGGGAUGGGACUAAAACUCCUUAAAUAAAAUUCACCAAUGAUGGUAACCCAACUUAAUACUACGAAAUGACUAGUCUUAAGUUCAAUAGGUAAAAACAAGUCAUUGAUAAGUGGGUUGUGGCAGCAUUAGAACAUGUGAGUUCCAUCUGUGAUGAUUAAUGCUGGUUGUUACCGUUGGAGGGUUAAGCUUAAAGCUUUUAAUGAAAUUCAGUCUAUGUGUGACAAACAUCUUAAAGGUAACAAGGAUGCUGGAAGAAUUUCACCUAUGUGAACUUAGGGGUGGUGCCGCCUCUCAUGAGAGUUGGAGUUUUCUUUCAAGAAAGUUCAUGAAUGGAUUGAGCACAUGGCCAUAAAAGUGCUAAGCAAGAAAAUAAUGGGCACUCGUAUGGUUAGUGGAAGUGUGUGUUGUUACCGGUUUCGUUACAAGGAAUAAUUGGUUCAAUGCUACAAGCAACCUGGGAUUUUAACGGAGCUUUGUGACAAUUACACUAAGGUAAAAUUCAAAUCGAAAGAUAUUUUAUUUUAUGCAUUUUCACUGUUGAGGUUAUAAGGGUUGAUGUUUAAUUUUAACCAAGUGGGGGAUUGUUAUAUUUAUAUAAAUAUAUAUAUAUAUAUAUAUAUAUUGUUGGUUAAAAAUAAAGUGUAAGAAGAGUUACACUUUUGAAAAUAAAGUGUAAGAAGGGUUACACUUUUAAUGUGUGAAUAAACACAUGAUUAAGUUUUGAAAUGUUACAAAACUUGAAAGGUUAAGGAAGACAAUGAGUCUUCUCAUCCUUGUAACUUUAUAAAACUUAAGAGGUUAAGUGUAAGAGAGUUACACAUUUGAGAUUAAAUCAUGAUUAAUGUGUGAAUUAAACAUAUGAUUUAAUUUUUGAAUGUUACAAAGAUGAAGAGAUUGAGGAAGACAAUGGAUUUUUCUCAUCCUUGUAACCAUUUUUCAACCCUAAGAGUGCUAUAUAUGACUUUUCUUCUUUUUGAAAUCUUAUGCAGAAAAGUAAAAAGGUUUGAUCAAUCCCAAGACUAUUUCCAUUAGUUUCCUAAAGAUUUCUAGAGGUGGGAGGAAAUAGAGUCUUUGGACAAAGUUCCAAGAACUUGUUUGAGUCUUUCUAGUGUUCUUCUUCUUCUUGUUCUUAUUUUGUAACUUUGAGAGUUUUAUUGUAUCAAGGUGAGUGUUUGAGAGUGUUUCUUUUCUCCAUUGUAUCCAAAUUUUUUCUUAUCAAGUCUUGGCAAGUCAAGUUUGUUCUUCAUAUCAUGCUGAACCAAGAAAGCCUCAAGCUCCAAAUCUGAUUUAUCAUAACCAGAAAUCCCAUUAUAGUCCUUGGCGAUCUUACACUUCAAUUGUUCAUAAACGUCAGGCUUGAAGUAGGAACUGAAGAACCAGGCACCCCGGAUGCUAUCGAGCCACUUGGAGCAUCAAAAAUUCGGAAAGCCACCCCUGUCUCAUUAAGCUGCCUAUGAAGAUUAAGGGAAAUUUCUCCUCUUGAUCCGCAUAUCUAAAGAAUAAACCUGGAGGAGCAUUCAGAGCUUUCUUUUUAUCAAUCUUUUCACUAUUCCAGAGGUUUAAGACACCAUUUUCUAUAGAGCUUCCAAAGAUAGAAGCCUUGUCCACUUUCUUGAAUUUGAUUCCAAUCGAAAUGAGCAUUUUGGUCAAGUUCCCUUUCAGUAGUAGUCAUUUCAAUCUUCGAACUUCACAGCAAGAGGGCAAUCUGCCUCCUUGUAACACAACAUGUCGGUUGUCACAUCAAAUAAAAUGGUAGGACCAAUAAAGUUGCCUUAUUCACAUCUAGGAACCUCAAUAUUUCUUCCAUCAAGCACGUGUCUGGCACCACUCUCCAACUCAGCUUUCUGCGUUGCCUACUCCUGUAAGAAUUCCCACUCCAGACUCUGCAAGCAAAGCUUGAUGUUGUCAAACCACCAAGAAUAAGACCACCAUCAUGCAAUUUCCCCUUUCACUGACGAACCUUCCUCAUGUUCAAACAUCAGAGUCUGCAGCUAAGGAUCCACAUAAUAUAGUACUGGAGUUGCAACUCUCAGUAACACCCCAACCAAGAUGGCCAACCUAGCUGGGGUACUCAACACCCCAAACUUACCAGAAACAGAGGAAUAGAAAGCAGAGAUAGGGGCAGAGUAAAGACUGAGGAAAUGACAAAAAGGAAAUCAAGCAUAUGAUGAAUGUACUAAGCCUCAUUUCAUAUGACAUCCAUGGGCUAAGGACAGGUGGAAUUAUCAGAAAACAAUGGCAUGAUUUUCAGGUAAGCCCAUAUACAAGAUAUCCUCAAUCAUGACUAAGGAAACCCAUAUAGAGCUAAACCAAAGCAAACAUGCAGGCAAUCUCAAAUUUCUACAAAAAUAAUCAUAUGGCCCUUAAUGUCCAUACACAAACAACAAAUAAGGCCCAGAAAUCAUUAGAGAAUAGAGCAAAGAAACAAUGAGAAAAUGAAGAAAAUGGGACUCGAACUGAUCUUUACCAGAUAACCUCCCCCUCAAGCAAAAAUUUGCUUGGCUUCAAGCUGGCUCUCCUCUCCAAAAGGCUCCCUAAACAGCUUCCUCUCUUCUGCAGCUCUCUCACUCAGUUUUUUUUUUUUUUUUAUAUCUCCCGCUCAGCCAAAACCAUCCUUUGUUCUACUCCUAUUUCUUCUCUAGCACAAACCCACCAAAAAUCGAUUUCUCACUUCUCUCCCAUCUCAACAACCAAAACCCACCAGGAAAAUCAGAAUGCCCCUCCCCUCAGGUCACCAGCAGCUGCCAUCUUCUGCUGCAGCCUCUCUAAAAUGUCUAUCCUCUCCAAAAACUCCUGAGAAUCCCCUCUGCUUCCUCUCUUUCUUUUCUUUGUUCUCUUCUUGCUCUCCGGUUCCUCUCUUACUCUUAACUUUCUCCCUAAAUUCUUCUCUAACGAACCCAAGAAUCUCCCCCCCUCUGUCUUUCUCUGUGUUCUAAAACGUCCUCCACCUAGAAGGAUCCCCCAUACUCUCUACCUUACUACACUAUCAAUCAACCUCUUAGCAACUUUUCCCUGCUUCCACACUUUCUGUUUCCCCUCUAUAACUUACAUUGCCCUGCAACAAAGAAUGCCUUCCUAUCCUGCAGAAAAACAAAUCUCCACGUGGUCAGAAAGUGCUCCCCAAAAGUCGGGGAAAAAGACCCCCACAAAAGGCCAAAAAAACUGCCCUAGCUGCUAACAACUCUAAAGUCAUAAAAAUGUAAUUAAAAAAAUAAAUAAUGAUGCUCAUACCCGAAAUAAUGCUCUAAUGGUUUCUAAAAUAUAGUUCAAAGCCAAGCAAAUAUGGAGCACUAAAGAACAAUAAAAAAAAAAAAAAAAACCUCAGUAAAGAAAGUCCUAAAUACACAUAAGAAAAGAGUGGGGUGACAGAAAAAAUAUGUAUGUGUGCUAGGGACAAAAUAAACGAUUUACAAAAUAACCUGUGUCGAAUACAAACCCGAUUUAAUAUUUUUAUAAUAUUUAUAAUGUAUUUAUGUUAUAUUCAUUUUCUUUUUAUAUUUUUAAAAAAAUAUUAAAUUAUAUUAUUUCGUAUACUUUUCAUUUUUUUUGGAAAUAUAUGCAAUUUUUUUUUAUUACUAAAACUUUUUUUUAAAUUUACUAAUUAAAUUUUUAUAUAAAUAUAUAAUAAAAAUUCUUUAAAAACAUUAUAGAUGGAUUUUGAAUUAUGCAAUUGCAUCAACUUGUUUAUAUAUAUGAAUAUAAGGUAACAAACCAAUCAAAUAAAUCCUCUAAACAAUCACAAACCCCAAAGAAAAUCCAACAAAAAUAAAGAAGAAGAAAGAAAGAAACCUAGCUAAGUGUUGGAGACAAAGAAAAAAAAAUCAUAAGUAUAUUUCAAAUUAAAAGAAUUAUUAUUAUUAUUAUUAUUAUUAUUAUUUUGAAGAGAAUCGUAUUAUUUUUUAAUGGGAAGAGUUUUUCAUUUUUUUUAUUAUGAUUUUGAUAUAAAAAGGGAGAGUAAGGUUGAGUUUUUCAUUUUCUAAAAACAAAUUUUCUUUUAUUUUAUUUUAUUUAUUUUUUAAAAAAAUAAGCAUGAUUAAGAAAAAGAAAAUUAUUAAUCAUGGUUCUCAAUAUAAAAAGAAAAGCCAAAAGAAAAAAAAAGUUAAAAUCACAAUAAAAUGAAUAAUUUCUCAAAAAAAUAUUAAAUAUUAUCAAUUAUAUUAAUUAACUCUAUUUUAUAAGCUAGUUAAACUACCUUCAUGUAGUACAAUUUAAAUAAAAAAUGAAUUUACUAUAAAUUAAUAAAAUUAUCAUUCUCAAAAAUUUAAUAUGACUAAAAUAAAUUUUGUUUUUAUCUAUUUUUCUCUUUUUUUCAAGAAAAUUUAGAUCUAAAACUUUCCCAUGAAAUGAUAACUCAAAACCACACCAACAAUAUAAAAGUGAAAUCAAUAUAUAUAAAAUAAAUCCACAAAUUUCAAAAUCAUAAAACCAAAAUUCUAUCAUAUUUAACUCCUAUUUUGAACUUUAAUUUCAAGUUUUUUAAUAAAAUUUUACCUUAACAAAAUCAUGAAAUUUUAUUUAUUUAUUUUGACCUUAAUAAAAAAUUUAUUUUUUGCUCCUUUAUCUUUUCAAUCUUCAACUUUAUUAUAAUACUCAAAUCUAAUUUUAUACAAAAUUAAACUAAAUUUAUUUUUGAGAAUUUUAGAUCACUCUUGUAUCAAAAACUAGUUAAACUACAUUAAUAUCAUACAACUUGAAUAAAAAAACGAGUUUAUCAUAAAUUAACAAAGAUAUAAUAAAAAAAUGAAUAUAACUUAAAUAAAUUUUAUUUUUAUCAAUAUUUUUUUGGCAAAACCAUAACCUUUCGAUAGCCUACUUGUGCUGGACUAAGCCUAACUUUAUGUAGGGGUAAGGAGAUAAUAAGAAAAGCUUGUUGCUCAACCAAAAGGGAGAGAUUGUGCCGACUUAUAUUGUGUACUUCCAUUGUACUGGAUUAUUGGUCUUUGAAACUUCUUAGAAAGUUUAUUUUGGGUGUUUUUUUAGUCCUUUUUUUAGUGUAGGAUUAGUAAAAAAAAAAAUUGCUUUAAUUGAAUCUUUGUUGUGCUCUUAAUUCAUACAAGAGAAUGACAUCUUGUGGGAUGAGAAUUCUUUGAUCCCUAAAUUUUUUAUAUCACAAGCUGCCAACAAACAAAUUGCAUACACCAAUGUUUUAAAAAUGUGACCAGCCAAUCAAAUUAGUUGGCUCUACUCAGUCUGGAUUCGACUUGGUGAUUGGUAAAUUGGUAGAACCAACUGGGUUUGGAACUGGUCUAGAUAUUUUUCCAUUUAGGUUAGACAAAAAUUUUGGAAAAAAUCAAUAAAUAGAAAUGUUGAAAUUUUAAUAAAAGUUAUAAUUUAUAUUUAUGUUCAACUAUGUUUCAUUAUAAUAUAACUGGAAAAUGUAGUUGCAAACUAGAAGAAUAUAGUUGGAGGAAUGGUAUAUGCUCUAGUGGAUGGUGUCUCAAACUCAAUUCCCAUGGAUGGAGGAGUAAGAGUCAGAGACACAACAGAUGGAACUAGCACUAAAAUGGGUUAUGAAUCUUAUUGAGAAAUAACCAACCUCAUGAUAGACGAAGGAACAAAUGUGCUAGGAAGAAUUGGGGUUUUGUCCUUGAUAUUGUUCUCUAUAGGUUGAUGAGUUCUUCAGUCUAAUACAUGUAAUUUUCUCACUUCUGAAACUUCAUUUUUAGUUUUGAUCCAUUUUAGAGAAAAUAUGUGACACAAUCCAAAAUGGGGCUACAUUGUUUCUUAUUUUUGUCUGUUGUUAUCAUUUGUUGCCUUCAUAUGCUAGGAUGAUGUUUUUUAAUGAAAACUUCUAUGACCAAGUUGAAUUUGAUACUUGGUUGGAGCUUAUUUGUUUAAAUAUUCAUGUUUUGGUGGAUACAGGUCAUUGUAAUUGAGAAAAAAAUGCAUAUAAUGUAGAAGAUGGAUAAAAUUAAGUUAAAUACUUACAAAAAGUUAAGAUUAUAGGACUCUUCAAUUUAAUAAAAGUUUUGUUGUACUAAGGAUUACAGGCUAUGCAUUCAAUUUUGGGUAGAAGGAAAAUACCAUCCAAACAAGGCCUACAUAUAAUCCAAAGCAUUCCCAACCCCUAAAAGCUUAGAGAACGGAUUAGAUUAAAUAAGUUAGCUUAAAAGUGAUGCAAAAUAUGGGUAUGUUUUAUAAAAACACAUAUUUUCUUCUUGUUUUUAACCCUUCAAAAAGCUAUGAUUUGCUUAAUUUGAUUGGAAAAAAAAAUAUAGUAAUUUUUUUUCCCCAAUUAUAAAUUUUAGCUGUUUUUUGUCAAAAUUAACUUGAAUUCUAUAGACACCAAAAGAGGGAAAAAGGUCCCAGAUUUAGGUUAAUAAAGAAAUAUAGUUGGGACAAAUAAUUAAAAUAUCUUACAUUGGACAAUCAUCAUAUCCUAAUCAAAUUUUAUAAAAUAGUAGAAACAUAACUAAUAAUUAUAUUUUCAAAGAGAAUCUGAAAAUUUGAAAUUGGAAAUUUCUUCUAUUCAUUUUUAAUAUUUUUUAAGGGCUACUAUAAAUUUUAUCCACAAAGGGAUAAUGUACUCUUGUUUUAGUAGUAGUUAAACAAACUAUAACCUUUGAGAAUCACUAUUUAUCUUAAUAAAGGUCCUCUUUAUUUAAAAAAAAUUCUCUUUAAAUAAAUUAAAAGAGAAAUCUUGCCUUUUAUUGCAACUAUAAUGAAAUUCACUUCCAAAGAUUGUAAUUAUACAUAAAGCAUAUAAAGAUCUACAAACAAAAUUUAUCACCUUCGUAGGUGAUCUUUGGCAUAGGUUGCUCUUCCUCUCAACAACCAUUUGACAAUUUCAUCCACAAAAUCAAAGUAGGCCUCACACCAAGAUUUCCUUGUUACCAAAACAAAAUAUGGAACUAAAAUGCCCAUCACAAAUCCCAAGCCAACAUUCAAGUAAAACCAUUUAUCUAUAUAACCACUAUCAUUUUUGUCCUCAAUAGCACUUUGCUUUUUAUCUGGAUCUUAUUCCUGACAUUUUAUAACCAGUGGAGCUCCACAAAGAUCAGGGUUUCCAACAAAAGUCAACUCAGUGAAAGUUGUCAUUUGCCCUAUAAAGGGGAUCUUACUAGAAAAAUUAUUAUUUUAUAGAUUCAAAUAAUUCAAGAAUGUUAAUGAGGGCAUGCUUAAAGGAAUGUUACCAGAAAGCUUAUUAUUUGAUAAAUCAAGAAAGGAUAGUUGAUGCAACAUUGAAAUACUUUCCGAAAUUCGGCCAAUGAUGUGAUAUAUUCUCCGAGAAGUUUAGAGCCACCAAACCAAUUAAUUUUGUUAUUUCUUAGGGAAACUCUCCACUUAAAUUAUUGUGGGAUAGGUCUAUGCCUACAACAAGAGAAAGAGUCCUAGUGUAUUCAAGACUUUGGCCUUUCAUAAUCACAACCAAUCGUUCUUUGUACCAAGAGCUGCUCCCAUUGUCAUUGAAAGGAUAUAUAUUCAUGUUAUACUCCUAAGCCAUAGCUUUAAGCUCAACCAAAGUGACUGGAAUUUCACCCAUUAGAUUGUUUUGUGCAAGGUCUAAGACAUGUAGGGAGCUUAAAUUUGAAAACUGGGAGGGAAGUCUUCCAAAAAAUACAUUUGACCUCAAGUUGAGUAUUACAAGAUUUAUGAAAGCAGUUCCAAUCCAUGAAGGAACCUUACCCAAUAAUUGGUUAUAACUGAGAUCAAGGAGUUCCAAUCUUGAUAGAUUUUGGAAAAAUGAGGGGAACUUUCCUAAAAGCUUGUUGUCGUUCAAGUACAGUGAUUCGAGCCAUCGUAAUUGGCCCAACGACUUUGGUAUCAUCCCAGAUAAAUUGUUAUUUCCAAGGUCUAGUACAAUUAGGCUAGAGAAAUUAUGUAUGGUAUAAGGAAUGCUUCCAGUCAAAUUAUUCCUUGAAAAAUCAAUUACUUGAAGAGAGGUGAUGUGUUCUAUGGAAUCUGGGAUUGUCUCUGUUAUUUGAUUUUUUGAAAACAAAAGGUAAUGCCUGUCCAACAUAGAUUCACUCUUCUCGGUGGGACAGGGCCAGAAAAUUUAUUGUAGGAGAGAUCUAGUAAAUAGACCCCUUUGAUUGAAAAAGGAAUAGGUCCCUCAAAGAGAUUGUAACUGAAAUCAAUACAUGCACAAUCACCAGAAGGAAAUUUUAAUGAAUUUGGUAGCUAACCUUGUAAUAGAUUGUGAGAAAGAAUUAAGUACUGCAGAUUGAAAGAAAUAUUAAUUCCAAAACCACUUGGGUAUGGAACCUGAGAUGCUCGCAUUUGACAAAUCCAGAAAGGAAAUCUCCAUUUGAGACCUAAGCCAAGUCGAAAAUGAAGGUCCUAAAUUGCAUGAAGCCAUACUAAGAUCAGUGAUUUGGAAUGGGGGGAUCCAGGUGGAACUAACAUUCAAAACAAGACCUGAAUUUCCAUGUAUCAACAAUAUCUUCAGCUUACUUAACUUUGAAAAAUGUUCUUCAGAAAGAAUUCCAAUGAAGCCAUUCCAAGAAACAUCCAAGGCAACCAAUUCAGAAAGUUGUCCAAAACUAACUGGGAGACUCCCAUUCAAUUCAUUUGAUCCAAGCCAAAUCUCAUUCAGAUUUUUGAAUGUCCCAAAAGAAGCAGGGAUAGGGCCUUGAAGCUUGUUGUCGGAUAGAUGGAGAUGUGUAAGUUUUUCCAACUAACUAAACCGUUCUGGCAAUCUGCCCACUAACGGAUUCUUGGACAGGUCCAAAUACCUCAGUUUUGGUAAAGGACCUUCAGAACUAUAGUUUUUGAUCUAUUUGAGAAAUUUAGGGAAACUUCCUGAAUUUCCGAUGUUCUAAGUUGGAACCCAAAUCAAAUGUUCUAAGUUGCAAAAAUCUCCGAUGAAGGUUGGAAUUAUACCUGCAAUCAUCAUCAAGAGUAUUAAAAUAAUUUGAUUUAUUUAUUUUUAUUUAUUUUAUGAAAAAUAAGAAAGUUCAUGAGAAAGGUAAGAAACUUUGCCUUCUUAAUGCAUUAUCAAGUGUCUAUAGAAUAUUGUUUUUAGAAAUUAGAGUUUCCAAACAAAAUUUUGUUCCAAAAUAUAAUAUAAUAUAAUAUUUAUAAAAAUUAUUAUAAAAAACUCAAAAUUUGAUUUUGAAAAAAUAUUUUUAAAAUGUUUAUAAGAAACAAAAUUCAUUAUACUAUUUGUAAAUGAUUUUACAAAACUAUUUUAAAAAUUGUUUACAACCAAAACCUAGAUUUUGUAGUGUAAUAUUUCAAAUACAUCAAAAGCCCUAAAAAGUCCCCUUUGUUGGUCAAUUGUGCAAUGAAUUUAUGACAAAUCAUGCAUCAUCAAGAGUUAAAAUAAUUUAAUUUAAAAUAAUUUUCAUAAAAAAUUAUUGGAGAAGAUAAUUGAAGUUGCUUUGAUGGUCUAAUGAUAAAAGUAAGAGAUUAUUGGAAAGUCAGAAUAACUUAAUGCAAAAUAUUUUUUAAAAACAAGUGUUAAACUGUAUAACCACUACAUUAUUUUGAUGUAUCAAAAUCAAUAAGCGAUAACAAUUUUUCUAAGCAAAAAACGUAUCAAGAAAUUUAUUGCCCGCCAACUCCAGAAAUUCUAUCUUCUUCCAGCUUUCACUUAACAAUUGAGAGCAACUACCUGUGAGAUUUUUGUUCCAAGAUAAAUCCAAGUGCUACAAGUUAGGUAGUUCCCCAAGACCAGGUGAAAUCUGCCCAUAUAACUGAUUAGAUACAUCAAUGUAUACAAGGCUGCUAAGGUUUAGAAGCCAUAUUGGGAACUUUGACCGGAAAGAGUUGCCACUGAUGCUUAUGACAGACAAUGAAGUAAAAUUGAUAGAGUUUAGAGAUGAAAUUGAACCAAAGAGCCCACAAUCUUCUAGGUGCAACUCUAUUAAAAAUGAAAGGUUGUUGAAUACCUCCAUCCAGUGAGAUCCUACCAUUGACAGGUUGACAUAGUUCAACUUGAGAUGCCUUAAGGAAACAAGAUUAGUCAUCCAUUCAAGGUCCUUAACAAAUAACUGAGAUUCAUUGGAAGAAAGAUCAAGAAAUUGCAAAUUAGAAAUGUUUCCCAAGGUUAGAGGAAUUGCACCUCUGAAUCCACAAUUUGAUAAGUUUAGAUAUUGUAAAUUUUUCAAAGAUCCGAAGAAUUUAGGAAUUGGAAUAUGCUCAAAUGAGUUGCCACUCAAAUCUAAAGAUCUCAAAGAUUUGAGUUCUAUCAAAGAAGGUCGGAUUUCCCCGUUUAAGUUCAUUGAGCUCUAAUUUUCAUAUGCUUCUUCAAGAGAAUAUGGGUUAUGAAGAUUGAUAGAAAUAACAACUCUUGUGUUCUUUUUCACAACCAAUUCCCUCCCAUUGACAACAAUUGCCUCCUAUCCAUGAUGAAAGCCAAUUGCUAGAAGAAUCUUUGAGACCAUUUUUUAAGUCAAGAAGAGCUUCUCGAUCAGCUUUUAAGCAAUUUCCCUUCAGGAUUUCACCUUUACAAGCAAGAUCUCUUGUUAUGAAACAUAGAAUGACCAAAAGGAAACCAAAUUUUGAAAUUUUCUCCAUUUAAGAACACUUAUAAAAACAAGUAAUUAAUGUUAAGUUCCGACAAAAGAAUCAAAAUAACGAUGAAAUUCUAUUAGUAAUAAGAACAUCAAGAUAUUGGAUAAUAAAUAAUACAUUUAUUGUAAUCAAUCGUAAGUUUAAUAAGAUUAAAGAUAUGUCAAGUAAGCAACAUCCUUGAACACAUAUCAAGAAAAAAUAAUUGUGACCUUCUCACCAAUAUCAAAUAUGCUCGGAUAAUUGUUAUCGAUCAAAACUAUAGAAAUCACCGGCCCACAAGAGAAACUUAGAAGCAUUAGAUAAAGGAAAACACUAGGGGAAACUUGGCAUUAUUGGUGGAGUAAGAUCUUACCUAUUAUCUCUUUUUUGUAGUUGUACUCAUUCCUUUGGUUACAAGGGAAUAUUUAUAUAUGAAAGAUUAUUCAAGAACUAUGGGCUUUUAAUUAAAGAAAAGUAAUCCACACGUCAUGAAUUAGUGCAUGACCUAUGAUGAUGAAGCAAGUAUACAAGUCAUGUUUGAAAAAUUAUAAAUAAUAAUAAUAAUGAAUAACACAUCAACAAGUUUUUUCGCAUACCAUUUAAUAAUAUAUGAAAUUUCUUAGACAUUGUAUUUUAGUAAGAAUGUUUCUAACAUUUUUUCUUUCUUUAUUUUAACAUCAGCAAAGCAAUGCACGAGUAAAUAAUUCCAUAUUUAGUAUAAAAUUUAUUUCAUGAAUAGGGCUUUAUCAUCAAUUUAGAAGACAAAAAGGAUAUUACAUGAGAAAAUAUUUCUUCACAAAUUAUGAGAUUUAACUACUAAAUUGAAAGUUUUAUAUACAUCUAUCUUAAUCAUUAAAUACAACUUAAUACCAAGGAAUUAUAAUAUUUUGGAAUUACAAUAAACUUAUUUUUAUAAUAGAGUAAAAAAGAAAUUGACAAAUUCUCUUGAUAAACUUAGUUAAAUAAGUAGUGAGAAUAUUGUUGUCCACACACAUAUAUAUAGAUUACGAUAAAAAUAUUUAUUAAUUUCAAAUUUAGAUAAUAGAUUUCAAACCACUUUGCAUGUUGGAUUAUUAGUCUUAUAGAAUUAAAUAUAAGACUUUUUAUGCACAAUUUUGAAGCAUAUAUUCAUUCAAGUCAAAAGAUAUAAGUAUUUUAUUAGAGUAGGUGGUGAUCUAAUUUAAACUAUAUCAACAAAUUCUUUGCAAGUCAAAAAGCAGCAAGUAUUUGAAUAAAGUAGAUUAGAAUAAAAUUUAAACUAAUUCAUAAGACUUUGACCAUAGUGUAAUUGUCUUCUUAAAAUAGUUUUAAUAAAGUAGAUGGUCACAGUCAUGUUAGAUUGGCUAAAGAAGGUGCUUCUUUUUUUAGUCUAUUGUUCAUGCUAUGAUGUUCAUACCUCUUGCUCUUUAUAAUUUUAAUUUGAUGUAUUAAGUGUUCGGAAAGAAUUCUCAAUGUAUCAUACUAUCACAUCAGAUGAUAUCAAAUCCCUUAAUUCAAGCUUCUCCAAAUAUAUUUACAUAAAUCAUGGUUACCAUGUAUAUAAAGAUAUAUCCUAUGAUGCAUAUUUUUAUUUCUAUUUCUUGAUUUUUCCCAUUUACAUUCAUCAAUUUCAUUGAAUCUUUAAUAAAGUUGGAAACAUAACUUUUUGGAAGGAGGUAUUAAGUUUUCUAGGAAAUUUACAUCAUCCUUUUGUGGAGUCCGACCAAUUUAAAGGUACUUCAAACAAGUAAAAGCUUCCCAUGUGCCCAAUGAUACAAUUUCCCCCAAGUGGGGUUUCCAUGAAUGUAAAUUUUCUAGGAAAUUGACUAGUCAUAAAAAUUGACAAACAUGCAAAAGUUUCCCAUAUGCUCAAUGAUACAAUUUUCCCCAAGUGGGGUUUCCAUAGAUGUAAAUUUUCUAGGAAAUUGACUAGUCAUGAAAAUUGACAAACAUGCAAAAGUUUCCCAUAUGCUCAAUGAUACAAUUUUCCCCAAGCAGGGUUUCCAUGGAUGUAAAUUUUCUAAGAAAUUAACUAGUCGUGAAAAUUGACAAAUAAGCAAAAGUUUUCCAUGUGCUCAAUGAUACAAUUUUCCCCAAGUGGGGUUUCCAUGGACGUAUAUUUUCUAGGAAAUUGACUAGUCAUACAAAUUGACAAACAAGUAAAAGUUUCCCAUGUGCUCAAUGAUACAAUUUUCCCCAAGUGGGGUUUCCAUGGAUGUAAAUUUUCUAGGAAAUUGACUUAGUCAGAAAAAUUGAUAAGCCAUGGUGAAAAUUCCUUAGAUAUGAUGGGAUAAUGGUAUGUAUCCCUCAAUCAUGUCAGGUUCUUGGAAUAAUGUGGAACCUAGCGCAAUCCAACCAAUGCAAUACUUAUGUUCGGCUAGAAAAAAGUAAGAAAAAAUUACUAAGGAAAAUAAAUAGAAAAAAUAAUUAAAUUUUUUUUCUAUUUUCCAAAGGGUGGAGAAAAUGCAUUUAUUAUGAUUUUUUUUUCUUCAAAUUUCUCAUUGACAAUCAAAUAGGAACAAAAUUUUAUAUUUUUAUAUAUUUUUUUUAUGGUAUCCAAAUAUAAGAAAAUAUACUUUUUUAGAGUAUAUUUAGUUCCUAAAACAUUCCAAGAAAUGGAAAAAUAAGAAAAAUUAUGUUUUUCAUGUUUGAAUACCUUAGAGAAGAUUGAAGGAAAAAAUAUGGUAAAAUGCUAAAAGAAUUUCCUCCCUAUUUUAGAUGAAAAAGUAAAGACACUUUGAGGAUAGUGUGUUUUUAUUAAUGUGUUUGAAGGGUGUUUUUGUGUCCAUUUCCAUCUUUUCCUACUUUUUUCCAUUUCCAUGCAUUUCACCAAAUCCUUGGUAAACUCAGAAACUUAAACUUUAUGGGAGUUAGAAAUGAGAUUUCCAGGAAAUUUACGUAGUCCAUUUGUUAGAAAUUUUGUCUUCUCCUUUUUCCAAAGUUGACUAAUUCAAAGGUCCUUCCCAUGUGUUUGCAUACAAAUUUUUCCAAGUGGGAAGGGAUUUCAUGGAUUUCAAUUUUCCAAGAAAAUUGACCUGCUAUGGAAAAUUCCUCAAAUUUGAUGGAAAGUCUUUUGCAUGGCCCAAUAAGCACUUUCCUCUCAAUUUGUAGGACUUUUUUUGCCUUCUCUCAUCUCUCAUGUUUAUAUAUAUAUAUAUAUAUAUAUAUAUAUAUGAAUGAAUAUAAGGUAACUAACCCAUCUGACAAAUCCUCUAAAUAAUCACAAAACCCCAAAGAAAAAUCCAAUAGAAAAGGAGAAAAAGAAAAGAAAAAAACCUAAGUGUUGGAGACAGAGGAAAAAAAUUCAUAAGUAUAUUUUUAAAUUAAAAUAACUAUAUUAUUAUUAUUAUUAUCAUUAUUAUUAUUUUAAAAACAUCAUAAAUAUAUUUUAUUCAUAUUAAUAUUUAUAAUAUUCAUCUUCCUUUUAUUUUUUCUUUUGUAGAUGAAGUAAGAUCUCCAAAAAAAGAAAAAAAAAGAAAGUGCUAGUAGUUUAUAUGAAAAUCAAAAUGAAAGUGUUAGUAUAACUUUUGAAAAUUGGAAAAUUGUAAAUAUAGAGGUAGAGUCAGAUAAUGAGAUAGAAUUUGCAAACAUUAUCACAAGAUAUUUUGUUGAACAUCAAAAUAAUAGAAAAACUAUAUAGAAAUUCCGAGCUAGUUAAUAUAAUUUUAUAAGAAUUUAGUAAUCCAACGUUACUAGAAGAAUAGAUAGAUCAAGAAAACUUUGUUGAUAUAAUGUGUAAAAUCUAUAUAUACGAACAAAUAAUUGAAUAACUUUACAAAACCAAUUUGAUUAAAAAAACUCGUAAAUAUAGAAACAAUAAACCCAUUUACUAUUCAACCAAAAAUUAAAGGAAAACAGAGAUAAUUACAAAUGAGUUAGUAAAUGCAAUAGAAGAAGAAAAUAAAAUAGAAUUUGUAAAUGUAAAAAUUGAAAUAGUAAGGUAUAUGAAAUCGUAAAGCAAGCCAAAAAAAAUUAAAUUAAAAAUAGUAAUACAUUUGGCUUAUGAAACUUUGUAUAGAGAAAAAAAACAAAGUUAAAUAAUAAUUUUAAAAAACUAAAAUUCUUUGUGGCUUGAGAAAGUUUUAUUAAUCAUUUGUUUUCAAAGGCAAAAUGAAAAACCAAAAAACAAUUAAAAUCAUAGUAAAAUGAAUAGAAAUAAUAGAAUGUAUGAAAGGAAAUAUUAAAAUAUUAACAAUUAGAUUAUAGUUUUUAUAUAUAUUCUAAAAUAUAUAAUUAGUUUUUAUUUUUUAUAUUUUAGUUUGAAUUGAGAUGAUAUUUGAAAAUUGUUUAUUAUUAUUAUUAUUAUUUUAUGCUAAUAUUACUUUUUCUUUUCUUUUUAGAUAUUUUCAACAAAUGAUUCGAUUCAAUUUUAUUUGUGUUUUAGUUUUAUUCUUGAGAAAGUUAUUUUUACUCAUAUGAUUAAAAGAAUUUAUUGAAUUGUAAUUUUAAAAAAUCAAUUUGAUUUUAUUUACAAGAAAAUUGUUUUUUUAUUUAUUUUUUUCUAGAAAAAUAAUGAUUUUUAUAACUUUUUUAUGAAGGUAUUUCAAUUUAAUUUUUAUUUUUACAAGUUAUUUAGAAAAAUAAUUUUUAUAAAUUGAUCAACAACUAUAUUUAAAUUAAAUUUUAUUUGCAAGAAAAUUGAUUUUUAUUAUUUUUAUAUAAAACAAGACUUGUACAUUUUAUUUACAAAAAUAUCAAAAUUGGAUCCAAAUUUAUCAGUAAAAAUAAUUUUUAAUACUAAAAAUGGCUUUUUUUACAAUUUUAUUUACAAGAUAUACUUCAAUCCCUUUUUUAUUUACCAAAAAUGAUUUGUUUUAUAUAAAACAAGACUUUUACAUUUUAUUUACAAAAAUAUCAAAAUUGGAUCCAAAUUUAUCAGUAAAAAUAAUUUUUAAUACUAAAAAUGACUUUUUUUUUUACAAUUUUAUUUACAAAAUGCACUUCAAUCCCUUUUUUAUUUACCAAAAAUGAUUUGUUUUAUAUAAAACAAGACUUUUAUGUUUUAUUUACAAAAAUAUCAAAAUUGGAUCCAAAUUUAUCAGUAAAAAUAAUUUUCAAUACUAAAAAUGCCUUUUUUCUUUUUUUUUUUUACAAUUUUAUUUACAAAAUGUACUUCAAUCCCUUUUUUAUUUACCAAAAAUGAUUUUUUUUAUUAUUUGAUUUUUAAAAAAUAUCUUUAUUUGGUUUGAGCUAAGUUUUUUCCAUUUUAUUAUAAGAAGUUUGAAAAUUACUUCAAUUUUAUGAAAAUAAUUUCAACUUUAUUAUUUAAAAAAAGUUUCAAAUUUAUUAAAAAAAAAUUGAAAAUAUUUUUAUCCUUUUAAAGAAGAGAUUUCCAUAACUUUAUCCACAAAAGUAUUCUAAUAUAUUUUUACUUAAAAAAGAAUUUUAUUCCAAUAGGAUUUUAAAAAUAGUUUUUUAUACUUUUAUUAAAAAACGGUUUUUCCAAUUUUAUUUAGAAGAAAAAAAAUUCAGAAAAUAGUUUUUAUUAAUAUAAAAUUAAAAUUUUUCUUUUAACAAAAAUGGUUUCGAACAAUAGUUUUUAUUAAUAUAAAAAUAUAAAUCUUAUCUUUUAUCAAAAGCUGUCUUCCUCGUGGGGCUGUCUUUUCGGUCAAUCUAGCCAUCUCCCAAUCAACCCAUGCAAACAAAGGUCCAGACCAAUAAAAAUCAAUAUGCCAAGUAACAUUCAGCAAAGCCCAAUCAUAUAAAGCCCAAAUGAAUAUAAACUAAUCAAGCCUAAACUCAAUGAAUGAAGCUUAAAGCCCACAUGAACAAAUUUAGGCCCAAAAAUAGUCACAACUUAAUGUCUUGAGAGCCCACCAAUAAAACCCAAUGGUCAAAAUAUCAAUUGUGAAGAUCAAAGGACGGCUUUACUUCACUUUUAAAUUUUGUUUAAAAAAUAUUUAUAUUUUUAUUGUAUAUAUUAAAUAGAUCUCAAAUACAUAUCAUAGAGAGUAGUUUUCAUAAAAAUAUUUAGAGUGAGGGGUUCUUUGUUUGUUUGUUUUAUUUUUACUUAAGUCUUAAAACAAGUUACUUUAUUUAGAACUACUUUUUUAAUUUAUCACAUUUUUUAAGACAAUUUUAUUUAUUUAUUUAUUAUUCUCUUAUAUUACUUUUGAUCGAUAAGAUAGGAUAAGAUAUAUAUAUAUAUAUAUAUUUCAUGUCCCAGAAUAUGAAAUAAUAAAAUAAGAAUAACCUACAAAUAAUAAAAUAAGAAUUAACUAAAUUUUUUUCUUGGGUCAAGUUUUUUACUUUAAGCUUUUCAUUUCAGGCAGUUUUUGUUUUAAACUUUACUUUUAGACUAAAUUUGAUAUUUUUAUAAUAUUUAUAAUGUAUUUAUGUUAUAUUCAUUUUCUUUUCAUGUAUAUAUUUUCUUAAAUAUUGAAUUAUAUUAUUUCAUAUACUUUUUCAUUUUUUUAGAAAUAUGUACAAAUUUAUUUUUACUUUUUUAUUGCUAUAUUGAAACUUUUUUUUAAUUUACUAAUUAAUUUUUCAUAUAAAUAUAUUAAAAAAAAAUUAAACAUUAUAGAUGGAUUUUGAAUUAUGCAAUUCCAUCAACUUGUUUAUAUAUAUGAAUAUAAGGUAGCAAACCAGUCAAAUAAAUCCUCUACACAAUCACAAACCCCAGAGAAAAUCCAACAAAAAUAAAGAAGAAAUAAACCUAGCUAAGUGUCGGAGACAAAGGAAAAAAAAAUAAAUCAUAAGUAUAUUUCAAAUUAAAAGAACUAUUAAUAUUAUUAAUAUUUCUAUUUUGAAGAGAAUCGUAUUAUUUUUUAAUGGGAAGAGUUUUUAUUAUUAUUAUUAUUAUGAUUUUGAUACAAAAAGGGAGAGUAAGGUUGCAAUUUUCAUUUUCUAAAAACAAUUUUUAUUUUUAUUUUUAUUUUUUCUUGAAAAUAAGCAUGAUUAAGAUAAAGGAAAAUUAUUAAUCAUGGUUCUCAGUAUAAAAAGAAAAUCCAAAAGAAAAUAAAGUUAAAAUUGUAAUAAAAUGAAUAAUUUCUCAAAGAAAAUAUUAAAUAUUACCAAUUAUAUAAUAUUUUAUAUAUUCUGAAAUAUAAAAUAAUUUUUUAUUUUGGUUUGAAUCAAGAUGACAUUUGAAAAUUUUUUAUUAUUUCAAAUUUUUUGUUGUUAACUAUUAUAUUUCUAGUUUUACCCUUGGGUGAAGAGAAAAAGGGCGGGGUUCCUUGGCCUAGAAAACCCUUGCAAGAUUUUGACCUAGGUUGGGUUUCAAAAUUGGGCCUUCAUGCAUGAUUCAGCACAGAAGGUUUUGGGCUCACAGAUGAUGCGGGUGUAAGAUAAAUCAUAAUUAAUGGAUGUGUAGACCCCAUUCUGGGCUUGCUUUUAUGCAGCCAUUUUUGACAGGUGUAGCCAUCUAGGGUGGCCACGUGUCAAUCUCUGGUUGGCUGUUAGGGGCACCGGAGUAGUGUUUUUUAUGGCCAACCAGAGGUCGACACGUGUCCAAAGAAUCUGCAAAAAAUGCUGCAGACAGUCAGAGGAGCAGGGUUGCCAGCUGCUUGGUCUCGCUUUUCCUGGCCGUUGGGGGAUAUUCUGGAGGGGGUGCUUUUUCCAUUGUGGAGGGGAGGUCUCCAGAGGGGUUUUUCUUUCAGGUGGAGGAGAUAUUUUGAUUCAGAGAUGCCGUUAGGAUUUUUUGGAGAGAUGGAGGUUUUUCUUGGGAGCCAGAGGAGAUAUGUUGGGGGUGUUUCUUUCUGGCAGUGGGAGAGGAAGAAAAAGCUAGAGAAAGAGCUUGAGCUGAGAAGAAGGGAGAGAGAAAGUUAGUGCGGAGGGAGAGAAUUCCAUUGACGACUGUGGGAAAUUGUGGAGAGCUUUUGGAAGUUGCUUGGACAGGAGGGGAAGUUCACUGAGAAAGCUAAAAUUUGAUUCUCGUUGAUUAAGGAACCAGGUAUAUACACAGUUUUUCCCUCGUCUCUCGUUAUUCAUUGAUUUUCCUUAACAUAAUGCUGUUUGGGGUGGAUGUUGAAGGCCACUGAUUUGUUUGUUGAUAUAUAUGCCUGCAUUUGUGUGGUUACGAAAUGCUUGAGAAUCAUAAGGGUGGUUACAUUUGAUAUGGUUUACCCACCUACACAGAAUGAUUCAUGAAGUGGAUUUUCUGAGAUUUUUCUUUAUUUAUUCAUCUUCUUUUACACUCUGUUUCUCUACUUCCCCUGUUUCCUGGUAAGUUUUCCUAUCUCUGCUUGAAGAAGUAAGAUACUGCAAGAGAUAUGUUCUCAAGCCAUGGAUAUGGGAAGUUGUAAUGCGUUUAUUGUAGCCGGGUGAUUUUAUGCGCAUAUUUAGUGGUUUAUGAGAAAAAUCGGAUGAAGAAGCCGCAAAGGGUCAGAGCUCAUGAGGAUAGAGCAUGAAAACGGGAUGUAAAGGAGGUUUAACAAUCGAUUGUCAACUCACGACCCCUGACAAUGCUACUGCUAUUUCUCAUAUUGGUUUGGUUAUUGCAAGUAGUAGCAUGUAUAGGAGGAACAGACAAUUGUGGGGGAAGGAUUUCUCGGGAUAGAAGGUUUUUCUAUACGUCAAGAUCAUGAAGUUUUGGGUCCUGAUGCGUAAAUUGGUGUGUUUGGGUCUAAGCUACAAGCGAAACAUUGGAGAACGAUAUAGCGUCAUUGGUGGAUAGGAUAUUUGAGCUCGACAAGGAUUCUGGAGUGAUAAUGGUUGCUUGUAUAAAUUCGUAGGUUGAAACACUCCCUAAGGACCCUGUGAUCUGCAAUUGCUGAGAUCUCCGCGAUGCAGGAAAUCAGAUAUUUGCGCCAUGUGUCUCAGAUGGAAAUACACAUAAGCAUCAGCGCGAGGGACUUAUAAUGGUCACGAUGCAUGAAACUGAUUUAGAUGCUUUCAAAUGGGCAUAAUUUUUGGGUAUAGUCAGAAUGAUUCUAUGGACGAGGCUCCAUGCUUGUUCCAGGCAAUGUCUCUUGAUGUUGGGUUGUUGAAAGCCAUGCUUGUGACUAAUGAAUGCUAUCCAAAACCGCCAUACCCAUCAAGCUCACAUAACUCUUCUUCACGCCCAUGUUCAUGCUUUUCUGCAGUGGCCCAAACCACCUUGUUCAUCCCACCACCUUUUCUCUCUCUAGUUUUUCAUACCCAUUUCUUGAUACCCACUUCAUUCAUCCAUCUCUCCUUUCCACCAUACCCUUCACAACCGGUUUCUAGACCCAUUAAUACCCUCACAUGCCUACCACUGCCCUUAUCUCUCUAUACCACAUGCCGUUCAUUGCUCACGGUUCCCCCAUUGGCCUCCAUCAUCUCAUGCUAUCAAUCCCACGCCUAUGUCCUCCUACAUCAUCCACAACCGUGUUCCAAUGCUACUAUAAAACCCAUUCUUCUCUCAACCUUUCACUUACUUCGUACCCACCAAGCCCCCAAGACCCACUUCGCACUUCACUCAUGGCUGCGCCUCAUGCUGAUCCCGUGCGUACAACCGACUUCAUGACUACUCCUCCCAAUUCAACGUUUCCAGGUGCAAUGUUACAGGGUUUCAACAUUUACCAGGGAAAACACCUAUGUGUGCAGCCUGCAUGUGUGCUCACUAAUGAAUAUGCUGGCCGGCACAAGACAUGCAAAAGCCGAGCCUAUGAUAGAAAAUGGGGUUUAAAAGAUCUGUAAGGAUUCAUGGUUCAAAUGAGGGUUCUAAAUCAGAUUGAGUCCCAUUGGGUGACGCGUCAAUAUCUUCUUGGUACUAGAGAAGAUGAAAGAGAAGGUGCAUAUGUAGUGUUCACAAUUCUCUAUCAGCCAUGGACACUAGCAGAGAAUAAUGAUGAUAUUCUCAUUAUUGAGAUUGCUAAAACGAACAAGAAUGUUGUUCAUGACGUCAUUCACGUUGGCGGGUCCGCUAUCGUUCCCAUUAUGCAAUAGCUAGCUAUUGUAAGAUCCCGACUGUCCAUCCCACCACUAGGGUGAAAGCACGGCGACGACCCUACUUAGAGAUUCCGUUGAUGCUAAAGGGUUAAAGCAGUUUAAGGAUGAGAUGAUCCGAAUGAAGAUGAUGAUGAACGGGCUGGUGAAUUGCAGGAGCAUGCAGAAAUGGUUAAUGUAGAGAGGUCAAGUUUUCACCUGCAUGAAUUCCCGUUCCUGUCUUGAGAUGAAUGCCUACAAAAUGGGUUGUAGACAUCAAUGACGUAAAUUGUGGUGAAGUCCAUACCCUGGACAUUCUUGGUGAGCUCUCUGCUUUUAAGAUACCUGCCAAGUGAGAUAAAUUAUGGUGCCUACAAGGAAGUUCCGGAUGCUGAAUCCCCCCAGAAUGAAUUCCCGAUAGUUCCACUGCUGUUUGCAUAUAGCGCGCUGCUCUCUUCACAAUCCUUACAUGCGGAAGACAUCAUUAUCGGUUUUUUUUUAUAAGGGAAUAUUCUGUAGAGCAUGCACUUGAGAAUGCUUGCAGCCGCACCUUACAUUAUUGCAACCCAGAUCCUCUUUACUGAAUAAUAUACACCGAGGACGAGUUCUACGAUGUGGAGAGGUCAAACCCAGUUUAUAAAUAUGCUUUUGUUAUGAAUGAAGAAGAGAUGUAUUAUACUUACGAGCUUGUUAAUAGCUCUGUUACUUUGAGGCUGGUUUUAAAUCCACAUGGAUGUGUGCGGUGUUUCAUAUGGAUUGAUCGAACACGUGGGUGGAUCAUUUAUUCAUUUGCACAGAAGGACGACUAUGACAGUCAUGUUCUGUGUGGUGCAUAUGGCAGCUGCAACAUUAACCAUCCCCGAAAAUGUACAUGUAUGGAAGGAUUUGUGCCAAAGUUCCUCAAAGAAUGGAACAUGGUGGGUUGGUCAAAUGGAUGUGUUCGGAGCACUCCACUGGAUUGUCACAAGGAUGAGAGGUCGUCGCUUGGUUCUUCUCUGUGGAGCCGCGACGCUCAACACUAUAUUACUAGUGCAGUUGCAGCGGAGGUAGAUGCUUCCGUGACCUCAACUGCAUCUAAACCUGAGCAUGAGCUUCCAAUAUUUGAAGUCCUUCAAGUGGACUUAGACGAGUAAAUGGACAAGGAUUCCCGAGUAUGCAUGCUGGGUGAAGACGUGGGUCACUAUGGAGGUUCCUACAAGGAGACAAAAGGGCAUGGCUACAAAAUAUGGGAUCCCAAGGGCUAGUAGGGUCCACAACAUCAUGGUCUGAUUUGGUGACCUAUACAGCUUCAAACCGCACCUCUAGGGCAGGUAUUGCAUGGCCACCUUUUGGACAUGCUACUUUGGCCACGAGCUUUUCCUAUGUGUCUUCACUUCAUCUAUUCUAAACAUAAUUUCUAGCACUCUCAUUCCUCCAAACAAUUUAUUUAUUUUUUUUAAAUCCCAUUUUAUAAAUAAUUUUUCACAUUUCAAUUUUCAAAUAAAUUUCAACUCUUUUCCUCUUCAUCUUUAGGGACUCUUUAGAUUUCAAAGUCUCAUUUUCAAAUAAAUUUUUGCUGCCACCUCUCUUCGGCAUGCAACUUUCAAGACUUCCCUGAUUUUAAAAUGUUUUAAAAUAAGCAAGAAUAAAAUUCCGUAAUUCUAAGCAAAGGAAUUUAUGGAAUUAAUUCAUGCAAAAAUGAAUCGGACUAUGGUGGAGGCCCCACAUAUGAGUUUUCAUGACUAAUUGACUGUUUGAUUGAUUUAUCUGUCAUGUGUGAUUGAUUUAUUCUGUUCCUUGAUAUACAUAUAAUCAUUCUGUGUUCAUUCACUAACCCCGCUUUUGAUAAUGCAUUACAGCUCGUGGCCCAAGUAUGCACUCUCUAUACCUAUUCUGAUUUUCAUAUGUGCAAGUUUGAUUUGAGUAUCCACUAAUUUUCUCAUUGAUUGCCACGUUAACUUCAAUCUAUUAGUAGAGACCCGACUCUAGGGACUUAGAGGGGUGCUACGGUUUAUACCGUACCUUCCCGAUAAGUAACUUGACCCCCGAACCCAAUCUGGUUUUUCACAGACCACCUUUUCCAAAAAUCAGGAGUUGUACUUAAGGUUUUCUUUCUUAUUUUGUUUACCCUUUAAAAUAAAACAAAAAUAAGUGGCGAAUCUAAGUCAGUUUUUUUUUUAAUUAAUAAAAAAUCAUUUUUUUUUCAAAAUAAAAAAUCAAGCUGGCCAUUCGAGUGGGAAACGCAUUGAGCAUGAAAUGCGGGGUCCACAGUAUGAUUAUUGAUUUUUUUUUUUUUUAAGCAAGUUCAAAAUCAUUGAAUUGGAUAGAAAUUUGCUAGCCCCGUUUGGAUUAAAAGAAAAUGCUAGGAAAAAUAAAAGUUGAGAAAUAAAUUUAAAAUUUUAAAUUGAUUUUUUCAUGAAAAAUGUGAAGAAAAAUAAUAAAAUAUAAUGGAAAAUACCAUAAAAUAUUUCAAAAUUUUCAAAGUCUUCUUUCCAUUUUAUAAAAGAGAUAAAUAAAUUUGGAGAUUUAUUUUAUAGCUCUAAAUGUAAAAAGGGAAUAGAGGUGUUGAAAUGGUAAUCAAUAAAAACUUACAAAAGUUUUCAAUAAAGUAAUUUUUUCCUUAUCACUAACUUUAAAAAAAUAAUAAGAAGAAAUAUUGAAUAAAUAUUUGGAAUAUAUAUAUAUAUCCAAUUUUAAAGGUUUAUUUUCAAGUUUGAUAAAUAUAUUUUCAAAGUUUUGCUGCUUUUAAUAUUUAAUUUCUUUAGUAAUAAGCAAUUUUUCUGAGAAGAAUUGUACAAAGCAAGAAUAAAAAUAUAAAAAAUUUACAAAAUAUUGGUAGUUAGAUUUUAUGAAGAUAUCCAAAAAUAUUAUAUAAAAAUUCCUAAAAAAUUAUGCUGUGAUCAAAAUUGGCCACAACCCAUAACAAGAAAGGAAAAUCCUCAAUUUUAUUUUCAAUCCUAAACUUCAAAUACUCAAAUCCAAUUUUUCAUAGAAAAUUGAACUAAAUAUAUUUUUGGAAAUUUUAAUUAACUCUUGUUUUAGAAACUAGUUAAACUACCUUCAUGUAGUACAAUUUAAAUAAAAAAAAUGAAUUUACCAUAAAUUAAUGAAAUUAUCAUUCUCAAAAAUUUAAUAUGACUAAAAUAAAUUUUGUUUUUAUCUAUUUUCUCUCUUUUUUUCAAAAAAAUUUAGAUCUAAAACUUUCCCAUGAAAUGAUAACUCAAAACCCACACCAACAAUAUAAAAGUGGAAUCAAUACAUAUAAAAUAAAUCCACAAAUUUCAAAAUCAUAAAACUUAAAUUUCAAGUUUUUUAAUAAGUCCAAUUUAACAAAAUAUAAGUUUAAUAUAAAAUUUCAUCACAAAAUCCAUAAAAACAAACUUCUUAGAUUUUUACAUUUAAGUUUUAGUUCCAAAUUCUACCAAGGCAUAAGUACUUAUAUGUGUUGUUGAUAUAAAUGUCUCUUUGUGGCAUCUCCAAAGUUCCAACUUUUCAUGUUCGUCAUUAUCUCUUCCUCGCCUAAAAAAACCCUAAUAAAUUAAUUAAAAUUUUUUUAUUCACUAAUUACCAUCAUUUUCAUUGUCAAUAUCAAAACCAUCGAAAUGGAAAUUCUCCGAUAUUCAUUAUAAGAAUAAAUUUAUUUAACUUCCACUUUGGCCUUUGACAACAUGAAUAUAGCUUUCAUGUAGGAUUAUCUUUACUCUUUCUCCUAAUAUGAUCAAUUUCUAACCGUUUUGUAUAUAUUUCCUUUAACAAAAUACUUUUGCUAAAAAUUAUGAAAAAUAGCUAAAAGUGUAAAUAUCAUUUUAUCAAGCAUUGGAUGAUGUAUCGUAUAUGUUUCAUAAGAUACACUUAAAAUAAGAUAGGGGUUGCUAAACGCCUCGUAUCAUGUAUCCUAAGUUUUUAACAACUAUGAUCUAGAUAAAGUUUGAUCCAUAUGCUGAAUGGUGAAGUCAAUGUAAAUAUAACAAAGACAAGAACAUUGAUGCCAAAGGUGACCUCUGAAAUGAAAUACUCACGGGUGGAUAGCAUCAGGAGCACGCCUUGAGCUACUCAGACCAUAUGCAAGAAGAGCCUACAUUGUGAAUAUGUAUUAGUUUCUCUGCGUUCAAUAACUACAAAAUCAACACAAAUGUAAAACAAGAGUAAAAGAUAAGAAUGUCAGGAAGAUGAACAAUCAGACUAACAGGAGUACCUGAUUUGCAAAAUCUGCGGCUGAGUGCACAACUUCAGCCAACAUAACAUGGCUAGAGGUUGUUAACCAGACCCCAAACUUGAGAGAAAAGACGAGGAAGUUACACCAUAAUGCAGUUCUGACUGCUCGUUGGCUAGAAUAAACAUGUUAGGCAGAAACAAAAGAAAACAAAAAAGGUCAGAUGGUGAAAAGUGGGAGCUAAAUUUCUGGUCCCUAAUUGCAAAAAAGGCUCAAAAUUCUUGAUAGGUUUGGAUUCAGUGCAGUUCAUUAAUAUGCAGCUAGGAUUGACGUCAUCCACAAUCACUCCACAUCCUAAGAAAGUGAUCACCCAUAAAAUCACACUAGAGGAGAGAAUCAAGAAACAAAGGAAUCAAAAGAAUGAAAAGCUUUCUCUUUCAUGACUGCUUGCAUCAACUAGUUAAUUUACUCUUUUCUUGUAUUAAAUCAAAGAUAAUGUUACAGAAGAUUAAGAAUUUCCAAAACCAUAAAUAUACACACUCCUAAAGGUUUUGUAGCCUAUUUCUGUGAACUGGGACAUUCCAACUAACCCCAUUUUCAUUUUCGGGUUGCUAUAAAAUAGUGCCCCAAAAUAAAACAUUCCCAUAAAUCUUGCCUUACUUUCCCAAAACCAAAAUACAUGUACUCCGACUCUUAUUUGCAAGUCAACCACACAAAUGCUCACAUGAUCAAUCAACAAACCAACUUACAGCCCCAAAAAUGGCCAGAAAACAACUCAAUUUACCUGUCCUAUAGUAAGCCCUUAACAUGAACUGAAUAGUCCCAAAAAUGCAAUUCAAUUCAAUUCAAUUUGUUUAUCUUAUGGUAAACUAUUAACAUGAAUCAAACAGGCCCCAGAAACUUAAUAUACUAUAGUAAGCCAUUAAUAUUUUUUUUUUUUUGAUAGAUAAACACACAGAAAUAUAUUAUAAAGGGGCAAAAAGGCGACCCAGAGUAUACAGGGAGUAUACAAGCAUCACCUACAAAAAAAAACCAGAAACUAAAAGGACAAACCCUUACCAGCCCUCAACAAGAACCCACCCAGUCCACAAAAUUAAACAAGGAAAAGGGGCCUUGAACUAUGGAAGAAUUAGCCCAAGAUAAGAGAUUACACAUGAAGGAAUUUUUCAAUCUUUGAAUUGAUAGGACUUCAUUUUCAAAAACUAUCCUAUUUCUUUCCUUCCAAACCGUCCAAAAUAAGCAAAGAGGAGCUGCCCUCCAAACCUUGCUACGCUUCUUAUCCUUUAAGGGAGCAAGCCAACCUAAAAGAGUGUCUCUAACUGAAAAAGGGAUAACCCAAUUAACACCAAAUAAGGAGAACAAGAGAUCCCACAAGACCUUUGCCUUAGGACAGUGAAUAAGGAUGUAAUUUAUCGUCUCUUCUUCAUCACAACACAAGGGGCACCUGUUAGCUAAUUUCCAGCCCCUCCUCUUUAGUUGGUCUUGAGUGAGCACCUUCCCCCAAGAGGCUUCCCAAGCAAAAAAGCCCACCUUGGAAGGAACAAACGAACUCCAAAUAAUUCUCCAAGGAAACGGGACUGCACUGCUGUGGUCAAGAGAGUUGAAACAGGAUUUUACAGAGAAUAUCCCAUCCUUCGUCUCCUUCCACACCAUCCUAUCCUCCAAAUCAGCAUUCAGCCUUUUUCCUUGAAUGAUCAGAAGGAAACUCUCCACCUCCUCCACCUCCCAAUCAUUGAAAGGUCUAAGGAAGCGGGGAUUCCACCCACCCACUUCCCCUAUUGAGUCCCAACAGUCCGCAACCUUCGCGUCUUUAGAAACCGCUAAAUCAAACAAGGAGGGGUAAGCCAUUAAUAUAGCUCAACUAGGACCCGAAAAUUCAAUUCAAUAUAAUUCCACAGUAAGCUAUAAAAUCCAAUCAUGAUUAGAACAAUAGCAAUAAGGAAACAAUGUAGGUCAAUAAAAGAAACCAAUGAAAACUAAUAAUAUCAAUAUCACCUGUGCUGAUCAUUGAUUUCAAUGUUCUUAACUUCCUUGGCUCUAGUAAAAAAAUCUGUAAAGAUCAAAGAAAGCCAACAUCAACCCACAAAAUGGAAAAAGAAUAAAAAUAAAACCACACCAUUCAUCCACCUUCAAAGAAAAAAAAAUACUCACUACGAUUGAUAUAGUGGCGAUUAGAAUCUAAAGAGGUCCCACAACUGCACAGAAAAUUCCGCAAUAUGGGCCUUGGAGCGAAAAAAAGGGCUCCAUUUUCUGGGAAUUUACAGUAAGAGCUGGGUUGUUGAAGGUUGUGGUUGAAGGAUGGAGAGGAAUGUAGGAACUGGGAGAAAGUGAGGAGGCGAGAGAGGGGGAAAUGGGAGUAGUGGUGGCGCGUGAGGAGAGCUGGAGAUGGGCUAGGCGUGAAUCGAAGAAGGCAAGAGCCUAUCUUCUUGUUGAUGCUUCUCUGCAUGCUCCUUGCUACUCCACCUCCAUGGAAGCCCUCGUUUCAGAGAUUUCAGGGUUUUGAGCUUUUUGGUUUUGUGAGUUGGAAGGGUUUUUGGAGAAAUGGGAGGAGAGGGGUUUCUGGAAUUGGAACAUGCUUUCUGAUGUGUUUUUCCACUUUUGGGUAAAAAUAAAAAUAAUAAAAUAAAUAAAUUUAUUAUUAUUAUUAUUAUAUUAUGACUCUAUAUGUUCAAGUCAAAAUUUAUUUUAUGAUACAAUUUAUUUUAUAAAAUUGAAAAUAUUUAUAUUAUAGAUAAAAUAAAUAUUAUAUAAAAAAUUAUUUGAGAAAAAAGGUAAAAAAGAUGGUAUUUAUGUUGAGGAAAAACUUUCCCAAUUUUAAAUUUUAGGUUUUUUCAUAUAAUAAUUAUAGAAAAAUACUUCAUUAUCUAAAAUACUUCAAAGGUUGGCUUCUCUUGCUACUUAUGUUUUUAUUAUUUAAACAAUGAUUUUUCUUCAAAAAAAAAAAAAAACCUACUCUUAAACAUUAUUUUAAACAAUAAAUAUUGUAUAUAAAUAAAAUAAAUAUUGCACAAACAAUAUAGUAUAUAAGAAUAUUAUAGUUAAAAAUAACUAUAGUACUUUUGUUUUUUUGGAUAAAUAUGUAUACAACAUAUUCAUUAUACUAAUUGUAUUUUUAUCAUAAUAUUAUAAAUCGAUACCAAUUUUAACUUAGUUUUAUGUUUUUUGGUUGUGAAUGAGAAAUUUGCCGGAAAGGAAAUUAAAUUUAUUAGGCAUGACCUAAAAGCAAAGAAUAAAAUCCAUUUUAUCCCCUCAACCUUUUGUGUCUCUUACACUUUGUCCCACAUUCAAAAUCCAACGCACUUCAAACUUCUUAAUGGGUAGCACUCAACUUUUUUUUUGGAUAAUUUUUAUUUUCAUUAAAUGGAUGUGCUCCACACGUGAUGUGAUAAGAGGGUAAAAAUGUCAUUUAAAAGAUAUCCAUGGCCCUAAAAUCUAUUCCUUCAUUUUUCUUUUUCUGAAACCUUGAAAUCCUCAAGUCUAAAAAAACACACCUCCUCUAAUCAAUCUUCCUAUUAUGCUGAGACAAUGAGUCUAGUACAUUAUAUGUUGGCAAUUUUGUUUCAAUAUAUUCUAACUCAUGAAAGUUUUUAAAUAGUGAAUUACUCUUCAUUGAAGAUUCAAGGUUGUUGUUGGUUAAACCAUAAAGUUACAGGUAAGUUUAAAAAUGUUUAUUUAGUGGCAAGUUAAAUGAUUAAAGGGUUAAAGUGGAUUAGUAUUUUUUUCAUAAGCUAAAAAUACUUGAAUUAAUGUUUUGGAAAAAACAAGAGACACUUGAGCGGUGGAACCAACACUCAAGUGCUUAUCUAACACUCAAGCUCACAAGGCAUUCGAGCGAUGGUUAAGUGCAUUCAAGUGGUUGUCCCAAAACUGCUAGAAUAUGGUAGAUUUCUUUUUGAAAUUUUAUAAGUAUUAUUUUUUGGAAAUUCUAUAUAUCGAUCCCUUAGGCCUAUAGGCCUAUAUAAACCCUCUAUUAACCCUUUUUAGGGUUAGACACCUUGAAAGAGUUGACCAACUUAACCUAUCAUUCCUAAUCUCUCAAGAAAAAAUUCAUAAUAUUGAAUUUCGGGUUGUUGUAAGAACUUGCAUCCCCUAAGAGGUUGAGAAGAAUCUACUAGAGCAUUAGAGGUGUUAUGUCGCGGAUGUGGAUCAAGGUAUAGGUGCUAGAGAAUAAGUUUUUAAGGUAAAAUGGUCAAGUAAAUCUGUGUACUUUGAUAUGAAAUAGUGGAUUGUAUAUUAAAGGUCUUAGACCUCAUGGUUUUUAUUUCCACAGUUAGUGUUAGGUUUUUCCACAUAAAAAAUUAUUAUGUCUCUUGUUUGAUAUUUGAUUACUUUGAUUAUCCCUAAUAUCUUCAAGUUUUAUUUUGGGAUAAUUUUUCAUCACUUAUAUUGUAUUAUUUAAAAACACCUAUUCCCUCAUCUCCCCUCUCAGGUGUUAUCCUAAUAGACAAAAGGUUUUUUCAAUUGGUAUAAGAGCAAGCUUUUCUAAAUAAAAAUCAUAUUUUUAUUGAUCUUGCAAGUCUAAUAUGGAACAACCAAGGUCUGAAGCUCCCCUAAAUAGUCCACUCUAUUUCGAUGGGAGUAAUUAUCCCAACUAAAAGGCCCGAAUGAUUUUUUGAAAAUGCAAGGAGAAAAGGUCUAGAAUGCAACGAAAUAUGGAUGAAGACUUCAUUGAAACUAUAUGUGAAUGGGAAAUCUACUUAUGAAUUAAAACCCAAAAAAGAAUGGCAUAAAUUAGAUAAUGAAGAAAGUGAUGCCAAUGCUCGGGUUCUCUUUAGCAUAUUCAAUAGGGUAAGUCCUAAUGAGUUUUGCAAGAUAGCCACAAGAUGCUAAAAAAGCCUAGGACAUUCUCCAGGUUACUCAUGAAGGCACUUUAGUUGUGAGGUUGGCUAAAUUGCAAAUGUUAACCUUCAGGUUUGAAAGCAUUAAAAUGCAAGAGGAUAAAACUUUCUUUGCAUUCUAUGCUGAAUUAAGCGACAUUUUGAACUUCUUUUUUUAACUUAAGAGAACAAAUCCCUGACUUUAAAGUAAGUAGAAAAAUCUUGAGAUUUCUUCCUGAAAGGUUUAAACCUAAGGUCACCACAAUAGAGGAAAACAAGGAUAUUUACUCCAUGAGGGUUGAUGAACUUGUUGGUUUUUUUCAAAUCUAUGAAAUGACCUUUCUAAACUCUCACAAGCCAAAAGAGUCUACUUUUAAGGAUAAUGAAAUUGAAGAAAAAGAGUCUGAAAAUCAUAAUGAGAUAACUAGGGAUGAACUAGCGUUCAUGGCUAAACGUAUUAAAUGGGUUUGAAACUUAACAAUAGACCUAAUAAGAACAAGCACUUGGGAAAGGAAAAAAGAUUUGGUAGGUCUUCUAAAGAAAAAGAUAAGGAAAUUACGAAAGAGAAAAAAGGUAAAGUGUUUUAAUUAUGGAGGUUUGGAACAUUUUUCUAUUGACUAUGUCCUAGUCUCAAUGACAUUAAAAAAAAUUGUGCAAGCUACAUGGAGCGACACUUACUCUGGUGAGAGUGACUCUAUGACUUCUGAAGAUGCAAGGUAUGAGCAAAAUGAUUAUUUAAAUUUUAUUGCAUCUGUUGAUUCUAAGCAUGAUACUAAUAGUCAUGAGAGUGAGUAUACUAAUGAAUAGAAUGCUAGUUUUCUUAGAAAUAUUUCCAUUGAAUAUCAAAAACUGAUUGAACAAUAUUUGAAGACUCAUAAUAUUCUUAACUCAUAAAAAGCUAAAAUUGAAUAUUUUUAGUGAAAAAAGACUAAUUAUCUUGCGAAAAUUUGAUUCAUUGAGUUUGAAUAUCAUUCUCUUCUUGAGAAAAACAAUAUUCUAACUUAAAAAAUUGAGACUAAAAAACCAUCAAUAAGGCUUUUCACCUUGGGACUAGUGUUGGAUGAAAUUCUUGAGAAAUGCAAGUCCCAAGGAGAUAAGAAAGGCCUCGACUAUAUUAGCAAAACCAAGACUUCCACAGGUGGAGGCAUAGUAUUAGUUAAAAGUAAGGAGGAAACUCCUAACCAAGAAACAUCUUCUAGCACUCUCUCACUAUUCACACACUGUAAGAAGUCUGAAUAUACUCAAAGUAGGUGUCACACUAGAUUUCUUGAGAGCAAUGAGUCUCAAUUGAAUAGGCUUGUGAAUGAGUUUAAAUCUCUAAAGAAUAAUAUUUUGAACACCAUGAGAGGGAAGAAAACCAAUACAGAGCUUAAGACUCAACAAAGCUCCUCCGAGUCACCACCUAAAACAAGUGUGGAUGAGAAAAGAUAGGCUUAAGUGUUAGAUUGUUUUCACAGCCCUUAGAGCUAAAGCCCUUAGUGAAGCUCUAGGCAUAUGACAGAUGAUAAGUCUUUGGUCACCUCUCUUGAGGAUUUUAAUGGAGGAAAAAUCACCUUUAGGGAUGGUAGUGUAGCCCAUGUGAAAGGUAAAAGUAGUAUCUCUAUCCCCAUAUGCCUAGAUUUAGAUGGAGUCCUUUAUGCUAAUGAACUUAAGGGUAAUCUUCUUAGCAUUAGCCAAAUUUAUGACAGUGACUAUAGGGUAAACUUCUUUUAAAGUUUGUGCGAAGUGAUAAACAAGGAAGGAGAAGUCAUUUUCAUUAUGCUUAGAACAGUGGAUAAUUGUUAUGCAAUAAAUUCUAGUUCUAAAACCUCUUUGGUUUGUAGUAGGGCUAAGCUUGAUAUCAUUGAGUCAUGGCAUAGGAGGCUAGAUCACAUAAACUAUAGACACUUGGUCCACAUAACUAACAAAGACCCAGUUAGACGUAUCCCUAAGUUGAGUAGUCAACCUAAAUCUAUUUGUGGAGAGUGCCUAAAAGGUAAAUAAGUAAGAAACUCACUAAAAAAUAUUCAAGGGAAUAACACUUCUAGGCCUUUAAGCCUUCUUCACAUGGAUCUCAUGGACCUUAUAUGAAAAUGGAGAGUAAAGGAUGUCGUUGAUUUUUCCAGGUAUUCCUUUGUAAGUUUUCUAAAGGACAAAUCUGAAACAUUGAGCACUUGAAGUCCUUGUGCACUAGAAUUCAGGUGGAAAUAGGUAAUCCUAUUGUUAGGAUUAGGAGUGAUAGUGGGAGAGAGUUUGACAAUGUAGAAGUUGAUCUCUUUAUGAAUUAAAGGAGAUUAAACAUAAUAUUUUGCCUUUAGAACUCCUCAACAAAAUGGAGUGGUAGAAAGGAAGAACCGUGUUCUUUAAGAAAUGACCUGAGUAAUGAUUAACAUGCAUGAUACUUCUAUGUAGUUUUGGACUGAAAUAAUUAACAUGACUUGUUAUACUGCCAAUAGGGUUUUCCUUAGGCAUGGAAAAAAGAAAACAUCCUAUAAAUUGUGGAUUGGAACAAAGAAAACAUCAUAUGAAUUAUGGAUUGGCAGUGAGUGCUAUAUUCUCAAGGAUAGAGAAAACCAAGAUAAAUUUAAUUCUAAGUCUAAUUUGGGUAUUUUCCUAUGUUAUUCCAAUAAAAGUAAAACUUAUAAAGUUUAUAAUCAGAAUACUAAAGUUAUCCAAGAAUCUUCAAAUGUAGUCAUCAAUGAUUUUGGAUAGGACUAGGAAGUCAUUGACUUUGAAAGUUUAACCUAAAAAUCAAUUGGGAAUAACCUUGAAAAAGUUAACUUAGAUGAUAGUCUUAAAAGUAUCCUAAAGAGGUAAUUGACCCCAACAGGGAUGAAAAACCACUUGAAAUUGCUAAGUUGGGCAAAGAGGAAAGUAAACAUAAAUCUAGAGUGCCCAAAAAUUACCCUAUCUCAAAUGUAAUAGGAAACAUGGAUGAUUCCAUGGUUACAAGGAGACAAUCUAGACAAAAUGAGAUAGAUUUUUUUUUUUUUUUUUUGUUAUACCUCCUAAUUAGACCUAAAGAAUGUAGAGGAAGCCUUAGGAGAUAAAUCAUGGACUACUACACUAUAUGAAGAAUUAAAUCAAUUUGUUAGGAAGAAUGUGUGGUACUUAGUCCCUAGGCUUAAAGACAAACCUGUAAUAGGCACAAAAUGGAUAUUUAAGAAUAAACAAGAUGAAAAUGGGUUCAUUGUGAAGAACAAAGCUAGGCUAGUAGUCCAAGGAUAUUCCCAAAUUGAGGGGAUUGAUUUUGAGGAAACUUUUGCACCUUUAACUAGGUUAGAAUCUAUUAAAAUCCUCCUAGAUAUUGCAUGCUCAUUGAGAAUGAAGCUUUUUCAAAUGGAUGUUAAAAGUGUCUUCCUAAAUGGGAUUCUUAGUGAAGAAAUCUAUGUUGAACAACCUAAGGGAUUUGUAGGUCCUAAACUUCCCAAUCAUGUUUAUAGGUUAAAUAAAACCCUUUUUGGAUUAAAACAAGCUCCUAGAGCUUGGCAUGAGAGGCUUACAACUUACCUUUUGGAAAAAGGGUUUGAGAGAAUGAAAGUUGAUAGAACUUUUUUUCAUUUAUAGGUCUAAGUCUAAAUUAUUAGUGGCUCAAAUUUAUGUUGAUGGUAUAGUUUUUAGAGUCACCCUUACCCUUAACUUUGUUGUGGAUAUGAAAAAAGAGUUCAAAAUGAAUUUGGUAGGUGAACUCAAUUUCUUUCAAAGACUACAAAUUAGACAACUCAAAUAUGAUAUCUUUCUAUCUUAGUCUAAAUAUGAUAGGAAGUUAGUAAAGAAAUUUGGACUUGAGUCCACUAAACACUUUAGGAUACCCAUGAGCACCACUACUAAGCUUUGUAAGAACACAUUUGGGAAGGAUGUUGAGAAAAAGCUUUAUAGGAGUAUGAUAGGAAGUUUGUUAUAUCUUACUGCAAGUUGUCAGGACAUCUCCUUUAGUGUGGGAGUUUGUGCUAGGUACUAAGAAAAUUCCAAAAAGUCACACUUAACUUUUGUCAAAAGAAUCAUUCAUUACAUUAGUGGGACCUUAGAUUAUGGGUUAUGAUGUCCUUAUGCUUCCUCUUGUGUUAUUAUUGGAUAUUUCGAUAUUGAUUGGGUUGAAAAUGUAGAGGAUAGAAAAAACACUUUUGCGGCUUACUUCUUUAUUGGGGAUUGUUUAGUCACUUGGCUAAGUAGAAACAAAAUUUAAUUUCUUUGUCCACCGUACAAACGAAAUAUAUGGUCAUAGGAAAUUGUUGUACCUAACUUCUUUGGAUGAAACAGAUGCUCAGUGAGUAUGACAUUGAGUAGGGCACUAUGAGUCUCCAUUGUGACAAUCUAGUGCUAUUAACAUUUCAAAAAUUUUUGUUCUUCAUUCUUGAACUAAAAAUAUAGACAUCUGUCAUCAUUCUAUUAAGGAUUUAGUUGAAGAUAAAGUCAUUUCUCUAGAGUUUGUCUCAAUGAAACAUCAAUUGGUAGAUAUUUUCACUAAACGCUUGGAUUCUCUUAGGUUUGAAUUCCUUAAGAAGUCCUUGGGUAUAUGACUAAUUGACUAAAAGUCAAAAGGGUAUAAACCUAAGGAUUUGUGUUUUUUUAUCUAUCUUAUUUCUUUUAGUCAAUCCCAUCUUCCUCUUAGAGCACUGGUCUUAUACCCUUUUUCAUUUGCCUUAUUAGUAAGAAUUUCAAUCUCUCAAGUUUUAAGUCUAAGUGAAAUAUACUAAACCUACAAGGGUUGAUUUUAUUUUCCCUAGAAUUUUUAUAAUUACUUUUGAGGUAAAGAAUCAAGGUAUAUAAAAAUCUUUGUAUAGUGGGAUAUCUAAAGAGAAAUAAUUGGCAAGUGAUCCAUGAGGAAUCUUCUUAAGUUUAACUAAUAAAAUAGAAUUUGUUUUUUUCUUUGGAAAUAAUAUCAUGCCUAAUUCUUUUUCAUUCACUUGCCUUGUUUGUCUAAGUUCUAUAUUAUUUUUUCCCAAAACGUCUUAAGGCAUUCUUGGAUUCUUAGUUAAAAUAAACUAAAAUAUUAUUUCCAAGAUUCUUUCCAAGUUUAUAUACUUUCACUUGCAACAUUUGGAAACACCCUCCUAAGUGGAAUAAGAAAACCAUAGUGAAAGUAUGAUUUCCAUAAAUGGUGUACAAUGCCUCCAUUUCUCGGAAAAAAAUAAAAUAAAAAAAUCAUGUUAUGAUUAAGGGGGAGUCAAAGUUAUGUUAUAUGUAGAUCAACGAAUGCCGUGUCAAAUAGUCUGAUGAACUUAACACAAAUUGACUGAAUGUGAAUUUAUUGGAUCACGACAUGACUUAGUGACUUUUAGAAAUUCAAAUUUGAAAUAUGAAAUUAGAUAGUAAGUUGUUUUCCCCUGAAAAUCAAUGCCAUUGAAUUCUCUUAGAUUCUUAUAUAUUUUGAUUGUUAUUCAUCUGAUUUCCAAACUAAGAUUAUGAUUAACCUUGUUCUUUAGAUUUGAAAAUAUCAAUCUUGUUUGGUUGAACUAUGUUUUUUGGGCAUUCUAUUUGUUUUAUUACUUUUCUUUCUAAUUUUGCAAGUUAUUUUAUUUGAAUCUUGCCUUAAGUUGAAUGUUUGACCUAUUUCUAAGGUUUUUACAUGUCUCUAUGUUGUUAGUUGGUUUCUUAAUUUGUUUUGUUUUGUUAGUUCACUUUUAGCGUUCAUAAUCCUUCUAGAGUUUUUCACAUAGUCUCGAGCGUUUAUCCUAAUGCUCAAGCAUUGGCUUCAUCGCUUAAGCGCUCAAGUGCCCUAAGUUUUUUCUAGUGUCACUUCAUGUGGUUGUAUCACUCAAGUACUCCUUAAGUUACAUCCAACGCUUGACAUAGAUAUGAUCGAGAAGAAAAACAUCGGUAGGCAGAGAUAUAUCGGUAGAUUCAAUACUUGGAUUUUAAGAAUAAUAAAUAUGAAUUUUGGAAGCGCAUAAAGUUAGAAUUGAGUUAAGAAAUAUUUGAUUUUAUUAAAUAAAAACAUAUUAUGCAUAAAUAUAAUACAUAUGACAUUGCAAUAGUCCUUAGUACCAAAAUAAAGAUCAAUGUGGUUCCAUCAUAUUGUUAGAUGAAAGGAGCCUAUCUUGUUGAAGACAAUAUUUAUUUAAAAAAAAUUAAAUAUUUUUAUUAAAACAUGUUUUAUUACAUUUUAAAUGAAAAAUUAAAUUAAUUUAUAUAAAAUAUUUUAUUUGAGAUUUAAUUUCUAAAAUUUUAUUAAAAAUAUGUGAUAACAACUUUUUCUAUUAACAUUAAUUUAUUUAAAUAAUUAAAAUUAUUAAUAAUUUAUCUUAUCAAAUUAAUUUUAAUUUAUAAAAUAUUAGAACUUUCUUAAUUUUUUAUAUUAUAGCAAUUUUUUGGGUAAAAUUAUAUUUUUAAUAUUUUAAAAUAAAAACAUUUAAAAUUUAAAUAAAAUUGAAAGGAUAAAUGUAAAAAAAUAAUAAUAAUAGUGAAGUGAUAAUAAUUUUUAAAAAUAAGAUUAAUGAGAUAAAUAUGAAAAAUGUUAAAAAUAAAAGGAUAAUAUAAAAUAAAAUGAUAAUAUAAAAACAUGGUUGAAAUUUGGACCAUCUCAAAAAUUCAAAUCUAAUAAUUUUAAAAAAAAAACCCCAAAAAAAUCCCCGAUUUUUCGAAGAAUUUUUUCCGUUCUCCCUCAUAUCGCUCCACUUGCGAUUUUAUCGCCGAUUUAUCAGUUCCAGACCGAUAUAUCGCCGAUAUUUUGACAAUUUGCACAAUAUUUUUUUUUAUAUUCCUCUUGUUCAAUAAUUAGUGCUCAAAAUCGUUUCGGGGCCAUCCGAUAUUCGAUAUAUCGGCGAAAUAUCGCCGAUAAAAACCAACAUUUUAAUUCAUGCUCUUAGCACACCUUUUUGAAUCUAUUUCACUUCUUUAGUUCAUUUGAGCACUUUGGGUUGCUGCUUUUUGGCUUCUAGUGAUCUGUUCAGGGCUUGUUUCAUCUUUUCAUCUUCAUAGUAUUGUUUAAGACUGCUUUCUAAGCAUUUCUAAUGGUUUAGUUUCCUCAUAUAUUUUUCUCGAUUUUCGAGCUUUUUUACUUUUAGUUUUUGUAUGAUAUGACGUUGUUGUCUUAGGGAGGUGUCUUCUCCGAAGCCUUACUCUCACGAAGUUGUUCAGGGCAUCCCUAUCUAGGGUCUUUUCGACUUGAAUAAUCUUCCAUUGGAGCAUUUUCACUCUAAGGAGGCUCAAGAUAGAUACUACUCUGUUCUUCGGAGUCAUCGAGUCAAGGUAGAGCUAUCCAUUGAUCUUAGAGCCUUUAAGGACACCUCUUUCUUGGUUUCUUCCAUGUUAGGGGCUUGGAAACUCUUAUGACUAUUUGAGAGACCUCGUAUCCUCAUUACAUUCAGAUAUUCAAUUCAAACAUCCAUUCAAUAGUUUGUGGUCUCAUAUUUAGUGUCACCAUGUAUGGCUAGACCUUCAUGGUCUCUACUUGAUCUAUCAGGUGUGUUAUGGGCAUGUUUUUUCUUAGUAAUCAGCUAGCUUUUAGUCUUCUUUCCGGAGGUUUAAGCACUCACUAGAGGUGAGCUUGCCUCUAUUCCUAUUACUUUGUAUGACGAGUCCUAUCCGUUGUCGACUUACGUUUCCAUUGCUAACUUCACCAAGUUAGCUUGGGUCCUCGCUAUGUUUAUGUCUUAUUCCUUCUACUCCUCCUUCCAUCGUACUCAGAUUCGUCACCUUGUGGCUUGUUUUAUUCAUACCAUUCUCUUUGGGUAGUAGUUCGACAUUGCCUAGGUGAUCCUUGACAUGAUGACAUCAUACCGCGAUCCCACCAUCCGCAGUGGAGCUCCCCUAUUCACCCUUCUUAUUACUAUGAUUCUAGAGCACAUCAGUUUCAAUUUCGACCUUGCUUUGGUAGCUUGGGUGUCUCGUACUCUCAUUAAUGCGAGUUCUUGGGUCAAGCACUAUAGCCAUGUGUACGGUUGAUAAUCCCUCUGGCCUCAGCUCAAUCAAUCUCCAUUCCUCUAACUUCAAUGUCAUAAGAGGUGGCUCAAGAGACCGCAAUAGAGAAGGAGGAGAUUAGGCCAACGGAGUAAGAUUCUCCCAUUUUAAAGGUGGUUUCAAGAUGGGGAAUAGGGCCCUUGUUUUCACCCGUCUCUAAUUUUGGAUCUUUAACAUUUGUUGACCUCAACCCUAAUUAUUUCUUCCAAUCUAUGCCCCAUUACAAGCAUUUUUUGUUAUCUCCUUAUCCCCACUUUAUGGUGGGCUUAGUCCAGCACAAAUAGGUUGGUGAGUUAGUUAAGGUUUGUCUUAGAGGCCUAAAUGGACCAGACAUGAGCCUAGUUUUUUAUAACACCUACUAGUGGUGGGCCUUUGCUCUUCUAUUGUAAGCUCCAAGGCUUCAUUGACAUAACAAAUGAUUAGGCAAAACCAUUUUAUAUUUUUUAUUGUUAGCUCUUAUAUUUUUACUUUUAACCAUAAGUAAGGAGAAAGGGGCUAGUUUCCUUGGCCUAAAAAACCCUUGUAUUCAAGCUUAUGAUCUAGGCUAGGGUUUCAAAAUUGGGCCUUCUAGCCAAGAAGAAUUUGGGCUCAGGGCGUUAGAUAAAUCAUAAUUAAUGUAUGAUUUUUGAUUUAUUUCUUUUAAGCAAGUUCAAAAUCAUUGAAUGUGAUAGAAAUUUAUUAGACCUGUGUGGAUUAAUAGAAAAUGUUAGGAAAAAUAAAAGUGAGGAAAUGAAUUUAAAUUUUUAAAUUGGAUUUUUCAUGAAAAAUGUGAAGAAAAAUAAUAAAAUAUAAUAAAAAAUACCAUAAAAUUUUUCAAUUUUCAAAGUUUUCGUUCCUUUUAUAAAAGAAAUAAAUAAAUUUGGAGAUUUGUUUUAUAACUCUAAAUGUGAAAAGGGAAUAGAGGUGUUGAAAUGGUAAUCAAUAAAAACCUACAAAAUUUUCAAUAAAGUAAUUUACAAAAUAAGAAUAAAAAUAUAAAAAAAAUUACAAAAUAUUGGUAGUUGGAUUUUAUGAAAAUAUUGAAAAAUAUUAUAUAAAAAUUCCUAAAAAAAUUUGAUGCAAUCAAAAUUGGCCAAAACCCAUAACAAGAAAGGAAAACCUACCUUUUUCUUUUCAAUCCUAAACUUCAAAUACUCAAAUUCAAUUUUCAUACAAAAUUAAACUAAAUAUAUUUUUAGAAAUUUUAAAUAACUCUUGUUUUAGAAACUAGUUAAACUACCUUCAUGUAGUAUAAUUUAAAUUAAAAAAAAUGAAUUUACCAUAAAUUAAUGAAAUUAUCAUUCUCAAAAAUUUAAUAUGACUAAAAUAAAUUUUGUUUUUUUCUAUUUUUUCUCUUCUUUUUCAAGAAAAUUUAGAUCUAAAACUUUCCCAUGAAAUGAUAACUCAUAAACCACACCAACAAUAUAAAAGUGAAAUCAGUAUAUAUAAAAUAAAUCCGCAAAUUUCAAAAUCAUAAAACCAAAAUUCUAUCAUAUUUAAUUCUAGUAGAAAAAAUGCAAUUUAUGGCGCUUGAUUCCUUGGCGCCUCUAAAAAGUGUCAAGGAAUUGGGUCAACCUUGGCGCUUGUAGAAUAUUUAUAAACCGAGGCGCUUCUAAAUAUAUAUGAUUCAAUGACGCUUUUUAAGUUGAUGCUUUUGGAAGUGUCAUGGUUGGAAAUGGAAAGUAACCUUGGCACUUUUAUAAGUGUCAUUGAAAUGGAGUUCAGACAUUGGCACUUACAUUAAGCGUUAUUGAAUUUACUAGUAUAUAUUUCUUUCUUUUUCCUCAUCCUAACACAUUACACUCUCAUCCCAACCCUUGGAGCCCUAAGCCAGGACAAUCACCCACAUCUUCAACCACCACCAGCACUAAUCGAUGAGAAAAUGUUACGAACAUGUUGAAGGUACUCUCAUUUCAUUUCUUUUUGGUUUGUUUGCUUACCUAGAAAAUGCGAGAAAAAACCAUAAAUUAGGUUUAAAUUUUUUGAAUCUAAAAUCUUGAAAUUUUUUGGAUCCAAAAUCUUGCAUUGGUUGAUUAGAUUGUUUCAGUUAUAUAUAACCUUCCGAUUUUUAUGUUUGAUUGAGAAAAACGUGAGAGGGAUUUGAAAAAUGCAGAGACCCUAUUUUCCUAAACCCUAACUCUUUAAACAAUCCAUUAUUGAGGUUUUCUCCAUUGCAAGGAACCUCGGGGUGCACUUGUUUUAUCCAUUAUCAGCUUAUAGAAUUGACUGCAUUUUUUCUUGGUUUCUCGAUCCACUUUACUUAACACCUCUAGUGUUGCUCCUGGAAGGGGCAAUCAGUGUAUAGAAUGAUGCCAGUUGUUUAAAUAUGUUUCACUUGUCCAAUAAAUGGUUGAAUUUUUGUUUAAGGUUUGGAGUAACACCAUUGAGUCCAUUAUGCAGACAAUUUUUAUUUCAGAAUUUCUUAAUUUUCUGAAAUGUUUUAUGUGCAGUGUCUGGGUUGCACGCAGACCACCAGGCUAUGCUUUUAUCGACUUUGAUGACCGUAUGUUUUAAAGAUUUUCUUAUAAUGGUGUUUAUUGUUCUUGAAUUUUCUCUAUGCUUGAACCCCAUGCCAACAACCAUUUCAUCUCCUUUCUCUAAUUUCUGGACAAGUUUGUCUUCCUCUUCACCUCAAUAAUUAUUAUUAAUUUUCAUUGCUAUUCAGGGUUGGAGACCUAAUAAUAAGAAAGAAUAUUCUGUUCUGUGUUGGGUUUUGGGGAUUUUUGGGUUUCAUGUUGUUGUGUUUCGAUCGUGUUGAUGUUUUUGUUUGUAUGAUGAGAGGGAUGCUAGAUAAUGACCAGGUACACCAGGUCCAAAGUAAUGGGUUAUAUCCCAUUGGUCACUGCCCUGUGUGAAGGGAUAUCUGAGUAAAAGAAAUUUAUCUCUUAAUGACUUCAUCAACUGAGUUCAAACAUAAUUUAGUUUUUCUAUUGGCGUAAUUAUGUCGUUAAUUGAACUCACUUUAUGGGACAUCUCACCAUCUCACACAAAAGCCCCCCAAAAUACAGAAGAAAAGAGAUCAGUGCAAGGGGCACGUGAUUCCUUAAAACUACAAGAUGCAUAUCUAGAUUGGUAGUUAUUAUUAUUAUUAAUUUUUGAUAAGCAAAAGAGCAAUAGAAUGGGUAUGAAUUGGAAUUUGCGCUAGCUUUGAUUGCUUUUUUUUUUUUUAUAGUGAAAAAGACUUGUAAUUUUUUUUCCCUUUAAGAUUAUUGGCUACCAAAUUAAAAAUUAUUGAAUUUGCAUUUACCAAACUUGGUAUUAGAUAAGAAUUGCAUAACAAAGUUUUCUCUUAUGUUAAAAUAAUUGUUUUUCAAACUAUGGAAUUGCAUAUAUAUGAGUAAACUGAUUGUACACUUAGAGUGAUCAGAUGGAAAGAUGACGGUUAUAAGUUCCUCAUUACCUAUUUCUUCCAACUUAGCUUAAAUAUAUUAUUUUACUCUUUCUAGUGUGAUUCUGUAUUCUGAUUGUCUUCUAAGCCUCUAUACAACAACUUAAUUAGAAUAUUUUCCAUAUUUUGAAGUAUCUUUUAUUUGAUAAUUCAACUUAUGUUUAUCCUUUAAGUUUCUUUCCCUUUGUCAUCCUCUAAUUUUUCCUUGUUGUCUUCGGCCACUUGAAUUCUUGAUAUAAAUCUUUGGGAGUUUUUUUUUUGCAUAAUGAUAGUUAAAAAAAAUAUUAAUUGAAUUUAUUUUAUUUUAUUUUAAAGAACUAGAUGAUUUUAAUAUUUAAAAAAUCAAAUUUAAAAAAUAAUAAUUUUAUUGUUUAAAAAAAUUAGUGAUUUUAAUAUUUAAAAGUUAUUUAUGAAUAUCUUAUCAACUUGAAAAGGUAAUUUGUAAACUGUUUGAAAAUUAAGACAAUAUUUUUCUAUUAUGGAGAUUAAUUUGAUUUAAUUGUAAAACGAUCAAAUUUUAAAUUUAUAAUUUUAGCAAUUAUUGAUUUUAAUAUUUAAAGGUCAUUUAUGACUAUCUUAUCAAACUUGGAAAUGUAAUUAGGAGAGCGUUUGAAAACUAAGAUAAUAUUUUUCCAUUUAUGAAGAUUAAUUUGAUUUGAUAUUUAAAAUUUUAAAAUAAAAUUUUAAAAAUAUAAUUUUAUCGUUUAAUUAGUUUGUUUUUAUAUUUAAAAAUGUAAUUUUAGCUUUUAAAAAAAUUAGUGAUUUCAAUAUUUAAAAGUCAUUUACAACUACCUUAUCAACUCGAAAAGGUAAUUUGGGAAGUGUUUAAAAAGUAAGACAAUAUUUUUUUAUUUAUGGAGAUUUCUUUGAUUUUAUAUUAAAUAAAUCAAAAUUUUAAAAUUUAAUUUUAUUGUUUGAAACUUUUAGUGAUUUAAUUUUAAAUUUAAAAGUCAUUCAUGACUACCUUAUCAACUUGAAAAGGUAAUUUGGAGAUUGGUUGGAAAGUUAGAUAAUAUUUUUCUAUUUAUGGAGAUUAAUUAAUUUGAUUUGACAUUAAUUUUAAACUUUCCUUUUAAUAUAAAAUUUUAAUAGCUUCUAAGUAAAAGGUCAUAUAAGUCUUUAUACUUUAUUUUUUAAAGAAGUUUCCCCUUUAGGAAUUAUAUUAACUACAAUAUAGUAAAUUAAAACUUGUCUAAUACACUAACAGGCAUAUGAAAAUCAAACCAAAUUUUGAUACUAAUCUUGACUUGGUUGUUUUCAUUUGUGCUCUUGUAGAUCUUAGAUUAGUUUAAUUUCUUAAAUUUGGCAUAUUGGAUUAAGAUAUAUACCAUAAGUUUGGCAUAUAUUUUUUUACUCAUUUUAUAUCUUUUUUUUCAAUGAAAUAAUUUAGAUAAAAUGUGUAAUUCCACCUAUUUACCUAAAAACUAGAUGUUGAUGCAUGUAUACACUAUCAUUUAUUUUUUAAUAAAUAUAAUUAACUUUAUUUAUUUUUCAUUGUCAGGAUUGCAAGGUUUUGUCAUAUGUUGACAAGGUUUGUGGGUUUGUAAAAUAUAGUCUAGAUUAUGUGUUAAGAACAAGAAACCAAUUAUACCAAUUUUAUUAUUUAUUUCUCAAGUUAGUCUACCAAUGUAGGUUUAGAGUACGUCACUUAACAAAAGCUAUCCAAAUUCGUGAGCAUACCAUAUUUAUGUGGAGUUUGUCGUAGAUUUAUAAUAAGUUAAAAGAAACUUUAUUGUCUUUUCAAUGCCUUCUUCAACCUUGCGCACUCCACCUUAUACAAAGAAAAGAAAGAGGAUAGGUCAUUUCUAAUUUUUGUUUUUUAAGUGGACCUUCAUUUAAAGUAUUUGAGGUCUCUUUCAAUAUUAAAUGUAUAUAUUAUUUUAUUACUAAAAGUUACUCUAGAUGGUUGAGUGACUACACAACUAAUCCUAAUUUGAAAAUAUAAAAGUUUUGAGUAUUCUUUAUGUGGGUUCAUAAAUGUGUUCUCCUUCCCUCCUUAUUACGUUUCUAUUUUUUUUCUUUUUUCUUUUAUAAAAAAAACAAGAGAUCCAACUUUCAAUGUUUUUUAAUAAUAUAUCUUCAUUAUUAUUGAAUGGAAUGAGAUGUAGUGAUUAGACAAAGUGGUCUUCUAUUGUUGAUACAGGAAAACAAGUUAUCAUUUUAUAUGACAAUUAGGAGUAGAAGGUAAUGAUUGUGACAACUAGGAGUAGAGGGCAAGAUGCACAUAAGACAUUGUUUUUAAAGGCAAGUAUCUCCUCUAUUUAUAAAGGUAAUCCACCACUACACUAGAAACUUCUCUCUUAAAGAUAGAAUAGCUUGAAAGGAUGACUAAAUAGAAGAUAAAAUUUUAUUUCUAUUACUUUACAAAUUAAUUAUUUACUUUUAUAAUUGCAUAGGAGUUAUAUGUUAUCCUAAACAAGACAAUGAUACAUUUCAUGGUUUUAUUGAAAUAAAAUAUAAAAAGAUGUUUAUUUUCAUAUCCUUGGAUUCUUAUCAUACACUUACCUAAUGAUUUAUAUUUUCAAAAACUUUGAACAAGCACCUCUUAUCAACUCAAUAAAAUUAAAAGUCAAAGGAACUAAAAUAAAAGUAAAAACUAAUCAAGUAAAUAAAAAAUAAAAAUAUAAGAAAUUAAAAAAGAAAUUAAUAUUAACAUAGUGAUAGUAAGAUGGUUUCCAUCUUAUUUGGACCUUGGUAUUAUUUUUAACUGUGCAUAGUAGGUCUUAUGUUAUUCUUUUAUUUGAUAAUGUUUAAAGAGUUCUUUAUUAAAAGUCCAUAAGGAGCUGCCCCAACUCCUAUGCUUUAUUAAUUAGCUUUGAGGUUUGCAUUUGUUAAUAUUGAAAGAAACUAUGUGUUUCUUUCUUAUGAAGUAGGCAACUAUUAUCAUUGUAAUUCUUAAAAUUGAUGCUUUUGAUGUUACUUGUUGGGAACAUGCAAGUAAGUCUGCUAGUUGAAUAUUCAUGUUGAUCCACUAAGGGCAUAUUUGAGUGCAUUUUUUUCUUCUAUUAUUUUUCUUUCAUGAACUUUAUAUCAAUAAAAUCAACAUCGGAAUAAACAAGAGUUCAAGUUCAUUGCAUUGCUUUUCAAAUAUAUAACUUAAUUCAUUCAUCUUUCAUUUGCUUCAAUUUUUGAUUGACUGCCAUUUUUAUUUUUAUUAAUAAGUUUGAACUCGAUAAUGAAUCAAUUUUCAAAUCUCAUGUAUGAUUGUUUGAACAUUCAUCAGCCAGUAUAUGAUUAUGUAAAUUUUGUUGAAUUUUAAAUUUCAUCAUCCGGUUAGAUUUGGUUAAAACUCUUCAUAAUAUACAUUAGUUUUUCUUGUAAAUUAUUUUGAAUUCAUUUUCUUAUAAUUUUCUCAUUUUCUUGUAGUGGCUAUUUUGUGAAAAAUUAAAUUUGUCAAUGUUUAUUUUUAUUUUAUUUAAUUAACCUCUUUUGAUUUAUGUUACUCUAAUGUUAUUGAUAACCUCUUUGAAGCAAAAGCCUAAUGAAGAAGACUUUGACAGGGAUGAUGCCAAUGACAAGGUAAAUGAAGAUUUUUUUUUUUCACUAUCAACAUAGUAUAAAUCAUUUUAAAAUGGAUCUUUUCAAUAAUUAAGGAAACUAAGACAUAUUCAUGUGGUUGUUUACUUAAUGAUUGAGAUAAUUAUCUUACUUAGUAGCAGUAUUUUUUAACACUAAUAAUUUAUUUACUCUAGUAAAACUUUUUACCUUUGACCCAAUAAGAAGAAUAUUAGCAUGUUUGUUUUAUUGCUUUACUUGAACAAAAGCUAAUUAACGUGUUGGAUUAUUUUCUAUUCUCAUAUCCUCUUUGUUUCAAUUAUAUUGGUUGUUAUAUGUAUAAAUUUAAAGUUUUAUAUUUUUUUUUAUUUACAGCUUGCAAAGGAAAUUGGCUUACAAGAAGAAGAGAAAUCAUUACAAUAAAGCGAUGUUGGAAAUCAUGAAGAUGAUAUCAUUUAAAUCUUUAAGAGGUUGAACUAGACUUUUGUUGAUGAUGGUUUCUUUUUGUAGUUAUUGCACCAGUAUUUGUUCUUAUAUUGGAUUUAAAAAUUCUCAUUGAAAUAUUUUGAUCUAAUGAACAAAUUUAUAAUUUGUAUACAAGUAAUUAUACUAAUUAUUGAAACUAAGCCAUUAUAUAUUAAUAUUUGGAGAUAUUUUAAUUUGUACAAUUCAAUUUAAUUUUAUGAUUUUGCUUUUAUUUAAUUAUAUAGGAAAUUCAUUAUUUUAAAAACAUAAUACCAAUAUUAUUAUUAAAAUAAAAUGCUUAAAGAUGACGCUUCUAUUAAGUGUCAUUAUUAACAUAAACCAAAGAUGACGCUUUUAAAAUUGUCAUUGAAAAAUAAUCCAAAGAUGACGCCUUGUAUAAGCGUCAUUAUUGACUAAAACAUAUAAUGACAGGGGAGAAAAGGACGCUUUAGAGAAGUGUCAUCUUAUGCUUUUCUUGACGCUUAAAAAACGUCAUUAAUUCCCUUUUUUCUUGUAGCUACUAUUUUAAACUUAAAUUUCAAGGUUUUUAAUAAAAUUUUACCUCAAUGAAAUAGUGAUUUAAUUUUUUUUUUUACUUUAAUAAAAAAGUUGUUUUUUCCUCGGUUAUCUUUUCCAUCUUCAACUUUAUUAUAAUACUCAAAUCUAAUUUUUUUUAUACAAAAUUAAACUAAACUUAUUUUUGAAAAUUUUAGAUCACUCUUGUAUAAAAAAACUACUUAAACUACUUUAAUAUUAUAUAACUUGAAUAAAAAAAUGAAUUUAUCAUAAAUUAACAAAGAUAUAAUAAAAAUAAAUAAAUAUGACUUAAAUAAAUUUUAUUUUUAUUGAUAUUUUUUGACAAAACCAUAACCUUUCAAUAGCCUGAUUGUGUUGGACCAAGCCCACCUUAAAGUGGGCGUGUAACAGUAAGGAGAUAAUAAGAAAUAUCUGCUACUCAACCAAUAGGGAGAGAUGGUGCCAACUUAUAUUGUGUUUUCCAUUGUACUGGAUUAUUGGUCUUUGACACUACUUUGAAAGUUUAUUUUGGGUGUUUUUUAGUCCUUUUUAGAGUGUAGGAUCAAUAAAAAAAAAAAAUUGCAUGAAUUGAAUCUUUGUUGUGCUCUUAAUUCAUGCAAGAGAAUGACAUCUUGUGGGAUGAGAAUUCUUUGAUCCCUAAAUUUUUUAUAUCACAAGCAACCAACAAACAAAUUCCAUACACCAAUGUUUUAAAAACGUGACCAGCCAAUCAAAUUAGUUGGCUCUACUCGGUUUGGAUACGAUCUUGACGAUUGGUAAACUAGUGGAACCAACUAGGUUUGGAACCGGUCUUGAUUUUUUUCCAUUUAGGUUAGACAAAAAUUUUGGAAAAAAUCAAUAAGUGGAGAUGAUGUUGAAAUUUUAAUAAAAUUUAUCAUUUAUAUUUAUGUUCAACUAUUUUUCGUUAUAAUAUAGUUAUAGAAUGUAGUUGCAAACUAGAAGAAUAUACUUGGAGGAAUGGUGUAUGCUUUAGUGGAUGGUGUCUCAAACUCAAUUCCCAUGGAUAGACGAGUAAGAGUCAGAGACACAACAAAUGGAAUUGGCAUUAAAACGGGUUGUGAAUUAUUGAGAAAUAACUAGUCUCAUGAUGGACAAAGGAAAGAUUGUGCUAAGAAGAAAUGGGGUUUUGUUGCAGUUCUGUGUAGGUUGAUGAGUUCUUCGGUCUAACAUGUGUGAUUUUCUCACUUUUGAAACUUCAUUUUUGGUUUUGAUCCAUUUUAGAGAAGAUAUGUGACACAAUCCAAAAUGGGGUUACAUUGUCUCUUGCUUUUGGCUGUUGUUAUCAUUUGUUGCCUUCAUAUGGUAGAAUAAUGUUUGUUAACUAAAACUUCUAUGACCAAGUUUGAAUUUGAUACAUGGAUGGAGCUGAUUUGUUUAAAUAUUCAUGUUUUGGUGAAUACAAGUCAUUUUAAUUGAGCAAAAAAUACAUAUAAUGUAGAAGAUGGAUAAAAUUAAGUUAAAUACUUACAUAAAAUUAAGAUUUUAAGACUCUUCAAUUUAAUAAAAGUUUUGUUGUACUAAGGAUUAUGGGUUAUGCAUUCAAUUUUGGGUAGAAGGAAAAUACUAUCCAAACAAGGCCUACAUAUAAUCUAAAGCAUUCUCAUCCUUAGGAAGCCUAGGGAAUGGAUUAGAUUAAAUAAGUUAGCUCAAAAGUGAUGUAAAAUGUGGGUAUGUUGUAUAAAAACACACAUAUUUUCUUCUUGUUUUUCACCAUUCAAAAAGUUAUGAUCUGCUUAAUUUGAUUGAAAAAAAAAACCAUACUACUUUUCUUUUCCCAAUUAUAAAUUUUAGCCACUUUUUGUCAAAAUUAACCAGAAUUCUGUAUACACCAAAAAGGGAGAAAAAGGUCAUAGAUUUAGGUUAAUAAAGAAAUAUAGUUGGGACAAAUAAUUAAAAUAUCUUACAUUGGUCGAUCAUCAUAUCGUACUCAAAUUUAAUAAGUUAGUGGAGACAUAACUAAUAAAUAUAUUUUCAAAGAGAAUUUGAAAAUUUGAAAUUGGGAAUUUCUUCUAUUCAUUUUUAAUAAUUUUUAGGGGCUACUAUAAAUUUUAUCCACAAAAGGAUAACGUACUCUUUUUUUAGUAGUUAAACAAGCUAUAACCUUUGAGAAUCACUAUUGAUCUUAAUAAAGGUCCUUUUUAUAUUAAGAAAUUUCUCUUUGAAUAAAUUAAAAGAGAAAUUUUGUCUUUUAUUGCAACUGUAAUGACAUUCACUUUCAAAGCUUGUAAUUAUACAUAGAGCAUAUAAAGAUCUACAAACAAAAUUUAUUACCUUCGCAGGUGAUCUUUGGCAUAGGUUGCUAUUCCUCUCAACAACCAUUUGACAAUUUUAUCCACAAAAUCAAAGUAGGUCUCACUCCAAGAUUUCCUUGUUGCCAAAACAAAAUAUGGAACUAAAAUACCCAUCGCAAAUCCCAAGCCAACACUCAAGUAAAACCAUUGAUCAAUAUAGCCACCAUCAUUUUUGUCCUCAAUAACACUACACUUUUUAUCUAGAUCUUCAUCUUGGCAUUUUGUGACCAAUGGAGCUCCACAAAGAUUAGGGUUUCCAACAAAGGCCGACUCAUUGAAGGUUGUCAUUUGCCCUAUAAAGGGGAUCUUACCAGAGAAAUUAUUAUUCGAUAGAUUCAAAUAACUCAAGAAUGUUAAUGAAACCAUGCUUGAAGGAAUGCUGCCGGAAAGCUUAUUCCUUGACAAAUCAAGAGAUAAUAACUGGUGCAACAUUGAAAUGCUUUCAGGAAUUUGGCCACUGAUGUGAUUCCCAGACAAGUUCAAAACCACCAAACCAAACAAUUUUGUUAUUUCUUGGGGAAGCUCUCCACUUAAAUUAUUGUCGGAUAGGUCUAUGCCUACAACCAAAGAAAGAGUCCUGGUGUAUGCAAGACUUUGACCUUUCAUAAUCACCACCAAUCGUUCUUCAUACUGAGAGUUUCUCACAUUGUCAUACAAAGGAUAUAUAUUCUUGUUAUACUCCGGAACCAUGGCUUUAAGCUCAAACAAAGUGACUGGAAUUUCACCCAUCAGAUUGUUUUGUGCAAGGUCUAAGACAUGUAGGGAGCUUAAAUUUGAAAGCUGGGAGGGAAGUCUUCCAAAAAAUACAUUUGACCUCAAGUUGAGUAUUACAAGAUUUAUGAAAGCAGUUCCAAUCCAUGAAGGAACCUUACCCGAUAACUGGUUAUAACUGAGAUCAAGGAGUUCCAAUCUUGAUAAAUUUUGGAAAGAUGAGUGGAGCUCUCCUGAAAGCUUGUUGUCGUUCAGAUGCAAUGAUUCGAGCCAUUGUAACUGGCCCAACGACUUUGGUAGCAUCCCAGAUAAAUUGUUAUUUCCAAGGUCAAGAACAAUUAGGCUAGAGCAAUUACCUAUGGUAUAAGGAAUGCUUCCAGUCAAAUUAUUCCUUGAAAAAUCAAUGAUUUGAAGAGAGGUGAUUUGUCCUAUGGAAUCUGGGAUGGUCCCUGUUAUUUGAUUUUCCGAAAGGAAAAGGUAAUUCAAGUCUAACAUAGAUUCACCUCUGCUCAGUGGGAUAGGGCCAAAAAAUUUAUUGUGUGAGAGAUCUAGUAAAUAGACCCCUUUGAUUGAAAAAGGAAUAAGUCCCUCAAAGAGGUUGGAACUGAAAUCAAUCUCUGAUUCACCAUAAAAAUUUAAUGAAUUUGGUAGCUGACCUUGUAACUGAUUGUUGGAAAGAUUCAACAGUUGUAGAUUAAAAGAAAUAUUCCAAAACCACUUGGGUAUGGAACCUGAGAUGCUAGCAUUUGACAAAUCCAGAAAGGAGACCUUCUUUUGAGAUCUAAGCCAAGUUGGGAAUGAAGGGCCUAAAUUGCAUGAAGCCAUACUCAGAAAAGUGAUUUGGAAUGGGGGGACCCAGGUGGAACUAACAUUCAAAACGAGACCUGAAUUUCCACCUAUCCACAGAAACUUCAGCUUACUCAACUUUGAAAAAUGUUCUUCAGAAAGAAUUCCUGUCAAGGUAUUAAGAGUAUUAAAAUAAUUUCAUUUAUUUAUUUAUUUUAUGAAAAAUAAGAAAUUUCAAGAGAAAUGAAUUUUCAGAAAAUGUAUAAUAAAUCAAAUGAGUGGAAAAAAGAUAAUUUAAAAUAUUUUUUAAAAACAAGUGUUUACAUGGAAUCAAUAUAUACACGAUUACCAGAAGAAAAUUUUAAUGAAUUUGGUAGCUGACCUUGUAACUGAUUGUCAGAAAGACUUAAUUCCCGCAGAUUGAAAGAAAUAUUCCAAAACCACUUGGGUAUGGAACCUGAGAUGCUAGCAUUAAAUAAAUACAGAUAGGAGACCUCCUUUUGAGACCUAAGCCAAGUCGGGAAUGAAGGGCCUAAAUUGAAUGAAGCCAUCGCCAGAUCAGUGAGUUGGAAUGGGGGGACCCAGGUGGAACUAACAUUCAAAACGAGACCUGAAUUUCCACCCAUCCACAGAGUCUUCAACUUACUUAACUUUGAAAAAUGUUCUUCAGAAAGAAUUCCAGUCAAGCGAUUCCCAUAAACUUCCAAUACAACCACUUCAGAAAGUUGUCCAAAACUAACUGGGAGACUCCCAUUCAGUUCAUUCCAUACAAGCCGCAUCUCAUUCAGAUUUUUGAAUGUCCCAAAAGAAGCAGGGAUAGGGCCUUGAAGCUUGUUCCUGGAUAGAUCCAAAUAUGUAAGUUUUUCCAGCUGACUCAACCGUUCUGGCAAUCAGCCCACUAAUUGAUUCGAGGACAAGUCCAAAUACCCCAGUUCUGGUAAAGGACCUUCAGAACUGCAGUUUUUGAUCUCUUCGAGAAACUCAGAGAAACUUCCUGCAAUCAUCAUCAAGAGUAUUAAAAUAAUUUGUUUUUAAUAAAUUGUUUUAUGAAAAAUAAGAAAGUUCACGAGAAAGGUAAGAAACUUUGCCGUCUUAAUGCAUUAUCAAAUGAACGGAGAAAAGAUAAUUUAAAAUAUUUUUAGAAACAAGUGUCUACAUGGAAUAAAUUGAGAAUAUUGUUUUUAGAAAUUAAAAUUUCCAAAUAAAAUUUUGUUUCAAAAUAUAAUAUAAUAUUUGUAAAAAUUAUUAUAAAAAAACUCAAAAUUUGAUUUUGAAAAAAUAUUUUAAAAAGGUUUACAAGAAACAAAAUACAUUAUAAUAUUUGUAAAAUUAUUAUAAAAAACUCAAAAAAUGAUUUUAGAAAACUAUUUUAAAAUUUGUUUACAACCAAAACCUAGAUUUUGUAGUGUAAUCUUUCAAAUACAUCAAAAGCCCUAAAAAGUCCCCUUUAUUGGUCAAUUGUGAAUUGAAUUUAUGACAAAUCAUGCAUCAUCAAGAGUAAAAAAUAAUUUAAUUUAAAAUAAUUUUCAAAAAAAAAAGAGAGAGUUUAUGAGAAAACAAUUUGAUGAGUGGUGAGAAGAUAAUUGAAGUUGCUUUGAUGGUUUAAUGAUAAAAGUAAGAGAUUAUUAGAAAGUCAGAAUAAUUUAAUGCAAAAUAUUUUUUAAAAACAAGUGUUAAACUGUAGAACCACUACAUUAUUUUGAUGUAUCAAAAUCAAUAAGCAAUAAUAAUUUUUCUAAGCCAAAAACGUACCAAGAAAUUUAUUUUUUGCCAAAUUCAGAAAUUCUAUCUUCUUCCAGCUNNNNNNNNNNNNNNNNNNNNNNNNNNNNNNNNNNNNNNNNNNNNNNNNNNNNNNNNNNNNNNNNNNNNNNNNNNNNNNNNNNNNNNNNNNNNNNNNNNNNUGUUUUUAAUAAAUUGUUUUAUGAAAAAUAAGAAAGUUCACGAGAAAGGUAAGAAACUUUGCCUUCUUAAUGCAUUAUCAAAUGAACGGAGAAAAGAUAAUUUAAAAUAUUUUUAGAAACAAGCGUCUGCAUGGAAUAAAUUGAGAAUAUUGUUUUUAGAAAUUAAAGUUUCCAAACAAAAUUUUGUUUCAAAAUAUAAUAUAAUAUUUGUAAAAAUUAUUAUAAAAAAACUCAAAAUUUGAUUUUGAAAAAAUAUUUUAAAAAGGUUUACAAGAAACAAAAUACAUUAUAAUAUUUGUAAAAUUAUUAUAAAAAACUCAAAAAAUGAUUUUAGAAAACUAUUUUAAAAUUUGUUUACAACCAAAACCUAGAUUUUGUAGUGUAAUCUUUCAAAUACAUCAAAAGCCCUAAAAAGUCCCCUUUAUUGGUCAAUUGUGAAUUGAAUUUAUGACAAAUCAUGCAUCAUCAAGAGUAAAAAAUAAUUUAAUUUAAAAUAAUUUUCAAAAAAAAAAGAGAGAGUUUAUGAGAAAACAAUUUGAUGAGUGGUGAGAAGAUAAUUGAAGUUGCUUUGAUGGUUUAAUGAUAAAAGUAAGAGAUUAUUAGAAAGUCAGAAUAAUUUAAUGCAAAAUAUUUUUUAAAAACAAGUGUUAAACUGUAGAACCACUACAUUAUUUUGAUGUAUCAAAAUCAAUAAGCAAUAAUAAUUUUUCUAAGCCAAAAACGUACCAAGAAAUUUAUUUUUUGCCAAAUUCAGAAAUUCUAUCUUCUUCCAGCUUCCGCUUAACAGUUGAGAGCAACUACCUGUGAGAUUUCUGUUCCAAGAUAGAUCCAAGUGCUGCAAGUUAGGUAGUUCCCCAAGGCCAAGUGAAAUUUGCCCAUAUAACUCACUAGAGCUUACAUCAAUGUAUACAAGGCUGCUAAUGUUUAGAAGCCAUAUUGGGAACUUUGACCGAAAAGAGUUGCCACUGAUGCUUAUGACAGACAAUGAAGUAAAAUUGAUAGAGUUUAGAGAUGAAAUUGAACCAGAGAGCCCACACUGUUGUAGGUGCAACUCUGUUAAAAAUGAAAGCUUGUUGAAUACCUCCAUCCAGUGAGAUCCUACCAUUGAUAGGUUGACAUAGUUCAACUUGAGAUGCCUUAAGGAAACAAGAUUAGUCAUCCAUUCAAGGUUCUUAACAAAUAACUGAGAUUCAAUGGAAGAAAGAUCAAGAAAUUGCAAAUUAGAAAGGUUUCCCAAGGUUGGAGGAAUUGCACCUCUGAAUCCACAAUUUGAUAAGUUCAGAUAUUGUAAACUUUUCAAAGAUCCGAAGAAUUUAGGAAUUGGGAUAUGCUCAAAUGAGUUGCCACUCAAAUCUAAAGACCUCAAAUAUUUGAGUUCUAUCAAAGAAGGUCGGAUCUCCCCGCUUAAGUUCAUUGAACUCCAAUUUUCAUAUGCUUCUUCAAGAUAAUAUGGGUUAUGAAGAUCGAUUGAAAUAACAACUCCUGUGUUAUUUUCACAACCAAUUCCCUCCCAUUGACAACAAUUGCCUCCUAUCCAUGAUGAAAGCCGGUUGUCAGAAGAAUCUUUGAGACCAUUUUUGAAGUCAAGAAGAGCUUCUCGAUCAGCUCUUAAGCAAUUUCCCUCAAGGGUUUCACCCUUGCAAGCAAGAUCUCUUGUUAUUAAACAUAGAAUGACCAAAAGGAAACCAAGAAUUGAAAUUUUCACCAUCUAAGAACACCUAUAAAAACAAGUAAUUAAUAUUAAGUUCCGAAAGAAGAAUCAAAAUAGUGAUGAAAUUUGAUAAGUAAUCAAAACUUCAAGUUAUUGGAUAUUAAAUAACACAUAGAUUUUAAUCAAUCAUAAGUUAAUAAGAUUAAAACAUGUCAAAUGGAUGGCAUACUUGAACACAGAUCCAUAUCAAACAUGGUCUGAUGAUUGUUGCUUAUCAAAACUAUAGAAAUCACCCACAAGAGAAGCUUAGAAGCAUUAGGCAGAGGAAAACACUAGAGACAACUUGGCAUUAUUGGUAAAGUAAAACAAGACUAGUCAUCCAUUCAAGAUCAUUAACAUAUAAAUCAUAGGAUUCAAAAUUAACAAAUAAAUCAAAAGAUUCAUGGCUAGAAAGAUCAAGAAAUUUCAAAUUAGAGAGGUUUCCCAAGCUAAGAGGAAUUGCACCACUAAACCCACAAUUUGAUAGGUUUAGAUAUUCUAAAUUCUUUAACUAUCCAAAGAAUUCAGGAAUUGAAAUAUGCUCAAAUAAGUUUCCACUCAAAUCUAAAUAUCUCAAGGAUUUGAGUUCUAUUAAUGAAGGCCUAAUCUCUCCACUCA